UCUGGGGCCAAUGUAAGUCCAAUUUGCGCAAGCUCUUUAUGCACCACAGCUCUUCUGGAAGCUUUCUCAAGUAAGCACAUGGGUUGACAAUUAAGCUUUCAAGUUUCGGCAUUGCUCCAGCCCCCAUCGUCCACUCAUCUAGCCAAUACAUUGAUUUCAGGUGCAAAACCUUAAGUUCGGGAAAGCUACUCAAGCCAACACAAGCAAGCUUUCUUCCUAAAUACGAGUUCUGCUUCAGUUUCAGCACUCGAAGGCGUGGAAGAUUUUCCAGAAUUGGCAUGGGAUCCUCCAUUAGCUCAGUAUUUGAUAAGCUCAGUUGGAUCAGACUUGGGGGAAAUUGGUAUUCAGACUGGACCAUCCGUGAGGGCUUGCUCUCAUUCACCAGCUUCAAGCAUUCAAGUUUGUGGAGUUCGCAAAGGCUUUUGGAAACCCCAGAUUGAUAGUAACUCAAAUCUCCAGAUAUCCGAAGAGUCUGAACACUUGGUAGUCUGCCCAAUAUAUCAGGAGUACAACUACUAGGGUUUAAAGCUGAUAUGAAAAUGAGUUUUUUCAGAGAGCUAGAAUAAUUUUUUGGAGGUGCGGGCAGAGUGAUAGAACCAAAGUUUAGAUGCAUGAGUUUUUGCAUCAUCCAAAUAUCCUCUGGUGACUGAUCUAUGUAGCUAGAUGGCAUUUCUAGUGUUUCAAGGUUUAAAAGGGUGCAUAGCAGUGAAGGAAGGCAUUUGAGCGAAGGGAUAUUCAAUUUCAAAUACUUCAAAAGAUAUAAAUUUUCUAAUGCGGGUGGAUAUUGGUCCAGGACUGCAGAACCCAUGUUCAAUACCCGAAGGUAUUUGAACCUUUUAAAAAAAUUCUCGCAAUCUUUCGGAUUAAGAUGAUUGCUUUCUGAACUGUGAUUCAGAAAUGAUUGGAGAUACAUGUCAGACUGUUGUAAAAAAAAGAACUCAAGCAGAUCUUCCAAAAUGAAGCACCGUUUAGCAUUUUCAAUUGAUUCCCCUAUCCAUGCAGGCAUUCGGACAAAUCUCGUCUUCUCUGCCACCAAACCCAAUGAAGUAAAUACAAAACUUGGAACAUAACACGCUUUAAUUGUGCCUCCGGCUCUUCUCGUACUCACUUUAAUGAAGCCGCGAUGGAUUAGUUCUUUCAAGUAAUGUUCGGCAGUUUCUUCACCGUUGUAUGGUAUGAAACCUUCAGCUACCCACAACUGAUAUAAUUGCCUCGUGGAUAUCUCGAUGCCUGGAGGGAAGACACACAAAUAGAUGCAGCAGACUUUCAAGUGAAAAGGUAACUCCAUCACAGAGAAAAUUUGUCUCCAUACUGUCGGAAUCGCUUCGCUUUGAAGAUAAUUUUCUAAUGGCAUACUUCCAUAGUGUAGGAUGAAAAAUUGCCAGGCCUCAUGCUUUAGUCUGAUCAAUGGUCCUCCAACGAGCACUGAACCAUGCCGAAUCUUCUCUCCAUUUUCCAUUUCCAACGACUCAAGGAGGUCUGGAUCAGCGGCCAAUAUUAAUACUCUGCUUCCAUUCUCAUUAUCAGGGAGAACUUCUUCGAGAUCAUCCCAUAUCUCACGGUCAUUGAAGACGUCAUCAAGCACAAUAAAGUACUUCUUGUUUGUUAGGUAAUCUCGAAGAAUAGAUUUCUUCAAUUGAUAAUCUUCACCGAUAAUUACACUAACCCGAGCUGGAGGCAUCACAGACUUGAUUAUGCCAUCCAAUAUCUUGCCAAAAUCAUAACGUAGAGAAACCCUGACCCAAGCAUGACAGUCAAAAUAGAACUUGACAUGAUUACUGUUAUAAGUAUGUGCAGCAAAAGCAGUCUUAUCGAAGCCACUGCUGUCGAGAAUUGCAACCACUGAAAGCCCAGAUGGUCCCUCAAUCAAUAGAUCAAAAAACUUCUCUCUGCCCCUUUCAAAUUCACUGAUAUCGAGCCGAGGUUGUCCCUCACUCAAUAGGCGAAUGAUUUCGUUACGUUUUUCACUGAUAUCAAAACCAUUGUCGCCGGGUGGAAGUUGUUGCGUCCGAUUUCUAAUAUCAAUGAUUUCACUGAUAUCAAAACCAUUAGUGCUGCUUUCACUUUCGUUUUCACUGUUUUGCUGCUGCAUAAUGUUGAUGAAGAAUGUGUCAAUGGCUUCCUCAGAUUCAUGGACAAAGUGAUUGAUGUCCUUAAGAAUUUCCAGAAUGUCUGAUCUUUUAACGUCUUCUUCAUCACUUUCUUCUAAGUCCAACAGUUGCAAUAAAGGCAAAGACAUAUUGGAUUCAGCGAAUUCUUGUCUGAAUAGUUGAGACAAAAUCCGAGCCAUGUCAGCUUCAUAGUUUCCCGACAGAGUAGUAGUAAUAAUUUCAGACUCCGUAAGAAGGUUUUGAAAAAGCGGGGCUAAAUUUGUUGAAUCAGUCAACGUUAACGUGCCUUCUUCACCUGCUAACACCCUUUUCAACCUCUCACAAAAUAGUCGGAGGUGGACGUCCAGCAUAUCUCCUUCUCUCUGUAGCACCCAGAGGUAUUGUUUUUUGCUCCAAGAAAUAUUAAAAGGAUUGGUUCUAUCUCAAAGUGGUUACUGGUGUAAAAUUAAACGCCAUGGGAGAAUUUGAAGGGAAGAUGCCAAGGAACUGGCGAUGUGGCUAAAUUACACAAAUACGGCAUUAUUGCUCAUUUUUAACUCAAAAAAUUGAUACCAAGACGCUUGCCUUUUGAAAAGAAGAGGUAUCCAACCUUUAUCUUAUUUAAUUACUACCAUGACAUGAUUGAUGGUGCUUAAAUCAAUUGUUUCUUUAUUAAUUUAAAGAAUUUUUCAUUAAAAAAAUUAUUUUAAUAUCAAAUACCCUUCAAUGGCAUAACUGCCGCAGGCCCAGAAACAGGAUUAAUUAAAAUUUUUUGAAUUUUUGGGCAAGGAAAGAUUUGAAAUUCUAGUUAUGCAACCCAAGAGGGAGUGAAUUAGAAUUCUAUAAAUUAUUUAAUUUAUAAAGAAAACCUUAAUGCAAAUAUAAACCAAAUUCAAAGCAAUAACAAAUAAGGUGAUCACAAUAUAAAAAGAUAAGGGAAGAGAGAUUCAAACACAUAGAUUUUUACUUGGUUCGGCCAACCUCGCCUACGUCCGCGCCUCCAAGCUUUCCGAGCUUAAAGAUUCCACUAAGCAAGCCUCCAAGGCUUCAAAUGCUUACACUUGACUUCCAAGGUGUCAAUAACCUUUACAACAAGAGAUUAUCCCAAUCUCUUUAACCCAAGUGUAUCCCAACACUUACAAUCACUCAAAACAAAAGAUUACAAAUUUGUUUUGACUCUCACAAUAUUUAAGAUUACACAAUGAUGCCCAAUAUGUCAAUAGAUGAAGCAAGAAUGUGUUCAAAGCUCUAUGAAGAUUGUAUUCUCGAGUAUAAGCUCAAUAGUCGUGUUGUGAUCAAUCUUGUUUGAAUUUGAAUGAGCUUAUUUAUAUUUGGAGCUGAAAAACUAGCCAUUACAAACUGUCGGCCCGAAAACGGUUCGCUGUUAACCAUUAACGGUUAACCGUUUAGGCUGGUCAAAAGUUACCGUUGGGCCAAAUUUCAAAUAAACGGUUUGCCGUUUAGGAUUACCCCUUCGCCGUUAAAUUCUAGAGACCUGCAAGAUGAAUAUCAGUUAUCCGUUUACAUUAAACGGUUAAAGAUUUGCAUGAAGUGACUUCUCUGGAUAUUAUCGGUUAACCGUUUGUAAUAAAUGGUUCGCCGUAUGUUUCCAGUAACCUGCAAAACAAUUUAGCCUUAUCCGAUUUUGUUAAACGGUGCCAGAAGAGUACAACCUUCAAUUCUGGAUUUUAUCGGUUAACCGUUUAAAUAAACGGUUCACCGUUAAAUUCCAGUAGCCUUCCCAGCUUUUUGUGUUUUCCAUUUUUCUUAAUCGGUUAGAGCUUAGGCAAUAUGUUGCUCUCUGGUUUUAAUCGGUUAACCGUUUGAAAGAAAACGAUUCACCGUUUAUUUCCAGAAUCACAUUUUAAACCAGAUUUUGCAGAAAGUCAUUUUCUAAUUUGAAAGUCCAUCUUUUAUGAAUAUGAUUGGAAUGAUUAUAAGGCUUUCAUUUAUUAAGGAAUAGCUCCAACAUUUUAAUCAAAAACCAUUUAAAGUUUGUUAUCAUCAAAAUCAAUAUUAUUAACAUAUUCAUGUUAACAAUAGUAGUAUUAAACAUCAGAAAGCUAAGGUUGUUCUGUUAAUGAAUUGAUAUUGACAUAAUUUUAUUUUGGUUUCCGGGGAAAAAAAAACAUUUGUUGACAAGCAAGAAAAUAUUUUUAAAUUUUACAAUUUAUUAUACAUAUUUUAUCAUAUUACAAUAAUUUUAAUAAUAAAUAGAAACAUAAUAUUACAAUAAAUAAGUUAAAGUUUAAAUUAUUUUAAAUAUUAUAAAAAAUAAUUUUAAUAUUAUUAAUAGGAAGACAUUUUGUUAAUUUUAAAACCUUUUUAACCCAAAGGUUUAUUUAAAAGCUUUAUAAUAAACAUAAAUAUAAGAUUAAAAUAAAUAUCAUAAUUUGAAAUUUUUAGUAUUAUUUUAAAUAUUAAAAAUACUUUAAUAUUAUUAGCCUACUACAUUGAUUUUAUUAUUUAUAUUAUAUUCAUAUUGAUUAAAACUUUUUAAAGUCAAUUUUUUAGUCAGUAUAUUCAAGAGGUAUCAUAGUUAAAGAAAAGAUUUUGGUGUUAUUUUUUGAAAAUUUUAAGGUUUAAAUGAUAAUUUUUUAAAAUUUUAAGGAUGUAGGUAUUAUUUUUCCGACAAUUUAUUUUAUUUUUGAGGAAUUCGAUGAGAAAUAUCAUGAGAGAAGGUUAAUUUUACAUUCUUUACCUUUAUGAAAAAAGUGGAAACCAAGAAGUAUUCAAUUUUGUAUUUUUUGUUUGUAAUUCAAAAAAUGCAUCCACCAAACAAUCUUAUCUUGAUUUUUUCACUUUAUUCAUUUUCGAUCCUUUAAUCCAUCUAGUAUCUGCAGCCCCCGCCAUUUUUACAAAUCUCCAUCCGACAUCUACCCUAUCAAACAAAGUUGAUGGAAAUUGAACAAUUGCUUUUUGAAGUGGACCCAAUAAGUGGACAUUUUAUUAAUAUUAAACAAAGUUGACGGAAAUUGAACAAUUGCUUUCUAUGAGCCACUUAUUUUUAACAUUAGCGAUCUUAUCUGGACUACUCCAAUUAUUGAUGUAACUCCAAUGGUUGCAUCAACAGUUGAAUGUAAGAUAGUGUUAGCUCUUCUUUGAGAAUAUAGAGUGAUCUUUCUUUGUUUCUCUGUUGCGACGUGCUACUAUAAAUUUCUUUACCUUGCAGUUUAUAUAGUCUUGCUGUUAAUGAAUUCGCGGAGGCAUUAUUGAUCCAAUCUCAGUGAAGUAAUUGUGGGUGGAAAAUGAAUAAAGGGUAAGAGAACGUAGCUCAAGUGCUGAAUUGGCUAUUAAAGAAGAGUGUCACUUGAUCACAAUCACAUUGAUGCACAACUCACUCGAGGCAAAUUUCAUCUAUAUAUGUACUGCAAAUUCAGCCAAACCAUACAUGCAGGAACAAAACUAAAAUGUAGUUCUAAUCAAAACUGUAAUUAAAGCUACAAAAGGCUUGCUCAAUCCAAAAACUUAAAAGGAAGAUUUUACUCAAGUUUGUCCCCAAAAGACAGCUGAAUUGAAAAAUAUUGACUAUUGAAUCAAUGCUCAAUUACAUUUGAAAUGGAAAGCUUGGCUGCAGUUACGAUGUUUUUCCCUCUGAUUUUCUUCCAAAACAAAUUCAUUUGUAAACAAUAACGGAAGUAGCAAUAAUUUAUUCAUCAAAGAAAAUAUCCAAGUUUUCAACUAACAAAUCCUUUUGUCUAAACUAAAAAAACUUAUAUUUUUAAAAUCUAUCUACAAAAUGUUGGAAAUAAAGAGUGAUCUAUCAACUCGGUAAAUAAACUCAUACAUAAUGUUUACAAUAAUGAUAAAUUACAUAAUAAUUAUUAUAAAGAAUCAUAAAUUAGAAAAAUAUUUUAAGAUCAAAUUGCCUUCAAUGCUGAAUUACAUUUGAAAUGGAAAGCAUGGCUGCAGUUACGAUGUUUCCCCCUCUGAUUUCCUCCAAAACAAAUUCAGUUGUAAACAAUAACGGAAAUAACAAUAAUUUAUUCAUUACUCAAAUUUUUUCAACUAACAAAUCCUCUUGUCUAAACUAAAAAAACUCAUAUCUCUAAAAUCUAUCUGCAAAAUGUUGGAAAUGAGGGGUGAUCUGUCAAUUCGGUAAAUAAACUCGUGCAUAAUGUUAACAAUAAUGAUAAAUUACAUAAUAAUUAUUAUAUAGAAUCAUAAAUAAGAAAUAUUAAUCAUUUCACAAUCUAUUACGUAAGUAAGAUAAAUUUCAUAAUAAGUUAAGUUAUAAUGUAAUAAAUAUUUUCAAUAUGCUAAGAUAGGAUUGGUCCUAUCUCAAAGUAGUUAGUGGUGUAAAACUGAUGGUUGUCGAAGCCAGCAAAAAUAAAUACCUACUCUAAAUAAAUUGUGUAUAGUGAUUGAGCAGGGUCGUGUCCACAGAGAUCGGUAAUUAUUUAAAUCAUUUUAAAAUGUAAAAUGCAAAAUGGGGGAAUUGUUGACAAUAAUAAAAAUCAAAUUAAAAUAACAAGAAUGUAAAUUAAAAUUGUAAUUCAAAUUGGGGAAAAAGUAGUAUUAGACUUCAGAAAGCUAAGGUUGUUAUGUUAAAGAAUUCAUAUUGACAUAAUUUUAUUUUGGCUUUCGGGGAAAAAAAUAUUUGUUGACAAGCAAGAAAAUAUUUUUGUAUUUUACAAUUUAUUAUACAUAUUUGAUCAUAUUAAAGUAAUUUUAAUAAUAAAUAGACACAUAAUAUUACAAUAAAUAAAGUAAAGUUUAAAUUAUUUUGAAUAUUAUAAAAAAUAAUUUUACAUUUGAAAUGGAAAGAGUGGUUUUAAACACCAGAAAGCAAAGAUUAUUCUGUUAGACAAUUGUUAUUGACAUAAAAAAUAAUUUGGUUUUCAAGGAAAAAAAACAUAUUUGUUGACAAGCAUGAAAUUUUUUUUUUGUAUUUUACAAUCUGUUAUUACAUAUUUUAUCAUAUUAAAGUAAUUUUAAUAAUAAAUGUAUAUGUAUCUAGAUUGUAACUAUAUUUUAAAAAAUAUAAUUUUUUUAAUUAUUGCACAGAAAAUGUAGAAAAAUGUCUAUGAAAUAAUAUUAUUAGGACUAAGAAAAAAUAUUAUUUUAGAUAAGUUAUAUAUUUAUUAUUGAAUGAAUAAUUUAUUAAUUUAUUGAUAAAUAAAUAUUUAUUAAUUUAAAGAGAGAUUUUUUUUGGUUUUAGUAAUAGUUUGUUUGUUACAUGUACACACUUAUAAAGAAACACAAAAAGUGCUUGCUCAAGUCAAUAGUAUUUGCUUUAAUCGCUACUGUUCAUAAUAAUGUAGCUAAGUUAGGAAAUUUGUAAUUAUACUAUGGUUCUGUUUUGUAACGCCCAAAUUUCUAUUAUUUUAUUUUAUUUUUAAUGGAAUUUAUAAAUGGCGUUACUGCCCUUAUAAAAAGGGUUAUUCAUGGGAUAAUUUUUAGGAAAUGGUUAUUUUUCCAAAUUCAAUAGGGUUUCUUAAGACUCCCUAUAAAUUAAUAUUUUUUUUCCCUUCGAUACUCGAAGUCCACGACGAUUCUUCUUCUUCUCUGCUGCUCAUUAUGCUCCUACCCAAACCCUAGGAUUCAAACUUUUGCUUAGGAGAGAAUCAAAGCGAUUGGUGUUGGAGGUGAUUGAGGCUCUUAGAGGCUUAGAGGUCUGUUAAUUCAAAUUCUUUUGUCGAGAUAAGUAAUUUCAUUCCUAAUAUACUGGAUAUGUAUAAGUAUUUUGAUGUUAUUAUAAGAGUUUUUAUACUUCUUAGAAGAUUAAUAGAUUUUCAUACCAAAAUCAGUUUAUGAAAAUGUUUUCAAAUCUGAAUUCUUUUGAUAAAAUAUUUUAUAAAUGCGUUUUAAUAUGUAAAUUAUUUUAUGACAUGACUGCCUUUUAUAAUUUUGUCUAUGAAAUAUUUUUGCAAGCCUAAAUUGUUGCUAUAGACUUUCAUGAAUCUAAUACGAAUGUUUUGUGCCUAUGUAUGAUUUUAAUUAUUUAUGACUGUACGGGGGCCACCUCUUGAGACUAUAUGGGGGCCACCUCUUGAGGGCCAAAGCGCCGCAAAGUGCCACAUAUAGUGCAAAGUGCCACGUAUAAGUCAUUAUGUUUUGGCUCAUUGUCCGUAGUUAUUCUGAUUCUAAUUCUGAUUGUAUUAUACGAUAUAUUUGUUCUGGACUAGUACUAGGUUUAUGUUCUAAGUGUGCACACGAUAUUCUGAUUCUGUUUCUGGUCAGGUCACCGAGACUAUAGGUGAUACUAUGUGACAUGAGCUAACUAUCUGCUUUCUGUAUACACUUUAUACGAUUUGCUUUCAUAAUUGAUUAUUCUUUUGAUACUCUGAAUUACCAUGAAUUUAUGUUAUAUAAUUGAAAUAUGUUGUUUUAUGAAGUUUAUGAGUUAUAAUAUAUGUUUUUGAAUAAAAGAAGGCUUGCAAUAUUUUUGAUAUCGAUAGGCCUAGUGUAUUAGGAAUGAUUUUACCUACCGAGUUGACAGCCCACCCCUCGUUAUUACUUUUUGCAGAUUAAGUUCCUUUUAAGAGGUAUGCGUAGCUUUGGAGUUAGAGAUUUCGUUUCCGUUUGCUAUUUGAAUAAGAAGAGGAAUAGACUCAUGUUUCUUUUUAGUUUAUUUCUGUUAUGAACUUGUAAUUUGGAGUUUGAGACUUUUGUUAUUGUUAUGUUUUGGAAGAGAUUAUUUAGUGUUAGACGUAUUAAUUUGUGGAUUUAUUUGAAUAAGAAUUUGAGGUAUUUGAGUUUGGAAUUUAUAAGUAAGGAUUACGAUUUGUAAGUAACCUCCUUCUUCAUGUGCUCCGCACGUGUUAGAUUUGGGGUGUCAUAUGUUUCGUAUAACUUUUGAAGUAGAGCUUAUUUAAAUAGAGUAUUCGUCAAUAAAGCUUCUAUAAAUAAAGAUUUUACUAAAAAAAAUUUAGUUGUUUGGUUGUCAAUGUCCAAAUUGACGAACUUUUGUUCCUUUGCUAACAUGUAUUUGUUUUAUUUAAUAAUAGAAGUUUGGUUUACAAUUACACCACCUUCAAAUCAGCUGAGCAUUUUUGCAACCGGUCACAUUAUACAUUAUACUAAUAGCAUCGGCAAGAGUUUUCGAUUGUUGCAACUUGCAAUGGACGCGAUGGGAGAAAAUGAGAAUCUUGUUUAAUUGCAAUAUUGACAAACCUAAUCCUUUCGUAGGGAGUAAUUUAAUAAUCGCUUGUUAUAAUUGAAUAUGUAUAAAGAAAGGAAAAUUCUAUUCAUAGAUUUCGACUUAUUUUUUGUUUAAAGUAAUUAAUCAUUCAACCAUCUUCAUUUGCCUCUGGCCAAUGCCCUUGUAGAUUAGUUGAACCGUUAAUUACUUAAUUCAGAUAAUUACAGUGUCCUUUUCGCUAAUUAAUUAUGAUUAUAUACGCUUUCAUAUAGCAAGUGGCUUUGUAGAUCUAAACCAAGUUGCUAUUUCAAAACGUUAAUUAAGUGAUUCUCCUCAUUGUCAUCAGCGUUAUACGCUCUAGGAAAAUAGCUCAAUUGUUUCCCUGCAUUGAUUUUCAUUGGUACGUGAUUUCUUAUGAAAUUCUUUUGAGCUUUCCUUAUUAAAAAUGCUUGAGCUUUUAUCACCCAAUACGGAUAUCAAUUAACUUGUGAACGAUUUUGUAAUGAAACUAGGAGUUAAAUAAGAUUUUUACAUGAUGAAUUUUUAUUUUUUUAAUUUUUUGAUGUAGUCAAUUUGCUAAUUUUAUGUAUUUCAUAUUCAACGGAAUUUGGGCACGGAAAGUUUGGAUUCUAAUAUUUAUAUGUUUAGCUUUAAUCAGUUUGACUUUCGUAAUCUUUUUCCCCUCAUCAUUAAGGGAUUCAGAAUUAGAGAAACGUUAGGAAGAGGAAGAAAAUAAUUUCGGAAAUAAGUAAGAGGGAAAAAAUUAUCAAAUUAGGAAUGAUUUUUUGUAGAGUAUGUUGCGUUUACUAAAAUGAAAUCGAAAUGAGCUGGAAUCAGAAUGGAUAAAAAUGCGAAUGUGCUGGAAUAAGAAUAAGUAAUGAGAAUCAGAAUAAGUUGUUUACUUGAACUGUAAGAAUCGAAAUCGAAAUGAGCUGGAUUGCAAUUACUUUGUCCUACAAUUAGAAUCAAAAUGAGUUAGAUUGUAACAAAUUACUAAAAGGUACUUAAUGAAUUAUUGUCAUAAUUAUUAUUUUAUAUUUUAAUUAUAGUGAUUAUUUAUUCUAAAUUAUUAUUAUUAAUUAUUUUCAAUAAUAUAUUAAUAUGUUAAUUAAUUUUAAAAAUUAUUAAUUAAUUUAUUAUAAUAAUAUACUAAUUAAUUAUAAUAAUUAUAUUAAUAAUUAUUAUAAAAAUAUAUUAAUUAUUAAUAAUGAAAUUACUUAUUUAAUUAUAAUAAUAUAUUAAUUAUUGUGAUUAUUUAUUCAAAAAUUAUAAUUAUUAAUAAUUAUUGUUAAUAAUGUAUCAAUAUAUUUUAUAUUAUGAAAUUGUGAUGUAUUGUAGACAAAUAAGGGAAUUUGGUACAAUAAAUUCUUAAUAUCUUAGUACAAAGUAUGGUACAAUGAUAUUUUAACUUAUUGUAGACAGAUUAAAUUUCGACACACUUAAUCCAUAAUAAAAUUAGUGGAAAAUAAUGAUAAUUUAUACAAUUAAUCUUUUGAGCAAUAAAAAAAUAAAAGAAAAAGAAGUUACUAAAUUAUGUUUACUGUUAAGAGUGAAUCCACAAUCCUAAAUAAUUUAUUUCCAUCGUUUCACUUAAAUUAAAUAGUGUGAAUUUAAAUUCUAAUUUUUUGAUAAAUUAAAAAGAAAUAAAAAAUUAAAAUUUUUCUCUAUGGAUCGACCUCGGAUUGAUCAAUUUAUUUCAUAACAACACACUUUUAUACUUGAGAGUUAUAAAUAACUUUGAAGUUGUGUUAAGUUUUUGACGCUCUUACGGGGGAAAAAUAUUUAUUUUAUUUUAUGUAUGGGUCAAACUUGAAAGUAUAUUUUAAGAUAGCUGCUAAUAUGCUCUAUUAGACAAUGAUAACGUAGUUGUUUGUGGUGUUCAUAAUGAGUUUAAUUAUGAUUCAACAAUUUAAAAUAUGAAAACAUAUGGAAGAUGGCCGUAAUUAAAUUGAUUGCAUGAAAAUAUUUCAAUGAAAUUUUAAAAAUUUGGUACUUAUUAUCUUAUCAAAAGUUUUUUAAAUUAUAUUACUACUUCAACUUAACUCCUCCUGGAUUGAUUGUAUUGAAUUUCCAGCACCGCCAUUGCUUCUACUUGAAAGCCAUUUAAGUUUGUGUAAGCUACCUAUAGUUUGAAUAACAAUUUACUCAUGAAUUGCUGUUCAUGAUAACAAUUUGAUUGAAAGUGCGGCUGCACUAAUUGUUCUCGUACGACCCCAGAAUGCUGUUAAAUCAGUUGUAUUGGAAAUUAAUCAACUGGUUACAACUCUACACCCCAUCAAUAUUUAAGCAGUCCACAGAACAUUAAUUGUGUUUUGAAAUUUUAAUGAGUCUCACGUGUUUUUCACGUGAUAUGCAGUAAAAACAAAAUUAAAAAAAUGAAAACAUUCAGCCCCAAAGCCAAAAUCCCCAACUCCUUCCAAAUUGGUUCCGCAGCCCCCAAAUCCCUUAAACCCAAAGCACUCUAAAACGACUCUCCUCAGCCAAAAAGAAAAAGGUCACCUCACCUCUCCUCUUCUUCUUCCAUGGCGAUCAACGGCGGCACAAGCACGGGCUGAUCUCCUUCGUCAGUAACGAUCAACGGCGGUACAAGCAUGGACAGAUCUUUUUUUUGGCAAUGAUGAACAGCGGCACAAGCAGAGUCGUCCUCAGGUACGGAUUUGAUGUUGGUUGUGUUGUCAAGUAGCGAUUCAUGUUUGGAAGAGAAUCCGCUCACAAGGACCUGGAGCACUUAAUCGAAGAUCUUAAGCGAGGAAUUCGCUUCCUCCUCAUUCCUAAUCGGUGCCUGAUUCAUCAGUAUGAUUAAGGAUGAAAAUUGAGAAAGAAGGACGCAUUAGGUUUGAGACAUUGGUUGAAAAACGCUACCCCGGUGGCCACGCUGGAAACAUAUGUUCCGUGGCUUCUUGCGUUGUCUGUGAGGAAUAUGUACUGCUGUAGAAGAUAAUUAUGAAUCAAUGGUAAUUGGCGUGUUGGUUUUGGUGCCGAUUUCCUCUUAUUUUCCAGAAAAGGCUUGUAAUUUGUUCACCUCAAGAUUCAAUUUUGUUAUUGAAAAUGGAUGGCUGUAAAGACCUAUUGGCCUUUCAUUAUAUUAAUGUUUUUGACAGUAAGUUUGUAAUAGUUAGUGCAGGGAACUUAUUGAUUCUUGAUUAUAUAUAACGGUGGCCCUUAUUACUUUAAAAAAAAAAAAAAAAUUGAUGAUGGGUUUCGUUUUGUAUAAGUGUUUGGAGUGUUGGAAAAUUAACAUUGUAUAUUUUAGAUAGUUGAGUUCCAUAGUAAUAAAAAGCUACGGAUUUGUUUUCUUUUUAUUGAAAUGAAAACAUUUUUCACUUGUAUAAUAGAAAAUAUACUAUAUCUUUAAUACUUUUGUCAAAUUUAUUAUUUAAAAUUUAUAUUUACUACAUAUUAUUAAUUUUUGUUUCAUAGUCAUAGCUUUUUUUCCACAGUAGCUGUAGCUUAAAAGAUACAGCACCUCAAUUCCAAACGCACUCUAAUUAAAAAUUUUAGAAUUUUUGGGCAUGGAAUUGAAAAGAGUAGUAUUAAACAUCAGAAAGCUAAGGUUGUUCUGUUAAAGAAUUGAUAUUCACAUGAUUUUAUUUUGGUUUUUGGGGAAAAAAAAAAUUGUUGACAAGCAAGAAAUUAUUUUUAUAUUUUACAAUUUAUUAUACAUAUUUUAUCGUAUUAAAGUAAUUUUAAUAAUAAAUAGAAGCAUAAUAUUAAAUAAAGUUUAAAUUAUUUUGAAUAUUAUAAAAAAUAAUUUUAAUAUUAUUAAUAGGAAGACAUUUUGUUAAUUUUAAAAUCUUUUUAACCCAAAGGUUUAUUUAAAAUGUUUAUUAUAAAUAAAGAUAUAAAAUUAAAUAUCAUAGUGUAAAAUUUUUAAUAUUAUUUUAAGUAUUAAAAAUAUUUUAAUGUUAUUAGUCUACUACAUAGAUCAUAUUACUUAUAUUAUAUUUGCAAUGAUUAAAAAAUUUUAAAAUCAAUUUUCUAGUUACUAUAUUCGCGAAAUAUUAUGGUUAAAGAAAAGACCUUGGUGUUACUUUUUACAAAUUUGAGUGCCUGCAUGAUAAUUUUUUCAAAAUUUAAGAAUGUAUGUGUCCUUUUCUCCAAUAAUUUAUUUCACUUUUGAGGGGAAUCCAAUGAGAAAUAUGAUAAGAGAAUGUCAAUUACUUGUCAUUUUCUAUUUUUUCUGUAAGCUAUUUAUUUUGAGCACUGGUGAUCUUGUCUUGACUACUCCAAUUAUUGAUGGAACUCCAAUGGCUGCAUCCACAGUUGAAUAUAUGAUAGUGUUAGCUCUUAUUUGAGAAUUCAGAGGGAUCUUUCUAUGUUUAUCAAUUGCAAUGUGCUAGUAUAAAUUUCUUUACCUUACAGUUUAUAUAGUCUUGCUGUUAAAGAACUCACUGAGGCAUUAUUGAUUCAAUUUCAGUGGAGCAAUCGCGCGUAGAGGAUAAAUAAAGGAUAACAGAACAGAGCUGAAGUGCUAAAUUGGCUAUUAAAGAAGGGUGUCACAUGAUCACAAUCACAUUGAUGCACAACUCUCUGGAGGCAAAUUUUGUCUGUAUGUUCUCUAAAUUCAGCCAAACCAUACAUGCAUGAACAAAAAUUAAACCGUAGUUCUCACCACAACAGUAAUUGAAGCUACAAAAGCCAGCAAAUCUGAACAAAAACUUAAAAGAAAGAUCUUAUUCAAAUUUGUCCCCAAAAGAGUGCUGAGAUGGAAAAUAUUGACUAAUGAAUGGGUCAAUGCUGGAUUACAUUUCAAAUGGAAAGCUUGGCAGCAGUUACAAUGUUUCUCCCUCAGCUUUUCCUCCAAAACAAAUUCAGUUGUAAACAAUAACCGAAGUAGAGAUAAUUCAUUCAUCAAAGAAAAUACCCAAGUUUUCAACUAACAAAUCCUUUUGUCUAAACUAAAAAACUCAUAUCUCUAAAAUUUAUUUGCAAAAUGUUGGAAAUGAGGAGUGAUCCGUUAUCUCCGUAAAUAAACUCAUGCAUAAUGUUAACAAUAAUGAUACAUUACAUAAUAAUUAUUAUAAAGAAAUAUAAAUUGGAAACGCUAAUCAUUCUACAAUCUAAUAAAUAAGUAAGAUAAAUCUCGUAAUAAGUUAAGUUAUAAUGUAUAAAUGUUUUUAAUAUAUAAUUAUUUAAGAAGUCAUUUAAUAAUAAAAUAUUUAUUCUAUUCAGUUGAUCAUAUAGCGUUAUCGAAACUCUUGACGAUAUUAUUAUUACACUUUUCUCAAAAAAACAUGAUUAACAUUUAGAGAAAAGUCAUGCCUUUUAGAUAGAAUAUGUACAUAAGCUAUCCAUAUUUUAUCUUACCAUGAAAAAAUUGAUGGUGAUUAAAUCUACUUUUAAAAUAGAUUUAAUGCACAAAUAUGAUGAUUUUUGGCAAAAAUUAGUUUCGGAAGAUACAAUGGUAGAAAAUAGUGAUGAUUAUUGUUUAAAUGUGUAAAUAGCCUAGGCAUAGCCCGUAAUACCAAUAUCCAUUUACCUUCAUUUAGAUUAUCACAUCUCAUGAUAUUUUUUCAUUCACGACCAUUGUUCGAGAUUUGAACUUGAUCAUAAAUUAAGCUGCAACGGAGUUACUUAUGUUUCUAAGCUUUUCAAUCGCGAUUCCUCCAUGCCUUUCUUGGAUACCAUUUUACUGACCUUGUAAUUGGUGUGUAUAAGGAGUCAUGCCCUUUCAGGAUCGUUUUCUUUUUUUUUUUUCCUGAUUGUAGUGUCAAAUAAAUAAAGAACGAACAAUUGAACUUAGUCUAUUUCGAGGAAAACCAAGGCCUGCAAUAUUAGAUGAACUUUGAACAAAAUUAAUCUACUAUUCUACAUCCCCACCAAAAUUUAAACAGUCGACAUUGUGGAAAGAAACACAUUUCGCCACUAGGCUUUUAGUGAGGCUAAUUUCUCUGAAUUUGGACAGAGUAGGUCCUCCAACGAGAACUGAAUCAGGACGAAUCGGCUCUCCAUUUUCUAAUUCGAACGAGCAAAGGAAGCCUGAAUCUGUGACCGUUAUCAAUACUCUGCUUCUAUUCUGAUUCUCAGGAAGUACUUCUUCAAGAUCAUCCAAUACAUCGUCACCCUCUUUGUACUAAUCAUCAAGCACAAUAAAGUACUUCUUGUUUGUUAGGUAAUCUCGAAGAAUAGAUUUCUUCAAUUGAUAAUCUUCACCGAUAAUUACACUAACCCGAGAUGGAGGCAUCACAGACUUGAUUAUGUCAUCCAAUACCAUGCGAAAAUCGUAGGAUAUAGAAACCCUGACCCAAGCAUGACAGUCAAAAUAGAACUUGACGUGAUUAUUGUUGUAAGUAUCAGCAGUAAAAGCAGUCUUAUCGAAGCUAUUGAUGUCUUUCAGAAGCUCCCAAAUGUCUGUUCUUUUAACAUUUUCUAAGUGCAAGAGCUGCCGAUAACGCGAAGGUAUUUCAUCUUCAUCGAAUUGUUCUCUAAUGAGUUGAAUUAAAACUCGAGCCAUGUCAGCUUCAUAGUUUCCCAGCAGAGUAGUGGCUAUAAUUUCGGACUCCGUAAGAAGGUUUUGAAAAAGUGGAGUUAAAUUUGUUGAAUCAGGCAAAGUUAACGUGCCUUCUUCACCUGCUAACACCAGUUUCAACCUCUCACAAAAUAGUGUGAGGUUAAUUUCCAUAUCUUUCCCUCUCUCAGUAGUACUCAGAGGUACGUAUUGUUAUUUGUUAGUGUUGAUGACGAAAGCUGAAUAAUCAAAACAACAGUGUACACAAUCAACAGAAGGCGAAGUAUGUUAAGUUGAGAUCAAAGGAUAUAAAUGAAGGAAAAGUUUAAGUACUCCGUUGAAAGCCAAAGUUGCUUUGGCCAAUUAAUUUAUAAGUGAAGGAAAGAAUAAAGUUAGUCCUCGAUGUCUUUUGAAAUUAGAAAUACAUUUUGAAUGCUUUAAUAGAUGCAGAGCAAGCUGGCUCGAUGUCUAACUAUUUUAAGAGCUAAAAUCAUUUAUUAGAAGUUGUGGCAUUGAAAAAAACUGGCUUGAUAUCCAAUUUUGUUAUUUAAUGUCUCACGUGAGAGUAAAUAACUGUUGUGUUACUGGCAGAUGAUUGAGACGGACAAGUUUGGAACAUUGUUCGAGACUGAAACUACACAUCAGUCUUAGAAAAUUGUAAUUUUGUUGAAAAAUUAUAGAUUGAAAAAUUAUUGAGACGGACAAGUUUGGACCAUUGUUCGAGACUGAAACUACACAUCAGUCUUAUAAAAUUGUAAUUUUGUUGACUUAUCAUGAUUUUGAUUGCCUCCCAUUGAUUUUCCUAUGAUGUCUCUGUAGAGUGGCUAUGCUUACAUUUUUAGGUAUUUAAUUCUAAAAAUUAACUUAUUAGAUGGAAGGAUCAAUUCUACCUGUAAAUCUAAGUGGCUUCCCUUUACUAACUCAUAUAAGACACAACAAUAAUUUUCUUCGAAAAAAACCACCAUCGGAGGGCUAUUUUCGUUCAACAUACAUGAGUUGUUCCGCCACCAUAUUUUGAGGGUUUGCUUCUAAUACAACUUGGGGAAGCUAGGGGUAAGAUUUCCAAGUAUCAACAUAAAAACCUUGCCGAUUGGAUAGAAGGACCAAUCUUACUUAUAAGUCUAAAUGACUAAUUUUUGAGGACACAACUCAACAGACCAAUAUAAACUUUUGGCGUCCCAUUUUAUUACUUUUCAGUGCUUUACUUUUGCUGUCUAUAGCCCUACUAUUCUAUUAAGCAGAAAAUAUUAUCUAUUUUCUUUCCAUUUUAUGUAUACCCCGAUCUUUACCUCUGAUUGGUUGUAGAUUCUUCUGUCGCUUUGGGGUUAGGGGAUGGUUUUCAUCAAGAAAUGAUAAAGGAUUGUUAGUUGUGUGACAAACAGCAUUAAUAUGAAGGAUGAUGAUUGUUCUUUUCAAGAGUUUAUAAUGACAUAAUUCUGCUUUGGUCUUUUAAAAAAAAGUAAUUUAGAAAUGAGGAGUAUGUGAGUGAUGAUUUUUACAAAUAAAUUGCAUGCGUAGUGAUGAUUUUGACACAUGAAAAUGUAAAAAGAAAUAUAACUUGUGAAUAAUAAUCGAAGUACCCUGCUAUUGUUAUAUUGAGUAAUCAAGGACUUCGAUAUUCGGACGAUACAAGCAACACAAUCAAAUAUUAGUUGGAAGGCAUAGCAAAAUUAGAAUGUAGAACAAACUGGGUAUUGAUAAAUGGAUGGUUUUGGAAGAAUUGAAAAUGAUGGCAAAAAAAAAACAAAGUUAAGAGAAAAGAGAAAGAGCAUUUGAACUUUACUUGUAAGUAAAGGCAAAUAUCUUGGUUCAAGAAAAGAUAAGAGAUAUCAAACUAGCAAUAGGAAAAAGGAGGAAGGUUAAGACAGCAUCUUAACAAAAGCUAAAGAAAAGAAAAACUUAGUUCAAGCAAAGAACAAUGUGCUAAUGUAGUGUAAUCUUGUUUAAUUUCUUUUUCUUCUCACAUUUUCCAGGGCUUAAAUAAUACAAUGUACAUUUUCAAGCAAAGAACAACAAAUAAAUAAUACAAUAUACAUACCCAGUAAAUUAAAAAAAAUAUAUUAUUCAAGUUUGUGGACAAUACUGUAGCCAUUGCGUCGUCGAAAUCUACUGACAGCUGAAACAAAGAAAGAAUGGAUGAACGCUGGAUCACAGUUGAAAUUGAAGGUCUGGUAGGUGAUGUUUCCCUCUCUGAUUUUACCUAAACAAAUACAAGAAAAUAAGAAUCACGAAUGAAAAUCUGUUAUUACACUGUUCUUACUUAUUAAAAUACAGAGGUUUCUUUGUUUCUCUGCAGCAAUGUCCAUGGCUAUUAGAAACAAGAACAAUUAGACCAGCAUUUGCAAGAAUCUUUUAAGGUAUUACUGCAGAUAUAAAUCGACUGAGGAAAUGGAAAAAUUGAAUACCAAAUUAGGCAAGUUAACUGAAGAUUCAGUUAUCAUAGAAGAAUAAAACUCAUCCAAUUCAAUCCAUCAAAUUUCAUUAAGCAUUUCCAGAACUCUUGAUUUUCUUUCUCAGUAGCCAAACAACUUCAAUCUCAUUUUUUUUUUUCAACAAUGAGUUCUCAAACCACUCUGGUAUCAUUUUAAGACAUUCUCGGCCUUGUACUCACCAUCAAAAUGGAUUGGUUGAGAGAAAACAUAGGCAUAUUGUUGAAUUAGGUUUGACUCUGUUGGCUCAAGCUCAACUUCCUUUUAAAUUCUGGUGGGAUGCAUUCCAUACUGCCCUAUAUCACAUCAAUAGAUUACCAUCUUCUGCUUUCAAACUUUCGACCCCAUGUGAGAAGAUAUCCAAGCACAAACCUGAUUAUGAUUUUCUCAAAUGUUUUGGUUGUAUUUGUUAUCCUUACUUGAGAGACUAUAACAAACAUAAGUUUGCCUAUCAUUCCAGUAAGUGUAUAUUCAUUGGUUAUAGUCCUUCACAAAAGGAUUAUAAAUGCUUACAUUCUUCAGGUCAAGUCUAUGUGGCAUGACAUGGUAUCUUUGAUGAGUCAACCUUUCCUUAUGCUACUGAAUCUGUUUUUCAUAGUCACACAAAUUCUGAUUCUCAUUCUUCAAAUUUAUUUACUCCACAGCAUGUCUAUUAUCUUUCUACUUUACCUGUCAUACCAGUAUUUCUAAAUAACAACACUGAUAAUCUAAACUCUACAAAACUAAAAUGCCAGCUGUUUGGUGUUAGCGAUAAGAAACAACUUACCACAACCAUUAAUUAUCCAUAAUUUCAUUGUUUAUCCUCAGUUUUCUUCAUAAAUGUUACAGCGUUCUUCACAACAAAGUGCAAGGGCAUCUCAAAAGUUCUGAAAUAAUACCUCAAUUCUAUUGCAAAAAUAAAUAAUCUCAAACAAGAACCAAUAAUCAUAUUUCGUUACUGUCAAACACAAUGCAUCUGAGCAAAACAUUGGAAGCCAACACCAGAAUACAUAUGAAUAAACAAUUAAAGAUAGAGAAAAAAGGCUUAAACCUUGGGGGAAAAAAGUGAAAAAACAUGAAAGACAAAUUACACAUGUGCAGUAACCAUCGAACUUAUCAGUGACAGCUGCAUCCAUUACAUUGCUCCAACAACACAAUGGCAAACCACCAGUUUCAAAUUGAGGAUAGCUAUUGAGAAUGAGAAAGUGUCCAAAACGCCAUAAAUAGACAUGUUCCUAUUAUGCAUAAUUUACAUUAUAGGCAAAUAUUCUUAUACCAUCAAAAGCAAAACAUGACACUAUAACAAUUGACUCCCCCCCCCCCCCCCCCCCCCCCGCACACAAAAAAAAAGGAAGAAACAAUACCGAAAAGAUUGAAACAGGUAAGGCUACACUGAGCACAGGAUGCCAUGAAACAUAAUCCAGGAACCAAAUUAAUAAAGAAGGAAGGCAAACCAUUAUUUAACAAUCUGUUUUGUAUUAGGGAAAGUCCGAUAAAAUCUACUUAGGGAUAAUUAGAGAACCUCAACUAUUAAUCACACCUCAUAAAUGAACUAACAUUAACCAUGUACCAUCCCCACAUCAGACAAACAUUCUCUAUACUUCUGAACCUAAUACUUCCAUCUUCAAUUGGGGUUUUUUUCUUUUGUGGGGGGGGGGAUAAGCUAUCGUUUUUCUAAGCUUGCUUACCUUCUGUGUGGGACUGAAAUACUGAUUUCGAAUCAUUAACAGUAAAAUUGGAAGCUCAUGAAAAAACAAUUUUAUCUUUUAACAAAAGUUAAAAUUACAUCUCCAUAUAAAUUCUCUUUUCAUUUCCUUCAAUUUUCUAAUUAAGCUUAAAAAAAUGUACCUUCAACCACAAAGGGGUUUAAAAUUUAAAAUAUAUAAAAAAAUAAAUUCAGAUAACAAUAAUUAAUUUAAUUAAAAAUAUAAAUAGAGAUUACAGAGAAAGAAAAAAUAGAGAAAGACCUGAUGUUGAGAGCAUCGACGGCCGGCAGUGACCGGCGGAAGAUGGCGAGAGAUGGCGGCGUGGGCCAUUGCUUGCGCAUCAGUGAGUGUCUCGAGUGAGAGAGUGAAGGUAGGGAUGGCAAUGGGGAGGGAGGGAGGGUCCAAUCUCUCUGUACCCAUCUCCCAAUUUGUCCCCGUCCCUCCCCGUCCCCAUUUGCUUAGAAUCUGUCCCCUACUCGAAUAAUAAUUCUCGAAUAAUAACAUAAAAUGCUCGAGGUUCUCGAUUUAUGAAUAAUUAAUAUAUUUUUUAUUUUAAAUUUUAAAUUAACUAUAUUAAAAUAAAAAAUUUAAAUAAAAAUAAAAUUUGAAAUAUAUUUUAUAUUAAUAUUGAUCCAUUAUAAAAAUUACAUACAAAAUAUAAAUUAUCAAAAUAAUUAUCUUUAUCAAUCUUCAUAAUCCUACAAUAAAAAGAAAAAAAAUUUACUUUUAUAUUGAUAAUAAAAUAAAUGUAGAUAAUUAAUUAAUAUUUUUAAUAAAAUAAAAUUAAAAUAAAAUAAAAUUUUUAGGCUAAUAUAAUCUACCCGACUUUUUUAAUGUGUUAAAUAAAAAUUUAAGACUUUAAUUAGUUAAUUAGGCCUAAAAGCUUAAUAAUAUAAAUAUUUUGAUAUUUAUUAUUUUUACUAAUAUUUAUAAUUUUAUAAUAUAUUCAAUUUUUAUUAUUUAUUUACUAGUAAUUUUAAAAAAUAAAAAUAAAAUUAAAAAAUAAAAUGGGGGAAAUGGGGAGGGGAUGGGGAUUCCACCUCAUCCCCGUCCCUUCCUUGUAGGGAUGGCAAAAGUUCGGGUCGGGUCGGGUCUGGGGCUGCCUGGAACUGACCCGGAUUUCACACAUAGCUGCCCGGACCCGGACCGUGCCCGGAUUUUUUCUAUGCGGGCCGGGUAUAUGGCUGGCACUAUCCGGGCACAGGUUUUUUUUGGGUUUUCUCUACCCACAUUUUCAAAACUGGCUAAAAAAAAAUUGAUAGAAAAGGCUAAAUAAGUAAACAAAAUUGCAAUUGGGCCUGGAAAUUCAUAACUUAUCCCUGAAUUAUAUAUAUAUAUAUAUAACUUCUAAUUCUUUGUUGAUACAAGUUUUUUCUAAUUCAUUAUAAAAUCACAUUAUAUAUAUUAUUUCCUCAUCAGAUAAUAAGUGACAAUUGCUCACCAGUUUAUUAACAUCUCUACGAAACCGUCUUUUAUGGCAUUAUUAUUAUUAUUGUUGUGGCUGAAACCAUGUAGUAUGUGAUUGAAGAAAUUGCAUUAAAUGUUGGAGUGGAGGUGAUGUAGGUGAGAAAGGAUUCCCUGGAGACUGUUAAACAAGACACAAGGCAUUUCCGGAAGAAAACAGAAGACAACUGGAUAAGACAAAACGGACAAAAGGGUAAGAGAGGUGGGUGGGAAAUUAAGAUAGGCAAUUUGUCCAGCAGAAACAUAAUAAUACCUCGUGGUCGUGGGUCGUGGCUGUGUUGGUGAAGUUGCAGCUGAACAAGAACAGUUGAUGCUGUCGCGUGGUGGCUGCCGUUGAGAAGAUGACCAAACGAUGAAGAGCUCUGUGACGGGAUGGUUGUGCUUUGCGAGGAGAAAUAGAGUUGACUGAGGAAGGUAAGAGGUUCGUGGAGGGAAAGGUGCGGACAACACUGCAUCAGUGCCGGUGGGUGGUGGAGAGACGGAGAGAGGUGCCGCCGAUUUGGAGAUUUCAGGGUGGGUGCUGACUGCUGCAGUGCUGCGUUGUUCUGCAAGUUGCAAUCGCGAUUUAGGGUUCAGUACCAGUUUUGGGGGCAAUUGGGCAAAGUAAAUUUUAUUUUCGCUUUUAUAUUUUCUUUUUUUUUACUUAAUAAAAAACCGGGCAUUGAAAAUCAAUGUCCGGAUCCGCUUUUUCCAUUCAUGUGGUCCGGGUAAAACCCGAACCGCACACGCCGGGUCUGGGCCGGAUCCGGUCCGGGUGGGUUUUUCUGCCACCUCUACUUCCUCGAAUAAGAAAUUUGGUAAAAAAAAUUUCCCGUCCCUUCCUCGAAUAAAAAAUCGGGUAUAAAAUUAUCUCUGUAUCCUCCCCGAAUGAGAAAAAUCCCCGAAGAUACCCAUACCUGUGGGGAUUUUUACCAUCCUUGAGUGAAGGGUUUUGUUUAGGGUUUUGGGAAAUGAAAAAUGUAAAUGUUUGAUUUUGUUGCUAGAAACUUCUUCUGCCGCUGCUUUUUAUUUUCGCUAUAAAAAUAAUAAUUUGUUAAUCAAAUAUUUUCUUAAAAAAGAUAAAUUUCUAGAACAAAAUUUAUAUUAAAUCAAAUUGUAAAAAUGUGGAAUAGGGCUAAUUUCUCCUUAAUAUUAUUAUUAGUAGAAGUAGAUUGUCGAACUAGUCUUGAUAUAUUUUAGAGUUGUAUUAUAGAUGUAUACGUAUCUAGAUUGUAAUUAUAUUUUAAAAAAUAUAAUUUUUUUUAAUUAUUGCACAAUAAAUGUAGAAAAUAUCUAUAAAAUAAUAUUAUUAGAACUAUGAUACAGCACCUCAAUUCCACAGUAGCUUAAUAUUAUUAGAACUAUGAUACAGCACCUCAAUUCCAAACGCACUCUAAUUAAAAAAUUUAGAAUUCUUGGGCAUGGAAAGAGUAGUAUUAAACAUCAGAAAGCUAAGGUUGUUCUGUAAAAGAACUGAUAUUGACAUUAUUUUAUUUUGGUUUUCGGGGAAAAAAAUAUUUGUUGACAAGCAAGAAAAUAUUUUUAUAUUUUACAAUUUAUUAUACAUAUUUUAUCAUAUUAAAGUAAUUUUAAUAAUAAAUAGAAACAUAAUAUUACAAUAAAUAAAUUAAAGUUUAAAUUAUUUUGAAUAUUAUAAAAAAUAAUUUUAAUAUUAUUAAUAGGAAGACUUUUGUUAAUUGUAAAAUCUUUUUAAUCCAAAGAUUUGUUUAAAAUUCUUAUAAUAAAUACAAAUAUAAAAUUAAAUAUCAAAAUUUAAAUUUUUUAAUAUUAUUUAAAUUUUAAAAAUACUUUAAUGUUAUUAGUCUUCUACAUAAAUUAUAUUAUUUAUAUUAUAUUUGUAUUGAUUAAAAUCUUUUAAAGUCGAUCUUCUAGUUAUUAUAUGCAAAAGGUAUUAUCAUGUUACAAUUUUUUGAAAUUUUAGGGAUGUAGGUUACGAUGAUUUAUUUCACUUUUGACAAAAUCCAAUGAGAAAUAUGAUAAGAGAAAGUCAAUUUAAUGUUCUCGACCUUUAUGAAAAAAAGUAAAAACUAAGAAUUAUUCAAUUUUAUAUUUUUUGCAUCCACCAAAUAAGUUUUGCACAUUUAUGUUAUCAUAAAACGAAAAAAAGGGUUUACCAAAAAAUGGUACCAAGCAUACCUUUAAUGUCCCACGUGAUUUCUUAUUAAGCCCAAUAUUAGAUAUAUUUAUACAUUUUACUGCAUUAAGUAUUUUAAUUAUAAAAGAAGUUGGUCCUUCCUCUAGUUACAAAAGAUAACUUUAUUUCAAGACUACCACUAAAUUCUUACGUAGAAUUAGUGCAAGGCCAAGAGAGAGUAACACAAUUUUACUUUUCCAUUACCAUUUUGAAAAUAGAAAGAUAUGGAUCCGUGUAUUUAAGAGUUAUUGUAAAAAUCAUACAAUUCAAUUUCCUGACGUGUAUUAUGUAUAUUUAGGCACAUUUGCCAAAAGCAUAAAUAGAUAGAAAGUAAAUUUACAAUCCACCCUUACUCACAAUUAUUGAAGUGAAGAUGCAUUACAACUGUCACUACUUUAACUUUAUUUAUUUAUUUGUUUUAAAUAAAAGUGUGAGAGAGACGGUGAACAUCAUGGACGAUAACAAAGGUUAAAGCCUAAAGGUGACCCAUUUUCUUUUUAAAGUGCUCUGCUGAAAGCCUAACUUCCUUUGGAUCCGCCGAAGUGGCCGAAGUGGUGGGCUGCUGCCCUCACAAGCAUUGUGAGGGCAGCGGUUCUAGCCCCCACAAAAGCAUUGUGGGGGUUAAAUGUUCUUUAUAUUUAAAAAUUUUUCUCCCUUGCGAAAUACAAGUGGAGUAUGGACAUCCCUCUCCUGUGAGGGGUUAUUUGUUUGGGCAUGUACUUCAUAGAAUUUAAUGUAAUAAUGUAAGUCCCAAUAAUGUAUAUCUGAUUGUAAAUAUCAGUAUAAUAUCUCUGCUACAAUAGCAAUUAUUGUAAAUAUUUGUGUAAUACAGUAAUCUGAUGAUUAAUCAGUAUUCAAAAAAAAAAAAACUUCAUUUGGAUCCGCCUAAGUUACUGCUUUGUAAAAUUUUAUAAAGCCCCUUAUACUCUAUAUUAUUUAUAAUUUGUUCAUAAAUAUUAUAAAACUUUCUGCAUUAUAUAAUUUUAUUGAGCCCCUUGUACUAUAUUUUAUUUCAUUGAAACCCUUAAAGUACCAAUUCGCCCUCUAUAAUUUUAAAUUACUAAAAUACCCUCCAUUUAAUUAAAAAUAUAAUGAUUAUUAAAUGAUUAUAAUUAUCUGGAGUACAAAUUCAGUAAUAAACAAUAACUAAAGUAUUAACAAUUUAUUCAUCAAAUAAAAUACUCGAGAUUUCAGCCGACAAAUCCUCUUGUCUAAACUAAAAAACUCAUAUCCCUAAAAUCUAUUUGUGAAAUGUUAGAGAUGAGUGGUGAUUUGUCAACUGGGUAAAUAAAUUUAUGCAUAAUGUUUCCGGUAUUGAUAAAUUACAUAAUAAUUAUUACAAAGAAAUCAUAAAUUGGAAACAUUAAUCAUUUUACAAUAUGUUACAUAAGUAAGAUAAAUCUCAUAGUAAGUUAAGUUAUAACGUAAUAAAUAUUUUCAACAUAUACUUAUUUAAGAAGUCAUUUAACAAUAAUAUUUUUUAUAUUUCAGUUGAUCAUGUCAUAUAGCGUUAUCUAAACUCUUGGCCAUAUUAUUAUUACUCAAUUUUCUCCCAAAAAAAAAAAAAAAAAAACAAAAACAAACAUGAUUAAUGAUUAGAGAAAAGUCAUGCCUUUUAGAAAGAAUACGUAUACAAGCUAUCCAUACUUUAUCUUACCAUGAUGGUGAUUAAAUAUAUUUUUAAAAUAGAUUUAAUGCACAAAUAUGAUGACUUUUGGCAAAAAUUAGUUUCGGAAGAUAUAGUGGUAGAAAAUAGUGAUGAUUAUUGUUUAAAUGUGUAAAUAGUCUAAGCAUAGCCCGUAAUACCAAUAUUCAUUUGCACCUUCAUUUGGAUUAUCAUAUUUUAUGAUGUUCUUUCAUUCAUAACCAUUGUUCAAAAUUUGGAUUUGAUCAUAAAACAAAACUAAAAAAUAUUAGAGAUACUAACAAUUGAGUCCCAUUUUAAGUCCCAAUACAAUGUGUUAUUUCUCAAUGUUGUGUCAUUCAUUAAUUAAGUGAUGAAUUUCAGAAUUAAUAAUUAGUUCAGACUUUAAUUAAGAUUUAAAUGUUAGAAUAUCUAGCAUCAUUCAAUCACAAUAAACAAAAUUCAAAUUGAAACGGCAAUAUUGUAUUUUCUUUAAUUAAUUUUGAUGCUGAAGCAAAUAUUUUGCUUGGGUUUUUCACUUCUUGAUUUUGAUUGGAAAAGUUUCUGAGACGAAGUAUUUUGGAUAAUUUUUUCGGGAUUGAAACCACAACUUGGUAGAGGAAAUUAGUUGGAGUAGUGAUGGCUUUGUCUUCAUUUUUGGUUCCUUUUGUGUCGGCAGCCCCUUACUAUUCUCUUGACCCUGAGUUUGAGAUAGAAAUUUAUCAACCUCCAACCCCACAUCCACAAACAAGUUGAUUGAAACAAUUGCUCUUUUAAUUAAGAGGACCCAAAUGAUUUAGGUUUCAGUUCUUAUCAUUUGUCUAUUAUUUAUUUGAAACAUUUAUUUUGAGCGUUACUGAUCUUAAUUAUCUGUAUUUCUCCAAUUAUUGAAGCAUUUCAAGUGGCCACUUUUUCUCCUUUUUAUAUAUGUUUAUUUUUUGGAGUGAUCAAACGGGGGCAAAAUCAAGUAUUCGCUGGUCUGUAGUUUAGCCAACGAUGGCUGAUCCACACAGUUGAUUAUAUGAUACUAUUAGCUCUCAAAAUCUUUCUUAUUUGAGAAUACAAGUUGCCCAAUAGAGUUGAACUAUGUUACCCAACUCCAUGCUCAUACAUUAAAUGUUUAGGUAGUUUUACAAAAUGAUAGCAGCAUGCCAAAACUUGUUGUUGUCAUUUUCGACAUUUCAAAUUGAAAAAUAUGCAAGCAAUCUUCAGUGAACAUUACGUUUUUAUUGAAUAAUUUAAAUGGCCAGUAAAUCAACAGUCCGUGAGUUUUAAAUCUAUUAUGACUUAAUGUAUCUUUCUGUAUUCGUACACAGGUUAUAUUAUCAUAGUUUAAAAUUUUAAUAUUAUUUUAAAUGUUAAAAAUACUUUAAUGCUAUUAGUCUACUACACAUGUUAUAUUAUUUAUAUUAUAUUUGUAUUAAUUAAAACUUUUAAUGUAAAUUUUCUAAUUACUAUAUUGAAAAGGUAUUAUGGUUAAGAAAAAGUUUUGGCAUUUCUUCUUGAAAAUUUGAGGGUCUGCAUGACAAUUUUUCCAAAUUCUAAGGGUAUAGGUUUGAAAAUUUAAUGUUCUUUAACUUAAUGAAACAAAAGGGGGAAACCAAGAACUAUUCAAUUUUGUAUUUUUUGUUUGUAAUUCAAAAAAUGCAUCCACCAAACCAGUUUUACGCAUUAAUGCUGUCAUAAAACAAAAAACAGUUUGCCAAAAAAUGGUACCAAACAUAUCCUUAAUGUCUCACAUGAUUUCUUAGUAAGCCCAUAUUAGAUAUAUUUAUACAUUUUAGGUAUUUUAGUUAUAAAAGAAGUUGGUCCUCCCCCUAUUUAUAAAAGAUAACUUUGUUUCGAUAUUACCACUAAACUCUUACAUAGAAUUAGUGUAAUGUUAAGAGAGAGUAAAACGGUUUUCCAUUACCAUCUUUGAAAAUAGAAAGAUAUGGAUGCGUGCAUUUAAGAGUCAUCGUGAAAAUCAUACAAUUCAAUUUCCUGACAAGAAGUUGGUCCUCCCCCCCUUUUUUUUUUUUUUUCAAUUACAGUGUGAUGGAGACAUUAAGGAUGAGCAUAAUAGUUAAAGAUGACUCAUUUCUCAUUUUCUUUUUAAAGUGCUCUGCUGAAAGCCAAACUUCCUUUGGCUAAUUAAUUUAGAAGUAAAGCAGAGAAUAAAGUCCUAGAUGCCUUCUGAAAUUAGAAAUACAUUUUAUAUGCUUUAAUUAUGAUUAUUUGGUAGACUAAAGACCUAAAAGAUAUGUCAAAAGUAUAAAACAGAGCGAUUAAAGAAAAAAGAAAAAAAAAACAGAGCAUUUGUGACGUAGAACAAUUGGUAAAUAAAUCCUAAAUAUUUGAGUUGUUAAAAGCAAAUAUAACAGAGACAGUAAGAGAGAUGCUGAAACAGAAAACUAUUAGCUUAUCUUGAUUUUCCCACUAUAUUCAUUUUCGAUGCUUUUCAAACGAGAUUCUUUUAAUUCUUCUGGUGUCUCUUAUAGAUCUCCAUCCCACAUCUGCACUACGAACAAGUUGAUUAAAAUUAAAUACUGUUGGAGAUGUGGGGUGAGCGGUCAACUUGGUAAAAAAACUAUGUGUAAUAUUGUUAAUAAUAUAAAAUAUAUAAUAAUAAUUACAAAGAAUCAUAAAUUAGAAAAAUUAUUUAUUUUACAAUCUAUUUCUUAAGUAAGAUAAAUCUCGUAAUAAGUUAAGUUAUAAUGUAAAAAAUAUUUUCAAUUUAUAAUCAUUUAAGGAGUCAUUUAACAAUAAAAUCUUUCUUUUUUUGAUCAAUUGGUCAUGGUACAGAGCAUCAUCUAUAUUCAUGGUGAUAUUAUUAUUACUCCGUAUUCUCAAAAAACACGAUUUAACAUUUAGAGAAAGUUCCUACCUUUUAAAAAGAACAUGUAUGCAACAACUACCCAUACUUUAUCUUACCACGACAAAACUAAUAGUGACUAAAUCAAUUUUCUCGAAUAAAGCAAAAUUUCUUAAAAUUAAUUUAAUAUACAAAUAUGAUGACUUUUUGCAAAAAUUAGUUUUGGAAAAUUAGUGACAGAAAAUAGUAAUGAUUAUUGUUUAGAUGUGUAAAUAGCCUAAACAUGAUCCCUAAUACCAAUAUCCACGUGCAUCUUAACACCUUUCGUCAUAUUCUUUCAUUCAUGGUCACUGGUUCAAGAUUUGAAUUUGAUCAUUAAAUAUGUUCAAUAAUAUUAGAGAUCCCAACAAUUGAGUACCAACUUAAAUCCCAAUGCUAUGUGUCAUUAACAAAUGUUGUGUCAUUUAUAAUUAUUGAAUGAAUAAUUCGUUAAUUUAUUGAUAAAUGAAAAUUUAUUAAUUUAAAGAGAGAUAUUUUUUUUUUUGGGUUUUAAGAAGAGUUUUGUUGGUACAUGUACAUACUUAUAAAGAAAUAAACUUGUAAUUAUACUAUAUCUUUCUUUCUUUAUUCAGUUUGGUGGGAUAUUGUGAUAAAUCAUUGGAUUAAAAUGCAUUUCUAAAUUAAAACUUGUUAAAAUCUAAUUUAUUUGGGAAGCGCAUAUUAUUUGUCAGUCGUACUUCUCAAGUCUCAACUUAGCAAGUUAUUUCUAACUUGUCAGUCUCUAUUGGUUCUCUAAAGCUAAUAGUCUCGAAUCUCCCGCAUUUGAUAUCUUGCCAUUAUUGUUGGCAUUAACAUGUUACCUGAGAUUGGGAUUCAUUAAAAUCCUCAAUGUAAUCGGUGGAACGAAUGGAUUUCUUCUGUUCACCAAUCCACCAAAAUUUCUGUAAUUAAAUUCAAGAGUCAAGAUCUAUGCUUAUAAUCUAUUCUAACAGCUAAUAUUCUAUUUUAUAUUUACUUAAAUAUGAAGAGCUAUGCUUGUCAUUAACUUCAAAUGUGAUCGAAGCAGCCUUACAUCUGUAUAUUACUUAUUCCCAACCUUUUUUUUUUGACUUCAUAUACUUUAUUUUCAUGUUAUUUACUCUUUUUUUCCCCUUUCUGACAAUUGAGGUAGGGGGUCAAACUUGAAAGUAUCUUAAAAUCAGACAAAUUUUUUUUUUUUUAAGAUAGCUGCUAAUAUGCUCUAUUAGACAAUGACAAGUAAUAACCUAGUUGUUUGCAUUAGAAAUGAUAUUUUUUGUGGUGCUGAUAAAGAGGUUGAUUAUGAUUCAACAAUUUAAAAUAUGAAAACAUGUGGAAGACGGCCGCAAUUAAAUUGAUUGUAUGAAAAUAUUUCAAUGAAAUUUUAAAAAUUUAGUACUUGUUAUCUUAUCGAGAGUUUUUUUAAAUUAUAUUACUACUUGAACUUGGCUGCUUUUGUAUUGAAUUCCCAGCGUUGCCAUUGCUUCUACUCAAAAGCCAUUUAAGUUUGUGUAAGCUACCUAUAGUUUGAACAACAAUUUACUCAUGAAUUGUUGUUCAUAAUAGCAAUUUGAUUGAAAGUGCGGCUGCACUAAUUUUCUAGAUGAAUUUUUUCCUACAUGCUUGUUCUCGUAUGACCCAAAAUCCUGCUACAUCAGUUGUAUUAGAAAUUAAUACUGGGUUACAAUUAUGCAUCCCCACCAAUAUUUCUUGAGGAAAGAAACUCAUAUCGCCCCUAGGCUUUUAAUGAGGCUCAUUUUUAUGAAUCUGGAUGGCAUUAGAUAUCUCUCCGAAUAUUGGUGGGAGUAUAUCGCAGAUCAAUGGGCUAUACUACAAAGUGUAUGUACGUUGACUCUCAAUAAAUACAAACGAUUCUCUGAUAUGAUUCAAAACAUCAGUGCACGCAUCAUUUUAACGAGAGAGAAUAUUCUAAGAACGAAAUUGAAGGUGCAAUCAGCAACUAAAAUGAAGCCAGAAAUGUACACGCAUGAGGAAGUUUUCCUAGAAGAUUGAUAUUUCUUUAACUAGCAAACAAUACAAGUCCAAAGCUAACCAAACCAUACCUGCAAGUCCGGGGCUUAAAUGGAGUACUUGUAAGCAUAAAACAUUAAUCAAAACACAGUAUAGACACACACACACACCCCUACAUACAUACCAGCAAAUUCGAAAUAGAAAAAGGAGUGCAACUAUUCAAGUUUGUUGACAAUAUUGCAACCAUGGCAUAUUAAAGCAAAUCCUUAAAAUCAGCUAAACGAAACAAUGCCCUGUCUCAUGAAUCGAUGCUCAACUAAAAAUUGAAAUUGAAAGUCCGGCUGGUGUUGUUAUUAGAUAGAUAUAACAAGAUCUUUCUUUGACAGUUCUUAUUAGAUAGAUAUAAAAAGAUCUGCUUUGACAGUUCUUAUUAGAUAGAUAUAAAAAGAUCUUUCUUUGUUUCUCUGCUGUAAUUUGUGGCUAUCCCACUCUGUUUUGCCAGUCAAGCUGAGUCUACGUUGAGACAUAAUUUUGACAUCAGAAGCGGCCUCAAUUAGUUUGGCAUUUUUAUAACCUCCUUGAAGGUUUUACGAUAAACAUAAAUCUACUGACAAAGUGGGCAAAAAGAAAAUGCAUGUAAAAGUAUGAGUUAUCAAAUAAGAUUAAAACUCACCCAAUUCAAUCCAUCAGAUUCCGUAAGGAUACAACUGGAUGUCAUACCGCCACUCCAUAUUCUCGAAAGUCCGUAGUCCUUGUCUCAACUGUGUCUGGGGCCAGUGUAAGUCCAUUUUUGCGCAAGCUCUUUAUGCACCACAGCUCUUCUGGAAGCUUUCUCAAGUAAGCACACGGGUUGACAAUUAAGCAUUCAAGUUUCGGCAUUGCUCCAGCCCCCAUCGUCCACUCAUCUAGCCAAUACAUUGACUUCAGGUGCAAAACCUUAAGUUCGGGAAAGCUACUCAAGCCAACACAAGCAAGCUUUCUUCCUAAAUACGAGUUCUGCUUCAGUUUCAGCACUCGAAGGCGUGGAAGAUUUUCCAGAAUUGGCAUGGGAUCCUCCAUUAGCUCAGUAUUUGAUAAGCUCAGUUGGAUCAGACUUGGGGGAAAUUGGUAUUCAGACAGGACCAUCCGUGAGGGCUUGCUCUCAUUCACCAGCUUCAAGCAUUCAAGUUUGUGGAGUUCGCAUAGGCUUUUGGAAACCCCUGAAUGAUAGCAACUCAAAUCUCCAGAUAUCCGAAGAGUUUGAACAUUAGGUAGUCUGCCCAAUAUAUCAGGAGUACAACUACUGGGGUUUAAAGUUGAUAUGAAAAUGAGAUUUUUCAGGGAGCUAGAAUAAUUUUUUGGAGGUGCGGGCAGAGUGAUAGAACCAAAGUUUAGAUGCAUGAGUUUUUGCAUCUUCCAAAUAUCCUCUGGUGACUGAUCUAUGUAGCUAGAUGGCAUUUCUAGUGUUUGAAGGUUUAAAAGGGUGCAUAGCAGUGAAGGAAGGCAUUUGAGCGAAGGGAUAUUCAAUUUCAAAUACUUCAAAAGGAAUAAAUUUUCUAAUCCGGGUGGAUAUUGGUCCAGGACUGCAGAACCCAAGUUCAGUACCCGAAGGUAUUUGAACCUUUUAAAAAAAUUCUCGCAAUCUUUCGGAUUAAGAUGAUAUCUUUUUGGACUGUGAUUGAGAAAAGAUUGGAGAUACAUGUCAGAAUGUUCUAAAGAAAGGAACUCAAUCAAAUCAUCGACAAUGAAGCACCGUUUAACAUUUGCGGGUGGUUCCUCUUCCACGUCAUGCAUCCAGACAAAUCCCGUCUUCUUUGCCACCACAAACAAUGAAGUGUAGUAUACAAUACUUGGAAAAUAACACGAUUUAAUUGUGCCUCCGGCCCUUCUUUUACUCACUUGAAUGAAGCCGCGAUGGAUUAGUUCUUUCAAGUAAUGUUCGGCAGUUUCUUCACUGUUGUAUGGUAUGAAACCUUCAGCUACCCACAAAUGAUAUAAUUGCCUCGUGGAUAUCUCAAUGCCUGGAGGGAAGACACACAAAUAGAUGCAGCAGAUUUUCAAGUGAAAAGGUAACUCCAACACAGAACAAAUUCCAAUGAAAAUUGUCGGAAUCGUUUCGCCUUGAACAUAAUUUUCUAAUGGCAUACUUCCAUAGUGUAGGAUGAAAAAUUGCCAGGCUUCAUGCUUUAAUCUGAUCAAUGGUCCUCCAAUGAGCACCGAAUCAAGCCGAAUCUUCUCUCCAUUUUCCAUUUCAAGCGACGCAAGGAGGUCUGGAUCAGUGACUGUUAUCAAUACUCUGCUUCCAUUCUGAUUAUCAGGAAGAACUUCUUCAAGAUCAUCCCAUAUGUCAAUGUUAUCGCAGACAUCAUCAAGCACAAUAAAGUACUUCUUGUUUGUUAGGUAAUCUCAAAGAAUAGAUUCCUUGAAUUGAUAAUCUUCACCGAUAAUUACACUAACCCGAGAUGGAGGCAUCACAGACUUGAUUAUGUCAUCCAAUAUCUUGCCCAAAUCGUAGAAUACAGAAACCCUGACCCAAGCAAGACAGUCAAAAUAGAACCUGACAUGAUUAUUGUUGUAAGUAUCUGCAGCAAAAGCAGUCCUAUCGAAGCCACUGCUGUCGAGAAUUGCAACCACUGCAAGCCCAGAUGGUCCCUCAAUCAAUAGAUCAAACAACUUCUCUCUGCCCCUUUCAAAUUCACUGAUAUCGAGCCGAGGUUGUCCCUCAUUCAAUAGGCGAAUGAUUUCGUUACUUUUUUCACUGAUAUCAAAACCAUUGUCGCCGGGCGGAAGUUGUUGCAUCCGAUUUCUAAUAUCAAUGAUUUCACUGUGGACAUGAAGAGCCAUAUUAGUGCUGCUUUCACUUUCGUUUUCACUGUUUUGCUGCUGCAUUAUGUUGAUGAAGAAUCUGUCAAUGGCUUCCUCAGAUUCAUGGACAAAGUCAUUGAUGUGCACCAGAAUUUCCAAAAUAUCUGGUCUUUUAACGUCUUCUUCAUCGCUUUCUUCUAAGUCCAACAGUUGCAAAAAAGGAAAAGAUAUUUCGAAGUCAUCGAAUUCUUCUAGAAUGAGUUGAAACAAAUGCCGAGCCAUGUCAGCUUCAUAGUUUCCCAGAAGAGUAGCAGCAAUAAUUUCGGACUCCGUAAGAAGGUUUUGAAAAAGUGGGGUUAAAUUUGUUGAAUCUGGCAGCGGCAACGUGCCUUCUUCACCUGCUAACACCCUUUUCAACCUCUCACAAAUCAGUCGGAGGUGGAAUUCCAGCAUUUCUCCUUCUCUCCGUAGCACUCAAUUAGAAUUAUCUUCGAAUUCUAAUUUAAUUGACUAAGUAGUUAUAGCUAUUCUAUUGAUUAGGUCUAGCUAUUAUAUUCUAAAUGAUUAAUUGAGAGGUAUAGUUGAAAGAUUAAACACCAUGGAAGAAUUUGAAAGGAAAAUGCCAAGAAACUGUGUAAGUGGCUAAAUUCCACAAAUAUGACAUUAUUGCUCAUUUUUUAACUCAAAAAAAGGGUACGCAUUCAUUUAGAGAAAAGUCCAAGACGCGUGCUUUUUAAAAAGAACAGGUAUCCAACCUCUAUCUUAUUAAAUUACAACCAUGACAUAAUUGAUGGUGCUUAAAUCAAUUGUUUCUUUUUUAAUUUAAAGAAUUUUUCAUUAAAAAAAUAUUUUAAUAUCAAAUUGCCUUCAGUGGCGUAACUGCCUCAGGCCCAGUAACAGGACUAAUUAAAAAUUUUACAAUUUUUGGGCAUGGAAAUAGUAGUAUUAAACAUUAGAAAGGUAAGGUUGUUCUGUUAAAGAAUUGAUAUUGACAUAAUUUUAUUUUGGUUUUCGUGGAAAAAAAAUUUGUUGACAAGUAAGAAAAUAUUUUUAUUUUUUAAAAUUUAUUAUGCAUAUUUUAUCAUAUUAAAGUAAUUUUAAUAAUAAAUAGAAACAUAAUAUUACAAUAAAUAAAUUAUAGUUUAAAUUAUUUUGAAUAUUAUAAAAAAUAAUGUUAAUAUUAUUAAUAGGAAGACAUUUUGUUAAUUUUAAAAUCUUUUUAAUCCAAAGGUUUAUUUAAAAUCUCUAUAAUAAAUACAAAUAUAAGAUUAAAAUAAAAAUCAUAAUUUCAAAAUUUUAAUAUUAUUUUAAAUGUUAAAUAUACUUUAAUGUUAUUAGCCUACUACGUAGAUUUUAUUAUUUAUAUUAUAUUCGUAUUGAUUAAAAUUUUUUAAAGUCAAUUUUUUAGUUAGUACAUUCAAGAGGUAUCAUAGUUAAAGAAAAGAUUUUGGUGCAACUGUUUUAAAAUUUCAGGGUAUAAAUGAUAAUUUUUUUUAAAAUUUUAAGGAAGUAGGUAUUAUUUUUCCGACAAUUUAUUUUAUUUUGAGGGAAAUCCGAUGAGAAAUAUCAUCAGAGAACAUUAAUUUAACAUUCUUUACCUUUAUGAAAAAAGUGGAAACCAAGAACUAUUCAAAUUUUUUUUUUUUGUGUAAUUCAAAAAAUGCAUCCACCAAACAAGCUUAUCAUAAUUUUCCCACUUUAUUCAUUUUCGAUGCUUUUCAAAAGAGGUUCCUUUAAUCCAUCUAGCAUCUGCAGCCCCCACUAUUUUACAAAUCUCCAUCCCACAUCUACACUAUCAAAAAAGUUGAUGGAAAUUGAACCCAUUAAGUUAUGUUCAUUACUGGUCAUUAUCUUUCUAUGAGCCACUUAUUUUGAGCAUUAGCGAUCUUCUAAGGAAUCAUGCCUUUUCAGGAUCGUUUUCUUUCAUUUCCUUAUUGUAGUAGUUAAUUAAAUAAAGAACGAACAAGUGAACUUUGUCUAUUUCGAGGAAGAACUAGGUUUCCAACACUAGAGGAACUUUGAAGAAAAUUAAUUGGAAGCCUUUAUUCAUCUUUGAAGAAAAUUACGUGCCAAUGUAACCAAGGCUUUUAUUCAUCUUCGGACUAUGAAUUUAUACAAAAACAUUAACAGAAAAUAACAAAGACACAGCUAAAUGAUAGCAACAAGUGUUGAUUUAGUGGACCACUUCUACAAGUAAAUAAAAACUAAAUAUUUAUUUAAGGAGGGCUUUUGUUAGUAGAGUUUUUAUAAAUAGAAAUUUAACAAAAAAAAAUUAUAGUUAUUUAGUUGUCAAUGUCCAAAUUGAUGAAUUAUUGUUCUUUUUGUUAACAUGUGUUUGUUUUACUUAAUAAUAAAAGUUUAGUUUACAAUUACACCGGUGUCAAAUCAGCAGAGCAUUUUUGCAGCCAGUCACAUUAUACAUUAUAUACUAAUAGCAUCGGCAAGAGUUUUCGAUUGUUGCAACUUGCAAUGCACGCGAUGCGAGAAAAUGAGAAUCUUGUUUAAUUGCAAUAAUGACAAACCUAAUCCUUUCAUUAGGAGUAAAUUAAUAAUCGUUUGUUAUUAUUGAAUAUGUAUAAAGAAAGGACAAUUCUAUUCAUAGAUUCGACUUAUUUUUUGUUUAAAGUAAUUAAUCAUUCAACCAUCUUCAUUUGCCUCUGGCCAAUGCCCUUGUAGAUUAGUUGAAGCGUUUAUUACUUAAUUCAGAUAAUUACAACGUCCUUUUCGCUAAUUAAUUAUGAUUAUGAACAUUUUCAUAUAGCAAGUGGCAUUGUAGAUCUAAACUACGUUGCUAUUUCAAUACGUUAAUUAAGUGAUUCUCCUCAUUGUCAUCAACGUUAUAAACAGGAAUUGUGCAAACAGUACACAAUGCUGCAGCAAGGCGUGGGUGGCUAGAGUUUUGCAACCACCCUUGAGAUCCUGUGCUGCCAGUAGUAAAAGAAUUUUACGCCAAUUUGGUAAGCCCUGGUCAGCACAACAUUUGGGUAAGAAACUCACUUGUUCCAUUAGACUCUCGAGUUAUAAAUGUUUUUUAUAAUUUACCUGCUGAAAUUAAUUGUGAGUAUGCCAAGUUGCUUGACAAAUUGACCCCGCAACAAUGGAACACAAUUUUCACGACACUUACGGUAGAGGGUGCAUCGUGGGCUAAUGAGGAGGGGCAUGUAAUUAACAAGAUAGAUUUAAAACCCAUUGCUAAGGUGUGGGUGAAAUUUCUAAAAUCCAGGCUUAUGCCAACCACCCACACCACUACUGUUUCACAGGAAAGGUUGGUGCUGUUAUAUGCUAUUGUUAGAGGGCUUCCCAUAGAUGUGGGAAGCAUUAUCGAAAAAGAAAUUCGAGAUUGUGCCAUGAAAAACCACAAGGCUGCUGCCUUGUUAUUUCUUUCACUCAUAACCAGCAUAUGUGUAGUAUCAGGUGUUCGUCUUGAUGCAAAGGAUGAAAUUUGUAAUUAUAUUAUGGCUCCAUUUGGUAUAACUUUUUAAUUCGAACUUAUUUAAGGAGAAUUUUUAUUAGUAGAGUUUUUAUAAAUAGAGAUUUUACUAAAAAACAAAAAUUAUAGUUAUUUAGUUGUCAAUGUCCAAAUUGAUGAACUAUUGUUCUUUUUGUUAACAUGUGUUUGCCAGUCACAUUAUACAUUUUUGCAACUUGCAAUGCAAGCGAUGAGAGAAAAUGAGAAUCUUGUUUAAUUGUCAAUAAUGACAAACCUAAUCGUUUCAUUAGGAGUAAUUUCAUAAUCGUUUGUUAUAAUUGAAUAUGUAUAAAGAAAGGAAAAUUCUAUUCGUAGAUUCGACUUAUUUUUUGUUUAAGGUAAUUAAUCAUUCAACCAUCUUCAUUUGCCCCUGGCCACUGCCCUUGUAGAUUAGUUGAAGCGUUAAUUGCUUAAUUCAGAUAAUUACAACGUCCUUUUCGCUAAUUAAUUAUGAUUAUAUACGUUUUCAUAUAGCAAGUGGCAUUGUAGAUCUAAAUUAUGUUGCUAUUUCAAUACGUUAAUUAAGUGAUUCUCCUCAUUGUCAUCAAGUGGAAAAUAGCUCAAUUGUUUCCCUGCAUCGAUUUUCAUUGGUAAGUGAUUUCUUAUGAUAUUCGUUUGAGCUUUCCUUAUUAAAAAAGCUUGAGCCUUGAUCACCUAAUACUGAUAUCAAUUAACUUGUGAACGAUUUUGUAAUGAAAUUAGGAGUUAAAUAUAUAAGAUUUUUACGUGAUGAAUUUUGAUUUUUUUAAUUUUUUGAUGUAGUCAAUUUGCUAAUUUUAUAUAUUUCAUAUUCAACGGAAUUUGGGCACGGAAAGUUUGGAUUCUAAUAUUUAUAUAUUUAGCUUUAAUCAGCUUGACUUUAGCAAUCUUUUUCCCUCAUCAUUAAGGGAUUCAGAAUUAGAGAAACGCUAGGAAGAGGAAGAAAAUAACUUUGGAAGUAAGUAAGAGGGAAAAAAUUAUGAAAUUUGGAAUUAUUUUUUGUAAAGUAUGUUGCGUUUACUAAACUGGAAUUAGAAUGAGCUGAAAUCAGAAUGAAUAGGAAUGCGAAUGUGCUGAAAUCGGAAUAGGUAAUGAGAAUAAGAAUAAGUUGUUUACUUGAACUGUAAAAAUCAAAAUCGGAAUGAGCUGAAUUGCAAUUACUUUGUCUUGGAAUCGGAAUCGGAAUCGGAAUGAGUUAGAUUAUAACAAAUUACUGAAAAGUACUUAAUGAAUUAUUGUCAUAAUUAUUAUUUUAUAUUUUAAUUAUAGUGAUUAUUUAUUCAAAAAUUAUUAUUAUUAAUUAUUUCCAAUAAUAUAUUAAUAUGUUAAUUAAUUUUAAAAAUUAUUAAUUAAUUUAUUAUAAUAAUAUACUAAUUAAUUAUAAUUAUUAUUAUAAAAAUAUAUUAAUAAUAAAAUUACUAAUUUAAUUGUAAUAAUAUAUGAAUUAAUUAUAAUAAUUAUUAUAAUAGUAUAUGAAUUAAUUAUAAUAAUUAUUAUAAUAGUAUAUUAAUUAAUAAUAAUAAUAAAAAUAUAUUAAUUAUGUGAUUAUUUAUUCAAAAAAUAUUAUUAUUAAUAAUUAUUGUUAAUAAUGUAUCAAUAUACUAAUUAAUUAUAAUAAUUAUUAUAAAAAUAUAUUAAUUAUUAAUAAUAAAAUUACUAAUUUAAUAAUAAUAAUAAAAAUAUAUUAAUUAUGUGAUUAUUUAUUCAAAAAUUAUAAUUAUUAAUAAUUAUUGUUAAUAAUGUAUCAAUAUAUUACUUAAUUAUAAUAUAUUAAUUAAUUAUAAUAAUAUAUUAAUUAAGUAUAAAUGAGGACAAAGUGGGUAUUUUUAAUUUCACGAAGGGGCAAAAUGGUCAAUUCUAGUAAUGGGAGACUCACUCCCACCCUCUCCUUUGGGAAUGAGUCUCCCAUUCCUCAUUCCCAAAUUGUGGUGGGCCCCAUGAUUUUGACUCCGAUUUCUAACUCAAUUUUGCGAAGUAAACGCUACCAAUGAUUCCGAUUUCGGAUUCUGAUUCACUUAUCUGAGAAGUAAAAGCAACAUAAAUGUGUAUGAAUAAUUGAUACCUAUGAAUAGUUUUGGGAGUUUUAGCUAGGAGUCAUCUAUUGAAGAUGUUUAGCAAUUGAAGAUCUCUGUCUCAGUAGUUUUCCCAAUCAAAAUCAAGAAGCAAAAAAACUUGCCAUUUUUCUACUUGAUAAUUAAUUGAAAUUUAAGAAAAUACAAUGGCAUUUCAAUUAGAAUUGGUAAUUGUUUAUCUUUUUUCAUUGAUCAAAUUCUAAUCGUGAUCCAAUAGUUAUGGAUGAAGGAAAUAUUAUGAGAGGCGAUAGGCCAAGUGAAGACGUACCAGCAAAUUCAAAAUAGUCGGGAGGUGGACGUCCAGCAUAUCUCCUUCUCUCUGUAGCACCCAGAUGCAUUGUUAUUUGCUCCAAGAAAUGUUAAAAGGAUUGGCCCUAUCUCAAUGUGGUUAGUGGCAAGGGCGGAGACAGCAUAUUAAUUGACUGUGGGCUUACUCAACUGCGAUAAAAAAAAUUUAAAAAAUAAUAAAUAAUAAAUUUAAAAGAUUUAUCAUACUUCAAUAUAUGUUUAUAAUUAUCCUUUACGAGUUUUCAUACAUUGAUAACGUUGUAUUACAACUUCAUUAUCAAUAUUAUUGUGGGCUGUUUAAAAAUUUGAUUAAUAUUAAUAUUUAUAGGCUUGAUUUUAUUUUGUAAAGCCCAUCUCUUUUUAUUUGUUUUAAAAACUUAGAGUGUGAGAAUUUAAGUAUAAUUAUGUAUUAGGAACUUGAAUAUAAAUUAGUGGGGGCUUAGGAAAAAUUUAUUAGAAAUUUUUGGCAAAUCAAAUUAGUUAGUAAAAGAUUUUUUUUUUUUUUUUCAGUGGGGACUUAAGUCCCCACUGGUCCCAAGCUAGAUCCGCCACUGGUUAGUGGUGAAAAAUUAAACACCAUGGAAGGAUUUGCAAGGAAUAUGCCAAGAAACUGGCUAAGUUCCACAAAUAUGGCAUUAUUGCUCUUUUUUUUUUAAAGAAAAAUUAUACACGUUAAUUUAGCAAAAAGUCUAAGACACGUGCCUUUUGAAAAGAAUAGCUAUUACCAUGACACAAUCGAUGCGGCUGAAACCAAAAUUUUCUUUUCUUAAUGUAAAGUUUUUUUUUUAAAUAGAUUUUAAUAUCAAAAUGCCCUUCGAUGUUAUUACUCUCACAAGCCCUGUAACAGGAGUAAUAAAAAAGUUUAGAAUUUUUGGGCAUGAAAAAAGUAGUAUUAAACAUCAGCAAGCAAAGGUUGUUCUGUUAAAGAAUUGAUAUUGACGUGAUUUUAUUUUGGUUAUCGAGAAAAAAAUAUAUUUGUUGACAAGUAAGAAAAUAUUAUUAUAUUUUACAAUCUAUUAUACAUAUUUUAUUAUAUUAAAUAAUACUAAAUAGAAACAUAAAAUUAGAAUAAAAUAAAUUAAAAUUAAAAUUAAAAUUAUUUUGAAUAUUAUGUAAAAAAUAAUGUUAAUAUCAUUGUUACUUGUAAAAUAUAUUUAGCCUAAAGAUUUAUUUAAAAUUUUAUAAUGAAUAAAAAUAUAAAAAUAAAUUAAAUAUCAUAGUUUAAAAUCUUAAUAUUAUUUUAAAUAUUAAAAAUACUUUAAUGUAUCUUAAUAUUAUUUUAAAUAUUAAAAAUACGUUAAUGUUAUUAUUCUACUACACAUGUUAUAUUAUUUAUAUUAUAUUUGUAUUAAUUAAAAAUUUUAAAGUCAACUUUCUAGUAACUAUAUUCAAAGGUAUUAUGGUUAAAUAAAGGUCUUAGUGUUUCUUUUUCAAAAUUUGAGGGUCUACAUGAUAAUUUUUCCAAACCCUAAGGUAUAGGAGUCCUUUUUGUCAAUAAUUUAUUUCACUUUUGAGAGAAUACGAUGAGAAAUAAGAUCAGAGAAAUGUCAAUUUAAUGUUCUCUAGCUUAAUGAAAAAAAAAUGGAAACCAAGAACUAUUCAAUUUUGUAUUUUUUGUUUGUAAUUCAAAAAAUCCAUCCGCCAAACAAGAUUCACGCAUUUAUGUUGUCAUAAAAUGAAAAAACAGUUUGUGAAAAAAUGGCACCAAACAUACCCUUAAUGUCCCACAUGAUUUCUUAUGAAGCCCAUAUUAGAUAUAUUUAUACAUUUUACUGCAUUUAGGACAUGUUUGAUAGCCUGCAUUAUAUAGGAUAAAAACAUAAUUUUGUAUUAAAUUAAUGCACACUCACGUUUGGCGCUAAAAGUAACUCCAGCCGCAUUGCAUUAAUGGGCUGCUACUGCGGCAAUUGCCGCACUAGCUUGCCUCUUUUUCUUUUUAAUUUUAUUUAUAAUAAUAAUAAUAAUAAUAAUAAUAAUAACAUAAUAUAACUUUUAUUUUAAUAUAAUAUUAAGUAUAAUUUUUAUUUUUACAUUAUAAUUAUUGAUAUAAAUUAAUAAAUUUAUUAUUUAUUAUUCAAUAAUAUUAUAUUAUUAUUUUUUUAUUUUUACAUUAUAAUUUAUUAGUAAAUUUAUAAUUUAAUAUAAUUAAUGAUAAUAGAAAAUAUCAUUACAUGUACUACAAAACUCUUACUUGGAUUAUUUAACACAAUUUAUUUUAUUCGUGAAUAUGUUAUAACAAUUGUAUCACUUUAUUGUUUUGUUAUUAUUUUGUGGUAUGUAUAAAUUUUUAUUCUAUUAUUCAAAGAUGACUUUUGAACUAAUCUUAUAGGUUUUAACUAUUUAUUUAUGUUGUUAUAUUAUUAGAGAUUAUUUGAUUAAAUUAUUUGCUUCGAUCUUUAUUUUACAGGUCAUAUAUUUAGAAAUUACUGAAAAAUAAAUGUUCUACUUCCAAAAAAUUUAAGGCUAUAAGCUCGAUCUUUAUGAAUAAUUGUGAUAUUUUUUAACAUUUACACUAAAAAAAUUGUUAAAUUUCUAAAAUUUAAGACUUCUAUAUUUAGUAUUUUUCCAAUUACUAAUAAGUAUUAUUUUCUAAAUAUAUAAUUUAAAUUAAUCACAAAAAAUUAAUACAGUACAGUGCAAUAUCAAAUAUAAUAUAAUUAAAAAUUAUACAGUACAAUGUAGCACCAAAUAUUGUACAAUAUUAUUAUAAAAUAGUACUGAUGCAAUACAAUAUAAUACAAUAUAGUGUGCCAAACGCACCCUUAGAGUGUGUUUGGAACAUGGGAUUAUAGGGUAUUAAAACACUGUUCACAUUAGCUUAAUACCAAUAUCAUGUUUGGAAAGAAAUUUUAAGGGAUUAAAGGGGGGUGAGCUAAUGCCAUAACUGCGCCAUUAGUGUCUUGGUUUUUUUUUAAAUAAUAAUAAAAAAUAUAAAUUCCUAAUUUUAUGUAAUAUUAUAUAAUAUUAAUUUUUAUUUUCUUUGAUCUUUACAUUAUAGUAAUUAAUAUAAGUUAAUAAAUUUAUAAUUUAUUAUUCAUAUUUUAAUUUUUAUUAUAUUAAAAAUAUAACUAAAUAAUUUAAUUUUAAUUAUAUAAUAAUUAAUGUAUAAAAUUGAUUAAUAUUUAAUAAGUUAAUACAACUAGUAAUAAGUGCUUAAAUAAUAUAUAAAAAUAAAAAUAUAACAUAAUAUUACAUUAUUUAAUUAUAUUACAAUAACUAAUAUAUAAAAAUUGAUUAUUAUUUAACAAUUUAAUAUAGCUAAUAAUAGAUACUUAAAUAAUAAUUUAAUAUAACUAAUAAUGAAUAUUGAUAUAUGAAUAUAUUUAAAUAAUAUUAAUACCAAUAUAUAUAAUAAUAUAAAAUAUUAUUACAUGUACUGUAGUAUUCUUACUUGGAUUAUUUAGCGCAAUUUAUUUUAUUAGUGAAUAUGUUACAACUAUUGUAUCACUUUAUUAUUUAAAUUAAUCAAAAAAAUUAAUACAGUACAAGAUAGCACUAAACAUUGUAUAACAUUAUUAAAAUACAGUGUUAAUGCAAUACAAUAUAAGACAAUACAUCUAUAUUAAAAUAAAAUAAAAUAAUUUAAUUUAAUAUAAUACAGUAUGUCAAACGCACCUCGUAUAUUUUAAUUUCAAAAGAAGUUGGUCCUUCCGUUAUUUAUAAAAGAUAACUUUAUUUUCAGAUUACCACUAAACUCUGAAGUAGAAUUGGUGUAAUGUUAAGAGAGAGUAACACAGUUUUCCAUUACCAUCUUUGAAAAUAGAAAGAUAUGGAUCAGUGUAUUUAAGAGUUAUCGUGAAAAUCAUACAGUUCAAUUCCCUGACACAUAUAUUUAUGAGCAUAUGCCAAAAGAAUAAAUAGAUAGAAAGUAAAUUUACAAUCCUCACUUCCUCACAAUUGUUAAAAUGAAGAUGCAUUACAACUGUGAACUGUCACUAUUUUAGCCUUUUUUAUUUUUUACUUUUAGUUAUAGUGCGAUGGAGACAGUGAACAUCAAGGAUGAGAAUAAAAGUUAAAGAUGACCCACCCACUUUCUUUUUAAAGUGCUCUGCUCAAAGACAAACUUCCUCUGGCUAAUUAAUUUAGAUGUGAAGAGAGAAUAAAGUCCUAGAUGCCUUCUGAAAUUAGAAAUACAUUUUAUAUGCUUUAAUUAUGAUUAUUUGGUAGACUAUAGACCUAAAAGACAUGUUAGAUUAUAAAACAGUGCGAUUAAAAAAAAAAGAGUAUUUGUGACGUCAAAUAACAAUUGGUAACUAAAAUCCAAAAUAUUUGAGUUGUUAAAAGCAAAUAAAAAAAAAGAAGGUAAGAGUGAUGCAGAAACACAAUAUUAGCUUAUCUUGAUUUUCCCACUUUAUUCAUUCUCGAUGCUUUUCAAAACAAAUUCUUCUAAUCUUUCUGGUGUCUGCAGCCCCUUGUCACGGGACGAGAGGUUUCGAGCCCGUGCGGUACUCUCGCAUCCCAUACUGCGAGAGUAAACCUAGUGGAAGUGGCACAAUAUCGACUGGUUUCACCCUGUCUUGGGCUCAUCAGGAGAACGGCUCCAGUUCCCAACCAGUGUGUGAAGAGCUUCGCCUAAACCCCUCUUCAACGUUAAGUCCUUGACUAGCGACAAGCUCCCCAAACUCAACCAGGUUGGCCUGCCUGAACUCCAAGAAAUCUAGGAUCAUUGUAUUCCCCACACGACGCCCCUGAAGCACGUCUCCUACAAUCAGCACAACCCUUAUCGAUACCAGCGUACAAACGCAUAUCUUCGGCGUCACAAUUGCAGUCCGUGACACCCUGCUCUUGUUAUAAAACUCCACCCCAAAUCUACACUACAAACAAGUUGAUUGAAAUUAAACAAUUGCUUUUUGAAGUGGACCCAUUGAGUCGUGGUCAUUACUCGUCAUUGUCUAUUUUUUCUAUGAGCCAUUUAUUUUGAGCAAUAGUGAGCUUCUCUGAACUACUCCAAUUAUUGAUGUAACUCCAGUGGCUGCAUCCAUAGUUGAAUAUAUGACAGUAUUAGCUCUUAUUUGAGAAUAUAGGGGGAUCUUUCUUUGUUUCUUUGUUGCAGUGUUCUAGUUUAUAGUCUUGCUGUUAAUGAAUUCACUGAGGCAUUAUUAAUUUAAUUUCAGUGAAGUAAUUAUGGAUGAAAAAUAAAUAAAGGAUAACAGAAUAGAGCUGAAGUGCUGAAUCGGCUAUUAAAGAAAGUGUCACGUGAUCACAAUCACACUGAUGCACAACUCUCUCUAUGUACUCCAAAUUCAGCCAAACCAUACAUGCCUCAACAAAAUUAAACCGUAGUUCUCAUCACUACAGUAAAUGAAGCCCACAAAGACAGCUGAAAUGGAAAAUAUUGACUAUUGAAUGGAUCAAUGCUGAAUUACACUUGAAAUGGGAAGCUUGGCUGCGGUUACGAUGUUUCCCCCUCUGAUUUUUCUCCAAAACAAAUUCCGUUGUAAAUAAUAUUCAAUGUAGCAACACUUUAUUCAGCAAAGAAAAUACCUAAUUUUUCAACUAACAAAUUCUCUUGUCUAAACUAAAAAAACUCACAUCUCUCCAAUCUAUCUACAAAAUAUUGGAGAUGAGAGGUGAUUUGUCAACUCGAUAAAUAAAUUCAUGCAUAAUGUUACCAAUAAUGAUAAAUUACUUAAUAAUUCUUAUAAAGAAUCAUAAAUAAGGAACAUUAACCAUUUUACAGUCUAUUACAUAAGUAAGAUUAAUCUUAUAAUAAGUUAACUUAUAACGUAAUAAAUAUUUCAAUUCAUAAUUAUUUAAGAAGUCACUUAACAAUAAAAUAUUUUUUUAUUUAAUUGAUCAUGUCAUAUAACGUUAUCUAAACUCCUGACGAUAUUAUUAUUACUCACUUUUCUCAAAAAAACAUGACUAACGUUUAGAGAAAAGUCAUGCCUUUUAGAUAGAUAGAAUAUGAUUACAAGCUAUCCAUACUUUAUCUUACCAUGACAAAAUUGAUGGUGAUUAAAUCUAUUUUUAAAAUAGAUUUAAUGCACAAACAUGAUGACUUUUGCCAAAAAUUAGUUUCAGAAGAUAACUAAAUUAAGUUGCAAAGGAGCUUACUUCAAUUUCUAAGCUUUUCAAUCAUGAUUCCUCCAUGCCUUCCUCUGAUACCAUUUUGUUACGUGCCAACGUAAUUGACCUUGUAAUUGGUUUGUAUAAGGAAUGAAGCCCUUUCAAGAUCGUUUCUUUUGUGUCCAUAUUGUAGUAGACUAGUAGUCAAGUAAAUAAAGAGUGAAUAACUGAAUUUGGUCUAUUUCGAAGAAGACUAUGGCCUCCACACUACAAGAAAAUAGGCGAUAGAUAACGGGAAAUAACCGUCAUAAAAGGUGGUGUAUGACAGACAGUUUAUUCGUCAUCUAUGUCACUGUCAUUAAUUUAUGACAGAAUAUUUUCCGUCAUGAAUUCUUGAUGUUAUUUUACAAUCAUAUAUCCAUCACACAAUAUUUUAAUGAGAAAAAAUAAUUAAAUAAAAUUUGAAUUUAUUAAAAUUUUUGCUCUAUUUUUUAAUUUUUUGGCGGAAAAUUAAAUUGUCAUUUGUAAAUUUCUUAUUCAAUUUUGGUGGAAAAUUUUUUUAUGACAGACUUUAUGAUGUGUAUUUCCCAUCAUAAAGUUAAUUUUUUUAAAUUAUAUUGUGAUUAUAGUUUAUUUCUGAAUUCCUGUUUACAAAUUUAAUUAAUUAAUAAAAAAUGAAUAUUGUCAAAAAAUAAAAAAAUAAUAGUAACUAAAAUCCAUUCAAUCCAACAAAUUAAUUUCAAAAUAAAUACAUCUAAUAUUCAAUGUCAUUACCACUAAUACAUAAUAAAACAUCCCAAAUUAAAAAAAAGAAUGUCAAAAUAUAAAACAAUAGUUAAAUUCCAAUUAAAUUCCAAGAAAUGUAAUUCAAAUUCCGGACACCGAGCCAAGCUCCCCAGCAAAACUUCCAAAGAUUAAUGGAAAUAUUCCAAUAGCAAGACUUCCAGAAGCAAUACCCUCUUCCAGUGGCAAUACAUUGACUAAUCUUUGAAGCCAUGACUCCUCAAGCCAAUGCCAAAAAUGUGUGCAAAAUUAAUGCUCUAUCCACAAAAAUUUCAGUCUAUAUUGGUAAGAAGAAACAUGAAGAAACAAUUACCUCAGCAUCAUCGUCAUUGGAAGCCAAAUCAGCUGUAAAGACCACAAAAUGUUUGGUUAGAACUAGUGGAAGUCUUACUCUAAAACUUUUAAUUUUUGAAUUUCGAAAGAUCUAGUAAUGACAAAGAUUCUCAUAUCCAGUGACCAAGUUUUGAAAAUUAGAAUACGGAAUAACGUCAACUAAAUUCACUAAUAUAGGGUGCAUUUGAGAUUGAGGUUGGACAGCUGUAGCUUAAAAGCUACAGUAGUAAAGUGUUUGGUAAACACUAGUUGCUGUAAUUUAAAAACUAUGUUGAUAUGAUUUUUCACUUGUAUAAUGGAGAAUCUAUUUUUUUAAAUAAUUAUGUCAAAAUUAUUAUUUAAAAUUUAUAUUUACUACAUAUUAUUAAUUUUUGUUUCAUAGUCACAGUUUUUUUUCCACAGCAGUUGUAAAGCUACAUCACCUCAAUCCCAAACGCACCCUAAGCUAGAGGAAUCCCUAGUUGAUAUAGCACACAUGCACACAUGAUAUGCAUGCAUCAGAAUACACAAUAAUAAAUUAUCUCAAAGUCAAUAAGAAGCCAAAACUAGAGAUAAACCUUUAGCCACUAUAAGGAAGACUGAUAUUUGCAGUGUGAUUACAAUAAACAAACAGAAACUUCACUACCCAUAAGUAAAGCAAAAUAAAUAAAGGAUAAUAACUAACCAAGAAAUGGAAAAGCUCACAUUCUCUGAACACGCACCCCAAAAAGAAAGAAAGAAAUAAAUGUUCCCAUUGGAUCUGAAGCACAAGCAAUCCACUGACAUCCUUCUAUAAUUAGGUAAUUUAAAGGGGUUAAGCUCACAUCUUUUACGGAAGCAACAAGAGAAUUAACAACAUUCCAGAGGAUUUAGGGAAAAACCACGAGGCAAGAAAAAAGAAAGAUCCUUCUUCAAUCUAGAUAUCUUGACACUGCUCACCAUCUACAGCAGUCUGGGGCUUAAAAAGCAUGAUCUCUCCCCCCCUCUGGCACCAUUUUCUCUCAUGUGAAUCUGUCAUUGCCCGUAGAAACAAACCAGAACUGCAUAAAUUCUCUUAUCUUCCAGCAGCUUCUUUUCUCCAGAAAUAGGCACAACUAUUUGACAUGGAAACAAUUUAUCUAACAUGGCCACCUUUAAAGACAAAGACAUACUAAGGACAUGGUUUUAGAUACGGAUACAAGAAACAAUCACAAAAUGUAAAAUCUAUACAUAUGAUAUUAAUUUCCAAUGGAUACAGCACUUCAUUCUUUGACUUAACUUCAUUAGAUUACUAGGUUUGAUUAGGUUAUACACACAUUUAUUCAUUUAUGGUUUUCAACCUAUAAUCUACAUGCACUUAGAAUGAGAGGUACCUAUAAAAACAAGUUACCAGAAAACAAUACAGCUAGAAAACAUUAAAACAUUAAUCUAAGCAGUUCUAUAGGUUUAACUAACUGCAGGAAAAAACCGUUGAUUUUGUCCGUCGGAUUAUUGAGAUCCUAAUUCUGGUAAAAAGAAAAUGAGAUAAUAGAAAAUCAAAAAUUAAAUAGACACAAAAUGAGAAAUCAAGAUCAUACGGCAACUAAUAUAUAGCAUGGGCUGCAGCUAACAAGCAAUAUAAGCCAUGAUAUUAUGCCAGAUACAAAAUUUUGAGAUCCAAGAGAGAUCAAGAAGCAUGAAUAUUGAAAGAAGUGAGUGCAGAAGGAUAAGAAAUCAGGUUGAUAUUCUUCAUACUUUGGGUCAACACGUAGUGAUGCAAUAAACUUGUAAUUAGCUUCAAGUGUAUAGGCUACCAUGUCAACAUUUCCGAAAACACACAAGAUUGUGCUGGAUUCAUAUAUAGUACAUAUAUAAAAAAACAAUCUGCUUCUAAACUUCAUGAGAACAUCGAAUAAUGAACUUACAAUUUGAUCCCUCAUCAUCUUCAUCGCACCAUUUGUUCCAAUCAACCUUAAUGUAAGGUGCUGGUUUCUCUUCUGACUUGAGUAGCCUUUUCCACCAACCUUUCUCUUCUUUUUGCACCGAGCAUAUUAUGUUCCUUAAGCCAACUUUAGUCUUACAUUUCUGCACCACCAGCAACAAAAUUCAAAGCAUUACAAAAGAGGUAUAUUUAGCCGCUCUUGACUCGAGUGAGAGAACAGGAUAAACAGCCUAGGUAUAUCCACAUCCAUGUUAUGAGAUUAAUUAUGCAACAACUAACUUUAAUAUAAAGUUUGUGCUCCAACAAAGACUAAAAUGUUUGUAAUUGUUAUGCUUCCGGAGCUAAAAUGUUUCGCAAACACUCACUUUUACUCUGCAGCUAAUAUCUAGCACCCAGCCACACAAAGUCCGUAGUCUUUGUCUCAACUUUGUCUGAGGCCAAUGUAAAUCCAAUUUGCACAAGCUCUCUAUGCACCACAGCUCUUCUGGAAGCUUUCUCAAGUACGCACAAGGGUUGACAAUUAAGCUUUCAAGUUUUGGUAUUGCUCCAGCCCCCAUCGUCCACUCAUCUAGCCAAUACAUUGAUUUCAGGCGCAAAACCUUAAGUUCCGGAAAGCCACCCGAGCAAGCACAGGCCAGCUUUCUUCCUAAAUACAAGCUCUGCUUCAGUUUCAGCACUUGAAGGCGUGGAAGCUUUUUGAUAAGGAAAGGGAGCCACGGAGGUCAACAAAGGUUCAUAAGCCUAACUACAGAUACGAGGGCUUUGUUUGAACAUUCGUAAGUCUCAUGCAGCCAUGCAUGCGGUCAUGCAUGUUGCAUGCAAUACCAUGCAAGACUUAUUUACGCAUGGAUUAAAGAGUAGUCUGUUUCUAGUUUUUUAUUUAAGAUUGCUCAGUUAUUUAAAUUGAUUUUAGCCGUGAAUUGUGGCUACAAAUCCUUAGUAGUGUUUGUAUUAACUACUAUAAAUAAGCUCCAGCAAUUAAUAAAAGGAUUAUGCAAAAAAUUAUCUCAAAGUACUAUUCUUGGUCGUUUUCACCGUAAGUAGAACAACGUAAACUUAGCUAUUGUUGAACGUUUUUGAUUGGGACCUAUCACUUUUCCAGCCUUGGCAUGGGAUCCUCCAUUAGCUCAGUAUUUGAUAAGCUCAGUUGGGUCAGACUUGGAGGAAAUUGGUAUUCAGACAGGACCGUCCGUGAGAGCUUGCUUUCAUUCACCAGCUUCAAGCAUUCAAGUUUCUCUAGUUCGCAUAGGCUUUUGGAAAUCCCAGAUUGAUAGUAACUCAAAUCUCCAGACACUCUAAGAGUUUGAAGAUUAGGUAGUCUGCCCAAUAUAGCUGGAGUGCAACUACUAGGGUGUAAGGCUGAUAUGAAAAUGAGAUUUUUCAGAGAGCUGGAAUAAUUUUUUGGAGGCGCAGGCAGAGUGAUGCAACCGAAGUUUAAAUGCACGAGUUUUCGCAUCAUCCAAAUAUCCUCUGGUGAAUGAUCUAUGUAGCUUGAUGGCAUUUCUAGUGUUUGAAGGUUUAAAAGAGUGCAUAGCAGUGAAGGAAGGCAUUUGAGCGAGGGGAUAUUCAAUUUCAAAUACUUCAAAUGGAAAAAGUUUCUAAUCCGGGCGGAUAUUGGUCGAGAAUUGCAGAACCCAAGUUCAAUACCCCAAGGUGUUUGAACGUUUGACGAAAAUUCUCGCAAUCUAUCAGAGCGAGAUGAUCGCUUUCUGAACUGUGAUUCAGAAAAGAUUGGAGAUAGAUGUCAGGAUGUUCUAAAGAUAAAAACUGAAUCAGAUGUUCCAAAAUGAAGCACCGUUUAACAUUUGCCAGUGGUUCCUUUUCCCUUUCAUGCAUGCAGACAAAUUCCGUCUGCGCUGCCACCAAAAACAAUGGAGUACAUAAAAAACUUGGAACAUAACACGCUUUAAUUGUGCCUCCGGCUCUUCUCUUACUCACUUGAAUGAAGCCGCAAUAGAUUAGUUCUUUCAAAUAAUGCUCGGCAGUUUCUUCACUGUUGUAUGGUAUGAAACCUUCAGCUACCCACAAAUGAUAUAAUUGCCUCGUAGAUAUUUCAAUACUUGGACGAAAGACACACAAAUAGAUGCAGCAGACUUUCAAGUGAAAAGGUAACUCCAUCAAAGAAUAACUGUGUCUCUAAAUUGUCGGAAUCGCUACGCCUUGAACAUAAUUUUCUAAUGGCAUACUUCCAUAGUGUAGGAUGAAAAAUUGCCAGGCUUUAUGCUUUAAUCUGAUCAAUGGUCCUCCACUGAGCACUGAAUCAAACCGAAUCAUCUCUCCGUUUUCCAUGUCCAACAGCGUAAGGGGGCAUGGAUCAGUGACCAAUAUCAAUACUCUGCUUCCAUUCUGAUUGUCAGGAAGAACUUGUUCAAGAUCAUCCAAUACAUCGUCACUCUCUUCACAGUAAUCAUCAAGCACAAUAAAGUACUUCUUGUUUGUUAGGAAAUCUCGAAGAAUAGAUUUCUUCAAUUGAUAAUGUUCACCGAUAAUUACACUAACCCGAGAUGGAGGCAUCACAGACUUGAUUAUGUCAUCCAAUAUCUUGCCAAAAUCGUAGAGUACAGAAAUCCUGACCCAAGCAAGGCAGUCAGAGAAUUGCAACCACUGCAAGCCGAGGAUGUCCUUCAAUCAAUAAAUCAAACAACUCCUCUCUACCACUUUCAAAUUCGUUGAUAUCAAGCCGAGGUUUUCCCUCAAUCAAUAAGUGAAUGAGUUUGUCCCUUUGUUCAGUGAUUACGAAACCAUUGUCGCCGGGUGGAAGUUGUUGCAUCCGAUUUCUAAUAUCAAUAAUUUUACUGUGGAGUCCAACAAGAAGAGCCAUAUUAGUACUGCUUUCACUUUCUUCUUCACUGUUUUGCUGCUGCAUGAUGUUGAUGAAGAAUGUGUCAAUGGCUUCCUCAGAUUCAUGGACAAAGUCAUUGAUGUCCUUCACAAUUUCCAGAAUGUCUGAUCUUUUAACGUCUUCAUCGCUUUCUUGUAAAAAAGCCAAAUAUAUUUCGGAUUCAUCGAAUUCUCCUCUAAUGAGUUGAAACAAAAGCCGAGCCAUGUCAGCUUCAUAGUUUCCCACCAGAGUAGUAGCAAUGAUUUCUGACUCCGUAAGAAGGUUCUGAAAAAGUGGAGUCAAAUUUGUUCAAUCAGGCAACGUUAACGCGCCUUCUUCACCUGCUAGCACCCUUUUCAACCUCUCACAAAAUAGUCGGAGGUUCACGUCCACCAUAUCUCCUUCCCUCCGUAGCACUCAGAGAAGAUUGGUCCUAUCUCAAAGUGGUUAGUGCUGUAAAAUUAAACACCAUGGAAGAAUUUGAAAGGAAUAUGCCAAGAAACUGGCCAAGUGGCUAAAUUCCACAAAUAUGACAUUAUUGCUCAUUUUCUCUCAGACACGUGAUACACGUUGAUUUAGAGGAAAGUUCAAGAAUUUUGCUUUAAAAAAAAAAAUUGAUGGUGCUUAAAUUAUUAUUUUUUUAAUUUAAAGAGUUUUGCUUUUAAAAAAAAAUUAAUAUCAAAAUGCCUUCAAUGUUAUUACUGCCACAAGCCCAGUAACAAAACUCAUUAAAAAUUUUAGAAUUUCUGGCCAUGGAAAGAGUAGUAUUAAACAUCAGAAAGCAAAGGUUGUUCCGUUAAAGAAUUGAUGUUGACAUAAUUUUAUUUUGGUUUUCGGGAAAAAAAAAAUAUUUGUUGGCAAGCAAAGAAAAUAAUUUUAUACUUUACAAUCUGCUAUACAUAUUUUAUCAUAUUAAAGUAAUUUUAAUAUCUAUCAAAAAAAUAAAUUUAAUAAUAAUUGGAACAUAAUAUUACAAUAAAUAAAUUAAAAUUAUUUUAAAUAUUAGGAAAAAAAUAUUAUUAAUAGGAAGAUAUUUUGUUAAUUGUAAAAUCCUUUUAUUCCAAAUAUUUUAUUUAAAUUUUUUAUAAUAAAUAAAAAUAUAAAAUUAAAAUAAAUAUCAUAAUUUAAAUUUUUUAUAUUAAAAAUAUUUUAAUGUUAUUAGUCUACUACAUAAAUUAUAUUAUUUAUAUUAUAUUCGUAUUGAUUAAAAUCUUUUAAAGUUAAUUUUAUAGUUACUAUAUCCACAGGGUAUUAUAUUAUAUUUAAGAGUAAUUUUUUCAAAUUUUAGGAUUGCAGAUGUCCUUCUUCCGAUAAUUUAUUUCACUUUUGAGAGAAUCCAAUGAGAAAUAUGAUAAGAGAUGGUCAGUUUAAUGUUCUCUGCCUUUAUGGAAAAAAAGUAAAAAGUAAAAACUAUUCAAUUUUGUACUUUUUGUGUCCACCAAAUAAAUUUUACACAUUUAUGUUGUCAUAAAACGAAAAAAAAGGGUUUGCCAAAAAAUGGUACCAAGCAUACCUUUAAUGUCCCACGUGAUUUCUUAUUAAGCCCAUAUUAUAUAUAUUUAUACAUUUUAUUGCAUUAAACAUUUUUAUUAUAAAAGAAGUUGGUCCUUCCCCUAGUGAUAAAAGAUAAAUAUGAUAAUGUUUGAGAUGGGUUUAGUCUUUUAUAUUUGCUGAGUCCAGUGGGUUAAAGAAUUAGAGUAAAGCAUCUGGGCAUUCUUUCAUGCAAAACUAAAAAUCCUGAAAAUAGUUGGCUUUAACUGAUUAAGACAAGCUUGGUCGAAUUGAGUUGAACUUCAUAUAUAAAAGCCAAAUAUAUUGCGGAUUCAUCGAAUUCUUCUCUAAUGAGUUGAAACAAAAGCCGAGCCAUGUCAGCUUCAUAGUUUCCCACCAGAGUAGUAGCAAUGAUUUCUGACUCCGUAAGAAGGUUUUGAAAAAGUGGAGUCAAAUUUGUUAAAUCAGGCAACGUUAACGCGCCUUCUUCACCUGCUAACACCCUUUUCAACCUCUCACAAAAUAGUCGGAGGUUCACGUCCAGCAUAUCUCCUUCUCUCCGAGAAACUGUGUAAGUGGCUAAAUUCCAGAAAUAUGACAUUAUUGCUAUUUUUUUAACUCAAAAAAAUGGUACGCGUUCAUUUAGAGAAAAGUUCAAGACGCGCGCCUUUUGAAAAAUGGUACCCGUUCAUGUAGAGAAAAGAACAGGUAUCCCAAUCGGUAUCCAACCUUUAUCUUCUUUAAUUACCACCACGACAUGAUUUUUUUUUUUUUUUUUUGAUGACAUGAGACUAUUGCUUAAAUUACAACUCAAAUUACAACUCAUAUUACAUGAGAGUAUAAUUGAUAUGUACAAUCAUAUAUACAUACUGAGAUCUAUUGACAUUAAUGCUGAUAUGACACUGCUCAGAUUUUUGUAACCCUCUCAAAUAUUCGAGGGACGUCAAACUCCUAUCCUGGGAGAAAGACUGCCUUCACUCGAGCUCUGUGGCUCCAAGGAAGGAAAUAUAAAUUAAACCUCUACAAUGCGACUGCGGAGGCUCGAACCCCUUCCCUCACAUAUGUGAGGGAGUGGCUCUAGCCACUUGGGCUAGCCCAAGUGGUUCCACGACAUGAUUGAUGGUGCUUAAAUCAAUUGUUUCUUUUUUAAUUUAAAGAAAUUUUCAUUAAAAAAAUAUUUUAAUAUCAAAUACCCUUCAAUGGCAUAACUGCCGCAAUCCCAGAAACAGGAUUAAAUAUUUUUUUUUUUUUGAAUUUUUGGGCAUGGAAAGAGCAGUAUUAAAAAUCAGAAAGCUAAGGUCGUUCUGUUAAAGAAUUGAUAUUGACAUAAUUUUUUUUUGGUUUUCGGGGGAAAAAAAAAAUUGUUGACAAGCAAGAAAAUAUUUUUAUAUUUUACAAUUUAUUAUACAUAUUUUUUUUUUUUGGAUCAAUAAUGGGCUCUAAAAGAGCUAAAGCACCAGUAAACGGGAGUGGGCAACCCCAGACACAUCGUUAUGAAGAAUACUCUGUAAAUUAGGAGGAGCAACAGUAAGUAACUGCAAUCCUAAAGGACAAGACAAAUUAAAUGAGGCCAGAAAAUCUGCUGCUAUGUUUGCUUCUCGAUAGAUGUGGUUCACUUUCACGACCCAGUCCCUGCUGAUCAGCUCACGAAUGGCAAGGAUAAGAGAAUGAUGCUCAUUAACAGGAGUGGUCGGAUUCUCCAAGAUUUGAGAUUUAUUAUACAUAUUUUAUCUUAUUAAAGUAAUUUUAAUAAUAAAUAGAAACAUAAUAUUACCAUAAAUAAAUUAAAGUUUAACUUAUUUUGAAUAUUAUAAAAAAUAAUUUUAAUAUUAUUAAUAGGAGGACAUUGUAUUAAUUUUAAAAUUUUUUAACCCAAAGGUUUAUUUAAAAUCUUUAUUAUAAAUACAAAUAUAAAAUUAAAUAUAAUAAUUUAAAAUUUUUAAUAUUAUUUUAAAUAUUAAAAAUAUUUUAAUGUUAUUAGUCUACUACAUAGAUCAUAUUACUUAUAUAAUAUUUGUAUUAUUAAAAAUUCUUAAAAUCAAAUUUUUAGUUAGUAUAUUUAUGAGGUAUUAUGGUUAAAAAAAAAACCUUAUUAUUACUUUUUAAAACAUUGAGGGCCUGCGUGAUAAUUUUUUCAAAAAGAAAAUGCUUGGUAUCUAGGAGGGUUAGAGAAACAGGACUACCAAAAUCUCUCACCCUUUUUUAAUUAAAAAAAAUUAAAAUAUCAAUAAAAAAAAUAAAGAAAAUAGAAUUUUAUCUGCUCCUUACUCCAUUUUUGUAACUCUCUCACCAUCUCUGUCGAGCAGCCCUCUCUUUCACUGUCUCUCACUAUUUCACAAUCUCUCUCUCACUCACACAGUCCUUUAGAAAAGCCCAAAAUAGGCCCAAUAAGCCCAUAAUUAAAAUAAUCGAAUCGAAUUAUUUCAAUUAAUCGAGUAUUUGAUUAUUUCGGUAAUUUGAUUAAUCGCGAUUAUGAUUUUAAAAUAAUCGUAAUCGAACGAUUAUGAAAAAUUUAGUAAAAAACCGAAUUGAACCGAACCGCACCCACCCCUACAUAAAAGAACAACAAUUACUUGUCAUUUUCAAUUUUUUCUAUAAGCUAUUUAUUUUGAGCAUUAGUGAUCUUGUCUGGACUACUCCAAUUAUUGACGUAACUCCAGUGGCUGCAUCCACUGGAAAAAGUGGAUGAGAACAUUUUUUUUUUUCAUAAAGGUAACUACUCCAAUUAUUGACAUAAUUGAUGGUGCUUAAAUCAAUUUUUUUUUUUAAUUUAAAGAAUUUUGCUUUAAAAAAUAAUUAAUAUCAAAAUGCCUUCAAUGUUGUUACCGCCACAAGCCCAGUUAGAGGACUCAUUAAAAAUUUUAGAAUUUUUAGGCCUGGAAAGCGUAGUAUUAAACAUCAGAAAGCAAAGGUUGUUAUGUCGAAGAAUUGAUGUCGACAAAAUUUUAUUUUAGUUUUCGGAAAAAAAAAAAAAUUUGUUGACAAGCAAGAAAAUAUUUUUUAUACUUUACAAUCUGCUAUACAUAUUUUAUCAUAUUAAAGUAAUUUUAAUAAUAUAUGGAAACAUAAUAUUAUAAUAAAUAAAUUAAAAUUACUUUGAAUUAUUGAAUAUUACAAAAAGAUAAUUUUAAUAUUAUUAAUAGGAAAACAUUUUUAAUUGUAAAAUCUUUUUAAUACAAAAAUUCAUUUAAAAUCUUUAUAAUAAAUACAAAUAUAAAAUUAAAAAAAUAUCAUAAUUUAAAUUUUUUAAAAUUAUUUAAAUAUUAAAAAUACUUUAAUAUUAUUAGUCUACUACAUAAAAUAUAUUAUUUAUAUUAUAUUCGUAUUGAUUAAAACGUUUUAAAGUCAAAUUUUUAAUUAGUGUAUUCAAAGAUACAAAAGAUUUUAGUAUUAUUUUUAAAAAAUUUCAGGAUAUGAAUGAUAAUUUUUUCAAAUUUUAAAGAUGUAAGAAUCUUUUUUUCUGAUAAUUUAUUUCACUUUUGAGAGAAUCCGAAAACGUUAAUUUAACAUUCUUUACCUUUGUGAAAAAAGUGAAAAUCAAGAACUAUUCAAUUUUGUUUUUAUUUGUAAUUCAAAAACUUUAUUCAUUUUCGAUGCUUUUCAAAAGAGACUCCUCUAAAUCCUUUUGGUGUCUGCAGCUCCUGCAAUUCUCAUAAAUCUCCAUCCCACAUCUACACUAUCAAACAAGUUGAUGGAAAUUCUUAUCAAAAAAAAAAAAAAAAACAAGUCGAUGGAAAUUGAUCAAUUACUUUUUGAAGUGGACCCAUUGAGUCAUGUUCAUUUCUGGUCAUUGUCUACUCUUUCCAUCAGCCAUUUAUUUUGACCAUUUGCGAUCUUAAAGGAUAUGAGAACGUAGCUGAAGUGCUGAAGGGGCUAUUAAAGAAGAGUGUCACUUGAUCACAAUCACAUUGAUGCACAACUCACUCGUGGCAAAUUUCGACUAUACGUUCUGCAAAUUCAGCCAAACCAUACAUGCAUGAACAAAACUAAAAUGUAGUUCUAAUCACAACUGCAGUUAUAAUGUUUACCCCUCUGAUUUUUCUCCAAAACAAAUUCAGUUCAAAACAAUAAUUAAAUAGCCACAUUUUGUUCGUCAAAAUAAAUGCCCAAAUUUUCAAUUAACAAAUCAUCUUCUCUAAACUAAAAAUCCCACAUCUCUAAAAUCAAUCUACAUAAUGUUGGAGAUGAGGGGUGAAUUGUUAACUCAGUAAAAAAAACUCAUGCAUAAUAUUACUAAUAAUAUAAAAUAUAUAUUAAUCAUUAUAAAGAAUCAUAAUUAGAAAAAUUAAUCAUUUUAUAAUUUAUUACACAAGUAAGAUAAAUCUCAUAAUAAGUUAUAACAUAAAAAAAACGUUAUCAAUAUAUAAUCAUUUAAGAAGUCAUUUAACAAUAAAAUCGUUCUUUAAUCAGUUGGUCAUGUCACAUAGUGUCAUCUAUAUUUACGGUGAUAAUAUUAUUACUCAGUAUUAUCAAAAAACAUGAUUUAACAUUUAGAGGAAAUUCUUGCCUUUUAAAAAAAACAUGUAUGCAACAACUACCCAUGCUUUAUCUUACCAUGACAAAUAUUUUCUCAAUGAAAGAAAAUUUUUUAAAAAUUGAUUUAAUGCACAAAUAUGAUGAUUUUUCCAAAAAUUAGUUUUGGAAAACAUAGUGAGAGAAAAUAGUGACGAUUAUUGUUUAGAUGUAUAAAUAGCCUAAACAUAAUCCUUAAUACCAAUAUCCUAAUGCAUCUUAUCAUCUUUCAUGAUAUUCUUUCAUUUAUGUCCAUUGGUUCAAGAUUUGAAUUUGAUCAUUAAAUCAUGUUCAAUAAUAUUAGAGAUUCUAACAAAUGAGUACCAACUUAAAUCCCAAUGUUAUGUGUCAUUGACCAAUUUUGUGUCAUUUUGUUAUUAACUAGGUGAUGAAUUUGUAGUUGAUAAAAUCACUUAAAAAUAUCUUAAAAAUCAAACAAUAGUUUGCUUAAUUUUUCCAAGUUAACUGCUCAAGAUGCUCUAUUAUAAAUAAUAACCUAAUUAUAUUCAUAAAAAAUGAUAUUUUUUUUGUGGUGUUGAUAAUGAGAUUAUCAUUCAACAUUUUAAAAUGUGAAAACAUAUGGAAGAUGGUUGUAAAUUGAUUGAAUGAAAACAUUUCAGUGAAGUCUCAAAAAUUUGGUACUUGUUGUCUUAUCGAAAGUUUUCUAAAUUAUAUUCGUGGCACAGCCACUAUCCAAACCAUACAAGUCCAAAGCUAUCCAAACCAUACCUGCAAGUCCGGGGCUUAAAUGGAGUACUUCUAAGCAAAAAAACAUUGACUAAAAUAGAAUAUAUACAUACAGACACACAUACAUACCAGCAUAUUCAAAAUAGCAAAAGGAGUGCAAAAGUUCAAGUUUGUAGACAACAUUGCAACCAUAGCAUGUUUAUAGCAAAUCCUCAAAAUCUGCUAAAUAAAACAAUGCCCUGUCUCAUGAAUCAAUGCUGAAUUAAAAUUGAAACUGAAAGUCUGGAUGGUUUUGUUUGUUGAGAAUGUCAAAUAAAACGGCAUUGAAGGAAGUUUUCAAAGGCAGAAUCCGCACUUGUCAAAGGGAUGAUCUGCACUUGUCAAAGACACUAUCCGCGCCGAACGGAUCGACACAUUUCCUUCCGUAUUCACAUAUGUAAUCUUUGAAAAAAUAUAGCUUCUGCAUCUAUAAAUAACGCUCAGUGUAUAAUGUUUUAUUCAAGAAAUAAAAACAAGUUUCUACAUGGUAUCAGAGCCAUGAAUGCGCUCAAGUUUCUUCAAGUUUCGCUGCUCUGUUUGUCACAAAAACAGAGGAAACCAAUUAAAUUCGUCCCACAACCAUUUUUUCCACCAUUUUCUUCCUUAAAAUCAUUCCUAACAUUACAGAAAUCCAUGCCGAUCAAAAAACAUGAAAGACAAAUUACACAUGUGCAGUAACCAAUGAUCAUAUUUCGUUACUGUCAAACACAAUGCAUCUGAGCAAAACAUUGGAAGCCAACACCAGAAUACAUAUGAAUAAACAAUUAAAGAUAGAGAAAAAAGGCUUAAACCUUGGGGGGAAAAAGUGAAAAAACAUGAAAGACAAAUUACACAUGUGCAGUAGCCAUCGAACUUAUCAGUGACAGCUGCAUCCAUUACAUUGCUCCAACAACACAAUGGCAAACCACCAGUUUCAAAUUGAGGAUAGCUAUCGAGAAUGAGAAAGUGUCCAAAACGUCAUAAAUAGACAUGUUCCGAUUGUGCAUAAUUUACAUUAUAGGCAAAUAUUCUUAUACCAUCAAAGGCAAAACAUGACACUAACAAUUGAUCACCCCCCCCCCCCCCCCCCCAACAACAAAAAAAAGGAAAAAAACAAUACAGAAAAGAUUGAAACAGAUAAGGCUACACUGAGCACAGGAUGCCAUGAAACAUAAUCCAGGAACCAAAUUAAUAAAAAAGGAAGCCAAACCAUUAUUUAACAAUCUGUUUUGUAUUUGGGAAAGUCUGAUAAAAUCUACUUGGGGAUAAUUAGAGAACCUCAACUAUUAAUCACACCUCAUAAAUGAACUAACAUUAAACAUCUACCAUCCCAACGUCACACAAACAUUCUCUACACUUCUGAACCUAAUACUUCCAUCUUCAAUUGGGGUUUUUUUUUCUUUUUCUUUGGGGGGGGGGGGGGGGGGGAUUGAAAUGCUGAUUUCGAAUCACUAACAGUAAAAUUGGAAGCUCAUGAAAAAAUAGUUUUAUCUCAAAAUUACAUCUCGAUAUAAAUUCUCUUUUCAUUUCCUUCAACUUUCUAAUUAAGCUUAAAAAAUGUACCUUCAACCACAAAGGGGUUUAAAAUUUAAAAUAUAAAAAAUAAAUUCAGAUAACAAUAAUUAAUUUAAUUAAAAAUAUAAAUAGAGUUACAGAGAAAGAGAAAAUAGAGAAAGACGUAAUGUUGAGUCCUUUGGCGCAAGUCUCUUCAUAGGUCCGAACCAUUUCUUCGGGCGUGGGUUUCGGGUCUUUAGGAUACUCCAUAGUGAUAAGCCAGUGAUUGUAAUCGCAACCCUCGAACAGAAUCGUGUCGGGUGUGAUCUCGUCGCCGUCCUUAUACAAGUGGUACGUCUUGUUAACCGACGGCGUAGACGAGAGGGAGAUCGUCGGGGACGAUCUGAACGGCCGAGAUUGGAUAAUGAUGGAGGAGGAGAAGAUUAGCGAUGACGACGCCGAUGAAAUGGAAGGGUUUACCAGAGGAGUGGAUGCGAAGAAUGCAGGGACGGCCGCAAAGAGAGAGCGGCGGAGAGCGGCGACGGACGGUAGUGACCAGCGGAGGCGGAAAAUGGCGGUAUGGGCCAUUGCUUGCGCGUCGGUGAGUGUCUCGAGUGAGAGAGUGAAGGGUUUUGGGAAAUGAAAAAUGCAAAUGUUUGAUUUUGUUGCUAGAAACUUCUUCUGCCGCUGCCUUUUAUUUUCGCUAUAAUAAUAAUAAUUUGUUAAUCAAAUAUUUUCUUAAAAAAGAUAAAUUUCUACAACAAAAUUUAUAUUAAAUCAAAUUGUAAAAAUGUCUAUUAGGGUUAAUUUCUCCUUAAUAUUAUUAUUAGUAGAUGUAGAUUUUCGAAUUAGUCUUGAUAUAUUUCAGAGUUGUAUUAUAAAUGUAUAUGUAUCUGGAUUGCAAUUAUAUUUUUAAAAAAUAUAAUUUUUUUAAUUAUUGCACAAUAAAUGUAAAUAGUAUCUAUAAAAUAAUAUUAUUAGGACUACGAAAAAAAUAUUAUUUUAGAGAAGUUAUUUAUUUAUUAUUGAAUGAAUAAAAAAAUUAGUUUGGCAUUUUUAUAACCUCCUUGAAGGUUUUACGAUAAACAUAAAUCUACUGAGAAAGUGGGAAAAAAAAAAGAAAAUGCAUAUAAAAGUAUGAGUUAUCAGAUAAGAUUAAAACUCACCCAAUUCAAUCCAUCAGAUUCCGUAAGGAUAUAACUGGAUGUCAUACCGCCACUCCAUAUCCUCGAAAGUCCGUAGUCCUUGUCUCAACUGUGUCUGAGGCCAGUGUAAGUCCAAUUUGCGCAAGCUCUUUAUGCACCACAGCUCUUCUGGAAGCUUUCUCAAGUAAGCACAUGGGUUGACAAUUAAGCUUUCAAGUUUCGGCAUUGCUCCAGCCCCCAUCGUCCACUCAUCUAGCCAAUACAUUGAUUUCAGGUGCAAAACCUUAAGUUCGGGAAAGCUACUCAAGCCAACACAAGCAAGCUUUCUUCCUAAAUACGAGUUCUGCUUCAGUUUCAGCACUCGAAGGCGUGGAAGAUUUUCCAGAAUUGGCAUGGGAUCCUCCAUUAGCUCAGUAUUUGAUAAGCUCAGUUGGAUCAGACUUGGGGGAAAUUGGUAUUCAGACAGGACCAUCCGUGAGGGCUUGCUCUCAUUCACCAGCUUCAAGCAUUCAAGUUUGUGGAGUUCGCAAAGGCUUUUGGAAACCCCAGAUUGAUAGUAACUCAAAUCUCCAGAUAUCCGAAGAGUCUGAACACUAGGUAGUCUGCCCAAUAUAUCAGGAGUACAACUGCUACGGUUUAAAGCUGAUAUGAAAAUGAGAUUUUUCAGAGAGCUAGAAUAAUUUUUUGGAGGUGCGGGCAGAGUGAUAGAACCAAAGUUUAGAUGCAUGAGUUUUUGCAUCAUCCAAAUAUCCUCUGGUGACUGAUCUAUGUAGCUAAAUGGCAUUUCUAGUGUUUCAAGGUUUAAAAGGGUGCAUAGCAGUGAAGGAAGACAUUUGAGCGAAGGGAUAUUCAAUUUCAAAUACUUCAAAAGAUAUAAAUUUUCUAAUCCGGGCGGAUAUUGGUCCAGGACUGCAGAACCCAUGUUCAAUACCCGAAGGUGUUUGAACUUUUUACAAAAAUUCUCGCAAUCUAUCAGAGCGAGACGAUCGCUUUCUGAACUGUGAUUCAGAAAAGAUUGGAGACGCAUGUCAGAAUAUUCUAAAGGAAAGAAGUCAAUCAGACGUUCCACAAUGAAGCACCGUUUAACAUUUGCCACUGAUUCCUCUUCCAUGUCAGGCGUCCAGACAAAUCCCGCCUUCUUUGCCAGAAAAUACAAUGAAGUGUAUACAAAACUUGGAACAUAACACGCUUUAAUUGUGCCGCCGGCGCUUCUCUUACUCACUUGAAUGAAGCCGCGAUGGAUUAGUUCUUUCAAGAAAUGGUCGGCAGUUUCUUCACCGUUGUAUGGUACGAAACCUUCAGCUACCCACAACUGAUGUAAUUGCCUCCUGGAUAUCUCAAUACUUGGAGGGAAGACACACAAAUAGAUGAAGCAGACUUUCAAAUGAAAAGGUAACUCCAUCACAGAAAAAAUUUGUCUCCAAACUGUCGGAAUCGCUUCGCCUUGAAGAUAAUUUUCUAAUGGCAUACUUCCAUAGUGUAGGAUGAAAAAUUGCCAGGCUUCAUGCUUUAAUCUGAUCAAUGGUCCUCCAAAGAGCACUGAAUCACGCCGAAUCUUCUCUCCGUUUUCCAUUUCCAACGACGCAAGGAGGUCUGGAUUAGUGACUGUUAUCAAUACUCUGCUUCCAUUCUGCUUAUCAGGAAGAACUUCUUCAAGAUCAUCCCAUAUGUCACUGUCAUUGAAGACAUCAUCAAGCACAAUAAAGUACUUCUUGUUUGUCAGGUAAUCUCGAAGAAUAGAUUUCUUCAAGCGAUAAUCUUCACUGAUAAUUACCCUAGCCCGAGAUGGAGGCAUCAAAGAAUUGAUUAUGUCAUCCAAUAUCUUGCCAAAAUCGUAGGCUAUAGAAACCCUGACCCAAGAAAGACAGUCAAAAUAGAACUUGACAUGGUUAUUAUUGUAAGUAUCUGCAGCAAAAGCAGUCUUAUCGAAGCCACUGCUGUCGAGAAUUGCAACCACUGAAAGCCCAGAUGGUCCCUCAAUCAAUAGAUCAAAAAACUUCUCUCUGCCCCUUUCAAAUUCACUGAUAUCGAGCCGAGGUUGUCCCUCAUUCAAUAGGCGAAUGAUUUCGUUACUUUUUUCACUGAUAUCAAAACCAUUGUCGCCGGGUGGAAGUUGUUGCAUCCGAUUUCUAAUAUCAAUGAUUUUAGUGUGGAGUCCAACAAGAAGAGCCAUAUCAGUACUGCUUUCACUUUCGUUUUCACUGUUUUGCUGCUGCAUUAUGUUGAUGAAGAAUCUGUCAAUGGCUUCCUCAGAUUCAUGGACAACGGGAUUGAUGUCCUCCAGAAUUUCCAAAAUAUCUGCUGUUUCAACGUCUUCUUUAUCGCUUUCUUCUAAGUCCAACAGUUGCAAAAAAGGCAAUGAUAUUUUGGAGUCAUCGAAUUCUUCUCUAAUGAGUUGAAACAAAUGCCGAGCCAUGUCAGCUUCAUAUUUUCCCAGCAGAGUAGUAGCAAUAAUUUCGGACUCCGUAAGAAGGUUUUGAAAAAGUGGAGUUAAAUUUGUUGAAUCAGGCAAAGUUAACGUGCCUUCUUCACCUGCUAACACCCUUUUCAACCUCACACAAAACAGUCGGAGGUGGAGUUCCAGCAUAUCUCCUUCUCUCCGCAGCACUCAGAGGUAUAGUUGAAAGAUUAAACACCAUGGAAGAAUUUGAAAGGAAUAUGCCAAGAAACUGUGUAAGUGGCUAAAUUCCACAAAUGCGGCAUUAUUGCUCAUUUUUAACUCAAAAAAUUGAUACGCGUUCAUUUAGAGAAAAGUCCAAGACGCGUGCCUUUUGAAAAGAACAGGUAUCCCAAUCGGUAUCCAACCUCUAUCUUAUUUAAUUACUAUCAUGACAUAAUUGAUGGUGCUUAAAUCAAUUGUUUCUUUUUUAAUUUAAAGAAUUUUUCAUUAAAAAAAUAUUUUAAUAUCAAAUUGCCUUCAGUGGCGUAACUGCCUCAAGCCCAGUAACAGGACUAAUUAAAGAUUUUACAAUUUUUGGGCAUGGAAAUAGUAGUAUUAAAUAUUAGAAAGGUGAGGUUGUUCUGUUAAAGAAUUGAUCUUGACAUAAUUUUAUUUUGGUUUUCGUGGAAAAAUAAAAUUUGUUGACAAGCAAGAAAAUAUUUUUAUAUUUUAAAAUUUAUUAUGCAUAUUUUAUCAUAUUAAAGUAGUUUUAAUAAUAAAUAGAAACAUAAUAUUACGAUAAAUAAAUUAAAAUUUAACUUAUUUUGAAUAUUAUAAAAAAAAUUUUAAUAUUAUUAAUAGGAAGACAUUGUAUUAAUUUUAAAAUUUUUUAACCCAAAGGUUUAUUUAAAAUCUUUAUUAUAAAUACAAAUAUAAAAUUAAAUAUCAUAAUUUAAAAAUUUUAAUAUUAUUUUAAGUAUUAAAAAUAUUUUAAUGUUAUUAGUCUACUACAUAGAUCAUAUUACUUAUAUAAUAUUUGUAUUAUUAAAAAUUCUUAAAAUCAAAUUUUUAGUUAGUAUAUUCAUGAGGUAUUAUGGUUAAAAAAAAAAAAGACCUUAUUAUUACUUUUUAAAAAAUUGAGGGUCUGCGUGAUAAUUUUUUCAAAAAGAAAAUGCUUGGUAUGUAGGAGGGGUAGAGAAACAGGACUCCCAAAAUCUCUCACCCUUCUUUAAUUAAAAAUAAAUAAAAUAUUAAUAAAAAAUAAUAAAGAAAAUAGAAUUUUAUCUGCUCCUUACUCCAUUUUUGUAACUCUCUCACCAUCUCUGUCGAGCAGCCCUCUCUUUCGUUGUCUCUCACUAUUUCACGAUCUCUCUCUCACUCACACAGUCCUUUAAAAAAGCCCAAAAUAGGCCCAAUAAGCCCAUAAUUAAAAUAAUCGAAUCGAAUUAUUUUAAUUAAUCGAGUAUUUGAUUAUUUCGGUAAUUUAAUUAAUCGCAAUUAUGAUUUUAAAAUAAUCGUAAUCGAACGAUUAUGAAAAAUUUAGUAAAAAAACCGAACUGAACCGAACCGCACCCACCCCUACAUAAAAGAACAUCAAUUACUUGUCAUUUUCAAUUUUUUCUAUAAGCUAUUUAUUUUGAGCAUUAGUGAUCUUGUCUGGACUACUCCAAUUAUUGACGUAACUCCAGUGGCUGCAUCCACUGGAAAAAGUGGAUGAUAACAUUUUUUUUUUUUUCAUAAAGGUAACUACUCCAAUUAUUGACAUAAUUGAUGGUGCUUAAAUCAAUUUUUUUUUUAAUUUAAAGAAUUUUGCUUUAAAAAAUAAUUAAUAUCAAAAUGCCUUCAAUGUUGUUACCGCCACAAGCCCAGUUAGAGGACUCAUUAAAACUUUUAGAAUUUUUAGGCCUGGAAAGCAUAGUAUUAAACAUCAGAAAGCAAAGGUUGUUAUGUCGAAGAAUUGAUGUCGACAAAAUUUUAUUUUAGUUUUCGGAAAAAAAAAAUUUGUUGACAAGCAAGAAAAUAUUUUUUAUACUUUACAAUCUGCUAUACAUAUUUUAUCAUAUUAAAGUAAUUUUAAUAAUAUAUGGAAACAUAAUAUUAUAAUAAAUAAAUUAAAAUUAAAAUUACUUUGAAUUAUUAAAUAUUACAAAAAGAUAAUUUUAAUAUUAUUAAUAGGAAAACAUUUUUAAUUGUAAAAUCUUUUUAAUACAAAAAUUCAUUUAAAAUCUUUAUAAUAAAUACAAAUAUAAAAUUAAAAAUAUCAUAAUUUAAAAUUUUUAAUAUUAUUUUAAUAUUAAAAAUACUUUAAUAUUAUUAGUCUACUACAUAAAAUAUAUUAUUUAUAUUAUAUUCGUAUUGAUUAAAACGUUUUAAAGUCAAAUUUUUAAUUAUUGUAUUCAAAGGUACAAAAGAUUUUAGUAUUAUUUUUUAAAAAUUUUAGGAUAUGAAUGAUAAUUUUUUCGAAUUUUAAAGAUGUAAGAAUCUUUUUUUCUAAUAAUUUAUUUCACUUUUGAGAGAAUCCGAAAACGUUAAUUUAACAUUCUUUACCUUUGUGAAAAAAGUGAAAAUCAAGAACUAUUCAAUUUUGUUUUUAUUUGUAAUUCAAAAACUUUAUUCAUUUUCGAUGCUUUUCGAAAGAGAUUCCGUUAAAUCCUUUUGGUGUCGGCAGCUCCUGCUAUUCUCAUAAAUCUCCAUUCCACAUCUACACUAUCAAACAAGUUGAUGGAAAUUCUUAUAAAAAAAAAACAAGUCGAUGGAAAUUGAUCAAUUACUUUUUGAAGUGGACCCAUUGAGUCAUGUUCAUUUCUGGUCAUUGUCUACUCUUUCCAUCAGCCAUUUAUUUUGACCAUUUGCGAUCUUAAAGGAUAUGAGAACGUAGCUGAAGUGCUGAAGGGGCUAUUAAAGAAGAGUGUCACUUGAUCACAAUCACAUUGAUGCACAACUCACUCGUGGCAAAUUUCGACUAUACGUUCUGCAAAUUCAGCCAAACCAUACGUGCAUGAACAAAACUAAAAUGUAGUUCUAAUCACAACUCCAGUUAUGAUGUUUACCCCUCUGAUUUUUCUCCAAAACAAAUUCAGUUCAAAACAAUAAUCAAAAUAGCCACAUUUUGUUCGUCAAAAUAAAUGCCCAAAUUUUCAAUUAACAAAUCAUCUUCUCUAAACUAAAAAUCCCACAUCUCUAAAAUCAAUCUACAUAAUGUUGGAGAUGAGGGGUGAAUUGUUAACUCAGUAAAAAAAACUCAUGCAUAAUAUUACUAAUAAUAUAAAAUAUAUAUUAAUCAUUAUAAAGAAUCAUAAUUAGAAAAAUUAAUCAUUUUAUAAUUUAUUACACAAGUAAGAUAAAUCUCAUAAUAAGUUAUAACAUAAAAAAAACGUUAUCAAUAUAUAAUCAUUUAAGAAGUCAUUUAACAAUAAAAUCGUUCUUUAAUCAGUUGGUCAUGUCACAUAGUGUCAUCUAUAUUUACGGUGAUAAUAUUAUUACUCAGUAUUAUCAAAAAACAUGAUUUAACAUUUAGAGGAAAUUCUUGCCUUUUAAAAAAAAACAUGUAUGCAACAGCUACCCAUGCUUUAUCUUACCAUGACAAAUAUUUUCUCAAUGAAAGAAAAUUUUUUAAAAAUUGAUUUAAUGCACAAAUAUGAUGAUUUUUCCAAAAAUUAGUUUUGGAAAACAUAGUGAGAGAAAAUAGUGACGAUUAUUGUUUAGAUGUAUAAAUAGCCUAAACAUAAUCCUUAAUACCAAUAUCCUAAUGCAUCUUAUCAUCUUUCAUGAUAUUCUUUCAUUUAUGUCCAUUGGUUCAAGAUUUGAAUUUGAUCAUUAAAUCAUGUUCAAUAAUAUUAGAGAUUCUAACAAAUGAGUACCAACUUAAAUCCCAAUGUUAUGUGUCAUUGACCAAUUUUGUGUCAUUUUGUUAUUAACUAGGUGAUGAAUUUGUAGUUGAUAAAAUCACUUAAAAAUAUCUUAAAAAUCAAACAAUAGUUUGCUUAAUUUUUCCAAGUUAACUGCUCAAGAUGCUCUAUUAUAAAUAAUAACCUAAUUAUAUUCAUAAAAAAUGAUAUUUUUUUUGUGGUGUUGAUAAUGAGAUUAUCAUUCAACAUUUUAAAAUGUGAAAACAUAUGGAAGAUGGUUGUAAAUUGAUUGAAUGAAAACAUUUCAGUGAAGUCUCAAAAAUUUGGUACUUGUUGUCUUAUCGAAAGUUUUCUAAAUUAUAUUCGUGGCACAGCCACUAUCCAAACCAUACAAGUCCAAAGCUAUCCAAACCAUACCUGCAAGUCCGGGGCUUAAAUGGAGUACUUCUAAGCAAAAAAACAUUGACUAAAAUAGAAUAUAUACAUACAGACACACAUACAUACCAGCAUAUUCAAAAUAGCAAAAGGAGUGCAAAAGUUCAAGUUUGUAGACAACAUUGCAACCAUAGCAUGUUUAUAGCAAAUCCUCAAAAUCUGCUAAAUAAAACAAUGCCCUGUCUCAUGAAUCAAUGCUGAAUUAAAAUUGAAACUGAAAGUCUGGAUGGUUUUGUUUGUUGAGAAUGUCAAAUAAAACGGCAUUGAAGGAAGUUUUCAAAGGCAGAAUCCGCACUUGUCAAAGGGAUGACCUGCACUUGUCAAAGACACGAUCCGCGCCGAACGGAUCGACACAUUUCCUUCCGUAUUCACAUAUGUAAACUUUGAAAAAAUAUAGCUUCUGCAUCUAUAAAUAACGCUCAGUGUAUAAUGUUUUAUUCAAGAAAUAAAAACAAGUUUCUACAUGGUAUCAGAGCCAUGAAUGCGCUCAAGUUUCUUCAAGUUUCGCUGCUCUGUUUGUCACAAAAACAGAGGAAACCAAUUAAAUUCGUCCCACAACCAUUUUUUCCACCAUUUUCUUCCUUAAAAUCAUUCCUAACAUUACAGAAAUCCAUGCCGAUCAAAAACAUGAAAGACAAAUUACACAUGUGCAGUAACCAAUGAUCAUAUUUUGUUACUGUCAAACACAAUGCAUCUGAGCAAAACAUUGGAAGCCAACACCAGAAUACAUAUGAAUAAACAAUUAAAGAUAGAGAAAAAAGGCUUAAACCUUGGGGGAAAAAGUGAAAAAACAUGAAAGACAAAUUACACAUGUGCAGUAACCAUCGAACUUAUCAGUGACAGCUGCAUCUAUUACAUUGCUCCAACAACACAAGGGCAAACCACCAGUUUCAAAUUGAGGAUAGCUAUCGAGAAUGAGAAAGUGUCCAAAACGUCAUAAAUAGACAUGUUCCUAUUGUGCAUAAUUUACAUUAUAGGCAAAUAUUUUUAUACCAUCAAAGGCAAAACAUGACACUAACAAUUGAUCACCCCCCCCCCCCCCCCCCCCAACAACAAAAAAAAGGAAAAAACAAUACAGAAAAGAUUGAAACAGAUAAGGCUACACUGAGCACAGGAUGCCAUGAAACAUAAUCCAGGAACCAAAUUAAUAAAAAAGGAAGCCAAACCAUUAUUUAACAAUCUGUUUUGUAUUUGGGAAAGUCUGAUAAAAUCUACUUGGGGAUAAUUAGAGAACCUCAACUAUUAAUCACACCUCAUAAAUGAACUAACAUUAAACAUCUACCAUCCCAACGUCACACAAACAUUCUCUACACUUCUGAACCUAAUACUUCCAUCUUCAAUUGGGGGUUUUUUUUUUCUUUUUCUUUGGGGGGGGGGGGGGAUUGAAAUGCUGAUUUCGAAUCACUAACAGUAAAAUUGGAAGCUCAUGAAAAAAUAGUUUUAUCUCAAAAUUACAUCUCGAUAUAAAUUCUCUUUUCAUUUCCUUCAACUUUCUAAUUAAGCUUAAAAAAUGUACCUUCAACCACAAAGGGGUUUAAAAUUUAAAAUAUAAAAAAUAAAUUCAGAUAACAAUAAUUAAUUUAAUUAAAAAUAUAAAUAGAGUUACAGAGAAAGAGAAAAUAGAGAAAGACGUAAUGUUGAGUCCUUUGGCGCAAGUCUCUUCAUAGGUCCGAACCAUUUCUUCGGGCGUGGGUUUCGGGUCUUUAGGAUACUCCAUAGUGAUAAGCCAGUGAUUGUAAUCGCAACCCUCGAACAGAAUCGUGUCGGGUGUGAUCUCGUCGCCGUCCUUAUACAAGUGGUACGUCUUGUUAACCGACGGCGUAGACGAGAGGGAGAUCGUCGGGGACGAUCUGAACGGCCGAGAUUGGAUAAUGAUGGAGGAGGAGAAGAUUAGCGAUGACGACGCCGAUGAAAUGGAAGGGUUUACCAGAGGAGUGGAUGCGAAGAAUGCAGGGACGGCCGCAAAGAGAGAGCGGCGGAGAGCGGCGACGGACGGUAGUGACCGGCGGAGAGCGGAAGAUGGCGGUAUGGGCCAUUGCUUGCGCGUCAGUGAGUGUCUCGAGUGAGGAGUGAAGGGUUUUGUACUUUUGUUUAGGGUUUUGGGAAAUGAAAAAUGCAAAUGUUUGAUUUUGUUGCUAGAAACUUCUUCUGCCGCCGCUUUUUAUUUUCGCUAAAUAAUAAUAAUAAUUUGUUAAUAAAAUACUUUCUUAGAAAAGAUAAAUUUAUAGAACAAAAUUUAUAUUAAAUCAAAUUGUAAAAAUGUGGAAUAGGGCUAAUUUCUCCUGAAUAUUAUUAUUAGUAGAAGUAGAUUUUCGAAAUAGUCUUGAUAUAUUUCAAAGUUGUAUUAUAGAUGUACAUGUAUCUGGAUUGUAAUUAUAUUUUAAAAAAUAUACAUUUUUUUUCAUUAUUGCACAAUAAAUGUAGAAAGUGUCUAUAAAAUAAUAUUAUUAGAACUAUGAAAAUAUAUUAUUUUAGAGUAGUUAUUUAUUUAUUUUUGAAUAAAUAAUUUAUUAAUUUAUUAAUUUAUUGAUAAAUUAAUAAAUAUUAAUUUAAAGAGAGAUUUUUUUUUUUGGGGGUUUUUAAGAAGAGUUUUGUUGGUAUAUGUACAAACUUAUAAAGAAAUACAAAAAAUGCUUCCUCAAGUCAAUAGUAUUUACUUUAAUUCAUAAUAGUAUAGUUUAAUCAAGAAACUUAUAAUUAUACUAUAUCUUUCUUUCUUUGUUCUAUUUGGUGGGACAUUGUGAUAAAUCAUUGGAUUAAAAUGCAUUUCUAAAUGAAAACUUGUUAAAACCUAAUUUAUUUGGGAACGACAUUUUAUUUGUCAGUCGUAUUUCUCAACUUCGUAAGUUAUUUCUAAUUUAUCGGUCUCUAUUGGUUCUCUUAAGUACCUAUUUGGCAUGACUUAUUUAAUAGUAAUAAGUGCUUAUUUAAUCUCAUAAGUUUUUUCCCUCUCUGACAAUUGAGUUAGGGGGUCAAACUUGAAAGUAUCUUAAAAUUAGACAACAAUUUAACUAUUUUUUUUUUUUUAGAUAACUGCUAAUAUGCUCUAUUAGACAAUGAUGAGUGAUAACCUAGGUGUUUGCAUUUAAAGGGAUACUUUUUGUGGUGUUGAUAAAGAGGUUAAGUAUGAUUCAACAAUUUAAAAUAUGAAAACAUAUGGAAGACGGCCGCAAUUAAAUUAAUUGUAUGAAAAUAUUUCAAUGAAAUUUUAAAAAUUUAGUAUUUGUUAUCUUAUCGAGAGUUUUUUAAAAUUAUAUUACUACUUGAACUUGACUGCUUUUGUAUUUAAUUCCUACCGUUGCCAUUGCUUCUACUCAAAAGCCAUUUAAGUUUGUGUAAGCUACGUAUAGUUUGAACAACAAUUUACUCAUGAAUUGUUGUUCAUAAUAGCAUCAGUGCAUGCAUCAUUUUAAUGAGAAAGAAUAUUCUAAGAACGAAAUUGAACGUGGGAGGUAUCGGGAAGGAAUUGGAAUGGAAUAAUAUCGAUUCAUAUAGAUACAGAAGAAAAAGUUCUCUAUUGAUUCAAAUGCUGUGCCUAUGGGAUAAGGAUAGAGAAAGAGGAAAAAACCGAAGCCAGAAAUGUACACGCAUGAGGAACUUUUCCUAGAAGAUUGAUAUUUCUUUGACUAGCAAACCAUACAAGUCCAAAGCUAGCCAAACCAUACCUGCAAGUCGGGGGUUUAAAUGGAAUACUUCUAAGCAUAAAACAUUGAUUAAAACAGAAUACACACAUACAUACCAGCAAAUUCAAAAUAGCAAAAGGAGUGCAAAAGUUCAAGUUUGUAGACAACAUUGCAACCAUGGCAUGUUUAUAGCAAAUCCUCGAAAUCUGCUAAAUAAAACAAUGCCCUGUCUCAUGAAUCAAUGCUGAAUUAAAAUUGAAACUGAAAGUCCGGCUGGCGUUGUUUCCCUCUCCAAUUUUGCCUACAUAAGUGAAAAUAAGAAUAAUAAAUGAAAAUCUGCUUUUACGGUUCUUAUUAGAUAGAUAAAAGGGGGAUCUUUCUUUGUUUCUCUGCUGCAAUGUGUGGCUAUCCCACUCUGUUUUGCCACCCAAGCUGAGUCUAUGCUGAGACAUAAUUUUGACAUCAGAAGCAAUCUCAAUUAGUUUGGCACUUUUAAGCAAUCUCAUAUUUUGCUCACUUGAAGGUUUUACGAUAAACAUAAAUCUACAGAGAAAGUGGGAAAAAAAAAAGAAAAUGCAUAUAAAUAUAUGAGUUAUCAGAUAAGAUUAAAACUCACCCAAUUCAAUCCAUCAGAUUCCGUAAGGAUAUAACUGGAUGUCAUACCGCCACUCCAUAUCCUUGAAAGUCCGUAGUGUUUGUCUCAACUCUGUCUGAGGCCAAUGUAAAUUCAAUUUGCGCAAGCUCUUUAUGCACCACAGCUCUUCUGGAAGCUUUCUCAAGUAAGCACAUGGGUUGACAAUUAAGCUUUCAAGUUUCGGCAUUGCUCCAGCCCCCAUCGUCCACUCAUCUAGCCAAUACAUUGAUUUCAGGUGCAAAACCUUAAGUUCCGGAAAGCUACUCAAGCCAACACAAGCAAGCUUUCUUCCUAAAUACGAGUUCUGCUUCAGUUUCAGCACUCGAAGGCGUGGAAGAUUUUCCAGAAUUGGCAUGGGAUCCUCCAUUAGCUCAGUAUUUGAUAAGCUCAGUUGGAUCAGACUUGGGGGAAAUUGGUAUUCAGACAGGACCAUCCGUGAGGGCUUGCUCUCAUUCACCAGCUUCAAGCAUUCAAGUUUGUGGAGUUCGCAAAGGCUUUUGGAAACCGCAGAUUGAUAGUAACUCAAAUCUCCAGAUAUCCGAAGAGUCUGAACACUAGGUAGUCUGCCCAAUAUAUCAGGAGUACAACUACUAGGGUUUAAAGCUGAUAUGAAAAUGAGAUUUUUCAGAGAGCUGGAAUAAUUUUUUGGAGGUGCGGGCAGAGUGAUAGAACCAAAGUUUAGAUGCAUGAGUUUUUGCAUCAUCCAAAUAUCCUCUGGUGACUGAUCUAUGUAGCUAGAUGGCAUUUCUAGUGUUUCAAGGUUUAAAAGGGUGCAUAGCAGCGAAGGAAGGCGUUUGAGCAAAGGGAUAUUCAAUUUCAAAUACUUCAAAAGGAAUAAAUUUUCUAAUCCGGGUGGAAAUUGGUCGAGAACUGCAGAACCGAAGUUCAGUACCCGAAGGUGUUUGAACUUUUUACAAAAAUUCUCGCAAUCUAUCACAGCGAGAUGAUCGCCUUCUAAACUUUGAUUGAUAAAAGAUUGGAGAUAGAUCUCACCAUGUUCUAAAGAAAUGAAGUCAGUCAGAUGUUCCAAAAUGAUGUAGCGUUUAACAUUUGCAAAUGGUUCCGCUUCCAUUCCAGGCAUCCAGAGAAAUUUCGUCUUGUCUGCCACCAAACCCAAUGAAGUAUAUACAAAACUUGGAACAUAGCAAGCUUUAAUUGUGCCGCCGGCUCUUCUCUUACUCACUUGAAUGAAGCCGCGAUGGAUUAGUUCUUUCAAGUAAUGUUCGGCAGUUUCUUCACCGUUGUAUGGUAUGAAACCUUCAGCUACCCACAACUGAUAUAAUUGCUCCGUAGAUAUCUCCAUACUUGGAGGGAAGACCAACAAAUAGAUGCAGCAGACCUUCAAGUGAAAAGGUAACUCCAUCACAGAAAAAAUUUGUCUCCAAACUGUCGGAAUCGCUUCGCCUUGAAGAUAAUUUUCUAAUGGCAUACUUCCAUAGUGUAGGAUGAAAAAUUGCCAGGCUUCAUGCUUUAAUCUUAUCAAUGGUCCUCCAAUGAGCACUGAAUCACGCCGAAUUUCCUCUCCAUUUUCCAUUUCCAACGACACAAGGAGGUCUGGUUCAGUGACUGUUAUCAAUACUCUGCUUCCAUUCUCAUCAUCAGGGAGAACUUCUUCCAGAUCAUCCCAUAUCUCACAGUCAUCGAAGACGUCAUCAAGCACAAUAAAAUACUUCUUGUUUGUUAGGUAAUCUCGAAGAAUAGAUUCCUUGAAUUGAUAAUCUUCACCGAUAAUUACACUAACCCGAGAUGGAGGCAUCACAGACUUGAUUAUGUCAUCCAAUAUCUUGCGAAAAUCGUAGAGUAGAGAAACCCUGACCCAAGCAAGACAGUCAAAAUAGAACUUGACAUAGUUAUUAUUGUAAGUAUCUGCAGCAAAAGCAGUCUUAUCGAAGCCACUGCUGUCGAGAAUUGCAACCACUGAAAGCCCAGAUGGUCCCUCAAUCAAUAGAUCAAACAACUCCUCUCUGCCCCUUUCAAAUUCACUGAUAUCAAGCCGAGGAUGUCCCUCAUUCAAUAGGCGAAUCAUUUCGUUACUUUUUUCACUGAUAUCAAAACCAUUGUCGCCGGGUGGAAGUUGUUGCAUCCGAUUUCUAAUAUCAAUGAUUUCACUGUGGAGUCCAUCAGGAAGAGCCAUAUUAGUGCUGCUUUCACUUUCGUUUUCACUGUUUUGCUGCUGCAUGAUGUUGAUGAAGAAUGUGUCAAUGACUUCCUCAGAGUCACGGACAAAGUUAUUGAUGUCCUUCAGAAUUUCAAAAAUAUCUGCUGUUUCAACGUCUUCUUCAUCGCUUUCUUCUAAGUCCAACAGUUGCAAAAAAGGCAAAGAUAUUUUGGAGUCAUCGAUAUCUUCUCUAAGGAGUUGAAUCAAAUGCCGAGCCAUGUCGGCUUCAUAGUUUCCCAGAAGAGUAGUAGCAAUAAUUUCGGACUCCGUAAGAAGGUUUUGAAAAAGUGGAGUUAAAUUUGUUGAAUCUGGCAGAGGCAACGUGCCUUCUUCACCUGCUAACACCCUUUUCAACCUCUCACAAAACAGUCGGAGGUGGACGUCCAGCAUAUCUCCUUCUCUCUGUAGCACCCAGAGGUAUUGUUUUUUGCUCCAAGAAAUAUUAAAAGGAUUGGUUCUAUCUAAAAGUGGUUACUGGUGUAAAAUUAAACGCCAUGGGAGAAUUUGAAAGGAAGAUGCCAAGGAACUGGCGAAGUGGCUAAAUUCCACAAAUACGGCAUUAUUGCUCAUUUUUAACUCAAAAAAUUGAUACGCCUUCAUUUAGCGAAAAGUCCAAGACGCUUGCCUUUUGAAAAGAAGAGGUAUCCAUAGAUAUCCAACAUUUAUCUUAUUUUAAUUACUACCACGACAUGAUUGAUGGUUGUUAAAUCAAUUGUUUCUUUUUUAAUUUAAAGAAAUUUUCAUUAAAAAAUAGUUUAAUAGACACAUAAUAUUACAAUAAAUAAAGUAAAGUUUAAAUUAUUUUGAAUAUUAUAAAAAAUAAUUUUAAUAUUAUUAAUAGGAAGACAUUUUGUUAAUUUUAAAAUCUUUUUAACCCAAAGGUUUAUUUAAAAUCUUUAUUAUAAAUACAAAUAUAAAAUUAAAUAUCAUAAUUUAAAAUUUUUAAUAUUAUUUUAAGUAUUAAAAAUAUUUUAAUGUUAUUAGUCUACUACAUAGAUUUUAUUAUUUAUAUUAUAUCUGUAUUGAUUAAAAUUUUUUAAAGUCAAUUUUUUAGUCAAUAUAUUCAAGAGGUAUUAUAGUUAAAGAAAAGAUUUUGGUGUUAUUUUUUGAAAAUUUUAAGGUUUAAAUGAUUUUUUUUUUAAUUUUAAGGAUGUGGGUAUUAUUUUUCCGACAAUUUAUUUUAUUUUUGGGGAAUCCGAUGAGAAAUAUCAUGAGAGAAGGUUAAUUUUACAUUCUUUACCUUUAUGAAAAAAGUGGAAACCAAGAACUAUUCAAUUUUGUAUUUUUUGUUUGUAAUUCAAAAAAUGCAUCCACCAAACAAGCUUAUCUUGAUUUUCCCACUUUAUUCAUUUUCGAUCCUUUAAUCCAUCUAGCAUCUGCAGCCCCCGCUAUUUUCACAAAGAGUAAUGAUACAGCCACAAAUUCUUGUACAAAUUUAUUUUGUAUAAACUGACGUGGCAUGAUAAGAUUGGUUGAAUUAAAUAUCACUUGGCCCACAUGAUUUGUUUUUAUUAUUUUAUAUUUUUAUUCAACCAAUGAAUUAAUGCCACGUCAGUUUGUACAAAAUAAAUUUGUACAAGAGUUUGUGGCUGUAUCAUUACUCUGUCAAGAAUCUCCAUCCCACAGCUACACUAUCAAACAAGUUGAUGGAAAUUGAACAAUUGCUUUUUGAAGUGGACCCAUUAGGUUAUGUUCAUUACUGGUCAUUGUCUAUUCUUUCUAAGAGCCACUUAUUUUGAGCAUUAGCGAUCCUAUCUGGACUACUCCAAUUAUUGAUGUAACUCCAAUGGUUGCAUCAACAGUUGAAUGUAAGAUAGUGUCAGUUCUUUUUUGAGAAUAUAGAGGGAUCUUUAUUUGUUUCUCCGUUGCAGCGUAUUAGUAUAAAUUUCUUGACCUUACAGUUCCUACAGUCUUCCUGUUAAUGAAUUCGCUGAGGCAUUAUUGAUCCAAUCUCAGUGAAGUAAUUGUGGGUGAAAAAAAAAUAAAGGAUAAGAGAACGUAGCUCAAGUGCUGAAUUGACUAUUAAAGAAGAGCGUCACCUGAUCACAAUCACAUUGAUGCACAACUCACUCGAGGCAAAUUUCAUCUAUAUAUACUGCAAAUUCAGCCAAGCCAUGCAUGCAUGAACAAAACUAAAAUGAAGUUCAUAAUCACAACUGUAAUUAGAGCUACAAAAGGUGGCAAACCAUACAUGCAUGAACAAAAUUAGACAUAAAUUGAAGCCACAACAUUAAUUGAAGCCACAAAAGCCAGCAAAUCCAAAUGAAAACUUAAAAGGAAGAUCUUAUCGAAGUUUGUCCCCAAAAGACAGCGGAAAUGAAAAAUAUUGACUAUCGAGUGGAUCAAUGCUGAAUUACAUUUGACCUGGAAAGCUUGGCUGCAGUUGCGAUGUUCCCCCUCUGAUUUUCCCUAAAACAAAUUCAGUUGUAAACAAUAACUGGAGUAGCAACAAUUUAUUCAUUAUAGAAAAUACCUAAAUUUUCAACUAUCAAAUCCUCUUGUCUAAACUAAAAAACUCAUAUCUCUAAAAUCUAUAUACAAAAUGUCAUAAAUGAGGGUGAUCUCUCAAUUCGGUAAACAAAUUCAUGCAUAAUAUUACCAAUAAUGAUAAAUUACAUAAUAAUUAUUAUAAAGAAUCAUAAAUUGGAAACAUUAAUCAUUUUAAAAUCUAUUACAUAAUAAAAAUAAAUCUUAUAAUAAGUUACGUUAGAACAUAACAAAUAUUUAAAAUGAUAUAUAUAAUUAUUUAAGAAGUCUUUUAACAAUAAUUUUUUUUUUCUUUUUCAGUUGAUCAUGUCAUAGCGUUAUCUAAAAUGCUAGCGAUAUCAUUAUUCCCCACUUUUCUCAAAAAAAAGAAAAAGAUAAAGAAAAAAGAAAUAUGAUUAACGUUUGGAGAAAAGUCAUGCCUUUUAAAAAGAAUAUGUAUACAAUACCAAUUCAUACUUUAUCUUACCAUAAAAAAAUUGUUUAAAAUAGAUUUAAUGCACAAAUAUGAUGACUUUUGGCAGAAAUGAGUUUCGGAAAUAUUGGGAUGAAAACCAUAUUGGUUCAGACUUAAAAUUACUUAAUAAAAUUACUUAACUACCAUUUAAUAAAUAAAAAUCAUAUUAGUUGAAAGUUAAAUUAAGAUUUAAAUGUUGAGAUAUCUAACGUUACUCAAUCAGAAUAAACAAUAAUCAAUUCAAAUUAUGACUAUCAUGUAGAAGCAAAUGUUUAUGCUUGGGUCUUUUACUUCUUGAAUUUGAUUGGAAAAAUUUCUGAGACAGGGAAGUGAGUGUUUUGGAUAAUAUUUUUCGGGAUUGAAACCACAAGUUGGUCGAGGAAAAUAAUUUUGGACAAAUUUUUAUUAUAUUGUAGAACCUUUUUGGUUCCUUUUGUGUCGGCAGCCCCUCACUAUUCUCUUAACCCUGAGUUUUGAGAUAGAAAUUUCCCGAACUCCAACCCCACAUCCACAGACAAGUUGAUUGAAACAAUUGCUCUUGUAAUUAAGAGGAUGAGUUAGGGUUCAGUUCUUAUCAUUGUCUGUUAUUUCUUUGAAUCAUUAUCUUAGUUAAUUACAUCAAUUGUUUCUUUUCUUAAUUUAAAGAAUUUUUCUUUUAAAAAAAUAUUUUAAUAUCAAAAUGCGUUAAAUGGUAUUACUGCCGCAAUCCCAGUAACAGGAUUAAUUAAAAAAAUAUUCUUAGGAAGAUAUUUUGUUUAUUGUAAAAUCUUUUUAACCCAAAGGUUUAUUUAAAAUCGUUAUAAUAAAUAAAAAUAUAAAAAAAAAUAAAUAUCAUAAUUUAAAAUUUUAAUAUUAUUUUAAAUAUUAAAAAUACUUUAAUGCUAUUAGUCUACUACACAGGUUAUAUUACUUAUAUUAUAUUUGUAUAAAUUAAAACUUUUAAAGUUAAAUUUUUAAUUACUAUAUUGAAAAGGUAUUAUGGUUAAAAAAAGUUUUGGCAUUUGUUUUUUGAAAAUUUGAGGGUCUGCAUGACAAUUUGUCCAAAUCCUAGAGGUAUAGGUGUCUUUUUUUUUCGAUAAUUCAUUUUACUUUUGAGGGAAUCCGAUGAGAAAUAAGAUAAGAGAAACGUCAAUUUAACGUUCUCUAGGGAAAACCAAGAACUAUUCAAUUUUGUAUUUUUUGUUUGUAAAACAAAAAACAGUUUGCCAAAAAAGGUACCAAACAUAUCCUUAAUGUCUCACAUGAUUUCUUAUUAAGUCCAUACUCGAUAUAUUUAUACAUUUUAGGUAUUUUAGUUAUAAAAGAAGUUGGUCCUCCCUCUGUUUAUAAAAGGUAACUUUAUUUCGAGAUUACCACUAAAGUCUUACAAAGAAUUAGUGUAAUGUUAAGAGAGACUAACACAGUUUUCCAUUACCAUUUUGAAAAUAGAAAGAUAUGGAUGUGUGCAUUUAAUGGUGCGUUUACUUGCCGGAUUGGGGAAUCAGAAUCUGGAAUCAGAAUGAUUGAUGGUGUUUACUUCACAAAUAUGGAGCAGGAAUCGGAAUUGGAAUGGUGGGGCCCACCACUAUUUGGGAAUGGGAGAUUGAUUCCCAUGGGGGAAGGUGGGAAUGAGUCUCUCAUUCCCUGGAUUGACCAUUUUGCCCUCCCUCAAAAUUAAAAAUGCCUACUUUGUCCUCUUUUAUAAUUAAUUAAUAUAAUAUUAUAAUUAAUUAAUUAAUAUAUAAAUAUUUUAUUAACUAUAAUUAUUAAAAAUUAUAGUUCUUGAAUAAAUAAUCACAAUAAUUAAUUUAUUAUUAUUAUUGUUAAUGAAUUAAUAUAAUUAUUACUAUUAAUUAAUAUAUUAAUAUAUUAUUAACAAUAAUAUAUUAAUAAUUAUUGUUCGUGAAUAAAUAAUCACAAUAAUUAAUAUAUUAUUAUUGAAAUUAAUUAAUUAAUAUACUAUUAUAAUAAUUAUUAUAAUUAAUUCAUAUAUUAUUAUUAAUUAAUUAAUAAAAUUAAAAUUAUUAAUUAAAUAAAUAAUAUAAUUAUUACUACUAAUUAAUAUAUUAAUAUAUUAUUAAAAAUAAUUAUUAAUAAUUAUAAUUUUUGAAUAAAUAAUCACAAUAAUUAAUAUAUUAUUUUAAUUAAGUAAUUAAUAUUAAUAUUAUUAGUUAAUAUAUUUUUAUAAUAAUUUUUGAUAUAGUUAUUAUAAUUAAUUAAAAUUUUUUACAAUUAAUUAAUAUAUUAGUUAAUAAUAAUUAUGACAAUAAUUCAUUAAGUACUUUUUAGUAAUUUGUUACAAUCUAAUUCAUUCCGAUUCCGAUUUCAAGACAAAGUAAACACAUUAAUGGCAAUCUAGCUCAUUCCGAUUUCGAUUCUUACAGUUCAAGUAAACAACUUAUUUUGAUUCCCAUUACCUAUUCCCAUUCCAGCCCAUUCUCAUUUCUGCCCAUUUCAAUUCCAGCUCAUUCCGAUUCCAGUUUAGUAAACGCAGCAUAAGAGUUAUCAUGAAAAUCAUACAAUUUAAUUUCCUGAAAUAUAUAUUUUAUUCACAUGUGCCAAAAGAAUAAAUAGAUAGAAAGUAAAUUUACAAUCCUCACUCCCUCAUAAUUGUUAAAGUGAAUAUGCAUUACAACUGUGAACUGUCACUACUUUAGCCCUUUAUUUGUUUUUUCAAUUAUAGUGUGAUGGAGACAGUGAACAUUAAGGAUAAAGUGCUCUGCUGAAAGCCAAACUUCCUUUGGCUAAUUAAUUUAGAAGUAAAGCAGAGAAUAAAGUCCUUGAUGCCUUCUGAAAUUAGAAAUACAUUUUAUAUGCUUUAAUUAUGAUUAUUUGGUAGACUAUUGACCAAAAGACAUGUUAAAGUAUAAAACAGAGCGAUUAAAGAAAAAAAAAAGGAGCGUUUGUGACGUAGAAUAACAAUUUGUAAGCAAAGUCCUAAUUUGAGUUGUCAAAAAGCAAACAUAACAGAGAAGGUAAGAGAGAUGCAAAAACAGAAAACUAUUAGCUUAUCUUGAUUUUCCCACUAUAUUCAUUUUCGAUGCUUUUCAAACGAGAUUCUUUUAAUCCUUCUGGCGUCUGCAGCCCCUGCUCUUCUUAUAAAUCUCCUUCCCACAUCUGCACUACGAACAAGUUGACUAAAAUUAAAUAAUGUUGGAGACGAGGGGUGAGCCGUCAACUUAUUAAAAAAAACUCAUGUAUAAUAUUAUCAAUAAUAUAAAAUAUAUAAUAAUUAUUAUAAAGAAUCAUAAAUUAGAAAAAUUAAUUAUUUUACAAUUUAUUUCUUAAGUAAGAUAAAUCUCGUAAUAAGUUAAGUUUAAUGUAAAAAAUAUUUUCAAUUUAUAAUCAUUUAAGAAGUCAUUUAACAAUAAAAUCUUUUUUUUGAUCAGGUGGCCAUGCCAUAGAGUAUCAUCUAUAUUCGUGGUGAUAUUAUUAUUACUCAAUAUCCUCAAAAGACACUAUUUAACAUUUAGAGAAAAUUUCUGCCUUUUAAAAAGAACAUGUAUGCAAUAGCUAGCCACACUUUAUUUUACCACGACAAAAUUGAUAGUGAUUAAAUCAAUUUUCUCAAUUAAAGAAAUUUUUUUUAAAUUGAUUUAAUGCACAAAUAUGAUGAGUUUUUGCAAAAAUUAGUUUUGGAAAAUAUAGUGAGAGAGAAUGGUGACGAUUAUUUUUCAGAUGUGCAAAUAGCCUAAACAUAAUCUCUAAUACCAAUAUCCUUGUGCAUCUUAACACCUUUCAUGAUAUUCUUUCAUUCAUAACCAUUUGUUCAAUAUUUGAAUUUGAUUAUUAAAUUAUGUUCAAUAAUGUUAGAGACCCCAACAAUUGGGUACCAACUUAAAUCCCAAUGCUAUGUGUCAAUGUAACAUAGCAAAAUCCCAUUAACAAAUGUUGUGUCAUUUAUCAUUAUUGAAUGAAUAAUUCGUUAAUUUAUUGAUAAAUGAAAAUUUAUUAAUUUAAAGAGAGAUUUUUUUUUUUGGUUUUAAGAAGAGUUUUGUUGGUACAUGUACAUACUUAUAAAGGAAAAACUUGUAAUUAUACUAUAUCUUUCUUUCUUUGUUCAGUUUGGUGGGAUAUUGUGAUAAAUCAUUGGAUUAAAAUGCAUUUCUAAAUUGAAACUUGUUAAAAUCUAAUUUAUUUGGGAAACGCAUAUUAUUUGUCAGUCGUACUUCUCAACUUAGCAAGUUAUUUCUAACUUGUCGGUCUCUAUUGGUUCUCUUAAAACUAAUAGUCUCGUAUCUCCCGCAUUUGAUAUCUUGCCAUUACUGUUGGCAUUAACAUGUUACCUGAGAUUGGGAUUCAUUAAAAUCCUCAAUGUAAUCGGUGGAACGAAUGGAUUUCUUCUGUUCACCAAUCCACCAAAAUUUCUGUAAUUAAAUUCAAAAGUCAAGAUCUAUGCUUAUAAUCUAUUCAACAGCUAAUAUUCUAUUUUAUAUUUACUUAAAUAUGAAGAGCUAUGCUUGUAGUUAACUUCAAAUGUGAUCGAAGCAGCCUUACAUCUAUAUAUUACUUAUGCCCAACCUUUUUUUUUGACUUCAUAUACAUUCUUUUCAUGUUAUUUACUCUUUUUUCCCCCUCUCUGACAAUUGAGGUAGGGGGUCAAACUUGAAAGUAUCUUAAAAUCAGACAAUAAUUUUUUUUUUUUAAAGAUAGCUACUAAUAUGCUCUAUUAGACAAUGAUAAGUAAUAACCUAGUUGUUUGCAUUAGAAAUGAUAUUUUUUGUGGUGCUGAUAAAGAGGUUGAUUAUGAUUCAACAAUUUAAAAUAUGAAAACAUGUGGAAGACGGCCGCAAUUAAAUUGAUUGUAUGAAAAUAUUUCAAUGAAAUUUUAAAAGUUUAGUACUUGUUAUCUUAUCGAGAGUUUUUUUAAAUUAUAUUACUACUUGAACUUGACUGCUUUUGUAUUGAAUUCCUACCGUUGCCAUUGCUUCUACUCAAAAGCCAUUUAAGUUUGUGUAAGCUACCUAUAGUUUGAACAACAAUUUACUCAUGAAUUGUUGUUCAUAUUAGCAAUUUGAUUGAAAGUGCGGCUGCACUAAUUUUCUAGAUGAAUUUUUUCCUACAUGCUUGUUCUCGUAUGACCCAAAAUCCUACUACAUCAGUUGUAUUAGAAAUUAAUCAACUGGGUUACAAUUAUGCAUCCCCACCAAUAUUUAAGCAAUUUAAUUACAGAAAUAUUUCUUGAGGAAAGAAACUCAUAUCGCCACUAGGCUUGUAAUGAGGCUCAUUUUUAUGAAUCUGGAUGGCAUUAGAUAUCUCUACGAAUAUUGGUGGGAGUAGAUCGCAGAUCUCUGGGCUAUACUACAAAGUUUAUGUACGUUGACUCUCAAUAAAUACAAACGAUUCUCUGAUAUGAUUCAAACAUCAGUGCAUGCAUCAUUUUAAUGAGAAAGAAUAUUCUAAGAACGAAAUUGAAGGUGCAAUCAGCAGCUAAAAUGAAGCCAGAAAUGUACAUGCAUGAGGAAUUUUUCCUAGAAGAUUGAUAUUUCUUUGACUAGCAAACCAUACAAGUCCAAAGCUAGCCAAACCAUACCUGCAAGGUGGGGGUUUAAAUGGAAUACUUCUAAGCAUAAAACAUUGAUUAAAACAGAAUACACACAUACAUACCAGCAAAUUCAAAAUAGCAAGAGGAGUGCAAAAGUUCAAGUUUGUAGACAACAUUGCAACCAUGGCAAGUUUAUAGCAAAUCCUCGAAAUCUGCUAAAUAAAACAAUGCCCUGUCUCAUGAAUCAAUGCUUAAUUAAAAUUGAAACUGAAAGUCUGGCUGACGUUGUUUCCCUCUCCAAUUUUGCCUACAUAAGUGAAAAUAAGAAUAAUAAAUGAAAAUCUGCUUUUACAGUUCUUAUUAGAUAGAUAUAAAUGGAUCUUUCUUUGUUUCUCUGCUGUAUUUUGUGGCUAUCCCACUCUGUUUUGCCAGUCAAGCUGAGUCUAUGUUGAGACAUAAUUUUGACAUCAGAAGCAAUCUCAAUUAGUUUGGCACUUUUAUGACCUCCUUAAAGGUUUUACAAUAAACAUAAAUCUACUGAGAAAGUGGGAAAAAAAAGAAAAUGCAUAUAAAAAUAUGAGUUAUCAGAUAAGAUUAAAACUCACCCAAUUCAAUCCAUCAGAUUCCGUAAGGAUAUAACUGGAUGUCAUACCGCCACUCCAUAUCCUUGAAAGUCCGUAGUGUUUGUCUCAACUCUGUCUGAGGCCAAUGUAAAUUCAAUUUGCGCAAGCUCUUUAUGCACCACAGCUCUUCUGGAAGCUUUCUCAAGUAAGCACAUGGGUUGACGAUUAAGCUUUCAAGUUUCGGCAUUGCUCCAGCCCCCAUCGUCCACUCAUCUAGCCAAUACAUUGAUUUCAGGUGCAAAACCUUAAGUUCGGGAAAGCUACUCAAGCCAACACAAGCAAGCUUUCUUCCUAAAUACGAGUUCUGCUUCAGUUUCAGCACUCGAAGGCGUGGAAGAUUUUCCAGAAUUGGCAUGGGAUCCUCCAUUAGCUCAGUAUUUGAUAAGCUCAGUUGGAUCAGACUUGGGGGAAAUUGGUAUUCAGACAGGACCAUCCGUGAGGGCUUGCUCUCAUUCACCAGCUUCAAGCAUUCAAGUUUGUGGACUUCGCAAAGGCUUUUGGAAACCCCAGAUUGAUAGUAACUCAAAUCUCCAGAUAUCCGAAGAGUCUGAACACUAGGUAGUCUGCCCAAUAUUUCAGGAGUACAACUACUAGGGUUUAAAGCUGAUAUAAAAAUGAGUUUUUUCAGAGAGCUAGAAUAAUUUUUUGGAGGUGCGGGUAGAGUGAUAGAACCAAAGUUUAGAUGUAUGAGUUUUUGCAUCAUCCAAAUAUCCUCUGGUGACUGAUCUAUGUAGCUAGAUGGCAUUUCUAGUGUUUCAAGGUUUAAAAGGGUGCAUAGCAGUGGAGGAAGGCAUUUGAGCGAAGGGAUAUUCAUUUUCAAAUACUUCAAAAGAUAUAAAUUUUCUAAUCCAGGUGGAAAUUGGUCGAGAACUGCAGAACCGAAGUUCAGUACCCGAAGGUGUUUGAACUUUUUACAAAAAUUCUCGCAAUCUAUCACAGCGAGAUGAUCGCCUUCUGAACUUUGAUUGAUAAAAGAUUGGAGAUAGAUCUCACCAUGUUCUAAAGAAAUGAACUCAGUCAGAUGCUCCAAAAUGAUGUACCGUUUAACAUUUGCAAAUGGUUCCGCUUCCCUGUCAGGCAUCCAGAGAAAUUUCGUCUUGUCUGCCAUCAAACCCAAUGAAGUAUAUACAAAACUUGGAACAUAGCAAGCUGUAAUUGUGCCGCCGGCUCUUCUCUUACUCACAUGAAUGAAGCCGCGAUGGAUUAGCUCUUUUAAGUAAUGUUCGGCAGUUUCCUCACCGUUGUAUGGAAUAAAGCCUUCAGCUAUCCACAACUGACAUAAUUGCCUGGUAGAUAUCUCAAUGCCUGGACGGAAGACACACAAAUAAAGGCAGCAGACUUUCAAGUGAAAAGGUAACUCCAACACAGAACAAAUUCGACUCAAGAGUGUCAAAACCACUUUUUCAUCCAUAUAAUUUACUAAUGGGGCACUUCCAUAGUGUAGGAUGAAAAAUUUCCAGGCUUCAUGCUUUAAUCUGAUCAAUGGUCCUCCAACAGGCACUGAAUAAAGCGGAAUGAUCCCUCCAUGCUCCAAUUCAAAAAAGGUAAGGAGGAAUGGAUCAGUGACCAAUAUCAAUACUCUGCUUCCAUUCUGCUUAUCAGGAAGAACUUCUUCAAGAUCAUCCCAUAUGUCACUGUCAUUGAAGACAUCAUCAAGCACAAUAAAGUACUUCUUGUUUGUCAGGUAAUCUCGAAGAAUAGAUUUCUUCAAGUGAUAAUCUUCACCGAUAAUUACCCUAGCCCGAGAUGGAGGCAUUAAAGAAUUGAUUAUGUCAUCCAAUAUCUUGCCAAAAUAGUAGCCUAUAGAAACCCUUACCCAAGCAAGACAGUCAAAAUAGAACUUGACAUGAUUAUUAUUGUAAAUAUCUGCAGCAAAAACAGUCUUAUGGAAGCCAUUGCUGUCGAGAAUUGCAAUCACUGAAAGCCCAGAUGGUCCCUCAAUCAAUAGAUCAAACAACUCCUCUCUGCCCCUUUCAAAUUCACUGACAUCAAGCCAGUGUUGUCCCUUACUCAAUAGGCGAAUGAUUUUGUUACUUUGUUCAGUGAUAUCAAAACCAUUGUCGCUGGGUGGAAGUUGUUGCAUUCGAUCUCUAAUAUCAAUGAUUUUACUGUGGAGUCCAACAAGAAGAGCCAUAUUAGUACUGCUUUCACUUUCGUUUUCACUGUUUUGCUGCUGCAUGAUGUUGAUGAAGAAUGUGUCAAUCGCUUCAUCAGAUUCAUGGACAAAGUGAUUGAUGUCGUCCAGAAUUUCCAAAAUGUCCCGUCUUUUUACGUCUUCAUCAGUGUCUUCUAAGUCUAACAGUUGCAGACAAAGCCAAGCCAUUUCAGCUCCAUUGAGUUGUUCUCUAAUGAUGCGUCGAAUCACACGACGAGUCAUGUCACCUUCAUAGUUCCCGAGCAGAGUAGUAAUAAUUUCAGUCUCCGUAAAAAGGUUUUGAAAAAGCGGGGCUAAGUUUGUUGAAUCAGGCAACGUUAACGUGCCUUCUUCACCUGCUACCACCCUUUUCAACCUCUCACAAAAUAGUCGGAGGUGGACGUCCAGCAUAUCUCCUUCUCUCUGUGGCACCCAGAGGUAUUGUUAUUUGCUCCAAGAAAUGUUAAAAGGAUUGGUCCUAUCUCAAAGAGGUUAGUGGUGUAAAGUUAAACACAAUGGAAGAAUUUGAAAGGAAUAUACCAAGAAACUGUGUAAGUGGCUAAAUUCCACAAAUAUGGCAUUGUUGCUCAUUUUUAACUCAAAAAAAUACACGUUAAUUUAGCGAAAAGUCCAAGACACGUGCUUUUUGAAAAGAACAGGUAUCCCAAUAGGUAUCCAACCUUUAUCUUAAUCAAUUACUACCAUGACAUACUUGAUGGUGCUUAAAUCAAUUUUUCUUUUCUUAAUGUAAAGAUUUUAUUUUUUUAAAACAGAUUUUAAUAUCAAGAAAAAAUAUCACUCGUAUAUCCUUAAAUGACACUUGUAUCAAACGUACUACAACACUUUUAACAUGUAUCACUUGUAUACCUUAAGUUGACAAAUUGUGUCUACCAUCCACCAAACCGUUAGUUGCCGUUUGCAAGCGCUGACAUCAUAAAGGUAAUCUAGUCUUUUCAAAUGGAAGAAACUUUGAUUAAAAAAACGACAUGUCAUCCCAUUUACCUCGUAAAAAAUGACAUAUCAUAUGAUAUAUAUUGACAAAAAAUGACAUGUCAUCCCAUUUAUCGGAAGAUGAUGUCAUCUAUGUGAAACAACGUUGUUUCAACGGGACUAAAAAAAAAAUGAUACUCCACAACCGAAUCGACUCCUCCAAACUUUAACUUGAAUAUUUGAAGAUCUACUCAUCCAAGCUCCAACUGGAAUUUUUUAUGGUAUAAUAUGUUGUUAAUAAUUUUUUAUGGUAUAAUAUGGAUUAUUUUUUAUGGAUAAUUGUUAAUAAUACGUACCAUUAAUAAUUCAUUUUUUAAUAAAAAAUGUAUUGUUAAUAAAAAAUAAAAAAUAUAUUGAAAAUUUACGUUAAUUUUUUGGGCAAAUAUGUAUUUUUACCUUAUUUUGAGUUUCAAGGGCGAAAUAGUCAAUUUGUCAUAAUUCUGUUAACUUUCUAAUGGUAGCUAACAGUUUGGUGGACAGCAGACACAUUUUGUCAACUUAGGGUGUACGAGUAAUACAUGUUAAAAGUGCUGCAAUACGUUUGAUACAAGUGUCAUUUAAAGGUAUAUGAGUGAUACAUGUUAAAAGAGUUGUAGUACAUUUGAUACAAGUGUCAUUUAAGGGGAUAUAAGUGAUAUUUUCCCUAAUAUCAAAUUGCCUUCGAUGUUUUUACAGCUACAAGCUCAGUAACAGGAUUAAUUAAAAAGUUUAGAAUUGUUGGGCGUGCAAAGAGUAGUUUUAAACACCAGAAAGCAAAGGUUGUUAUUGACAUAAUUUUAUUUUUGUUUUCGAGGGAAUUUGUUUUUUUUGUUGACAAGAAAAUAGUAUUAUAUUUUACAAUCUAUUAUACAUAUUUUAUCAUAUUAAAGUAAUUUUAAUAUUAAAUGGAAACAUUAAAUUUAAAUUAAUUAAUUAAAAAUUGAAUUAUUUUGAAUAUUAUGUAAAAAAUUAUUUUAAUAUCAUUAAUAAGGAGAUAUUUUGUUAAUUGUAAAAUAUUUUUAACCCAAAUAUAUAUUAAAUUUUUUAUAAUAAAUACAAAUACAAAUAUAAAAAUAAAAUAAAUAUCAUAGUUUAAAAUUUUAAUGUUAUUUUAAAUAUUAAAAAUAAUUUAAUGCUAUUAGUCUAUUACACAGGUUAUAUUAUAUUUGCAUUAAUUAAAAGUUUUAAAGUCAAUUUUCCAGUUUCUAUAUUCAAAGGUAUAAUGGUUAAAAGAAAGUUCUUGGUGUUUCUUUUUAAAAAUUUGAGGGUCUUAAUGAUAAUUUUUCUAAAUCGUAAGGGUAUAGGUGUCUUUUUUUCCGAUAAUUUAUUUCACGGGUAUCCAAUAAGAAACAUGGUAAGAGAACGUCAAUUACUUAUCAUUUUCUAUUUUUUCUAUGAGUCAUUUAUUUUGAGCAUUAGUGAUCUUAUCUGGACUACUCCAACUAUUGAUGCAACUCCAGUGGCUGCAUCCACAGUUAAAUAUAUGAUAGUGUUAGCUCUUAUUUGAGAAUUUAGAGGGAUCUUUCUUUGUUUCUCUGUUGCAAUGUGCUAGUAUAAAUUUCUUUACCUUAAAAUUUAUAUAGUCUUGCAGUUAAAGAAUUCACUGAGGCAUUGUUGAUUCAAUUUCAGUGAAGCAAUUGUGGGUGAAAGAUAAAUGAAGGAAAAGAGAACAGAGCUGAAGUGCUAAAUUGGCUAUUGAAGAAGGAUGUCACAUGAUCACAAUCACAUUGAUGCACAACUCUCUGGAGGCAAAGUUUGUCUAUAUGUACUCUGAAUUCAGCCAAGCCAUACAUGCAUGAACAAAAAUUAAACCGUAGUUCUAAUCACAACAGUAAUUGAAGCUACAAAAGCCAGCAAAUCUGAACGAAGACUUAAAAGAAAGAUCUUAUUCAAGUUUGUCCCCAAAAGACAGCUGAAAUGAAAAAUAUUGACUGUUGAAUGGGCCAAUGCUGAAUUACAUUUCAAAUGGAAAGCUUGGCAGCAGUUACAAUGUUUCCCCCUCUGAUUUUCCUCCAAAACAAAUUCAGUUGUAAACAAUAACCGAAGUAGUAAUAAUUUAUUCAUCAAAGAAAAUGCCCCCAAGUUUUCAAUUAAAAAAUCCUCUUGUCCAAACUAAAAGAACUCAUAUCUCUAAAAUUUAUUUGCAAAAUGUUGGAAAUGAGGAGUGAUCCGUUAACUCUGUAAAUAAACUCAUGCAUAAUGUUAACAAUAAUGAUAAAUUACAUAAUAAUUAUUAUAGAGAAUCAUAAAUUGGAAACGCUAAUCAUUCUACUAUUAUAUAAGUAAGAUAAAUAUCAUAAUAAGUUAAGUUAUAAUGUAAUAAAUAUUUGCAAUAUAUAAUUAUUUAAGAAGUCAUUUAACAAUAAAAUAUUUUUUUAUCCAGUUGAUCAUAUAGCGUUAUCUAAACUCUUGACAAUAUUAUUAUUACUCACUUUUCUCAAAAAAACAUGAUUAACUUUUAGAGAAAGUCAUGUCUUUGAGAAAGAAUAUGUAUACAAGCUAUCCAUACUUUAUCUUACUGUGACAAAAUUGAUGGUGAUUAAUUGUAUUUUUUAAAAUAGAUUUAACGCACAAAUAAGAUGACUUUUGGCAAAAAUUAUUUUCGGAAGAUAUAGUGAUAGAAAAUAGUGAUGAUAAUUAUUGUUUAAAUGUGUAAAUAGCCUAAGCAUAGCCCGUAAUACCAAUAUUCAUUUGCACCUUGAAAGAAACUUAGUUCUAUAUUGUUUGGCAAGCAAGAAAGUAAAGGAAAAUGAAAGAGAACUCUAAAGAACCUUUUUUAUUAUACUCAGAUAUCUCAACUUAAUGAAUACUGAUUGACAUUUAUACUAAGCUACAAUCUUCACUACACACACGAGUUUGUAACAUCACAUAACCAUUUGCUGCAUAACUAACUUUACACAUCAGCUCAACCAGCUAACUAACUUUGACAGGUCAGCUCAGUGAGUUGAUCUGCUACAACCAGCUACACAGCAACAGCAUGCUCUGCUCCAGCUAUACAGCAACAUCAUGCUCUGUUCCAGCUUUAUCCGCUCUGCUUUGCUCUGCUCCAGCUUUGACAGGUCAGCUCAGUGAGUUGAUCUGCUACAACCAGCUACACAGCAACAACAUGCUCUGCUCCAGCUAUACAGCAACAUCAUGCUCUGCUCCAGCUUUAUCCAAUUCACUAACAUCCCCCCUCAAGCUAAAAUGUUUAGGAUGAACAUUCAGCUUGCUUCUGAAGUAACUGAAUUGUUUGAAAGUAAGAGCCUUAGUUAACACAUCUGCUGUUUGAUCUGGACUAGGCACAUAGCAUACUGCAACCUCUUUAGCAGUGACCUUAUCUCGGAUAAAAUGUAUAUCCAAUUCAACAUGCUUAGUCUUAGCAUGAUAAACUGGAUUAUAAGCUAAAGCAAUUGCUCCUUGAUUAUCACACCACAUUAUAGGAGUGGAGCUUAAUGUGAUACUAAGUUCACCAAGUAAGGAUUUAAUCCAGGUAACCUCUGAAGCAGCAUGGGCAAGAGAUCUAUACUCAGCUUCUGUGCUGGAUCUGGAAACAACAACUUGUUUCUUUGACGACCAGGAAACAAGAUUAGGACCUAGAUAAACAGCAAAGCCAGCCACUGACUUCCUAUCAUCAUGAUCACAAGCCCAAUCAGAAUCUGAAAAACAAUGUAAUUGCAGAGCUCCUUGAUUGUAGAAAUGCAGCCCCAGAUGGAUAGUGCCUUUUAAGUACCUCAAUAACCUUUUACAUGCUUCCCAAUGUUGAGUUCUAGGACUGGAAAGGAACUGACUUAACUUGUUUACAGAGAAGGCAAUGUCAGGUCUGGUAAGAGUAACAUAUUGAAGAGCUCCUAUAACACUUCGAUAUUGAGAAACAUUUUCAAGUGGCUCUCCUGAGUCUUUGGUGAGAUAAAAGCCUGUAGACAUUGGAGUUGGCACAGGACUGCAGUCUGUCAUGCCAUGUUUAUCCAGAAUAUUAGCAAUGUACUUUGCUUGUGUCAAGGAAACCCCUUGUGAAGAUUUGCUGACUUCAAUCCCCAGAAAAUAGUGAAGUUCCCCCAGGUCUUUUAAAGCAAAAGCUUGAUGCAUAUGCUGGAUAACUUGUUGAAUUAUGGAUGGACUGGAACCAGUGAUGAUAAUAUCAUCAACAUAGACCAAAACAACAGUUAGAUGACCACUGUUCCAGGCAUAAAAGAGAGAGUUAUCAGACCUGGAAUGCUGAAAAUGCCACUUGGAGAUCAUUGCAUCCUUAAACCUAUCAAACCAGGCUCUAGGAGCUUGUUUUAAGCCAUACAAAGCCUUAUUUAGCUUGCAGAUAUGAUUAGGUUUAGUUGAAUCAACAAAACCUUGAGGUUGAGCCAUGUACACAUCUUCAAUUAAAAUGCCAUUUAGAAAGGCAUUGUUAACAUCCACCUGCCUUACAACCCAGUGACUCAAUACUGCUAAGCUAAGAAUAACUCUAACAGUGGAGGACUUAACCACUGGACUGAAGGUUUCUGUGUAGUCAAUCCCAUGUGUCUGAUGAAACCCUUUAGCCACAAGCCUGGCUUUAUACCUUGAAACUGAACCAUCUGAGUUAUACUUUACUCGAAAUACCCACUUGUUGCCAACUAUCUUCACUGGAGUAGCAGGUAAGACUAAAUCCCAGGUGUGAUUGGUUUUAAGAGCUAGAUACUCUUCUUGCAUAGCUUUAUACCACAUAGGAUCAGAAAGUGCUUUGGAAACAGAGGUUGGUUCUGACUUCUGAGCUAGUAAAGCUGACAAGUAGAUCUUGGGCUUGAAGAUACCUGCUUUUGACCUGGUUAUCAUUGGAUGACCAGAUGAUGCAGGUUGUGACAAGGUAUGUGGAGGUGAAUGAUGGGAUGGUGAAGAAGGAGAAGAAGAAGUGGAAUUGAAAUUAUCAGAAAAGUAAACUGGAGUAGAAUUUGGGAAGGAAAUAGAAGCAUGUGACUGAGAAUCAUUAAGAAGAUAUUCUGAUGAUGCUGCUAAAGGUGCUUGUAACUGAGUAACAAAAGGAGUAGAAGAAUUAAAAGAAGACUCAGAAUGAGUUGAUGACUGACAGUUUGAAGAAACUGAAGAAAAAUCUGUUCCUGACUCAUAAGGAAAAGAACGUUCAUAAAAGGUUACAUGAUUUGAAAUAUAGACCCUCCCAGAAGAGUGAAGACACUGAUAUCCCUUGUGUUGUGAACUGUAGCCAAUGAAUAUACAUCUAGCUGUUCUGAAAUCAAACUUAUGUCUAUUGUAUGGUCUGAGUGUUGGAUAACAAGCACAGCCGAAAAUUUUAAGUGUUGAAUAAUCUGGUUGGGAAUGAAACAACUUUUGAAAAGGAGAAAUGCUGUUUAGAACUGGAGUUGGAAGUCUGUUUAUCAAGUAGACAGCUGUAUGGAAUGCAUUCCACCAAAAUUUGAGUGGUAAAUGUGCUUGAGCUAAUAAAGUCAGUCCUACAUCAACUAUGUGUCUAUGUUUCCUCUCAAUUUUUCCAUUUUGAUGAUGAAUGUGGGGGCAAGGAUGUCGAAAAUGGAUGCCAGAAGUGGUGAGUAAUGAUGAAAAUGUUCUGAACUCCCCUCCCCAGUCAGUUUGGACAGUUUUGAUGGAAAGUUGAAGAUGCUUCUCAAUGAAUAUUUUGAAAUUGGUAAAAACUUCAAGAGCAUCAGAUUUUGCUGAUAAGGGAAAAAUCCAGGUAAACCUACUGUAAUCAUCUAGGAUUGACAAGUAGUAAUUAUAUCCUUGGGUAGAACAAACAUGAGAAGGGCCCCAAAGAUCUGCAUAUAUCAGUUGUAAAGGUGCUGAAGUUUUUGUUUCUACUGAAUCAAAAUGCAGCAUGUGAUUUUUACCAUAUUGGCAUGCUGAACAAAAUUUCAAACUGUCAACUUUAUUAAAAGCAGUAGAGUUGUUACAAGCUUUGAGAAUGGUUUUGAGAGUAUAAGAUGCUGGGUGUCAUAAUCUUCUAUGAAGAAGAUUUACAUCAAUAGAACCCUUUACAACAACUGACAGACAUGACUUUUUAUUCAACUCAUAAGAGCUAACAGUAGAGAGCUGAGCAGAAUUAAAAACAGGAGAACAAGCAAAAAGAGACUGAAUUUUGUUUUGACCAACUGAACUGAGAAAGACUGAAUGAACAGCAGCAUGAGAAGAGACUUUAUACAAGCUGUUGUGCAAAUUUUAAUGUACUCGCAAGCGCACGAAUCUAUUAUAGUAUAGAUCAAUGGUGACGAGUGUCGAUCCCACGAGGAGGUAGAUUUUAAUUGUGUAUAGAAUUAAUUUUGCAAAUGGUUGAUUGGAUUUGUAGUGGAAAUGAUUAGGAAUAUGCUAAAACUUAAAUUAAAAUGGCGAGAAUAAAUUCUAAAAUUGGAAUUGCAAUGGCGAGAAUAAAUUGAAGAGAAAUGUAUUGAAAUGACGUACUUGGGUAUCUGGAUCCGUAUCAACAUGCAUCAUGGGCUAAAUAAUCCGUAUUAAUGCCAAUUAAAUCAUGAGGGGGGAAUCCACACCUCAUGAACCACGCUCUAAUCAAUAUGGUGCUAAGGGCUUAUCGUGCCAAAUAAUAAUAACCUUAUACUAGAGAGCCGGUGUAACCAAGGCGGUAUCUAGACAAGAUCAGUAUUAUUUGUCGACGAUAAGUCAAAUCAUCCACAAAAACUAGAGGGGAAAAGAAAAUAAAUUUACCAAAUAAAGCCCAUGACACAUGUUGAGACUUCACCUUCAACCCAAGCUUGAAAGGAAAUUAGCUACUCAUAAUUGAACUAGGGGCAAAAUGGGAAUUUAUUAAAAUACAAAGAAAAUACAAGAUGGAGAGGGAAUUACAGAAAAUGGAUCCCAAAAAUGGAUUCAGAGAUAUCAAAUUAGGGGGGGAGGCCCAUUUUUUAUAGAUACAUGGAGUAAAUCAUGGCCAUCGGAUUAAAAACAGUUUGGACGCUCAGGAUUGCGCCACGUCAUCAGUCAACAGUCAACGGUUUGACCACGCGGAUGAACAGUAACAUGGUUUGGUUGAAAAUAAUCCUGUGUGAUGCAUACACCGUACGCGAGAUUUUUCGUCCACUGAUAUGCUGCCACGUCACCAUCAACAGUACAUAAGAAUUUUAGUCCAACAGGAUCGUGACACCUCAUCAGUCAAUGCCACAUCAUCGGUCAAUGCCACGUCAUCGAUCCGUCUAUGUGAACAGUGUCGUGAACAGUAACGUAGACAGUACCGUAUACGUGAAUAGUACCGUACAUGUGAAUAGUGCCAUUUUUCCUUUUAUGCUCCUCCUAAGGUUUUCGACCGUCCUGAGUUCAAAAGUGAUGUCCGUUUUGCCGUCUGAUCUCUCCUUUAUUGUGAAAUGACUAUAAUGCCCCUAAAAUACAUAAAAUACUUAAUUAAAAUAACACACACGUAAUUACAUCACAAGAGGGUUAAAUACAUAAAAGUAAGGGUUGUUAGUAAGACUUGAAACGUAAAAUGACGGUUUUCUCCUUUAUAAAUAUGCAUUUUCUAACACUCAACACAAGCCACCUUUAGCAACACCUUCAAGUAAAAUUUUCCCUGUGUUCCUGGCCUUUAUAAAACACAAAUUACCAAGAAAUUCAACAGUAACUGGAUUGUCAGCCAACAAUUUUGAGAUGCUAAGCAAAUUCUUAGUAAUAAAAGGGACAUGAAGAACAUGGUUAAGAAAUAAGGAUUGAGAAGCUGAAGUAUUUAGCACAACUGACCCUACAUGUGUAAUAGCUAAUGCAUUUCCAUCUCCAACAAAUAACCUUUCAGUACCAGUGUAAACUUUUGAAUCCAGAAGCUUACCUAGAUCAUUGGUAAUAUGAUUUGUUGCUCCACUAUCAAUAUACCAGGAAGGAUCUUCAAUGUGUUCAGGUGGGAGUGAAGAAGACAUAGCAGAGGAGGAGGAAGCACUUGACUGUUCCAGAUUAUUAUGUCCUAGACAGAAACAAAAUUAGAUGAUCCAGGGUUGAAUGAGAAAUAAGCAGAUGGGUUGCUUUCUGGAUAUACUAUAUUUCCUUGAUAGCCAAAACCCCUGGGGGCAUUACCAAAACCAACAUUUUGUCCAAAACCAGCAUUUGAACCAAAACCUCCAAAACCUCUUCCACUAUUACCAUUAAAGGCUCUUCCUCGACCAUAUUGCCCUUGAUUAAAACCUCUGCCACCAUUCAUAUUACCUCUACCAUGGUUCCUCUGUGGAACAAAAGAUGAGUUGUACCUAUUUCUGCAUUUAUAGGCUGCAUGACCAGGUAUGAAGCAAAUUUGGCAAACAACUUCAGAGAAAUUACUAUUAUUAUUAAACUGACCAUAUCCAUAUCCAGAAUUAUUACCACCUCCAGAGUUAUUUCCAUACUGUUUCUGAAAAUUUCCAUUAUUCUUUCCAGCAUAUGAGUUCUUCUGAACAAUAUUUGCUGUCAUGUUAUGCAUCACAUCACCAGCAAUUUUUCCUUUCUUUUGCUCAACUCUAUUUUCAUGAUUCAACAGCAAAGAAUAUAGUUCAUCUAAUGUUAUCUUUUCACCUCGAGCUAACACAGCAGUGACUAAAGAUUCAUAAUCUGAUGAAUCAAGACCAGUUAAUACAUGCAUCACAAGAUCAUUUAACUCAACAGGUUUUCCAGCUAGAGCUAAAGUAUCAGCUAUACGUUUUACUUUUACAAAGUAAUCAGACAUAUGCAUUGCACCUUUCUUAAUAGUUUGAAUCUGCAUUCUAAGUGUUUGAAUUCUAGCUUGUGAUUGAGAGAUAAACAUACUAGCAAGAGUCUCCCAAAGCUGUUUUGAGGUUGUUGAGUCAAUCACAGUAGCAAGCAGAUUUUGUUGUAUCAAUGACAUCAUCCAACUCAGCAGAAGUUGAUCAGCCUUCAUCCAAGCUACGAACUCUGGAUUAACAGAUCUGGAUCCAGAUUCAGUAACAGAUCUGGAUCCAGAUUCAAUUAAGAUUUCAGCUCCAUUGUUGUUGCCAGAAGAAAGAAACUGCUCAGGACAUUCUCGAUCACCAUUGAUAAAACCUUCCAAACCAUUUCCUUUGAUCGAAGCUAGAAUUUGUGUGCGCCACAAAAUAUAGUUGUUUUGAUCUAGCUUUACAGGCGUAACAAAACUAAAAGAGUUGUUGUUUUGAACUGUAUUUGCCAUUUAUGGCUCUGAUACCAUGAAAGAAACUUAGUUCUAUAUUGUUUGGCAAGCAAGAAAGUAAAGGAAAAUGAAAGAGAACUCUAAAGAACCUUUUUUAUUAUACUCAGAUAUCUCAACUUAAUGAAUAUUGAUUGACAUUUAUACUAAGCUACAAUCUUCACUACACACACGAGUUUGUUACAUCACAUAACCAUUUGCUGCAUAACUAACUUUACACAUCAGCUCAACCAGCUAACUAACUUUGAUAGGUCAGCUCAGUGAGUUGAUCUGCUACAACCAGCUACACAGCAACAGCAUGCUCUGCUCCAGCUAUACAGCAACAUCAUGCUCUGCUCCAGCUUUAUCCGCUCUGCUCUGCUCUGCUCCAGCUUUGACAGGUCAGCUCAGUGAGUUGAUCUGCUACAACCAGCUACACAGCAACAGCAUGCUCUGCUCCAGCUAUACAGCAACAUCAUGCUCUGCUCCGGCUUUAUCCAAUUCACUAACACACCUUCAUUUGUGUUAUCACAUUUCAUGAUAUUCUUUCAUUUAUGACCAUUGUUCAAGAUUUUAAUUUGAUUAUAAACUAAGUUGCAAGGGAGCUUACUUCAGUUUCUAAGCUUUUCAAUCGUGAUUCCUGCAUGCCAAACGUAACUGACCUUAUAAUUGGUCUGUAUAAGAAAUCAAGCCCUUUCAGGAUCGUUUUCUUUUUCUCCCUAUUGUAGUAGUCAACUAAAUAAAGAAUGAACAACUAAACUUGGUCUAUUUCGAGGAAGACUAAGGCUUCCAAUACUAGAUGAACUUUGAAGAAAAUUAAUCCGUUGUUUUUAUUCAUCUUUGGACUAUGAAUUUAUACAAAGACUUUAACAGAAAAUAACAAAGACACAGCUAAAUGAUAGCAAUAAGUGCUGACUUGGUGGACCACUUCUGCAAGUAAAUAAAAACUAAAUAUUUAUUUUGACUAUAACAACAACUACGCUGAUGAAUAGGAUUUCACAGCAGCCACGUGACAACUAAUUUCUCCUUAAUAUUAUUAUUAGUAGAAGUAGAUUUUAAAACUAGUCUUGAUAUAUUUCAAAGUUGUAUUAUCAAUGUAUAUGUGUCUAGAUUGUAACUAUAUUUUAAAAAAUAUAAAAUUUUUAAUUAUUGCACAGUAUAUGUAGCAAAAUAUCUAUAGAAUGAUAUUAUUAGGACUAAGAUUUUUUUUUAUUUUAGAUAAGUUAUUUAUUUAUUAUCGAAUGAAUAAUUUAUUAAUUUACUGAUAAAUGAAUAUUUAUUAAUUUAAAGAGAGAUUUUUUUGGUUUUAACAAGAGUUUGUUUGGUAAAUGUACACACUUAUAAAGAAACAUAAAAAGUGGUUCCUCAAGUCAAUAGUAUUUGCUUCAAUCGCAAUGGUUCAUAAUAAUAUAGCAUAGUUAGGAAAUUUGUAAUUAUAUUAUGGCUCUGUUUGGUAGUAAAACUCAUUUAAGUAGAGUUGUUGUUAAUAGAGCUUUUAUAAAUAAAGCUUUUACUAAAAAAAAUUUAGUUGUUUGCUUGUCAAUGUCCAAAUUGAUAAACUUUUGUUCUUUUGUUAAGAUAUGUUUGUUUUACUUAAUAAUAGCAUCGGCAAGAGUUUUCGAUUGUUGCAACUUGCAAUGCACGCGGUGAGAGAAAAUGAGAAUCUUGUUUAAUUGUCAAUAUAUAAUGACAAACCUAAUCCUUUCAUUAGGAGUAAUUUAAUAAUCGUUUGUUAUAACUGAAUAUGUAUAAAGAAAGGAAAAUUCUAUUCAUAAAUUUCGACUUAUUUUUUGUUUAAAGUAAUUAAUCAUUCAACCAUCUUCAUUUGCCUCUGGCCAAUGCCCUUGUAGAUUAGUUUACUUAAUUAUGAUUAUAUACAUUUUCAUAUAGCAAGUGGCAUUGUAGAUCUAAACUAAGUUGCUAUUUCAAUACCAGCAAAUUCAAAAUAGAAAAGGAGUGCAACUAUUCAACUUUGUAGACAAUAUUGCAACCAUGGCAUAUUUAUAGCAAAUCAUUGAAAUCUGCUAAAGAAAACAAUGCCCUGUCUCAUGAAUCGAUGCUCAAUUAAAAUUUAAAUUGAAAGUCCGGCUGGUGUUGUUUUCCUCUCCAGCGAAAUAAGAAUCAUAAGUGAAAAUAGGCUUUGACAGGUCUUAUUUCUUUGUUUCUCUGCUGCAAUGUGUGGUUAUCCCACUCUGUUUUGCCACUCAAGCUGAGUCUACGUUGAGACAUUAUUUCAGUAUUGAGGUAACAAUAAUUUCGGACUCCGUAAGAAGGUUUUGAAAAAGUGGAGUCACAUUUGUUGAAUCAGGCAACGUCAACGUGCCUUCUUCACCUGCUAACACCCUUUUCAACCUCUCACAAAAUAGUCGGAGGUGGACGUCCAGCAUAUCUCAUUCACAUUUGUUGAAUUUGCAUGGAAUUUGCAAGGAGUAUGCCAAAGAAUUUGCAAGGAAUAUGCCAAGAAUUUGCAAGGAAUAUGCCAAGAAACUGGCCAACCCGCUUAGCUUAAUUCCACAAAUAUGACGUUAUUGCUCAUUUUUCUCUCAAGCACAUAAUACACGUUCUUCGAGACGCGUGCCUUCUGAAAAGGACAGGUAUCCAACCUCAUCUUAAUUACUACCAUGACAUAAUUGAUGGUUGCUUAAAUCAAUUUUUUCUUCUUUUUUUUUUUUAAUUUAAAGAAUUUUCCCUUAAAAAAAAUUUAAUAUCAAAAUGCCUUCAAUGUUAUUACUGCCGAAAGCCAAACUUCCUUUGGGUAAUUAAUUUAGAAGUGAAGCAGAGAAUAAAGUCCUAGAUGCCUUUUGAAAUUAGAAAUACAUUUUAUAUGCUUUAAUUAAUCAAUUCACUGAGGCAUUAUUGAUCCAAUCCCAGUGAAGUAAUUGUGGGUGAAAAAAAAAUAAAGUGCUGAAUUGGCUACUAAGAAAGAGUGUCACUUGAUCACAAUCACAUUGAUCCACAACUCACUCGAGGCAAAUUUCAUCUAUGUGUACUGCAAAUUUAGCCAAACCAUACAUGCAUGAACAAAAUUAGGCCGUAGUCCUCAUCACAACAUUAAUUGAAGCCACAAAAGCCAGCAAAUCCAAACAAAAACUUAAAAGAAAAUGCUUGGUAUAGAGAAGCACGAGAGAAAGACGAGAAAAACAAUGAAGAAAGUGGUAGAGAGAGAGUGAGUGGGUAGAGAGAGAGCAAAAUUCUCUCGUCUUUCUCUCGUGCUUCUCUCUCUCUAUCACUACUCAAACUUAAAAGGAAGAUCUUAUUCAAGUUUGUCCCCAAAAGACAGCUGAAAUGAAAAAUAUUGACUAUUGAGUGGGUCGAUGCUGAAUUACAUUUGACAUGGAAAGCUUGGCUGCAGUUGCGAUGUUCCCCCUUCUGAUUUUCCUCCAAAACAAAUUCAUUUGUAAACAAUAACGGAAGUAGCAACAAUUUAUUCAUUAUAGAAAAUACCUAAAUUUUCAACUAUCAAAUCCUCUUGUCUAAACUAAAAAACUCAUAUCUCUAAAAUCUAUAUACAAAAUGUCAAAAACGGGUGAUCUCUCAAUUCGAUAAAUAAAUUCAUGCAUAAUGUUACUAGUAAUGAUAAAUUACAUAAUAAUUAUUAUAAAGAAUCAUAAAUUGGAAACAUUAAUCAUUUUACAAUAUAUUACAUAAUAAAGAUAAAUUUUAUAACAAGUUAAGUUAGAACAUAUCAAAUAUUUUCAAUAUAUAUAAUUAUUUAAGAAGUCUUUUAACAAUAAUUUUUUUCUUUUUCAGUUAAUCAUGUCAUAUACCGUUAUCUAAAAUGCUGGCGAUAUUAUUAUUCCUCACUUUUCUCAAACAAAAAAGAAAAGAAAAAAGAAACAUGAUUAACGUUUAGAGAAAAGUCACGCCUUUUAAAAACAAUAUGUAUACAAUAGCAAUCCAUACUUUAUAAAAUUGAUGGUGAUUACAAAGAAAAAUUGUUUAAAAUAGAUUUAAUGCACAAAUAUGAUGACUUUUGGCAAAAAUUAGUUUCGGAAAUGUUGGGAUGAAAACCAUAUUAAUUGAGAAUUAAAAUUACUUAAUAAAAUUACUUAACUACCAUCUAAUAGAUGAAAACCAUAUCAAUUGGGACUUAAAUUAAGAUUUAAAUGUUGAAAUAUCUAGCAUUACUCACAAUAACCAAUUCAAAUUAUGACUAUCAUGUAGAAGCAAAUGUUUAUGCUUGGGUUUUUUACUUCUUGAAUUUGAUUGGAAAAAUUUCUGAGAUAGAGAAGUGUUUUGGAUAAUUUUUUCGGGAUUGAAACCACAAAUUGGUAGAGGAAAUUAAUUUUGGACAAAUUUUUCUUAUAUUGUAGGACCUUCUAGUUGGAGUAGUGAUGGCUUUGUCUUCAUUUUUGGUUCCUUUUGUGUCAGCAACCCCUUACUAUUCUCUUGACCCUGAGUUUGAGAUAGAAAUUUAUCAACCUCCAACCCCACAUCCACAAACAAGUUGAUUGAAACAAUUACUCUUUUAAUUAAGAGGACCCAAAUGAUUUAGGUUUCAGUUCUUAUCAUUUGUCUAUUAUUUCUUUGAAACAUUUAUUUUGAGCGUUACUGAUCUUAAUUAUCUGUAUUUCUCCAAUUAUUGAAGAAUUUCAAGUGGCCACUUUUUCUCCUUUUUAUAUAUGUUUAUUUUUUGGAGUGAUCAAACGGGUGAAAAAUCAAGUAUUCGCUGGUCUGUAGUUUAGCCAACGAUGGCUGAUCCACACAGUUGAUUAUAUGAUACUAUUAGCUCUCAAAAUCUUUCUUAUUUGAGAACAUAAAUUGCCCAUUGAAGUUAAACUAUGUUACCCAGCUCCAUGCACAUACAUUAAAUGUUUAGGUAGUUUUACAAAAUGAUAACAGCAUGCCAAAACUUGAUGUUGUCAUAUUCGACAUUUCAAAUUGAAAAAUAUGCAAGCAAUCUUCAGUGACCAUUACGUUUUUAUUGAAUAAUUUAAAUGGCCAGUAAAUCAACAGUCCGUGAGUUUUAAAUCUGUUAUGACUUAAUGUAUCUUUCUGUAUUCGUACACAGGUUAUAUUAUCAUAGUUUAAAAUUUUAAUAUUAUUUUAAAUGUUAUAAAUACUUUAAUGCUAUUAGUCUACUACACAGGUUAUAUUAUUUAUAUUAUAUUUGUAUUAAUUAAAACUUUUAAUGUCAACUUUCUAAUUACUAUAUUGAAAAGGUAUUAUGGUUAAGAAAAAGUUUUGGCAUUUCUUCUAAAAAAUUUGAGGGUAUGCAUGACAACACUACAAGAAAAAUGACCUACCAUGACAGUCCUCUGUGUGACAGUUUUUGGUCUGCAGAGCUACUACGAUAGAUGGAUGAUAAAUUUUUUUUCUAUCAUUCAUUUAUGACAUACUUGUGAUAGAAAUUUCAUCUAUCAAGCACUUAUGAUAGACUGAUGAUAAAUUAUUUGGUUAUCAAGAAGUAAUGACAAGUUUGUGAUAUAAUUUAGAUCAUCAAGUAGCUUUUUUAUUUUGACUUUAUUUCACAAGGUUGACUGAAAAUUUUAAAAUGAAUGAAAAAAAUAAAUAAAGAAUAAACGGUACCGUUUGGAUUAAAAGUUUCUCUUUGGACAAGAAACGACACCGUUUAGAUUGAAGCUAAAUAAAAACAAAACCCUCUUCAGUUUUCACUAAUCGAAUUUUUUUUCCCUAAGUGUCGGCACUCUCACUCACUCUCGUCUCUCGCUCAGUCAUUCUCGUCAAUCUCACACUCACAAAGCCCUUUUCACCCGAAAUCCUUGCAUGGGCACUGAACCACUGCCGCCAUUCUCUUGUAUUUGACUAUCAAUUUUGGCUCUCACCGAGAACUAUAUGGAAUACCCACCAAACGCAUGUGCUUCUACUAUUGAAUUUCAAUACCCUAACUGAGAGCCCACGCUCACCCACUAUUGUAACCGUUCGAUCAAUACAGGUAAAUAAUAUUUCUAGUGUUGUGUUCCAUUUCAAUUUUAAUGUUCUUGUCAAACUCGAACCCUAUAUAUGUAAACUUAAAAACCCUAGAUGUGUUCUUGUCAAAUUCGAACCCUACACACCUAAAUCUUGUAAAACCUAGAUGUUUUCUUGUCAAAUUUGAACCCUGUACGUGUAAAACUUGAAAAUCCUAGGUGUGCUCUUGUUAAAUUUGGAUCUAUUUGAUUGGUCUUCUAUGUUUCUUUAUUUAUGGAAUUUUAAACAUUUAUUUGAUUUUUUUGGAAUUUAAUUAUUAUAGUUUUAUUGUUAAAUUAAUUUGAUUUAGGCUGUAAAGAUCCUUGCCAAUUUAAUCGUGAUGGGUGUUGGGAUAUUGUCUAGGCUGCUUUAUCUUUGGGGUUUUCUAAUAACUAAUUUUUUUUUUUCACUUUUUUGUGGAUGCAUGGAACUAUAUAUAUAGAUAAUUCUCAAAUUCGUUCACUGUGAUGCAAAGUCUUUUUUUUUUCAAUUUCAUUGGUUAAAUUCACUAAUUCGUUGAAAUUAGUGGUGAUUGUGGGCCGAGUCGCAUGUGCAGGAAGUGGUGUCAGGUCUGGGCGCACAUUGAGUCAUGCACUUGGUGGGCAAUUGGUAUUGUUUCUAUUGUGUGUGUUGGAAAUAAUGUCAAUAUCAUCCAACCAAUGUGUGUUUCUAGUGGCUGUUUUUGCACCGAGCAGAUAAUUUAUUAUUACAUCAGAGUUCCCCAUCCCUUGUUUCUCUUUUGGGUAAUGCAGGUAUUGACUAGUUCAUUUCCAUUUUCAUUUGUCUUGAGGGAAUGUUAUCAAUUUUUCGAUCUUACAAGAUAUUGAUUGAUACAUAUGUGUACAAUACAUUAAAAAUCAUUAAACAUUUUGCUCUUAGUUACAAUUUUGAAUGAAUGUCACAUGGAAAGAUCCUCUAAGAAUAUCAAUAGUAUUGUGGUUUCUACUCAAUUUCCACUCUCCGCACUCAUAUGAGCAUGGUUUGAAUCUCAAGCCUUUUGUACCAUUCAAAAAUUUAUACCAAUUAACAACAUAGCUUGCUAGCACCACAAAUUGUUUCAACUCCAAGGCAGAGAAUUCCUAGAAGAUAUAUACAUAUUGAUAUAUACUUGCAUGUAGCCGUAUGCUCACUACCUUCGAAUUGGGGAUAUAGUCACUAUUUUUGUAUUCCCUCCAAGUGUUUGAUAAAAAGCAUGAAUGAAUCUUGGCUCUUUAAUUGUUGCAGGCCAUUUCUACCUAUGAGGAGCAAAGGAAUAUGAAGCUUAUUAUAUUCAUUCACAAAGCAAAGCUGAUAUAAUUCAUGGCAAAGCUUGAUGAGGUGUUGUAUUUAAUCUUGCUCAUGAGAUCAAUUACCUAUCUUGUUGGACUUUAUUCUUGUAAUUAAGGUCCAUCCAAAGUUGAUGGCUUGUUUGUCAGAAAGAUAAUCUGAAGGCUAUGAUUGAUUACUUGCGGGCCGAUGGAAAUGUCUCCAUGAUUGGUUUAUGAGGUUGUUAAAUUACUAAAUAGGUAUAUUUACUUUUCAUGAGCUUUAUCUUCGUUUUUCCAUUAUGGAAAUGUCUCUAUGAUUGUAACUUUUAACACGUGGAACUCUUGAACCCUAUGUUUAGUUAUAUACUUAUAUUGGGACUUGUAUAAAUUAAUAUGAUGGUUUUAUUAUUAUUAUUAUUAGUAGUAGUAGUAGUAGUAGUAGCAGCUACAAAAGAUCAAAAGAACUUAAAGGUGUGGCUUGUGGCUUUCUUGCUGUUUGGGCUUUAACUGCUGCCUCACUUGUCAUUGUUGCUAAUCUGGUGUGCCACGUCCAUUUCAGUGUAAUUACAUAAGUUAGUUUGCUUGAUUAAUUAAUUAAUUAGUUAGCGGAUUGAAUAGCCAGAGUACUACAUUUUGCAUAGGUCUGAUGCUGGAUGAAUUUUCAUGUCUUGGCUUUGGGGCUGCUGGAUUUUGCUGCUGGAAGACUAGAUUUUGCAAUUUUGUUGCUGGAAGACUACAUUUUGUGUAGGUUUGUUGCUGGAUGUUGCUGAAUGCGGAGUACUUUGCUUGGUUUUGGAUUGGCCUUUGUUGUCUAUUGGCUCGACUUUGGAAUAUGGAUUAACUAAUGUAAUGUACUUUGGAUAUUUUUAUGGUUAAUAAAGUUCACUAAUUUAGUUCAUUAGUUUUGGAUUUAAUUGCAUUUAGUAAUUUAUUUUCUUUCAUAUAAUUUUAAUAAUUUUAAUAAUUUUAAUUUUUAAAUUUCAUAAUUUUUAUUUUAAAUUAAUAAAUAAAAUAAAUAAUCAAUUUUUUCAAAAAAAAUGUGAUAGAAAAUACUAGUCAUACACACAAUUGAUAUCCCAAAAAAAAAUACAAUCCAAAAAUUUCUAAAAAAAUGAAAAUAUAAAAUAAAAAAAUAAUUUCCCUCUUCUAAGUAGUAUGACAUAAUUAUGAUAGGUAAAAUCUAUCACAACUUGUGACGCGAUUUUAUCUGUCAUCUUUUCUUGACGCUGACUAUAAUGACAGUAAGGAUAACCGUCAUCUACCCCCUAAGAUGACAGUUUUUACCUAUCAUAAUAGGUCAUUUUUCUUGUAGUGCAAUUUUUCCAAUUCUAAGGGUAUAGGUUUGAAAAUUUAACGUUAUUUAACUUAAUGAAACAAAAGGGGAAACCAAGAACUAUUCAAUUUUGUAUUUUUUGUUUGUAAUUCAAAAAAUACAUCCACCAAACAAGUUUUACACAUUAAUGCUGUCAUAAAACGAAAAACAGUUUGCCAAAAAAUGGUACCGUCACAUGAUUUCUUAGUAAGUCCAUAUUAGAUAUAUUUAUACAUUUUAGGUAUUUUAGUUAUAAAAGAAGUUGGUCCUCCCCCUAUUUAUAAAAGAUAACUUUGUUUCGAUAUUACCACUAAACUCUUACAUAGAAUUAGUGUAAUGUUAAGAGAGAGUAAUGCGGUUUUCCAUUACCAUCUUUGAAAAUAGAAAGAUAUGGAUGCGUGCAUUUAAGAGUCAUCGUGAAAAUCAUACAAUUCAAUUUCCUGACAUAUAUAUUUAUGCACGUAUGCCAAAAGAAUAAAUAGACAGAAAGUAAAUUUAUAGUCCUCACUUCCUCACAAUUGUUAACGUGGAGAUGCAUUACAACUGUGAACUGUCACUACUUUAGCCUUUUUUUUUUUUAAUUAUAGUGUGAUGGAGACAUUAAGGAUGAGCAUAAUAGUUAAAGAUGACUCAUUUCUCAUUUUCUUUUUAAAGUGCUCUGCUGAAAGCCAAACUUCCUUUGGCUAAUUAAUUUAGAAGUAAAGCAGAGAAUAAAGUCCUAGAUGCCUUCUGAAAUUAGAAAUACAUUUUAUAUGCUUUAAUUAUGAUUAUUUGGUAGACUAAAGACCUAAAAGAUAUGUCAAAAGUAUAAAACAGAGCGAUUAAAGAAAAAAGAAAAAAAAAACAGAGUAUUUGUGACGUAGAAUAACAAUUGGUAAAUAAAUCCUAAAUAUUUGAGUUGUUAAAAGCAAAUAUAACAGAGACGGUAAGAGAGAUGCUGAAACAGAAAACUAUUAGCUUAUCUUGAUUUUCCCACUAUAUUCAUUUUCGAUGCUUUUCAAACGAGAUUCUUUUAAUUCUUCUGGUGUCUCUUAUAGAUCUCCAUCCCACAUCUGCACUACGAACAAGUUGAUUAAAAUUAAAUACUGUUGGAGAUGUGGGGUGAGCGGUCAACUUGGUAAAAAAACUAUGUAUAAUAUUGUUAAUAAUAUAAAAUAUAAAAUAAUAAUUACAAAGAAUCAUAAAUUAGAAAAAUUAUUUAUUUUACAAUCUAUUUCUUAAGUAAGAUAAAUCUCGUAAUAAGUUAAGUUAUAAUGUAAAAAAUAUUUUCAAUUUAUAAUCAUUUAAGGAGUCAUUUAACAAUAAAAUCUUUCUUUUUUUGAUCAAUUGGUCAUGCUACAGAGCAUCAUCUAUUCGUGGUGAUAUUAUUAUUACUCCGUAUUCUCAAAAAACACGAUUUAACAUUUAGAGAAAGUUCCUACCUUUUAAAAAGAACAUGUAUGCAACAACUACCCAUACUUUAUCUUACCACGACAAAACUAAUAGUGACUAAAUCAAUUUUCUCGAAUAAAGAAAAAUUUCUUAAAAUUAAUUUAAUAUACAAAUAUGAUGACUUUUUGCAAAAAUUAGUUUUGGAAAAUUAGUGACAGAAAAUAGUAACGAUUAUUGUUUAGAUGUGUAAAUAGCCUAAACAUGAUCCCUAAUACCAAUAUCCACGUGCAUCUUAACACCUUUCGUCAUAUUCUUUCAUUCAUGGUCACUGGUUCAAGAUUUGAAUUUGAUCAUUAAAUCAUGUUCAAUAAUAUUAGAGAUCCCAACAAUUGAGUACCAACUUAAAUCCCAAUGCUAUGUGUCAUUAACAAAUGUUGUGUCAUUUAUAAUUAUUGAAUGAAUAAUUCGUUAAUUUAUUGAUAAAUGAAAAUUUAUUAAUUUAAAGAGAGAUAUUUUUUUUUUGGGUUUUAAGAAGAGUUUUGUUGGUACAUGUACAUACUUAUAAAGAAAUAAACUUGUAAUUAUACUAUAUCUUUCUUUCUUUAUUCAGUUUGGUGGGAUAUUGUGAUAAAUCAUUGGAUUAAAAUGCAUUUCUAAAUUAAAACUUGUUAAAAUCUAAUUUAUUUGGGAAGCGCAUAUUAUUUGUCAGUCGUACUUCUCAAGUCUCAACUUAGCAAGUUAUUUCUAACUUGUCAGUCUCUAUUUGUUCUCUAAAAGCUAAUAGUCUCGAAUCUCCCGCAUUUGAUAUCUUGCCAUUAUUGUUGGCAUUAACAUGUUACCUGAGAUUGGGAUUCAUUAAAAUCCUCAAUGUAAUCGGUGGAACGAAUGGAUUUCUUCUGUUCACCAAUCCACCAAAAUUUCUGUAAUUAAAUUCAAGAGUCAAGAUCUAUGCUUAUAAUCUAUUCUAACAGCUAAUAUUCUAUUUUAUAUUUACUUAAAUAUGAAGAGCUAUGCUUGUCAUUAACUUCAAAUGUGAUCGAAGCAGCCAUACAUCUGUAUAUUACUUAUUCCCAACCUUUUUUUUUGACUUCAUAUACUUUCUUUUCAUGUUAUUUACUCUUUUUUUCCCCUCUCUGACAAUUGAGGUAGGGGGUCAAACUUGAAAGUAUCUUAAAAUCAGACAAUUUUUUUUUUUUUUAAGAUAGCUGCUAAUAUGCUCUAUUAGACAAUGAUAAGUAAUAACCUAGUUGUUUGCAUUAGAAAUGAUAUUUUUUGUGGUGCUGAUAAAGAGGUUGAUUAUGAUUCAACAAUUUAAAAUAUGAAAACAUGUGGAAGACGGCCGCAAUUAAAUUGAUUGUAUGAAAAUAUUUCAAUGAAAUUUUAAAAAUUUAGUACUUGUUAUCUUAUCGAGAGUUUUUUUAAAUUAUAUUACUACUUGAACUUGGGUACUUGUUAUCUUAUCGAGAGUUUUUUUAAAUUAUAUUACUACUUGAACUUGGCUGCUUUUGUAUUGAAUUCCUAGCGUUGCCAUUGCUUCUACUCAAAAGCCAUUUAAGUUUGUGUAAGCUACCUAUAGUUUGAACAACAAUUUACUCAUGAAUUGUUGUUCAUAAUAGCAAUUUGAUUGAAAGUGCGGCUGCACUAAUUUUCUAGAUGAAUUUUUUCCUACAUGCUUGUUCUCGUAUGACCCAAAAUCCUGCUACAUCAGUUGUAUUAGAAAUUAAUACUGGGUUACAAUUAUGCAUCCCCACCAAUAUUUAAGCAAUUUAAUUACAGGAACAUUUCUUGAGGAAAGAAACUCAUAUCGCCCCUAGGCUUUUAAUGAGGCUCAUUUUUAUGAAUCUGGAUGGCAUUAGAUAUCUCUCCGAAUAUUGGUGGGAGUAUAUCGCAGAUCUCUGGGCUAUACUACAAAGUGUAUGUACGUUGACUCUCAAUAAAUACAAACGAUUCUCUGAUAUGAUUCAAAACAUCAGUGCACGCAUCAUUUUAACGAGAGAGAAUAUUCUAAGAACGAAAUUGAAGGUGCAAUCAACAACUAAAAUGAAGCCAGAAAUGUACACGCAUGAGGAAGUUUUCCUAGAAGAUUGAUAUUUCUUUAACUAGCAAACAAUACAAGUCCAAAGCUAACCAAACCAUACCUGCAAGUCCGGGGCUUAAAUGGAGUACUUGUAAGCAUAAAACAUUAAUCAAAACACAGUAUAGACACACACACACACCCCUACAUACAUACCAGCAAAUUCGAAAUAGAAAAAGGAGUGCAACUAUUCAAGUUUGUUGACAAUAUUGCAACCAUGGCAUAUUAAAGCAAAUCCUUAAAAUCAGCUAAACGAAACAAUUCCCUGUCUCAUGAAUCGAUGCUCAAUUAAAAUUGAAAUUGAAAGUCCGGCUGGUGUUGUUUCCCUCUCCAGGUUUGCCUACAUAAGUAAAGGGAAAUGAGAAUCAUAAAUGAAAAUCUGCUUCGAUCACUGUUCACAAAUCACUGUUCACAAAUCCCUAAUUCAAAAAUUACUGUUGAUUAUCGUUUUACAGCAGCGCCUCAGCUCCAGCCUUCACCCCGCAACGCAAGCAGCAGCCAGCGCGAACCAGUCGCGCCCAACGCAAGCCCCAGCAACCCAGAUUGUUAGCUCCAGCCGCGCGCAACGUAGCUGAGCAGCAGCAGACCAGCAGCGCGAACCAGCUCUCGCGCGCAACACAACGCGAACGCAGCAGUGCGUAGAUGCAGCCCAGCAACGCAGCGCGAACCAGCAAUGCAGCCUCACCAGCGCGCAACGCAAGCCCCCGCACGCGCAGCACCAGCAUCCCGUUUCUCGCAGCGCAGCAGCGCGCAACGCAGCGCAGCACCCGCAAAGCAAGCCUCACCAGCGCGCAACGCAAGCCCGCAACGCAGCAACGAGCACGCCCUGCAACGCAACCAGCUUACGCCUUGUAUUCCAGCCGGGUAAAUCGAAAUCCGUGAGUACAAUUAUUGUAACAAUGCCGAAGAGGAAAGCAUCCACUUCCAAGUCAUCGAAAAAGACACCCAUCGCAAAGAAAUCUAAGAUUGCCGCUCCCACUACGGUUCCAUGGAACACAAUUUCAGAUUCACGCCAAGCCGUGAGACAAAGAUCGAAGCAUGGAAAAGGCAUGAGUAUUUUGCCACUUGCGGAAUCCAAUCUCGAAGGGUGCCUUGCAUUCGCGACUCAACAAGAGAAAGAGAGGUACAAAGAUAUUUCCACGGGCAAAAUACUUCCAGCUAAGAAUUUUUGGAUAUGUCUAUGUUUGAAAGAACAUGUGUGGUUGAAUUCAAGGAGGGGAGAUUUCAGUUUACUGAACCAGGACCCACUCAACUUCCGAAGAAGCUUUAUGCUAGGAGUGGUGCUACCUCUGAUGACGAGUUUGACGACGACACUGCUGCCCCGCCAACUAUUCCUUCUACAUCCGCACCACCUUUGAGCAUUCAAUUAGAGAAAAUGGAGCACAAGCUGAACAAGAUGGAGCAGAAUUUGGCCGCAUACUUCGAGAGUGUGGGAUUUACCCCACCAUUUCCGCCAAGCCCAUAGACGUUAUGUGGAUCAAAGCUCACAAUUCAGGGAAGUUUCUUUUUGCCCUUAAUCCUUUAUCCUUACGCUUUAAUUUUUAUGUGAGCUUUGAUUAUCUUACAUUGGGGACAAUGUAAGUUCUUGGUGUGGGGGAGGGAUUUUUGCAUUAUUGAUGUCUGGAAUUAUUGUUUUCACUCUACUUAUUUUUUUUUUUCACUCUACUCAUCCUUAAAUGAUUUUGGAGUUAGUAUGCUUUAUAUAUUAUUAUUUUUUCUUUUCUUUUAUUUCUCACAACUUUUUUUUUCCCAUCUAUCUCAAAUUAUUUACAUCUAUUUUUAUUCUAUCAUACUGUUUCAUCGCUCACAUUUUAUCUUUCACUUUUCAUCUUUCUCACUUCUUAUCAUUUUUACCUUUCCUUUUAUAUAUCACCCAUACCUUCUUCUCAUUCUACACCACUAUUGAUGGUUGAUUCAUUUGAAGAGUGUACAUGAUUUGAUGGCAAAUUUACCAACUUUGUGAGGAUUUGAGCCUAUGAGCAACCACUUUGCUCUAAUAUUUUUGUUAUGUGAAUAUCAAUCUUAGUUUGUUUAUUCUAGAACUUGCUUUGUUAUGCAUGUUGAAGCCGCAUUACGGGAUUUUAUGCACUAAAAUGAUAAGGGCAAACCCUUUUCCAUUUUUCUAUUCUCGCAUUUUUUUUCUCUACCCGAAGAUCUUUAUUUGCUAUCUUUGUUUGAGCCUUAACAAUUACCCAUCUAAUUCUCUCCGUCUACUUAACCAUUUUUCUUCUUUUUUUUGAGCCUCAAUUUAAGGAGAUUUUUGGACUCAUUGUGUGGAUAUAUUUUGUUGCUUUUUCUACCUUGUAAUAAAGUUUCUCAAUUAGAUCAACAAGCAUUAUGCUUGAAUUAAAUUGUGCAAGGUUCGUUUCUUUUGUUUGAUUCAAAAACAAAAACAAAAAAAAAAAAACAAAAAACAAAAAAAAAAAAGAAAAAAAAAGAAAAAAAAAAAGAAAAAGAAAAAUCACAAAAAAAAAACAAAAAAAAAUGUUUACAUUCUUGGUGACUUAAGUAGAAAUAAGCAUUUUGAUAUCAUAAGUUCAUUCAAUGAGUUCAUUUUUCUCGUUUUAAUCUCUUUUUCUUUCGUAAACCUUUCUUUUUCAUUUAACCCAUUUAACCCCAUUACAACCCUCUUAAGACCCUUAGAUUUUUGCAUUUUAUUCAUGUUUUGUGGAUUGAGAUGUGAUAUAUGAGCAAGCUUAUGGUAAUAGCAUUCUUUGAUUUGAUUUGAGUGGAUAAAUGACACCCUAAAAACUUUGAGUGCAUGGAGUGAAGUUAUUGAGAGGGCUAUUAAAUCUUGUUGCACUUGAAUUUUGAAUGGAUCUCCUUGGUGGUUGAAUGUUCUUAUUCUAUCUUAUGAAAUUCUAUGCUUUAAAAUCCUUGUCUCUCGAAUGUUAAUCGACUUAAUUUCUUGAGGUAUGCUUUCUUAAAAUUGUUUUUGGAUGAGUUGAGAUGAGAAUUGAGUGGAGAUUUGAGAUUAAUCUUGAGUUAUAUGCUUGAGGACAAGCAUCAUCUUGGUGUGGGGGAAUUUGUUAGAGUGCAAUUUAUGCACUAGUUUUGCAUUGUUUACUUCCCUUAAUAUCGAUGUUUUACACUUAAUAAUAAUGUUUUACUUGUGUUUUACUUUUGUAGGUGCAAUUCUAUUGAUUGGUGAUAAAAUUGAGCUAAAAGAUGAUGUUUAAGGAGGAUUGUUCUCUUGGAGAAAUUAUGAGCGUCGAAAGAACUUUGUUGAUAAGGCGUGGGCGCGUGCUGUCAACUGCGGACCUGCAGUUUUUAGUUUAACGUGUUUUGUAUUUUUGGUUAUUUUUGUAAUUACGAAUUUAAUAUUUCAGAUAUUAGUAUUUUAUUUUAAAUAGAAUUCUAAAAGAGAAGAGAGAGAGAGUAUUUAAGGGAGGAAUCUAUUGUGAAAAGGGGGAUUUGGAUUGGAGAAAAAGAAAGAAACCCUAGAUCUAAUUUUUCUCUUCUCUCUAUGAAGAACUAAACCUAUUUUUCUGGUUGAAGGAUAAUGACGCUUUGAUUCAUCACUACUGUGAGAUUUUUCUUAUGCUUUAAUUGUUUUAUUACUUUUUGGGUAUUUGUUUAUUCUCUGAAUUAGUUUCAUGAUUAUGUUUGUUAAUUAGGUAAUUGUCCACUAUUUAAUUAUCAACUUAAUCUAUUGUCAAUUAAAGGAUUCAUCGUAUGAAGAAUUUAAUGUUUGUGACAAAUAACAUAGCAGAGAGUUGUGUUGUGAGAAUAAACAAUCUAAUUUAAAUGAAUCAUCAUAUGUGUUGAUUAGGAUUUGGGUCUCUCUGGUUUUUCAGGCUGUCAAUUGAUUAAAUCCUAUGAUCGUAUCAAGGGUUGUCUAUUGAUUAGGGAAAUAUCCAACGGUCGUACCUUGGUUAUCGACUAGUUAAGGAGAGAUUGGCUAUUAGAGGGUCUCAAUAGCUAUAACCGGUCUAUUCAUAAGUAAUAAUAAUAUAUAUUUGAAUCAAUGAUCAGUAGUCGAAUCAAGCUGAGUUAAUUCCUUCAACCAGAGCUUUCUCCAAUUUGAAUUACAACUUUAAUUUGCAUUUUGUAUUUAAUUUGAUUUUUAUUAUUGUCUACAAUUCCCCCAUUUUAUGUUUUACGUUUCAAAAGGAUUUAAAUAAUUACCGAUCUCUGUGGACACGACCCUGCUCAAUCACUAUACACAAUUUAUUUAGAGUAGGAAUUUAUUUUUGUUGGCUUCGACACCCAUCAGUUGAUUUGUGUUGUUUAUUGCUAGAUUUCGCAUAAUUGUUUGCUGAUUACUAGAACUGGCUCUGUUUGGAUCUGAUACCAUGUUUAAAAACAUAAAAAAUCACUGAUCAGUUUGUUUGGUUGCUAAGAAAAUUUGCUCUGUUUGCUGAGAAAGUUUCAAAGAAGAUUCUCGAUUUUUUUUAUUUCAUCUUUCUUACUUCACGAAUGAUUACAAACACACCUUUUAUACACAACUCAACUAGCUAACAGAAAGAAAGCUACAAAACAGAAUCUCAGUAAGCUUAACUAAUUUUGCUGAGCUGGCAUUACACACUUAACUAACUUCGGCUAACUAAAUUCUCACAUGUGCUAAGCAUGAGCAGACUGUUUGUACACAUUAUGUGCUUCUUUAACACAAUGGAGUUUUAAAAAUUUGGUACUUGUUAUCUUAUCGAAAGUUUUCAAAAUUAUAUGAAUGUUCAAACUUAGCCCCUCCCGGCACUGCCACUGCUUCUACGUGAAAGUCAUUUAAGUUUGUGUUAGCUGCCUAUAGAUUGAAUAACAAUUUUACUCCGGAUUUUUUGUCCAUUAUGAAAAUUUGAUUGAAAGUGCGGCUGCACUAAUUUUCUAGAUGAACUUCCCUACAUGUUUUUUCUCAUAUGACCCAGAAUACUGCUAUAACAAUUGUAUUGGAAACUAUUCAACUGGGUUACUAUUCUACAUCCCCACCAAAAUUUAAACAGUCGACAUUGUGGAAAGAAACUCAUUUCGCCACUAGGCUUUUAGUGAGGCUAAUUUCUCUGAAUUUGGACAGAGUAGAUUUCUAAGCUAAUGCUUGGAAGAUCUCUGGCGAUAUUACAAAGUGCAUGUACAUUGAGUCUUAAUAAAUAUAAACGAUUCUCUAAUAUGAUUCAAAACAUCACUACAUGCAUAAGUUAAUAAGAGAAAAAAUUAUAAGAUUAUUUAUGCAUCACCAUUUAUAGUUGCACCCUCUCUAAUGAAAUUGAAGGUGCAGCCAGCAAUUAAAAUGAAGCAGAAAUGUACAUUGACCCUUAAUAAAUAGAAACUAAGGCGUUAUCGAUUCAACUUCAGUUGAUCAAUUGCGGGUGAAAGAUAAAUAAAGGAUAAGAGAAUAGAGCUGGAGUGCUAAAUUGGCUAUUGAAGAAGGGUGUCACAUGAUCACAAUCACAUUGACGCACAACUCUUUGGAGGCAAAUUUUGUCUAUGUGUACUCUAAAUUCAGCCAAACCAUACAUGUAUGAACAGAAUUUAAACCGUAGUUCUCAUCACAAUAGUAAUUGAAGCUACAAAAGCCAGAAAAUCUGAACAAAAACUUAAAAGGAAGAUUUUAUUCAAGUUUGCCCCCAAAAGACAGUUGAAAUGAAAAAUAUUGACUAUUGAAUGGGUCAAUGCUGAAUUACAUUUCAAAUGGAAAGCUUGGCAACAGUUACAAUGUUUCCCCUCUGAUUUUCCUCCAAAACAAAUUCAGUUAUAAACAAUAACUGAAGUAGGAAUAAUUUAUUCAUCAAAGAAAAUACCCUAGUUUUCAACUAACAAAUCCUGCUAUCCAAAUUAAAAAAACUCGCAUCUCUAAAAUUUAUUUGUAAACUGUUGGAAAUGAGGAGUGAUCUGUCAACUCCGUAAAUAAACUCAGGCAUAAUAUUAAUAAUAAUUAUAAAUUACAUAAUAAUUAUUAUAAAGAAUCAUAAAUUGGAAACGCUAAUCAUUCUACAAUCUAUUAUAUAAGUAAGAUAAGUCUCAUAAUAAGUUAAGUUAUAAUGUAAUAAAUACUUUCAAUAUAUAAUUAUUUAAGAAGGCAUUUAACAAUAAAAUAUUUUUUUUUCUAUUCGGUUGAUCAUAUAGUGUUAUCUAAACUCUUGACGAUAUUAUUAUUACUCACUUUUCUAAAAAAAAAACAUGAUUAACGUUUAGAGAAAAGUCAUGCCCCUUAAAAAUAAUAUGUAUACAAGCUAUCCAUACUUUAUCUUACCAUGACAAAAUUGAUGGUGAUUAAAUCUACUUUUAAAAUAGAUUUAAUGCACAGAUAUUAUGACUUCUGGCAAAAAUUAGUUUUGGAAGACAUAAUGGUAGAAAAUAGUGAUGAUCAUUAUUUAAAUGUGUAAAUAGCCUAGGCAUAGCCUGUAAUACCAAUAUCCAUUUGCCUUUAUUUGGAUUAUCACAUUUCAUGAUAUUCUUAUAUUUAUGACCAUUGUUCGAGAUUUGAACUUGAUCAUAAAUUAAGCUGCAAGAGAUUUUACUUCAGUUUCUAAGCUUUUCAAUCGUGAUUCAUCCAUGCCUUUCUUGGAUACCAUUAUGUUACGUGCCAAUGUAACUGACCUUGUAAUUGGUGUGUAUAAGGAAACAUGCCCUUUCAAGAUUGUUUUCUUUUGUUUCCUUAUUGUAGUAGUCAAAUAAAUAAAGAACGAACAAUUGAACUUGGUCUACUUCGAGGAAAACCAAGGCCUGCAAUAUUAGAUGAACUUUGAACAAAAUUAAUCUACUGCUUUUAUUCAUCUUUGGACUAUGAAUUUAUACAAAGACUUUAACAAAAAAUAACAAAGACACAACUGAAUGAUAGCAACAAGUGCUGACUUAGCGGACUACUGCAACAACUAAAUAAAAACUAAAUAUUUAUUUUGACUGUAACAACAAUUGCCCUGAUGAAUAGGACUCCACAGCAGCCACGUGACAACUAAUUUCUCCUUAAUAUUAUUAUUAGUAGAAGUAGAUUUUCAAACUAGUCUUGAUAUAUUUCGAAGUUGUAUUAUUAUCAAUGUAUAUGUAUCUAGAUUGUAACUAUAUUUUAAAAAAUAUAAUUUUUUUAAUUAUUGCACAGUAAAUGUAGAAAAAUAUCUAUAAAAUAAUAUUAUUAGGACUAAGAAAAAAAUAUUAUUUUAUAUAAGUUAUUUAUUUAUUAUUGAAUGAAUAAUUUAUUAAUUUAUUGAUAAACGAAUAUUUAUUAAUUUAAAGAGAGAUUAUUUUGGUUUUAAGAAGAGUUUGUUUGGUACAUGUACACACUUAUAAAGAAACACAAAAGGUGCUUCCUCAAGUUAAUAGUAUUUGCUUUAAUCGCUAUAGUUCACAAUAAUAUAGCAUAGUUUGGAAAAUUGUAAUUAUACUAUGUCUACGUUUGGUACAAUUUUUCAAGAAGAACUUAUUUAAAUAGAGUUUUUGUUAGUAGAACAUUUAUAAAUAAAAUUUUUACUGAAAAAAUUUAAGUUAUUUGGUUGUCAUUGUCAAAAUUGAUGAACUUUUGAUCUUUUGUUAACAUGUGUUUUUUUUACUAAAUAAUAAAUGUUAGGUUACAAUUAUUUUCAAUAGUUUUUGAAGGAAUCAAGUUAUGAAAUUUUUAUCAAUGAACUUUCAAUAUGUCAGCAUAUGGUCUGUAAAAUUUGAGAGUUUUCCAAUGAGGGAAUAAUUUAUUAAAAAUAAGAGAAUAUGGAUUGUUCUGUUUUAAGGGCCGAUUAUUGAGGACAUUUGAGGUUGAGCUUAGGAGAUGUUUAAAUUGAGAUAUUUGAGGACAUUAUGUUAGCCUAAAGGGCUACACAUAAUGUAAUUUUGAUGAUAACAAACAUGUGUCUUAAGUAAAAAUAAUAAAUAUUGUAUUUCACAUUUUCACUAGUUUUUGAAGGAUAAUAUUUAUGCAAGUGAAUCAAGUGAAAUCAAGAUUGAAGAUACUCAACGGACAACGGCGACAUCAAGAAUAUAGUUUAGAGCUCAAUGAACAAAUUAGUGCGAUAAAUUCUUGUAAAGCCGGUAUGAUUUAAUUGAUGCAUGAUUUAGCAUUUGAGAAGCUCAAGAGAUUAAUUUAAUUAAAUACUUUUCAUAAACUAAAAGGUUUUAUUUUUAUAAAGUAAAGUAUUUUGUGGAUUUGAGUAAUUUGGACUUAAAUGCUAAGAUUUGAAAUCUUUGAUUUUAAUAAGUAUUAAAUUUCGGAGUUGGACGUUUUGAUAAACAUUUGAAAUGUUUUGGGUCAUACUAUAAUUUAUAAAUAUUUUGGACUAAAGUGAAAGGUUUUGAGAACUUUGAAAAAUAUGGGUAUUAUGUUGAAAAGGACCUUUGUGCGAACUAAAAAUUUCUUUGGGGCCAUAUCAUAAUUUCAGAAAGUUUGGGAAGACAACUACUCUUAGGAAGUUCUGAAAUUGGACCUAUUUGCAAAGUUUUAUGACAUUUUGAGCCAUAGUAUAAUUAUAGAAAGUUUUGAGCCAAAGUAUAAUUUUAGUGAACAGUGUUACUAUAGCAAUUCAAAAAUAACGGUAAUAUCACUGUUCCUGAGCGGCUAGCCGGAUAAAUCAAGCGGCUAACUGCUUGGGCGAGGGAAUUUGCCUAUAACGGCUAGUUUUCAGGCUUUAACUAUAAAAACUCAGCUCAAACUUCAUUCUAAGUACUAAUGCAUGCAAAUAUAAGAUCAUACAACAUAUAUUGAGCUUCCAAAAUGCAAAUCAUCAUUGAUUGAAUCAUUGUUGAGCUAUUAGUUGCAUAUCCACUCUUAAAGAGAGUUUUUGUUGUAAUUUUCAUUUCUUAUCAAAUUGUGAGUGUGUGAGUGUGUAAGUGUGGGAAACACUUGGGGUGAAGAGAUUGGGGAGAUAAUCUCUUGGUUGUAAAGGUUCAUUGACACCUUGGAAGUCAAUUGUAAAAACUUGAACCCUUGAGAGGCUUGGAUAGUGAAAUCCUCGAGCAUGGUUGGCUUGGAGGCGUGGACGUAAGCAGGGAUUGCCGAACCACGUAAAAAUCCGCGUGUUUGUUUCUCUCUUCCCUUGCUCUUUUAUUUUUACGCUUGUUUGAAUUUAUUGUUCUCUAUUUCAUUAAGGCGUUAGAUUGAUUUAUUGUGCGAAUUGUAUUGCAUUAUUUUUAAAAACUCAAUUCACCCUCCCUCUUGGGUUGCAUUACUUGCAUUUACAUUAGAGUUUAUGAUUGAGACUCGAUUAUAUCUUAUGAGAAAUUUAUUGAUGAUUUUAGGUUGAUGAUAACAGUACGCAUUUGUUACAUGAGGAUGCCAAGAGGUAAGUAAACUAGACUUAAAAACGAAUCACAAUAAACAAUAUAUAUGUUUGACUUGUAUGAAAAGUCUAUUUUGAUAUGUACGAAUAUAGAUUUAUAUGUCUCUACUCAUGUGUUUAUGUGAUGUGUUGUUAUGUAUUGGGCGUGAUUAUGUACAUAGGCAUAUGUAUGUGUGAUGGUUCAUUGUCAUGAGCACGAAAAUGCAUUGAGUUUUCUAUGAAUGAAAAGUGGAUUUUAGCAAAUGAGAUUUCUCUUUUAUGAGAUUUUGCAUUGGGGGCCACCUCUUGAGGGCCAGAGUGCCGCAAAGUACCACGCACAACACAAAGUGCCACAUUGCAGGAUACGUAUUUUAUUGAAAGGAAAUAUGAAAGUUUGAAAGCGACAGAAAGAGAUUUUUAUGAAUUUGUUUUACAGUAUUUCCAAAAGAUCAUGGCAUAGCAUCCAUCUACAUUAUGUAUAAGUAUGCAUGUUUGCUUAUUGAGUUUUGUACUCAUUAUAGUUUAUUAUGAUUCAGUUUCCAGAAGUCAGGAUUGAUUCGUGAUGAGUGAGAAGAUGAAUUUAAAUUGAGGAUGGUAGAUGGUUUGGCUAAAUUUUUAAGUUAUUCCGCUGGCUUUUGUAUUCGAGGCUCGAAUUUUAUCGGUUGUAAAGAGUUAUUUAAAUUCAUAUGUGAGUUGUAGUCAGAUUUGCCCUCGGAGUUCGGGUUGGGGCGUUACAGAUGCAGAAACAGAAAACUAUUAGCUUAUCUUGAUUUUCCCACUAUAUUCAUUUUCGAUGCUUUUCAAACGAGAUUCUUUUAAUCCUUCUGGCGUAUGCAGCCCUUGCUCUUCUUAUAAAUCUCCAUCCGACAUCUGCACUAGGAACAAGUUGAUUGAAAUUAAAUAACAUUAGAGAUGACGGACGGUUGAGCCGUUAACUCGGUAAAAAAACUCAUAUAUAAUAUUACUAAUAAAAAAAAAUAUAAUAAUCAUUACUAAGAAUCAUAAAUUAGAAAAAUUAAUUAUUUUACAAUCUAUUUCGCAAGUAAGAUAAAUCUCAUAAUAAGUUAAGUUAUAACGUAAAAAACAUUUUCAAUUUAUAAUCGUUUAAGAAGUCAUUUAACAAUAAAAUCUUUCUUUUGGUCAGUUGGCCAUGCCACAGAGUAUCAUCUAUAUUCGUGGUGAUAUUAUUAUUACUCCGUAUUCUCAAAAAACUUGAUUUAACAUUUAGAGAAAAUUCCUACCAUUUAAAAAGAACAUGUAUGCAGCAGCUACCCAUACUUUAUCUUACCCCGACAAAAUUAAUGGUGACUAAAUCAAUUUUCUCGAUUAAAGCAAAAUUUUCUUAAAAACGAUUUAAUGCACAAAUAUGAUGACUUUUUGCAAAAAUUAGUUUUGGAAAAUAUAGUGAGAGAAAAUAGUGACGAUUAUUGUUUAGAUGUGUAAAUAGCCUAAACAUAAUUGCUAAUACCAACAUCCACGUGCAUCUUAACACCUUUCGUGAUAAUCUUUCAUUCAUGGUCACUGGUUCAAGAUUUGAAUUUGAUCAUUAAAUCAUGUUCAAGAAUAUUAGAGAUCCCAACAAUUGAGUUCCAACUUAAAUCCUAAUGCUAUGUGUCAUUGACCAAUAUUGUGUCAUUUUUUGUUAACUGGGUGAUGAAUUUCUAGUUGAUAAAAUUACUUAAAAAUAUCUUAAAAAUCAGAUAAUAGUUAGCUUAAUUUUUUGAAGCUAACUGCUCAAGAUGCUCUAUUAGAAAUGAUAACCUAAUUAUAUAAAAAAAAAAAUGAUGUAUUUUUUUCGGUGUUGAUAGUGAGAUUAUCAUUCAACAUGUUAAAAUAUGAAAACAUAUGGAAGAAGGUUGUAAAUUGAUUGAAUGAAAAUAUUUCAGUGAAGUCUAAAAAAUUUGGUACUUGUUAUCUUAUCGAAAGUUUUCUAAAUUACAUUCGUGGCACUGCCACUGCUUCCAUGUGAAGGUCAUUAAAAUUUGUGUUAGUUACCUAUAUGUUGAAUAAUAAUUUUAUUCAUGAAUUGUUGCUCAAUAUAGCAGUUUCUAGAUGAAUUUUCCUACAUGUUUGUCCUCAUAUGACCUAGAAUGCUGCCAUAUCAAUUGUAUUGGAAAUUAUUCAAGUGGGUUUGUGCUCUAUACCCCCACCAAAAUUUAAGCAAUCUACAGAACAUUCCUUGUGGAAAGAAACUUAUUUCGCUACUAGGUGGGAGUAGAUUUCUAAGCUAAUGCUCGGCAGAUCUCUAGGCUAUACUAAAAAGUGUAUGCACUUUGACUCUCAAUAUAUACGAGUGAUUCUAUGAUAUGACUGAAAACAUCAGUACAUGCAUGAUUUUAUAAGAAAGAAUAUUCUAAAAUUAUUUAUGUAUCACCAUUUGAAGUUGUACCCUCUCGAAUGAAGGUGCAAUCAGCAACUAAAAUGAAGCCCGAAAUGUACACGCGUGAAGCAGUUUUUCUAGAAGAUUGAUAUUUCUCAAACUAGCAAACCGUACAAGUCCAAAGCUAGAAAAAGGAGUGCUUCUAAGCAGAAAACAUUGAUUAAAACAGAAUGCACACAAACAUACCAGCAAAUUCAAAAUAGAAAAAGGAGUGCAACUGUUCAAGUUUGUGGACAAUAUUGCAACCGUGGCAUAUUUAUAGCAAAUCCUUGAAAUCUGCUAAAUAAACAAUGCCCUGUCUCAUGAAUCAAAGCCGAAUUAAAAUUGAAAUUGAAAGUCCGGCUGGUGUUGUUUCCCUCUCCAGUUUUGCCCACAUAAGUGAAGGGAAAUGAGAAUCAUAAACUAAAAUCUGCUUUUACAGUUCUUAUUAGAUAGAUAUAAAGGGAUCUUUCUUUGUUUCUCUGCUGCAAUUUGUGGCUAUCCCACUCUGUUUUGCCACUCAAGCUUAGUCUACGUUGAGACACAAUUUUGACAUCAGAAGCAACCUCAAUUAGUUUGGCAUUUUUAUGACCUCCUUGUACGUUUUACGAUAAACAUAAAUCUACUGAGAAAGUGGGAAAAAAAGAAAAUGCAUAUAAAAGUAUGAGUUAUCAGACAUGAUUAAAACUCACCCAAUUCAAUCCAUUAGAUUCCGUAAGGAUAUAACUGGAUGUCAUACCGCCAUUCCAUAUCCUCGAAAGUCCGUAGCCUCUGUCUCAACUCUGUCUGAGGCCAAUGUAAAUCCAAUAUGCGCAAGCUCUUUAUGCACCACAGCUCUUCUGGAAGCUUUCUCAAGUAAGCACAAGGGUUGACAAUUAAGCUUUCAAGUUUUGGCAUUGCUCCAGCCCCCAUCGUCCACUCAUCUAGCCAAAACAUUGAUUUCAGGUGCAAAACCUUACGUUCCGGAAAGCAACCAGGGCCAACGCAGGCCAGCUUUCUUCCUAAAUACGAGUUUUGCUUCAGUUUCAGCACUUGAAGGCGUGGAAGCUUUUCCAGCAUUGGCAUGGGAUCCUCCAUUAGCUCAGUAUUCGAUAAGCUCAGAUGGCUCAGACUUGGAGGAAAUUGGUAUUCAGACAGGAUAAUCCGUGAGGGCUUGCUCUCAUUCACCAGCUUCAAGCAUUCAAGUUUGUGCAGUUCGCAUAGGCUUUUGGAAACCCCGGAUUGAUAGUAACUCAAAUCUCCAGAUAUUCUUAGACUUUGGACAAGAUAUUCUUAGACUUUGGACAUUUGGUAGUCUGCCCAAUAUAGCUGGACUGCAACUACUAGGAUGUAAGGCUGAUAAGAAAAUGAGAUUUUUCAGAGAGCUUCAAUAAUUUUUUGGAGGUGCGGGCAGAGUGAUGCAACCGAAGUUUAGAUGCAUGAGUUUUUGCAUCAUCCAAAUAUCCUCUGGUGAAUGAUCUAUGUAGCUAGAUGGCAUUUCUAGCGUUUGAAGGUUUAAAAGGGAGCAUAGCAGUGAAGGAAUGCAUUUGAGCGAAGGGAUAUUCAAUUUCAAAUACUUCAAAAGGAAUAAAUUUUCUAAUCCGGCUGGAUAUUGGUCGAGAACUGCAGAACCCAAGUUCAAUACCCGAAGGUAUUUGAACUUGUCGCAAUCUAUCAGAGCGAGAUGAUCGCUUGCCGAACUGUUAUUCAGAAAAGAUUGGAGAUACAUGUCAGAAUGUCCUAAAGAUAAAAACCCAGUCAGAUCUUGGGCAAUGACGCACCGUUUAACAUUUGCCACUGGCUCCUCUUCCCUGUCACGCAUCCAUACAAAUUCCGUCUUCUCUGCCACCGAGCACAGUAAAGUAAAUUCAAAACCUGGAACAUAAAACGCUUUAAUUGUGCCGCCGGCUCCUCUUACUCACUUGAAUGAAGCCGCAAUGGAUUAGUUCUUUCAAGUAAUGUUCUGCCGUCUCCUCACUGUUGUAUGGUAUGAAACCUUCAGCUACCCACAACUGAUAUAAUUGUCUCGUAGAUAUCUCAAUGUCUGGACGGAAGACAAACAAAUAGGUGUAGCAGACUUUCAAGUGAAAAGGUAACUCCAUCACAGAAUAAAUUUGUCUCCAAAUUGUCCGAAUCGCUUAGGCUUGAAGAUAAUUUUCUAAUGGCAUACUUCCAUAGUGUAGGAUGAAAAAUUGCCAGGCCUCAUACUUUAAUCUGAUCAAUGGUCCUCCAACGAGCACAGAAUCAGGCCGAAUCUUCUCUCCAUUUUCCAUUUCCAACGACACAAGGAGUUCUGGAUCAGUGACUGUUAUCAAUACUCUGCUUCCAUUCUCAUUAUCAGGGAGACCUUCUUCGAGAUCAUCCCAUAUCUCACUGUUAUCGAAGACAUCAUCAAGCACAAUAAAGUACUUCUUGUUUGUUAGGUAAUCUCGAAGAAUAGAUUUCUUCAAUUGAUAAUUGAAAGAGUUUGUAUAUAGUGUUUGGUUUAAGAGAAACUAACAAGAAAAUAAAAGAAAAUCAUAAAGAACCAGAUCUGAAAAUGAUCAUAUUCUCAUUUUUUGACUAAUGAUUACAACUUGUUAUUUAUAGUAAAGAUCAGAGGCGUCACGUAGCUUGUCAGUUUGUUGGAUCUAAUAUGCAUGCAGUACAGUUCGUUAUCUUUGCUGCUGAGCUGGAUAACUAACUCAACACACGUAAGCAUCAGCAGCUCCAUUUAAUCAGAUGCUCUCAUCUAUACCAUAUUAUCAUACUCUAUAACAUCCUCCCUCAAGCUGAACUGACCUGGAUGGACAUUCAGCUUGCUUCUUAGAUAGUGAAACUGAUUGAAGGUUAGUGCCUUGGUAAGAACAUCGGCAUUUUGGUCUUCACUGGGAAUGAACUGAACUGUAAUUUGCUUAGCUGUUACUUUGUCUCUGAUGAAGUGAAUAUCAAGCUCAACAUGCUUAGUUUUAGCAUGAUAAACAGGAUUGUGAGCUAAAGCUAUGGCACUUUGAUUAUCACACCACAUUAUGGGGGCUGUGACAAGAUGAAUAUGUAGCUCUUUCAGUAAGGACUGAAUCCAAGUAACCUCAGCUGUAGCUUGAGCCAAAGCUCUGUAUUCAGCUUCAGUGCUUGAUCUGGAAACUACUGCCUGUUUCUUAGACGACCAAGAAACCAAAUUUGAACCAAGAUAAACAGCAUAACCAGCCACUGAUUUGCGAUCAUCCUUAUCACAUGCCCAAUCUGAGUCACUAAAACAAUUUAUCUGCAUAGUGCCGUAAUGAUAAAAAUGUAAUCCAAAAUGAAUUGUUCCUUUCAAAUAUCUAAGAAGCCUCUUACAAGCCUCCCAGUGCUCUGCUGUUGGUGAAGCUAAAAACUGACUAAGUUUGUUUACAGAGAAAGCUAUUUCUGGCCUAGUGAGAGUCACAUAUUGUAAAGCUCCAACUGCACUUCUAUAUUGAGAACUAUUUGAAAUAACACUUCCUGACCCCUUUGUAAGAUAAUGACCAGUGGCCAUGGGAGUAGGAACUGGACUGCAGUCAGCCAUAUUGUGUUUGGCUAGAAUAUCAGCUAUGUAUUUAGAUUGAGAGAGAUAAAUUCCAGAUGCUGUUUUGGUAACUUCUAUCCCAAGAAAAUAACUCAAUUUGCCCAGAUCCUUCAAAGCAAAAGCAUUUUGCAUAUUGGUAAUCACUUGCUGCACCAUUUGAUCACUUGAGCCUGUUAUGAUUAUAUCAUCCACAUAGACAAGAACAAAAAUUACUUGAUCACCUAUCCACUUGUAGAAAAGGGAGUUGUCUGACCUUGAAUUUUGGAAACCCCAUUUCACAACCAUAGCAUCUUUCAGUCUCUCAAACCAUGCCCUGGGGGCUUGUUUUAAACCGUAGAGAGCCUUUUUCAACUUACAGACAUGAAGAGGUCGAGAUGGAUCAAUGAAGCCCUCUGGCUGCCCCAUGUACACAUCUUCAACUAAUAUGCCAUUCAAAAAGGCAUUAUUCACAUCCACUUGUCUGAGCUCCCAUUUAUUCAUAACUGCCAAACUUAAAAUAACUCUGACUGUGGAUGCUUUAACAACUGGACUGAAUGUUUCUGUGUAAUCAACUCCUUGUGUCUGAUGAAACCCCUUAGCCACUAACCUGGCUUUGUAUCUAGAAAUGGUUCCAUCAGCAUGAUAUUUUAUCUUGAAUAUCCAUUUGUUACCAACUACCUUAACUGGUUCACUUGGCAAAACCAGAUCCCAUGUAUGAUUAUUCUGAAGUGCUUGAAAUUCUUCUUGCAUUGCCUUAAACCAUUUUGGAUUAGAUAAAGCAGCUGAAACAGAAGUAGGUUCUGAAGGUAUGGCUAGUAAAGCAGCUAAAUAAGAUUUAGGCUUAAAUAUACCAGCCUUGGAUCUGGUUAUCAUGGGAUGACCUAUAGGUGGUGCAGCAGGUAAUAUAUGAGGAGGAGAUUGUGUAUGAUGUAUAGGAUGUGUAUGUGAUGUCAAAGUAGAAGAUGAAGAGGAGGUUGAAGAAGGAGAGAAUACCUGUGGAGUGUCAGCAGGUAGGUAAUCACUUGCUAGAGAUUGUUGCAGGGGGGAUUGUACUUGUGGGAUUGGAACAAGAGUAACUUUGGACUCUGAAGAAAUAUCUGAGGGACUGCAAGACUGAGCAAUGGAAGAGAAGUCUAAUCCAGAUACAUAUGGAAAAGAUUGUUCAUCAAAGAUGACAUGAUUGGACACAUACACACGACCAGAUGAAUGAAGACACUGAUACCCUUUAUGAGAAGAGCUAUACCCAAUAAAAACACAUCUGUUUGAUCUAAAACUGAGCUUGUGUCUGUUAUAAGGUCUGAGAUAAGGAAAGCAAGCACAACCAAAGACCCUAAGAGAGACAUAAUCUGGUACUUGCUGAAAAAGUUUUUGGUAAGGUGAAAUGUAUUCAAAGUUGGUGUGGGUAGUCUGUUAAUAAGGAAUACAACAGUAUGAAAGGCAUUCCACCAGAACUUAAGUGGUAAAUUAGCUUGAGCUAACAGAGUGAGGCCAAUGUCCACUAUGUGUCUAUGUUUUCUCUCAAUUCUUCCAUUUUGAUGAUGGAUAUGUGGACAAGGAUGCCUGAACUGAAUUCCAAACUGAGUGAGAUAUGAUGCAAAGGUUCUAAACUCCCCUCCCCAAUCUGUUUGAACUGUUUUGAUGUGUUGUUGUAAGUGUUUUUCAAUAAAAGAUUUGAAUUCUGUGAAAACUUGGAGUGCAUCUGAUUUGGCAGUCAAAGGAAAAAUCCAUGUGAAUCUGCUAAAAUCAUCUAAAAUGGACAAAUAAUAUAUAUAGCCUUGAGUGGAUGCAACAUGUGAUGGUCCCCACAAAUCAGCAUAUAUAAGUUGUAAUGGUGCUGUUGUUUUUGUUGGAAUAGAUCCAAAAUGUAAAAGGUGACUUUUACCAUGUUGACAGGCAUUGCAAAAGUUUGGAGUUUUAUUGAGUACAUUGAAACUAUUACAAGCUUUCAAUACAGAUUUGAGUGUGUGUAAGGCAGGAUGUCCUAGCCUUUUAUGGAAAACAUUGACAUCGACUGAGCUAGUAUUGACAGCCAAGGCUGAUUUACACAGCAAAUGAUGAGACAAAGUACUCUUACUUAUUUCAGGAGAAAUAUCACUAGACAAAGGAGAAUGAAAAGCAAACAAAGACUGAGGUUUAUUGGAAGAAAGUUGACAAGACAAGGCUGAGCUAGUUUCAGAGACUUGAGCUGCAGAUUGGACUUGAUACAAUCCCCCUGUUGCAAUUCCUCUAAGCAAAGUGAUCCCUGAGUUCCUGGCCUUGACAACACAGACAUUUGCAAAAAACUCAAGUGUCACAUUAUUAUCUACUAAGAGCUUUGAAACACUGAGUAAAUUUUUCUUAAUAUUUGGAACAUGAAGAACAUGGUUUAAACACAAGGGUUUAUUUGCAGUAGUAGCUAGCAAUACUGAUCCAAUAUGCUGAAUAUGCAAUGCAGAACCAUUCCCAACAAGCAAUUUGUCAGUUCCAACAUAUGGCUUGAGAUCCAGUAAUUUACCUGGGUCAUUUGUGAUGUGGUUAGUAGCACCACUGUCAAUGUACCAAGCUGGAUCUUCAAUCAUCUCAGGUGCAUGAGCUGGAACAGGGACUGAAGGAGAUCCAGAGUAAUCUCCAGUAGGAGCAAAAGCAUGAGCAGGAGAGUAACCACCAUGAGAAUUAGAUGGUUGAUAAACAUUGAAAGCAGCUGGAUCUGAAUACAUCAAAUGGCCUUGAUAACCAGGUGCUCUUGGUAUGUUGAAAUUACCAAACUGAGAGUUACCAAUUCCAGCACCAUAUUGAGGAUUAAGAUUUCUACCAAAAUUACCAAAAUUUCCAUAAGCCAUAGAAGACCUAUUGCCAUUAGCAUAGCCAAAACCUCUACCAUACUGCCUCUGACCAGGCCUAAAAUUUCCAUUAAAACCACCUCUUCCUUGAUUUCUUGAAGGAACAAAAGCUGAGUUAAACCUAUUCCUGCAUUUAUUGGCACCAUGACCAGGAAUGAAAUAGAUCUGACAUACAAUUUGUGAGAAGUUACCAUCACUAGAUCCAGCUCCAGAAUUAUAACUUCCUCCAUACGAUCCAAUGUUAAACUUCUGAUUACCACUAGUGUUUUUACUAGGAUUGAACUGCUUUUGAGCAACAUUAGCUGACAAGUUAUGUGUAACAUCACUUGCAAUUUUUCCUCUCUUUUGUUCCACAUGAUUUUCAUGACUCAAUAACAAUGAAUAAAACUCAUCAAGACUGAUAUUAUCUCCUCUAGCUAACACAGUAGUAACUAGUGAUUCAUAAUCAGAGGAAUCCAAUCCAGUCAAAACAUGUUGAACGAAAUCAUUCACUUCAACAGGUUUUCCAGCUAAAGCCAAGCUAUCAGAUAUCCUUUUCAUUUUUGCAAAAUAAUCAGUUAUGGACAUCGAGCCUUUUUUAAGAGUUUGGAUUUGCAUUUUUAGAGGCAUUAUUCUAGCUUGUGACUGGGAAACAAACAUACUUGUAAGUGUAUCCAGCAGCUCCUUUGCAGUUGAGCAGUGGAUCACAGUUGUCAACAGAUUCGGCUGAAUAGAUGAGAGCAUCCAGCUCAGAAUCAAUUGAUCCGUCUUUAUCCACAUUGUGUAAGCUGGAUUGAUCUCUUGAUUCUCUGUUCCAGUUGAGAAACCAGCAGCAGAGCUUAUAGCAGAGAAAAAUUUUCCCGGACAGACUUGAUUUCCAUUGAUGAAAUCUUCUAAACCAUUUCCUUUAAUGGAUAUGAGAAUCUGAGUUCGCCAAACAAUGAAGUUAUUAUGAUCUAGUUUUAUCGGAGUAAUAAAACUAUAGGAUCCAGAAUUUUGAUUCGAAUUUGCCAUUUGUUAGCUCUGAUACCAUGAAAGAGUUUGUAUAUAGUGUUUGGUUUAAGAGAAACUAACAAGAAAAUAAAAGAAAAUCAUAAAGAACCAGAUCUGAAAAUGAUCAUAUUCUCAUUUUUUGACUAAUGAUUACAACUUGUUAUUUAUAGUAAAUAUCAGAGGCGUCACGUAGCUUGUCAGUUUGUUGGAUCUAAUAUGCAUGCAAUACAGUUCGUUAUCUUUGCUGCUGAGCUGGAUAACUAACUCAACACACGUAAGCAUCAGCAGCUCCAUUUAAUCAGAUGCUCUCAUCUGUACCAUAUUAUCAUACUCUAUAACAUCCUCCCUCAAGCUGAACUGACCUGGAUGGACAUUCAGCUUGCUUCUUAGAUAGUGAAACUGAUUGAAGGUUAGUGCCUUGGUAAGAACAUCGGCAUUUUGGUCUUCACUGGGAAUGAACUGAACUGUAAUUUGCUUAGCUGUUACUUUGUCUCUGAUGAAGUGAAUAUCAAGCUCAACAUGCUUAGUUUUAGCAUGAUAAACAGGAUUGUGAGCUAAAGCUAUGGCACUUUGAUUAUCACACCACAUUAUGGGGGCUGUGACAAGAUGAAUAUGUAGCUCUUUCAGUAAGGACUGAAUCCAAGUAACCUCAGCUGUAGCUUGAGCCAAAGCUCUGUAUUCAGCUUCAGUGCUUGAUCUGGAAACUACUGCCUGUUUCUUAGACGACCAAGAAACCAAAUUUGAACCAAGAUAAACAGCAUAACCAGCCACUGAUUUGCGAUCAUCCUUAUCACAUGCCCAAUCUGAGUCACUAAAACAAUUUAUCUGCAUAGUGCCGUAAUGAUAAAAAUGUAAUCCAAAAUGAAUUGUUCCUUUCAAAUAUCUAAGAAGCCUCUUACAAGCCUCCCAGUGCUCUGCUGUUGGUGAAGCUAAAAACUGACUAAGUUUGUUUACAGAGAAAGCUAUUUCUGGCCUAGUGAGAGUCACAUAUUGUAAAGCUCCAACUGCACUUCUAUAUUGAGAACUAUUUGAAAUAACACUUCCUGACCCCUUUGUAAGAUAAUGACCAGUGGCCAUGGGAGUAGGAACUGGACUGCAGUCAGCCAUAUUGUGUUUGGCUAGAAUAUCAGCUAUGUAUUUAGAUUGAGAGAGAUAAAUUCCAGAUGCUGUUUUGGUAACUUCUAUCCCAAGAAAAUAACUCAAUUUGCCCAGAUCCUUCAAAGCAAAAGCAUUUUGCAUAUUGGUAAUCACUUGCUGCACCAUUUGAUCACUUGAGCCUGUUAUGAUUAUAUCAUCCACAUAGACAAGAACAAAAAUUACUUGAUCACCUAUCCACUUGUAGAAAAGGGAGUUGUCUGACCUUGAAUUUUGGAAACCCCAUUUCACAACCAUAGCAUCUUUCAGUCUCUCAAACCAUGCCCUGGGGGCUUGUUUUAAACCGUAGAGAGCCUUUUUCAACUUACAGACAUGAAGAGGUCGAGAUGGAUCAAUGAAGCCCUCUGGCUGCCCCAUGUACACAUCUUCAACUAAUAUGCCAUUCAAAAAGGCAUUAUUCACAUCCACUUGUCUGAGCUCCCAUUUAUUCAUAACUGCCAAACUUAAAAUAACUCUGACUGUGGAUGCUUUAACAACUGGACUGAAUGUUUCUGUGUAAUCAACUCCUUGUGUCUGAUGAAACCCCUUAGCCACUAACCUGGCUUUGUAUCUAGAAAUGGUUCCAUCAGCAUGAUAUUUUAUCUUGAAUAUCCAUUUGUUACCAACUACCUUAACUGGUUCACUUGGCAAAACCAGAUCCCAUGUAUGAUUAUUCUGAAGUGCUUGAAAUUCUUCUUGCAUUGCCUUAAACCAUUUUGGAUCAGAUAAAGCAGUUGAAACAGAAGUAGGUUCUGAAGGUAUGGCUAGUAAAGCAGCUAAAUAAGAUUUAGGCUUAAAUAUACCAGUCUUGGAUCUGGUUAUCAUGGGAUGACCUAUAGGUGGUGCAGCAGGUAAUAUAUGAGGAGGAGAUUGUGUACACACUGAUCCAUGUACAACACAUCUCUUGAUUAUCUGUGUGUGUGCUGCUCAUCAAUGAUUAACAAGAUACAGUAGUUUUGUGAAGUCUCAUGUCUUGUGUUACAAAAUUUUGUGAUGGAAAGAAGGAAUAAUUCAACUAAAAAAAAAAAACACACGCGCGCAGCACACACACAGAGGGCCGCAACUAGCCCUUGAACCCCUAUUGAACUCGCACAAGAUACUAUUGAACUAAAUUCAAAAACAGCUGUUAAUAGCAUCUUAAAAUAUGGGUUCUAUCCAUACUCCCACCUGAAUCAUUUCUUGCGGCAUGACUCAAAAAUAACAAUAAGCCUGUCGCACCGAUAACUCAUUAGUGCAAUUUUUUUAACUCAAAAAAUUGAUACGCGUUCAUUUAGCGAAAAGUCCAAGACGCUUGCCUUUUGAAAAGAAGAGGUAUCCAAUAGAUAUCCAACCUUUAUCUUAUUUAAUUACUACCACGACAUGAUUGAUGGUGCUUAAAUCGAUUGUUUCUUUUUUAAUUUAAAGAAUUUUUCAUUAAAAAAUAUUUUAAUAUCAAAUUGCCUUCAAUAGCGUAACUGCCGCAGGCCCAGUAACAAGAUUAAUUAAAAUUUUUUGAAUUUUUGGGCAUGGAAAGAGUAGUAUUAGACUUCAGAAAGCUUAAGGUUGUUAUGUUAAAGAAUUGAUAUUGACAUAAUUUUAUUUUGGUUUUCGGGAAACAAAUUAUUUGUUGACAAGCAAGAAAAUAUUUUUGUAUUUUACAAUUUAUUAUACAUAUUUUAUCAUAUUAAAGUAAUUUUAAUAAUAAAUAGACACAUAAUAUUACAACAAAUAAAGUAAAGUUUAAAUUAUUUUGAAUAUUAUAAAAAUAAUUUUAAUAUUAUUAAUAGGAAGACAUUUUGUUAAUUUUAAAAUCUUUUUAACCUAAAGGUUUAUUUAAAAUCUUUAGAAAUCUCCAUCCCACAUCUACCCUAUUAAACAAGUUGAUGGAAAUUGAACAAUUGCUUUUUGAAGUGGACCCAUUGAGUUAUGUUCAUUACUGGUCAUUGUCUAUUCUUUCUAAGAGCCACUUGUUUUGAGCAUUAGCAAUCCUAUCUGGACUACUCCAAUUAUUGAUGUAACUCCAAUGGUUGCAUCAACAGUUGAAUGUAAGAUAGUGUUAGUUCUUUUUUGAGAAUAUAGAGGGAUCUUUAUUUGUUUCUCCGUUGUAGCGUAUUAGUAUAAAUUUCUUUACCUUACAGUUCCUACAGUCUUCCUGUUAAUGAAUUCGCUGAGGCAUUAUUGAUCCAAUCUCAGUGAAGUAAUUGUGGGUGAAAAAAAAAAAUAAAGGAUAAGAGAACGUAGCUGAAGUGCUGAAUUGACUAUUAAAGAAGAGCGUCACCUGAUCACAAUCACAUUGAUGCACAACUCACUCAGAUCAUUACAACGUCCUUUUCGCUAAUUAAUUAUGAUUAUAUACAUUUUCAUAUGGCAAGUGGCAUUGUAGAUCUAAACUACGUUGCUAUUUCAUUACGUUAAUUAAGUGAUUCUCCUCAUUGUCAUCAGCGCUUUUUGGGCAUGGAAAGAGUAGUAUUAAACAUUAGAAAGCAAAGGUUGUUCUGUCAAAGAAUUGAUAUUGGCAUAAUUUUAUUUUUGCUUUCGAGUAAAAAAAAAAAAAUUGUUGACAAGCAAGAUACUGUUUUUAUAUUUUACAGUCAGUUAUACAUAUUUUAUCAUAUUAAAGUAAUUUUAAUAAUAAAUGGAAACAUAACAUUACAAUAAAUCAAUUAAAGUUUAAAUUAUUUUGAAUAUUAUAAAAAAUAAUUUUAAUAUUAUUAAUAGGAAGAUAUUUUGUUUAUUGUAAAAUCUUUUUAACCCAAAGGUUUAUUUAAAAUCGUUAUAAUAAAUAAAAAUAUAAAAACAAAAUAAAUAUCAUAAUUUAAAAUUUUAAUAUUAUUUUAAAUAUUAAAAAUACUUUAAUGCUAUUAGUCUACUACCCAGGUUAUAUUACGUAUAUUAUAUUUGUAUAAAUUAAAACUUUUAAAGUUAAAUUUUUAAUUACUAUAUUGAAAAGUUAUUAUGGUUAAAAAAAGUUUUGGCAUUUCUUUUUGAAAAUUUGAGGGUCUGCAUGACAAUUUGUCCAAAUCCUAGAGGUAUAGGUGUCUUUUUUUUUUUUCGAUAAUCAUUUUACUUUUGAGGGAAUCCGAUGAGAAAUAAGAUAAGAGAAACGUCAAUUUAAGGUUCUCUAGGGAAAACCAAGAACUAUUCAAUUUUGUAUUUUUUGUUUGUAAAACGAAAAACAGUUUGCCAAAAAAGGUACCAAACAUAUCCUUAAUGUCUCACAUGAUUUCUUAUUAAGUCCAUACUCGAUAUAUUUAUACAUUUUAGGUAUUUUAGUUAUAAAAGAAGUUGGUCCUCCCUUUGUUUAUAAAAGGUAACUUUAUUUCGAGAUUACCACUAAAGUCUUGCAAAGAAUUAGUGUAAUGUUAAGAGAGAAUAACACAGUUUUCCAUUACCAUUUUGAAAAUAGAAAGAUGUGGAUGUGUGCAUUUAAUAUUGCGUUUACUUGCUGGAUUGAGGAAUCGGAAUCUAGAAUCGGAAUGAUUGAUGGUGUUUACUUUGCAAAUAUGGAGCAGGAAUCGGAAUUGGAAUGGUGGGGGCCACCACUAUUUGGGAAUGGGAGAUUGAUUCUCAUGGGGGAAGGUGGGAAUGAGUCUCCCAUUCCCUGGAUUGACCAUUUUGCCCUCCCUCAAAAUUAAAAAUGCCUACUUUGUCCUCUUUUAUAAUUAAUUAAUAUAAUAUUAUAAUUACUUAAUUAAUAUAUAAAUAUUUUAUUAACUAUAAUUAUUAAAAAUUAUAGUUCUUGAAUAAAUAAUCACAAUAAUUAAUUUAUUAUUAUUAUUGUUAUUUUAAUUAAUUAAUUAAUAUACUAUUAUAAUAAUUAUUAAUAUAAUUAAUUUAUAUAUUAUUAUUAUUAUUAAUGAAUUAAUAUAAUUAUUACUAUUAAUUAAUAUAUUAAUAUAUUAUUAACAAUAAUAUAUUAAUAAUUAUUGUUCGUGAAUAAAUAAUCACAAUAAUUAAUAUAUUAUUAUUGUAAUUAAUUAAUUAAUAUACUAUUAUAAUAAUUAUUAAUAUAAUUAUUAUAAUUAAUUCAUAUAUUAUUAUUAAUUAAAUUAAUAUUAUUAAAUAAAUAAAUAAUAUAAUUAUUACUACUAAUUAAUAUAUUAAUAUAUUAUUAAAAAAUAUUAAUAAUUAUAAUUUUUGAAUAAAUAAUCACAAUAAUUAAUAUAUUAUUUUAAUUAAGUAAUUAAUAUUAAUAUUAAUAUUAUUAGUUAAUAUAUUUUUAUAAUAAUUUUUAAUAUAGUUAUUAUAAUUAAUUAAUUUUUUUUACAAUUAAUUAAUAUAUUAGUUAAUAAUAAUUAUGACAAUAAUCCAUUAAGUACUUUUUAGUAAUUUGUUACAAUCUAAUUCAUUCCGAUUCCGAUUUCAAGACAAAGUAAACACAUUAAUGGCAAUUUAGCUCAUUCUGAUUUUGAUUCCUACAGUUCAAGUAAACAACUUAUUUUGAUUCCUAUUACAUAUUCCCAUUCCAACCCAUUCUCAUUUCUGUCCAUUCUCAUUUCUGCCCAUUCCGAUUUUAGCUCAUUCCGAUUUCAGUUUAGUAAACGCAGUAUAAGAGUUAUCAUGAAAAUCAUACAAUUCAAUUUCCUGAAAUAUAUAUUUUAUUCACAUGUGCCAAAAGAAUAAAUAGAUAGAAAGUAAAUUUACAAUCCUCACUCCCUCACAAUUGUUAAAGUGAAUAUGCAUUACAACUGUGAACUGUCACUACUUUAGCCCUUUUUUUUUUUUCAAUUAUAGUGUGAUGGAGACAGUGAACAUUAAGGAUAAAGUGCUCUGCUGAAAGCCAAACUUCCUUUGGCUAAUUAAUUUAGAAGUAAAGCAGAGAAUAAAGUCCUAGAUGCCUUCUGAAAUUAGAAAUACAUUUUAUAUGCUUUAAUUAUGAUUAUUUGGCAGACUAAAGACCUAAAAGAUAUGUCAAAAGUAUGAAACAGAGAGAUUAAAGAAAAAAGAAAAAAAAAAAAAAACAGAGUAUUUGUGACGUAGAAUAACAAUUGGUAAAUAAAUCCUAAAUAUUUGAGUUGUUAAAAGCAAAUAUAACAGAGACGGUAAGAGAGAUGCAGAAACAGAAAACUAUUAGCUUAUCUUGAUUUUCCCACUAUAUUCAUUUUCGAUGCUUUUCAAUCGAGAUUCUUUUAAUUCUUCUGGUGUCUGCAGCCCCGGCUCUUCUUAUAAAUCUCCAUCCCACAUCUGCACUACGAACAAGUUGACUGAAAUUAAAUAAUGUUGGAGAUGAGGGGUGAGCCGUCAACUUGUUAAAAAAAACUCAUGUAUAAUAUUAUCAAUAAUAUAAAAUAUAUAAUAAUUGUUACAAAGAAUCAUAAAUUAGAAAAAUUAAUUAUUUUACAAUCUAUUUCUUAAGUAAGAUAAAUCUUGUAAUAAGUUAAGUUAUAACGUAAAAAAUAUUUUCAAUUUAUAAUCAUUUAAGAAGUCAUUUAACAAUAAAAUCUUUCUUUUGAUCAUGUGGGCAUGCCAUAGAGUAUCAUCUAUAUUCGUGAUGAUAUUAUUAUUACUCAGUAUCCUAAAAAAAACACGAUUUAACAUUUAGAGAAAAUUCCUGCCUUUUAAAAAGAACAUGUAUGCAAUAGCUAGCCAUACUUUAUUUUACCACAACAAAAUUGAUGGUGAUUAAAUCAAUUUUCUCAAUUAAAGCAAAAUUUUAAAAAUUGAUUUAAUGCACAAAUAUGAUGAGUUUUUGUAAAAAUUAGUUUUGGAAAAUAUAGUGAGAGAAAAUGGUGACGAUUAUUUUCAGAUGUGCAAAUAGCCUAAACAUAAUCUCUAAUACCAAUAUCCAUGUGCAUCUUAAUACCUUUCAUGAUAUUCUUUCAUUCAUGGCCAUUUGUUCAAGAUUUGAAUUUGAUUAUUAAAUCAUGUUCAAUAAUGUUAGAGAUCCCAACAAUUGAAUACCAACUUAAAUCCCAAUGCUAUGUGUCAUUAACAAAUGUUGUGUCAUUUAUAAUUAUUGAAUGAAUAAUUCGUUAAUUUAUUGAUAAAUAAAAAUUUAUUAAUUUAAAGAGAGAUACUUCUUCUUUUUUUGUUUUAAGAAGAGUUUUGUUGGUACAUGUACAUACUUAUAAAGAAAUAAACUUGUAAUUAUACUAUAUCUUUCUUUCUUUGUUCAGUUUGGUGGGAUAUUGUGAUAAAUCAUUGGAUUAAAAUACAUUUCUAAAUUAAAACUUGUUAAAAUCUAAUUUAUUUGGGAAACGCAUAUUAUUUGUCAGUUGUACUUCUCAACUUAGCAAGUUAUUUCUAACUUGUCAGUCUCUAUUGGUUCUCUAAAAGCUAAUAGUCUCGAAUCUCCCGCAUUUGAUAUCUUGCCAUUACUGUUGGCAUUUGUUAAGUAUAGCUGAAGCUGGUGACGUGUAUAAGCUGCUGAUGAAGCUGCUGAGUUGGCUGGCUGGUGAUGUGUAUAAACUGAAGGUGCUGAGCUGGAUUGGGUUGUUGUUCACACCAACUAAAGAUGUAACAGAUUAUCCAGCUGGCUUGUUAUGAUUGGAAGUUAGAUUAGUUUGUUAAUACAGCAAACAAUGAGCUCUGUUUUGGUAGUUAGUUUUGAGUGUAACUAUAAAUACUGGCUAACAUGUUUUCAGUGUUAAGCUUGAGUUUUAAUCAAUAAAAAUCAAUUCAGUUAAAGUUUCUUUGUUAACUUUCUUUCACUUUCUCACUUGCCAAACAACCUAUUAAUUCUAAAAUGGUAUCAGAGCUUGCACCUAUGUCAGGAUCUAAUCAUAUAGCUUCCUCAUCACUUUCAUUCAAUUUUGUUCAACCUAUAAAACUCGAUAGAUCAAACUACUUGGUGUGGAAAGCUCAAGUUAGAACAUCGAUCAUUGCUAAUGGACUUGAGAGCUUCAUCAAUGGUGAGAGUGUAUGUCCAAAAUGUUAUCUCAUUGAUUCUAUUCAAGAACUUCAAAGAUCUGGAGCUGAAACAUCACAGAAGCAGGAAAAUCCAGAGUAUAUCUUAUGGAUGAAAACUGACAAACUUCUGCAGAGCUGGAUGCUUUCGUCAAUGGUGGACAAUGUAUUAAUCAUGGUGAUCAAUUGUGAAACAUCACUUGAACUUUCGGAGAUGCUUGCUAGAAUCUUCAUGUCACAAUCCAAAGCGAGAUAUCUGCCUUUGAAGAUGCAGAUUCAAUCAACAAAUAAAGGAUCUCUCUCCAUCAGUGAUUACUUCAAAAGGAUGAAGAAAAUUGCUGAUAGCUUGGCCAUUGGAGGUAAUCCAAUUACUUCGAAUGAACUGAUUAUUCACUUGCUUACUAGAUUGGAUGAAAACUAUGAAUCCAUAGUCACAAAUAUACUUACUAGACUGGAAAAAGAGAGACUUACUGCUGAAGAGGUGUACUCUAUGUUACUUAGUCAUGAAACUAGGUUGGAAAUGAGCAAAGGAAAAUCACAUAAUGAACCUCUGCAUGAUAUGACAUCAAAUUUUGCUCAGAAAGGCCAAGGUUAUAAUACUGGUCCUGGAAGAGAUGUUGUGUGUCAAAUCUGUUACAUUCCAGGCCAUGGAGCUUAUAAGUGUAAACAUAGAUUCAAUCAAGGGUUUAUUCCUAGAAACAAAGGCUUUGGUGGUUUCAGGCCAAGAGGUGGAGGUCAGAAUUAUAGAGGAUUCCCUAGAAAUAAUCAGAAUUAUUUUGGUAGAGGUUCUGGAUACAAUAGUUCUGCUUUUGGAUCUGGAUUCAGACCUAACUUUCCCAGGCAAGCCGGACCUACUGGACCUUUCUUUGGCUAUGUUGCCUAUCAGAAUCCAGGAUUCAUGAAUCCUCAAGGUGCCUUUGACUUUCCAAGUGCAAAUGGUGAUUAUACUGGUGUUCCAACAGCAAACAUGUAUGUUGGAAAUUAUGGCAUUCCUCAUAAUGUCUCUCCCUCUGCACAAUUGGCAAACUUCAGCAAUGUAGCUGAUUCAGCCUGGUACCUUGACUCUAGAGCAACAAAUCACAUUGCUCAAGAUGCAGGUAUACUUUCUAAGUGCUCAACUUACCAUGGCCUUGAAAAACUACAUGUAGGAAAUGGUAUGGGGCUGCCUGUUCAUAAUGUUGGUUUUGUUGCUGUUAAAACCUUGACUACAACACCUAUAUACCUAAAUCAUGUUCUGCAUGUCCCUAAAAUUACUAAAAACCUUAUCAGUGUUUCCAAAUUGCUUGCUGAUAACAAUGUUUUUAUUGAGUUUUACAACCAUGUUUGUUUUGUUAAGGACAAGAAUUCAAGAAUCACAUUGCUCAAGGGGAUUGUUAGAGGAGGUCUUUAUCAAGUUUCAAGCUUAAAUACAGUCUGUGAUAACUCCAGUUCAGUGUUCCCAGUGUCAACCACUUCUGAGUUUGUUUUUACUUCAAUAAGUACAUUCCCAGCAACUCCAGUGUCUAUGUUUACUCAACUAAGUUCAUUUGAUACUAAGUUUCACUCUUGUAUGCUUGUAAAUAAUUCUCAAAUCAAUAAGAAUGUCCCUGUGGCUCACUUUGCUUCAUAUAACAAGCCUAUUGAUUAUAGUUUACUGCACAAAAGAAUGGGUCAUCCAACUACUCAUGCUUUAAAACAGAUCAUGAAAUGCCUGAACUCAAAUUUUAUUCUUCCCAAAGAUUUCACAACACAGUUCUGUGAUGCCUGUCAACUAGGCAAGUGCCAUACGCAGCAUUUUCCCUCCAUAGAAACUUCAACCACUCAGCCCCUUGAAUUACUACAUGCUGACCUUUGGGGACCAGCUCCCAUUACCUCUUCACAAGGUUACACCUACUAUCUAUCUAUCUUAGAUGACUACACUCGAUACACUUGGAUUUUUCCUCUCAUUGCCAAAUCCAAAACCUUGUCAGCCUUUAUUGAAUUCAAAAACAUGAUUGAAAACUGCCUGAACUUGAAAAUUAAAUGUUUACAAACUGAUUGGGGUGGAGAAUUCAGGCCUUUUGUGUCAUAUCUUUCUAACCAGGGUAUACAAUUUUGACAUCCCUGCCCUUAUAUCCAUCAUCAACAUAUUACCUGAGAUUGGGAUUCAUUAAAAUCCUCAAUGUAAUCGGUGGAACGAAUGGAUUUCUUCUGUUCACCAAUCCACCAAAAUUUCUGUAAUUAAAUUCAAGAGUCAAGAUCUAUGCUUAUAAUCUAUUCAACAGCUAAUAUUCUAUUUUAUAUUUACUUAAAUAUGAAGAGCUAUGCUUGUCAUUAACUUCAAAUGUGAUCGAAGCAGCCUUACAUCUGUAUAUUACGUAUUCCCAACUUUUUUUUGACUUCAUUUACUUUCUUUUCAUGUUAUUUACUCUUUUUUCCCCCUCUCUGACAAUUGAGGUAGGGGGUCAAACUUGAAAGUAUCUUAAAAUCAAACAAUUUUUUUUUUAAGAUAGCUGCUAAUAUGCUCUAUUAGACAAUGAUAAGUAAUAACCUAGUUGUUUGCAUUAGAAAUGAUAUUUUUUGUGGUGCUGAUAAAGAGGUUGAUUAUGAUUCAACAAUUUAAAAUAUGAAAACAUGUGGAAGACGGCCGCAAUUAAAUUGAUUGUAUGAAAAUAUUUCAAUGAAAUUUUAAAAAUUUAGUACUUGUUAUCUUAUCGAGAGUUUUUUAAAUUUUUCUACUUGAACUUGACUGCUUUUGUAUUGAAUUCCUAGCGUUGCCAUUGCUUCUACUCAAAAGCCAUUUAGUUACUCAUGAAUUGUUGUUCAUAAUAGCAAUUUGAUUGAAAGUGCGGCUGCACUAAUUUUCUAGAUGAAUUUUUUCCUACAUGCUUGUUCUCGUAUGACCCAAAAUCCUGCUACAUCAGUUGUAUUAGAAAUUAAUCAACUGGGUUACAAUUAUGCAUCCCCACCAAUAUUUAAGCAAUUUAAUUACAGAAACAUUUCUUGAGGAAAGAAACUCAUAUCGCCACUAGGCUUUUAAUGAGGCUCAUUUUUAUGAAUCUGGAUGGCAUUAGAUAUCUCUCCGAAUAUUGGUGGGAGUAGAUAUGCUACAAAGUGUAUGUACGUUGACUCUCAAUAAAUACAAACGAUUCUCUGAUCUGAUUCAAAACAUCAGUACAUGCAUCAUUUUAAUGAGAAAGAAUAUUCUAAGAACGAAAUUGAAGGUGCAAUCAGCAGCUAAAAUGAAGCCAGAAAUGUACACGCAUGAGGAAGUUUUCCAAGAAGAUUGAUAUUUCUUUGACUAGCAAACCAUACAAGUCCAAAGCUAGCUAAACCAUACCUGCAAGUCGGGGGUUUAAAUGGAGUACUUCUAAGCAUAAAACAUUGAUUAAAACAGAAUACACACAUACAUACCAGCAAAUUCAAUAUAGCAAAAGGAGUGCAAAAGUUCAAGUUUGUAGACAACAUUGCAACCAUGGCAUGUUUAUAGCAAAUCCUCGAAAUCUGCUAAAUAAAACAAUGCCCUGUCUCAUGAAUCAAUGCUGAAUUAAAAUUGAAACUGAAAGUCUGGCUGGCGGUGUUUCCCUCUCCAAUUUUGCCUACAUAAGUGAAAAUAAGAAUAAUAAAUGGAAAUCUGCUUUUACAGUUCUUAUUAGAUAGAUAUAAAGGGAUCUUUCUUUGUUUCUCUGCUGUAAUUUGUGGCUAUGCCACUCUGUUUUUCCAGUCAAGCUGAGUCUACGUUGAGACAUAAUUUUGACAUCAGAAGCAACCUCAAUUAGUUUGGCAUUUUCAUGACCUCCUUGAAGGUUUUAUGAUAAACAUAAAUCCACUGAGAAAGUGGGAAAAAAAGAAAAUGCAUAUAAAAGUAUGAGUUAUCAGAUAAGAUUAAAACUCACCCAAUUCAAUCCAUCAGAUUCCGUAAGGAUAUAACUGGAUGUCAUACCGCCACUCCAUAUCCUCGAAAGUCCGUAGUCCUUGUCUCAACUGUGUCUGGGGCCAGUGUAAGUCCAAUUUGCGCAAGCUCUUUAUGCACCACAGCUCUUCUGGAAGCUUUCUCAAGUAAGCACAUGGGUUGACAAUUAAGCUUUCAAGUUUCGGCAUUGCUCCAGCCGCCAUCGUCCACUCAUCUAGCCAAUACAUUGAUUUCAGGUGCAAAACCUUAAGUUCGGGAAAGCUACUCAAGCCAACACAAGCAAGCUUUCUUCCUAAAUACGAGUUCUGCUUCAGUUUCAGCACUCGAAGGCGUGGAAGAUUUUCCAGAAUUGGCAUGGGAUCCUCCAUUAGCUCAGUAUUUGAUAAGCUCAGUUGGAUCAGACUUGGGGGAAAUUGGUAUUCAGACAGGACCAUCCGUGAGGGCUUGCUCUCAUUCACCAGCUUCAAGCAUUCAAGUUUGUGGAGUUCGCAAAGGCUUUUGGAAACCCCAGAUUGAUAGUAACUCAAAUCUCCAGAUAUCCGAAGAGUCCGAACACUAGGUAGUCUGCCCAAUAUAUCAGGAGUACAACUACUAGGGUUUAAAGCUGAUAUGAAAAUGAGAUUUUUCAGAGAGCUAGAAUAAUUUUUUGGAGGUGCGGGCAGAGUGAUGCAACCGAAGUUUAGAUGCAUGAGUUUUUGCAUCAUCCAAAUAUCCUCUGGUGACUGAUCUAUGUAGCUAGAUGGCAUUUCUAGUGUUUCAAGGUUUAAAAGGGUGCAUAGCAGUGAAGGAAGGCAUUUGAGCGAAGGGAUAUUCAAUUUCAAAUACUUCAAAAGAUAUAAAUUUUCUAAUCCGGGUGGAUAUUGGUCCAGGACUGCAGAACCCAUGUUCAAUACCCGAAGGUAUUUGAACCUUUUAAAAAAAUUCUCGCAAUCUUUCGGAUUAAGAUGAUUGCUUUUUGAACUGUGAUUCAGAAAAGAUUGGAGACACAUGUCAGAAUGUUCUAAAGAAAAGAACUCAAUCAGAUCAUCGUCAAUGACGCACCGUUUAACAUUUGCCACUGAUUCCUCUUCCACGUCAUGCAUCCAGACAAAUCCCGUCUUCAUUGCCACAAUAUACAAUGAAGUGUAUACAAAACUUGGAACAUAACACGCUUUAAUUGUGCCUCUGGCUCUUCUCUUACUCACUUGAAUGAAGCCGCGAUGGAUUAGUUCUUUCAAGUAAUGUUCGGCAGUUUCUUCACCGUUGUAUGGUAUGAAACCUUCAGCUACCCACAACUGAUAUAAUUGCUCCGUAGAUAUCUCAAUACUUGGAGGGAAGACAUACAAAUAGAUGCAGCAGACUUUCAAGUGAAAAGGCAACUCCAUCACAGAAAAAAUUUGUCUCCAAACUGUCAGAACCACUUCGCCUUGAAGAUAAUUUUCUAAUGGCAUACUUCCAUAGUGUAGGAUGAAAAAUUGCCAGGCCUCAUGCUUUAAUCUGAUCAAUGGUCCUCCAAAGAGCACUGAAUCACGCCGAAUCUUCUCUUCAUUUUCCAUUUCCAACGACGCAAUGAGGCCCGGAUCAGUGACUGUUAUCAAUACUCUGCUUCCAUUCUCAUCACCAGGAAGAAGUUCUUCGAGAUCACUCCAUAUCUCACUGUUAUCGAAGACAUCAUCAAGCAAAAUAAAGUACUUCUUGUUUGUUAGGUAAUCUCGAAGAAUAGAUUUCUUCAAUUGAUAAUCUUCACCGAUAAUUACACUAACCCGAGAUGGAGGCAUCACAGACUUGAUUAUGUCAUCCAACAUCUUGCCAAAAUCAUAGAAUAUAGAAACCCUGACCCAAGCAAGACAGUCAAAAUAGAACUUGACAUGGUUAUUAUUGUAAGUAUCUUCUGCAAAAGCAGUCUUAUCGAAGCCACUGCUGUCGAGAAUUGUAACCACUGCAAGCCGAGGGCGUCCUUCAAUCAAUAAAUCAAACAACUCCUCCCUGCCCCUUUCAAAUUCAUUGAUAUCAAGCCGAGGUUGUCCCUCACUCAAUAGGUGAAUGAUUUCGUUACUUUUUUUACUGAUAUCAAAACCAUUGUCGCCGGGUGGAAGUUGUUGCAUCCGAUUACUAAUAUCAAUGAUUUUACUGUGGAGACCAGCAAGAAGAGCCAUAUUAGUACUGCUUUCACUUUCGUUUUCACUGUUUUGCUGCUGCAUAAUGUUGAUGAAGAAUGUGUCAAUGGCUUCCUCAGAUUCAUGGACAAAGUCAUUGAUGUCCUUCACAAUGCCCAAAAGGUCCGCUCUUUCAACUUCUUCUUCAUCGCUUUCUUCUAAGUCCAACAGUUGCAAAAAAGGCAAAGAUAUUUUGGAGUCAUCGAAUUCUUCUCUAAUGAGUUGAAAGAAAUGCCGAGCCAUGUCAGCUUCAUAUUUUCCCAGCAGGGUAGUAGCAAUAAUUUCGGACUCCGUAAGAAGGUUUUGAAAAAGUGGGGUUAAAUUUGUUGAAUCAGGCAGCGUUAACGGGCCUUCUUCACCUGCUAACACCCUUUUCAACCUCUCACAAAACAGUCGGAGGUGGAAUUCCAGCAUAUCUCCUUCUCUCCGUAGCACUCAGAGGUAUAGCUGAAAGAUUAAACACCAUGGAAGAAUUUGAAAGGAAAAUGCCAAGACAUUAUUGCUCAUUUUUUAACUCAAAAGAUUGAUACGCGUUCAUUUAGAGAAAAGUCCAAGACGCGUGCCUUUUGAAAAGAACAGGUAUCCCAAUCGGUAUCCGACCGAUAUCUUAUUAAAUUACAACCAUGACAUAAUUGAUGGUGCUUAAAUCAAUUGUUUCUUUUUUAAUUUAAAGAAUUUUUCAUUAAAAAAAUAUUUUAAUAUCAAAUUGCUUUCAGUGGCGUAACUGCCUCAAGCCCAGUAACAGGACUAAUUAAAAAUUUUACAAUUUUUGGGCAUGGAAAUAGUAGUAUUAAACAUUAGAAAGGUAAGGUCGUUCUGUUAAAGAAUUGAUAUUGACAUAAUUUUUUUUGGUUUUCGGGGGAAAAAAAAUUGUUGACAAGCAAGAAAAUAUUUUUAUAUUUUAUAAUUUAUUAUACAUAUUUUAUCUUAUUAAAGUAAUUUUAAUAAUAAAUAGAAACAUAAUAUUACGAUAAAUAAAUUAAAGUUGAACUUAUUUUGAAUAUUAUAAAAAAUAAUUUUAAUAUUAUUAAUAGGAAGACAUUGUAUUAAUUUUAAACUUUUUUAACCCAAAGGUUUAUUUAAAAUCUUUAUUAGAAAUACAAAUAUAAAAUUAAAUAUCAUAAUUUAAAAUUUUUAAUAUUAUUUUAAGUAUUAAAAAUAUUUUAAUGUUAUUAGUCUACUACAUAGAUCAUAUUACUUAUAUAAUAUUUGUAUUAUUAAAAAUUGUUAAAAUCAAAUUUUUAGUUAGUAUAUUCAUGAGCUAUUAUGGUUAAAAAAAAAAAGACCUUAUUAUUACUUUUUUAAAAAUUGAGGGCCUGCGUGAUAAUUUUUUCAAAAAGAAAAUGCUUGGUAUGUAGGAGGGGUACAGAAACAGGACUCCCAAAAUCUCUCACCCUUUUUUAAUUAAAAAAAAAAAUUAAAAUAUCAAUAAAAAGUAAUAAAGAAAAUAGAAUUUUAUCUGCUCCUUACUCCAUUUUUGCAACUCUCUCACCAUCCCUAUCGAGCAGCCCUCUCUCUCACUGUCUCACUCACACAGUCCUUUUCACGAUUUGAAAUUCUUUGGCCCUCUGCAUUACAAGAAAUUAACGCUUUGGUUCUCCCAAGGGUAGAUUGGUUUUAUUGGGAAGCUAUUAAUUUUUUUUUUUUUUGAAUACUGAUUAAUCAUCAGAUUACUGCAUUACACAGAUAUUUACAACAACUGCUAUUGUAGCAGAGAUAUUAUACUGAUAUUUACAAUCAGAUAUACAUAAUUGGGACUUAUAUUAUGACAUUGAAUUCUAUGAAGUACAUGCCCAAACAAAUAACCCCUCACAGGAGAGGGAUGUCCAUACUCCACUCGCAUUUCGCAAGGGAGAAUGAUUUUUUGGAAGUAUAAAGAACAUUUAGCCCCCACAAUACUUUUGUGGGGGCUAGAACCGCUGCAGCAUUGUGAGGGCAGCAGCCCACCACUUCGGCCUUGGCCGAAGUGGCGGGAAGCUAUUAAUUAGAAGGAGGAAAAAGGACUAUAUUUAGAAUAUGAUUUGUUGGAGAAUCUCAGAGUUAGUCAAUUUUCAAGCCACACUUUCAAUAGCCAAUUGAUUUAGUAACCAUUAAUUACUUUAAUUUCCAUAAAUUGUAAUGACAGUGCAAAUGCAUCUGGUUGUGAUAGCUAAGGGUUAGCUUGAAGAAUUAAAUUUCAUAAGAUAUUACUGGAAAAUGCUUUGCAGAUAACGUGCUGCUUCCUUUGCUAGACUACAAUUUCAAAAAUCUCACGAGUUUUCCAUUGUUGUCACAAACCGAGAAAUUAUAAAAUACAUGGCCUGGUUCUUUGGCAAUGACCAUCUCAUCGUCGGCGGUCGUGUCGUCAUUGUCACUGUUCUUGCUCGACCGAGACAGUGAGAGAGAGGUUUGUUAGAUGGAGUUAGUGAGAGAGAGUUGUAAAGAUGGAAUGAUGAUAAAAGGAUUCUAUUUGUUUUUAUUGUUUUUUAUUAAUAUUUUAAUUUUUUAAAUUAAAAUGUGCUGCCGUUUCUCUAGCCUUUUUAGCUGCUUAACUUAACAGUAUUCUUUUCAAAAUUUAAGAAUGUAGUAGGUGUCCUUUUCUCUAAUAAUUUAUUUCAUUUUUAGGGAAUCCAAUGAGAAAUAUGAUAAAAGAACGUCAAUUACUUGUCGUUUUCAAUUUUUUCUAUAAGCUAUUUAUUUUGAGCAUUAGUGAUCUUGUCUGGACUACCCCAAUUAUUGACGUAACUCCAGUGGCUGCAUCCACUGGAAAAAGUGGAUGAGACCAUUUUUUUUUUCAUAAAGGUAACUACUCCAAUUAUUGACAUAAUUGAUGGUGCUUAAAUCAAUUUUUUCUUUCUUUUUUUUAAUUUAAAGAAUUUUGCUUUAAAAAAUAAUUAAUAUCAAAAUGCCUUCAAUGUUGUUACCGCCACAAGCCCAGUUAGAGGACUCAUUAAAAAUUUUAGAAUUUUUAGGCCUGGAAAGCAUAGUAUUAAACAUCAGAAAGCAAAGGUUGUUAUGUCGAAGAAUUGAUGUCGACAAAAUUUUAAUUUUGUUUUCGGAAAAAAAAAAAAAUUUUGUUGACAAGCAAGAAAAUAUUUUUUAUACUUUACAAUCUGCUAUACAUAUUUUAUCAUAUUAAAGUAAUUUUAAUAAUAUAUGGAAACAUAAUAUUAUAAUAAAUAAAUUAAAAUUACUUUGUAUUAUUGAAUAUUACAAAAAGAUAAUUUUAAUAUUAUUAAUAGGAAAACAUUUUUUAAUUGUAAAAUCUUUUUAAUACAAAAAUUCGUUUAAAAUCUUUAUAAUAAAUACAAAUAUAAAAUUAAAAAAUAUCAUAAUUUAAAAUUUUUAAUAUUAUUUAAAUAUUAAAAAUACUUUAAUGUUAUUAGUCUACUACAUAAAAUAUAUUAUUUAUAUUAUAUUCGUAUUGAUUAAAACGUUUUAAAGUCAAAUUUUUAAUUAGUGUAUUCAAAGGUACAAAAGAUUUAAGUAUUAUUUUUUAAAAAUUUCAAGAUACGAAUGAUAAUUUUUUCAAAUUUUAAAGAUGUAAAAAUCUUUUUUUCUGAUAAUUUAUUUCACUUUUGAGAGAAUCCGAAAACGUUAAUUUAACAUUCUUUACCUUUGUAAAAAAAGUGAAAAUCAAGAACUAUUCAAUUUUGUUUUUAUUUGUAAUUCAAAAACUUUAUUCAUUUUCGAUGCUUUUCAAAAGAGAUUCCUUUAAAUGUCUGCAGCUCCUGCUUUUCUCAUAAAUCUCCAUCCCACAUCUACACUAUCAAGUAUCAAACAAGUUGAUGGAAAUUCUUAUAAAAAAAAAAAAAAAAUUGAUGGAAAUUGAUCAAUUGCUUUUUGAAGUGGACCCAUUGAGUCAUGUUCAUUUCUGGUCAUUGUCUACUCUUUCUAUCAGCCAUUUAUUUUGACCAUUUGCGAUCUUAUCUGGACCUACUCCAAUUAUUGUUGUAACUCCGAUGGUUGUAUCUACAGUGGAAUGUAAGAUAGUGAAAGCUCUUUCUUUGAGAAAAUAGAGGGACCUUUCUCUGUUUCUCCGUUGCAACGUGCUCGUAUAAAUUUCUCUACCUUACAGUUUAUACGGUCUUGCUGUUAAUGAAUUCGCUGAGGCAUUAUUGAUCCAAUCUGAGUGAAGUAAUUGUGGGUGAAAAAUAAAUAAAGGAUAUGAGAACGUAGCUGAAGUGCUGAAGGGGCUAUUAAAGAAGAGUGUCACUUGAUCACAAUCACAUUGAUGCACAACUCACUCGUGGCAAAUUUCGACUAUACGUUCUGCAAAUUCAGCCAAACCAUACAUGCAUGAACAAAACUAAAAUGUAGUUCUAAUCACAACUGCAGUUAUGAUGUUUACCUCUCUGAUUUUUCUCCAAAACAAAUUCAGUUCAAAACAAUAAUCAAAAUAGCCACAUUUUGUUCGUCAAAAUAAAUGCCCAAAUUUUCAAUUAACAAAUCAUCUUCUCUAAACUAAAAAGCCCACAUCUCUAAAAUCAAUCUACAUAAUGUUGGAGAUGAGGGUUGAAUUGUUAACUCAGUAAAAAAAAAAAAACUCAUGCAUAAGAUUACUAAUAAUAUAAAUUAUAUAUUAAUCAUUAUAAAGAAUCAUAAAUUAGAAAAAUUAAUCAUUUUAUAAUUUAUUACACAAGUAAGAUAAAUCUCAUAAUAAGUUAUAACAUAAAAAACGUUAUCAAUAUAUAAUCAUUUAAGAAGUCAUUUAACAAUAAAAUCGUUCUUUGAUCAGUUGGCCAUGUCACAUAGUAUCAUCUAUAUUUAUGGUGAUACUAUUAUUACUCAGUAUUCUCAAAAAACAUGAUUUAACAUUUAGAGGAAAUUCUUGCCUUAAAAAAAAAACAUGUAUGCAACAGCUACCCAUGCUUUAUCUUACCAUGACAAAUAUUUUCUCAAUGAAAGAAAUUUUUUAAAAAAUUGAUUUAAUGCACAAAUAUGAUGAUUUUUGCAAAAAUUAGUUUUGGAAAACAUAGUGAGAGAAAAUAGUGACGAUUAUUGUUUAAAUGUAUAAAUAGCCUAAACAUAAUCCUUAAUACCAAUAUCCAUAUGCAUCUUAUCAUCUUUCAUGAUAUUCUUUCAUUUAUGUCCAUUGGUUCAAGAUUUGAAUUUGAUCAUUAAAUCAUGUUCAAUAAUAUUAGAGAUUCCAACAAUUGAGUACCAACUUAAAUCCCAAUGUUAUGUGUCAUUGACCAAUUUUGUGUCAUUGACCAAUUUUGUUAUUAACUAGGUGAUGAAUUUCUAGUUGAUAAAAUCACUUAAAAAUAUCUUAAAAAUUAGACAAUAGUUUGCUUAAUUUUUCCAAGUUAACUGCUCAAGAUGCUCUAUUAGAAAUGAUAACCUAAUUAUAUACAUAAAAAAUGAUGGAAAUUGAACAAUUGCUUUUUGAAGUGGACCCAUUGAGUUAUGUUCAUUACUGGUCAUUGUCUAUUCUUUCUAAGAGCCACUUGUUUUGAGCAUUAGCAAUCCUAUCUGGACUACUCCAAUUAGGAUAGUGUUAGUUCUUUUUUGAGAAUUUCUUUAUUUGUUUCUCCGUUGCAGCGUAUUAGUAUAAAUUUCUUUACCUUACAGUUCCUACAGUCUUCCUGUUAAUGAAUUCGCUGAGGCAUUAUUGAUCCAAUCUCGGUGAAGUAAUUGUGGGUGAAAAAAAAAAAAAAGGAUAAGAGAACGUAGCUCAAGUGCUGAAUUGACUAUUAAAGAAGAGCGUCACCUGAUCACAAUCACAUUGAUGCACAACUCACUCGAGGCAAAUUUCAUCUAUAAAUAAAAGAUCCCUUACUAUUCUCUUAACCCUGAGUUUUGAGAUAGAAAUUUCCCGAACUCCAACCCCACAUCCACAGACAAGUUGAUUGAAACAAUUGCUCUUGUAAUUAAGAGGAUGGGUUAGGGUUCAGUUCUUAUCAUUGUCUGUUAUUUCUUUGAAUCAUUAUCUUAAUUAAUUACAUCAAUUGUUUCUUUUUUUUAAUUUAAAGAAUUUUUCUUUAAAAAAAUAUAUUUUAAUAUCAAAAUGCCUUAAAUGGUAUUACUGCCGCAAUCCCAGUAACAGGAUUAAUUAAAAAUUUUAGAAUUUUUGGGCAUGGAAAGAGUAGUAUUAAAUAUCAGAAAGCUAAGGUUGUUCUGUCAAAGAAUUCAUAUUGGCAUAAUUUUAUUUUUGCUUUCGAGUAAAAAAAUAUAUAUAUAUAUAUUUGUUGACAAGCAAAAUACUGUUUUUAUAUUUUACAAUCAGUUAUACAUAUUUUAUCAUAUUAAAGUAAUUUUAAUAAUAAAUGGAAACAUAACAUUACAAUAAAUCAAUUAAAGUUUAAAUUAUUUGGAAAAUUAUAAAAAAUAAUUUUAAUAUUAUUUAUAGGAAGAUAUUUUGUUUAUUGUAAAAUCUUUUUAACCCAAAGGUUUAUUUAAAAUUGUUAUAAUAAAUAAAAUAUAAAAACAAAAUAAAUAUCAUAAUUUAAAAUUUUAAUAUUAUUUUAAAUAUUAAAAAUACUUUAAUGCUAUUAGUCUACUACAAAGGUUAUAUUACUUAUAUUAUAUUUGUAUAAAUUAAAACUUUUAAAGUUAAAUUUUUAAUUACUAUAUUGAAAAGGUAUUAUGGUUAAAAUAUGUUUUGGCAUUUCUUUUUAAAAAUUUGAGGGUCUGCAUGACAAUUUGUCCAAAUCCUAGAGGUAUAGGUGUCUUUUUUUUUCGAUAAUUCAUUUUACUUUUGAGGGAAUCCGAUGAGAAAUAAGAUAAGAGAAACGUCAAUUUAACGUUCUCUAUGGAAAACCAAGAACUAUUCAAUUUUGUAUUUUUUGUUUGUAAAACGAAAAACAGUUUGCCAAAAAAGGUACCAAACAUAUCCUUAAUGUCUCACAUGAUUUCUUAUUAAGUCCAUACUCGAUAUAUUUAUACAUUUUAGGUAUUUUAGUUAUAAAAGAAGUUGGUCCUCCCUCUAUUUAUAAAAGGUAACUUUAUUUCGAGAUUACCACUAAAGUCUUACAAAGAAUUAGUGUAAUGUUAACAGAGAGUAACAUAGUUUUCCAUUACCAUUUUGAAAAUAGAAAGAUAUGGAUGUGUGCAUUUAAUGGUGUGUUUACUUACCGGAUUGAGGAAUCAGAAUCUGGAAUUAGAAUGAUUGAUGGUGUUUACUUCGCAAAUAUGGAGCAGGAAUCGGAACUGGAAUGGUGGGGCCCACCACUAUUUGGGAAUGAGAGAUUGAUUCCCAUGGGGGAAGGUGGGAACGAGUCUCCCAUUCCCUGGACUGACCAUUUUGCCCUCCCUCAAAAUUAAAAAUGCCUACUUUGUCCUCUUUUAUAAUUAAUUAAUAUAUAAAUAUUUUAAUAACUAUAAUUAUUAAAAAUUAUAGUUCUUGAAUAAAUAAUCACAAUAAUUAAUUUAUUAUUUUUAUUUUUAUUUUAAUUAAUUAAUAUACUAUUAUAAUAAUUAUAAAUAUAAUUAAUUUAUAUAUUAUUAUUAUUAUUAAUGAAUUAAUAUAAUUAUUACUAUUAAUUAAUAUAUUAAUAUAUUAUUAAAAAUAAUAUAUUAAUAAUUAUUGUUCGUGAACAAAUAAUCACAAUAAUUAAUAUACUAUUAUUUUAAUUAAUUAAUAUAAUUAAUUUAUAUAUUAUUAUUAUUAUUAAUGAAUUAAUAUAAUUAUUACUAUUAAUUAAUAUAUUAAUAUAUUAUUAAAAAUAAUAUAUUAAUAAUUAUUGUUCGUGAACAAAUAAUCACAAUAAUUAAUAUACUAUUAUUUUAAUUAAUUAAUAUACUAUUAUAAUAAUUAUUAAUAUAAUUACUAUAAUUAAUUCAUAUAUUAUUAUAAUUAAUUAAUUAAAUUAAUAUUAUUAAAUAAAUAAAUAAUAUAAUUAUUACUACUAAUUAGUAUAUUAAUAUAUUAUUAAAAAUAAUUAUAAUUUUUGAAUAAAUAAUCACAAUAAUUAAUAUAUUAUUUUAAUUAAGUAAUUAAUAUUAAUAUUAUUAGUUAAUAUAUUUUUAUAAUAAUUUUUAAUAUAGUUAUUAUAAUUAAUUAAAUUUUGUUACAAUUAAUUAAUAUAUUAGUUAAUAAUAAUUAUGACAAUAAUCCACUAAGUAUUUUUGAGUAAUUUGUUACAAUCUAAUUCAUUUUGAUUCCGAUUUCAAGACAAAGUAAACACAUUAAUGACAAUCUAGCUCAUUCCGAUUUCGAUUCCUACAGUUCAAGUAAACAACUUAUUUUGAUUUUCAUUACCUAUUUACAUUCCAGCCCAUUCUCAUUUCUUCCCAUUCUCAUUUCUGCCAAUUCCAAUUCCAGCUCAUUCCGAUUCCAGUUUAGUAAACGCAGCAUAAGAGUUAUCAUGAAAAUCAUACAAUUCAAUUUCCUGAAAUAUAUAUUUUAUUCACAUGUGCCAAAAGAAUAAAUAGAUAGAAAGUAAAUUUACAAUCCUCACUCCCUCACAAUUGUUAAAGUGAAUAUGCAUUACAACUGUGAACUGUCACUACUUUAGCCCCUUUUUUUUUUUCAAUUAUAGUGUGAUGGAGACAGUGAACAUCAAGGAUAAAGUGCUCUGCUGAAAGCGGAACUUCCUCUGGCUAAUUAAUUUGGAAGUAAAACAGAGAAUAAAGUCCUACAUGCCUUCUGAAAUUAGAAAUACAUUUUAUAUGCUUUAAUUAUGAUUAUUUGGUAGACUAUUGACCAAAAGACAUGUUAAAGUAUAAAACAGAGCGAUUAAAGAAAAAAAAAGGAGUGUUUGUGACGUAGAAUAACAAUUUGUAAGUAAAGUCCUAAUUUGAGUUGUCAAAAAGCAAAUAUAACAGGGAAGGUAAGAGGGAUGCAGAAACAGAAAACUAUUAGCUUAUCUUGAUUUUCCCACUAUAUUCAUUUUCGAUGCUUUUCAAACGAGAUUCUUUUAAUCCUUCUGGCGUCUGCAGCCCCUGGUCUUCUUAUAAAUUUCCAUCCCACAUCUGCACUAGGAACAAGUUGAUUGAAAUUAAAUAACAUUGGAGAUGACGGACAGAUGAGCCGUCAACUUGGUAAAAAAACUAUGUUAAUAUUGUUAAUAAUAAAAAAAAAUAUAAUAAUCAUUACAAAGAAUCAUAAAUUAGAAAAAUUAAUUAUUUUACAAUCUAUUUCGUAAGUAAGAUAAAUCUUGUAAUAAGUUAAGUUAUAACGUAAAAAAUAUUUUCAAUUUAUAAUCAUUUAAGAACUCAUUUAACAAUAAAAUCUUUCUUUUGAUCAAUUGGUCAUGCCACAGAGUAUCAUCUAUAUUCGUGGUGAUAUUAUUAUUACUCCGUAUUCUCAAAAAACACGAUUUAACAUUUAGAGAAAAUUCCUACCUUUUAAAAAGAACAUGUAUGCAACAGCUACCCAUACUUUAUCUUACCACGACAAAACUAAUGGUGACUAAAUCAAUUUUCUCGAAUAAAGCAAAAUUUCUUAAAAUUAAUUUAAUAUACAAAUAUGAUGACAUUUUGCAAAAAUUAGUUUUGGAAAAUAUAGUGACAAAAAAUAGUAAUGAUUAUUGUUUAGAUGUGUAAAUAGCCUAAACAUGAUCCCUAAUACCAAUAUCCACGUACAUCUUAACACCUUUCGUGAUAUUCUUUCAUUCAUGGUCACUGGUUCAAGAUUUGAAUUUGAUCAUUAAAUCAUGUUCAAUAAUAUUAGAGAUCCCAACAAUUAAGUACCAACUUAAAUCCUAAUGCUAUGUGUCAUUGACAAAUGUUGUGUCAUUUUUUGUUAACUGAGUGAUGAAUUUCUAGUUGAUAAAAUUACUUAAAAAUAUCUUAAAAAUCAGACAAUAGUUUGCUUAAUUUUUUGAAGCUAACUGCUCAAGAUGCUCUAUUAGAAAUGAUAACCUAAUUAUAUACAUAAAAAAUGAUGUAUUUUUUGCGGUGUUGAUAGUGAGAUUAUCAUUCAACAUGUUAAAAUAUGAAAACAUAUGGAAGAAGGUUGUAAAUUGAUUGAAUGAAAAUAUUUCAGUGAAGUCUAAAAAAUUUGGUACUUGUUAUCUUAUCGAAAGUUUUCUAAAUUACAUUCGUGGCACUGCCACUGCUUCCAUGUGAAGGUCAUUAAAAUUUGUGUUAGUUACCUAUAUGUUGAAUAAUAAUUUUAUUCAUGAAUUGUUGCUCAAUAUAGCAGUUUCUAGAUGAAUUUUCCUACAUGUUUGUCCUCAUAUGACCUAGAAUGCUGCUAUAUCAAUUGUAUUGGAAAUUAUUCAAGUGGGUUUGUGCUCUAUACCCCCACCAAAAUUUAAGCAAUCUACAGAACAUUCCUUGUGGAAAGAAACUUAUUUCGCUACUAGGUGGGAGUAGAUUUCUAAGCUAAUGCUCGGCAGAUCUCUAGGCUAUACUAAAAAGUGUAUGCACUUUGACUCUCAAUAUAUACGAGUGAUUCUAUGAUGACUGAAAACAUCAGUACAUGCAUGAUUUUAUAAGAAAGAAUAUUCUAAAAUUAUUUAUGUAUCACCAUUUGUAGUUGUACCCUCUCGAAUGAAGGUGCAAUCAGCAACUAAAAUGAAGCCCGAAAUGUACACGCGUGAGGCAGUUUUUCUAGAAGAUUGAUACUUCUCAAACUAGCAAACCGUACAAGUCCAAAGCUAGAAAAGGAGUGCUUCUAAGCAGAAAACAUUGAUUAAAACAGAAUACACACACACAUACCAGUAAAUUCAAAAUAGAAAAAGGAGUUCAACUGUUCAAGUUUGUGGACAAUAUUGCAACCGUGGCAUAUUUAUAGCAAAUCCUUGAAAUCUGCUAAAUAAACAAUGCCCUGUCUCAUGAAUCAAAGCCGAAUUAAAAUUGAAAUUGAAAGUCCGGCUGGUGUUGUUUCCCUCUCCAGUUUUGCCCACAUAAGUGAAGGGAAAUGAGAAUCAUAAAUUAAAAUCUGCUUUUACAGUUUUUUAUUAGAUAGAUAUAAAGGGAUCUUUUUUGUUUCUCUGCUGCAAUUUGUGGCUAUCCCACUCUGUUUUGCCACUCAAGCUUAGUCUACGUUGAGACAUAAUUUUGACAUCAGAAGCAACCUCAAUUAGUUUGGCAUUUUUAUGACCUCCUUGUACGUUUUACGAUAAACAUAAAUCUACUGAGAAAGUGUGAAAAAAAGAAAAUGCAUAUAAAAGUAUGAGUUAUCAGACAUGAUUAAAACUCACCCAAUUCAAUCCAUUAGAUUCCGUAAGGAUAUAACUGGAUGUCAUACCGCCACUCCAUAUCCUCGAAAGUCCGUAGUCUUUGUCUCAACUCUGUCUGAGGCCAAUGUAAAUCCAAUUUGCGCAAGCUCUUUAUGCACCACAGCUCUUCUGGAAGCUUUCUCAAGUAAGCACAUGGGUUGACAAUUAAGCUUUCAAGUUUUGGCAUUGCUCCAGCCCCCAUCGUCCACUCAUCUAGCCAAUACAUUGAUUUCAGGUGCAAAACCCUAAGUUCCAGAAAGCAACCAGAGCCAACGCAGGCCAGCUUUCUUCCUAAAUACGAGUUCUGUUUCAGUUUCAGCACUUGAAGGCUUGGAAGCUUUUCCAGCAUUGGCAUGGGAUCCUCCAUUAGCUCAGUAUUCGAUAAGCUCAGAUGGCUCAGACUUGGAGGAAAUUGGUAUUCAGACAGGACAAUCCGUGAGCGCUUGCUCUCAUUCACCAGCUUCAAGCAUUCAAGUUUGUGGAGUUCGCAUAGGCUUUUGGAAACCCCAGAGUGAUAGCAACUCAAAUCUCCAGAUAUCCGAAGAGUUUGAACAUUAGGCAGUCUGCCCAAUAUAUCUGGAGUACAACUACUAGGGUGUAAGGCUGAUAUGAAAAUGAGAUUUUUCAGAGAGCUGCAAUAAUUUUUUGGAGGUGCAGGCAGAGUGAUGGAACCGAAGUUUAGAUGCAUGAGUUUUUGCAUCAUCCAAAUAUCCUCUGGUGAAUGAUCUAUGUAGCUUGAUGGCAUUUGUAGUGUUUGAAGGUUUAAAAGGGUGCAUAGCAUUGAAGGAAGGCAUUUGAGCGAAGGGAUAUUCAAUUUCAAAUACUUCAAAAGGAAUAAAUUUUCUAAUCCGGGUGGAAAUUGGUCGAGAACUGCAGAACCGAAGUUCAGUACCCGAAGGUGUUUGAACUUUUUACAAAAAUUCUCGCAAUCUAUAAGAGCGAGAUGAUCGCUUUCUGAACUGUGAUUCAGAAAAGAUUGGAGAUACAUGUCAGAAUAUUCUAAAGAAAGGAACUCAAUCAGAUCUUCCAAAAUGAAGCACCGUUUAACAUUUGCCAGUGAUUCCUCUUCCAUGUCAGGCGUCCAGACAAAUCUCGUCUUCUCUACUACCAAAGCCAAUAACGUAUAUACAAAACUUGGAACAUAACACGCUUUAAUUGUGCCGCCGGCGCUUCUCUUACUCACUUGAAUGAAGCCGCGAUGGAUUAGUUCUUUCAAGUAAUGUUCGGCAGUUUCUUCACCGUUGUAUGGUAUGAAACCUUCAGCUACCCACAACUGAUAUAAUUGCCUCGUUGAUAUCUCAUUGCAUGAAAGGAAGACACACAAAUAGAUGCAGCAGAUUUUCAAGUGAAAAGGUAACUCCAUCACAGAAAAAAGUUGUCUCCAAACUGUCGGAAUCGUUUCGCCUUGAAGAUAAUUUUCUAAGGGCAUACUUCCAUAGUGUAGGAUGAAAAAUUGCCAGGCCUCAUGCUUUAAUCUGAUCAAUGGUCCUCCUACGAUCACUGAAUCAAGCCGAAUCUUCUCUCCGUUUUCCAUUUCCAACAGCGUAAGGAGGUGUGGAUUAGUGACCAAUAUCAAUACUCUGCUUCCAUUCUGAUUAUCAGGAAGAACUUCUUCAAGAUCACUCCAUAUCUCACUGUCAUCGAAGACAUCAUCAAGCACAAUAAAGUACUUCCUGUUUGUUAGGUAAUCUCGAAGAAUAGAUUUCUUCAAUUGAUAAUCUUCCCCGAUAAUUACACUAACCCGAGAUGGAGGCAUCACAGACUUGAUUAUGUCAUCCAAUAUCUUGCGAAAAUCGUAGGCUACAGAAACCCUUACCCAAGCAUGACAGUCAAAAUAGAACUUGAUAUGGUUAUUAUUGUAAGUAUCUGCAGCAAAAGCAGUCUUAUCGAAGCCACUGCUGUCGAGAAUUGUAACCACUGCAAGCCGACGAUGUCCUAAAUCAAUAAAUCAAACAACUCCUCUCUGCCACUUUCAAAUUCAUUGAUAUCAAGCCGAGGUUGUCCCUCACUCAAUAGGCGAAUGAUUUUGUUUCUUUGUUCACUGACAUCAAAACCAUUGUCGCCGGGUGGAAGUUGUUGCAUCCGAUUACUAAUAUCAAUGAUUUUACUCUGGAGUCCAUCAAGAAGAGCCAUAUUAGUGCUGCUUUUACUUUCGUUUUCACUGUUUUGCUGCUGCAUGAUGUUGAUGAAGAAUCUGUCAAUGGCUUCCUCAGAUUCAUGGACAAAGCGAUUGAUGUCCUCCAGAAUUUCCAAAAUAUCUGGUCUUUUAACGUCUUCUUCAUCGCUUUCUUCUAAGUCCAACAGUUGCAAAAGAGGCAAAGAUAUUUUGGAGUCAUCGAAUUCUUCUCUAAUGAGUUGAAAGAAAUGCCGAGCCAUGUCAGAUUCAUAUUUUCCCAGCAGAGUAGUUGCAAUAAUUUCGGACUCCGUAAGAAGGUUUUGAAAAAGUGGGGUUAAAUUUGUUGAAUCAGGCAGUGUUAACGUGCCUUCUUCUCCUACUACCACCCUUUUCAACCUCUCACAAAAUAAUCGGAGGUGGGCGUCCAGCAUAUCUCCUCCUGUCUGUAGCAGCCAGAGGUAUUGUUAUUUGCUCCAAGAAAUGUUAAAAGGAUUGGUCCUACCUCAAAGUGGUUAGUGGUGUAAAAUUAAACACCAUGGGAGAAUUUGAAAGGAAGAUGCCAAGAAACUGGCAAAGUGGCUAAAUUCCACAAAUACGGCAUUAUUGCUCAUUUUUAACUCAACAAAUUGAUACGCGUUCAUUUAGAGAAAAGUCGAAGACGCGUGCCUUUUGAAAAGAACAAGUAUCCAAUAGGUAUCCAACCUUUAUCUUAUUUAAUUACUACCAUGACAUGAUUGAUGGUGCUUAAAUCAAUUGUUUCUUUUUUAAUUUAAAGAUUUUUUCAUUAAAAAAUAAUUUAAUAUCACAUUGCCUUCAAUGGCGUAACGGCCGCAAGCCCAGUAACUAGAUUAAUUAAAAUGAAAUUAUGAUUGCACUACUUUUUUAUUUAUUUAUUUAUCUAAUCACUAUAAAAUUUUAACAUAUUUUAUUUACUAUAUUUUUUUUAAAUUUGCAUCAAUUAGUCACUUUUACACUAAUACCGUUAAAUAAUUUAAACGGAAUGAUAAUUUUACCCCUAAAUAAAAUUAAAAGUUCAUUUUAUUUUAUAAAAACUUUGAAAAUAAAAAAUUAUAAUUAUAAAAUAUCCCUAAAUUUAAUAAAGAAAUAAAUCCCAAAAUUAGAAUGUUUAUUUUUAAUAAAAAUUAUUUUAAUAAAAAAUUAUAAUUAGAAAAAUAAUUACAAAAUUUUGGGAUUUAAUAAAAAUCCCCUAAAUGAUUAAAAUUUUAGGAUUUAUUUUUUAAUAAAUAAAUUCAGUUAUUUUAAUAAAAUUUUGCAAAAUUAUAAUUUUUAAUAAAUAAAUUCACUUAUUUUUAUUAUAAUUUUAAAAAAAUUUAAAUUUUUAAUAAAAAUAAUUAUUAAAAUUUUACAACAUCUAAAUUGAAUAAAAAUCAGCUGAGCACCUAUAUUUUGUAUUUAUUUUUAUUAAAUUUAGGGGUAUUUUUAUAAUUAUAAUUUUUUAUUUUUCAAAGCUUUAUAAGAUAAAAUGGUCUUUUAAUUUAUUUAGGGGUAAAAUUAUCAUUUCGUUUUAAUUAUUUAACGGUGUUAGUGCAAAAGUGGCUAAUUGAUACAAAUUUGAAAAGAAAUGUGGCGCAGAGAACAUAUUAAAAUUUUGUGGUGGUUGGAUGAACAUAAGGCAACAGAAAGGUGGUGCAAUAAUAAUUUCCCUAAUUAAAAUUUUAGAAUUUUUGGGCAUGGAUAGAGUAGUUUUAAUUAUGUUAAAGAAUUGAUAUUGACAUAAUUUUAUUUUGGUUUUCAACGAAAAAAAAUUUGUUGACAAGUAAGAAAAUAUUUUUUUUUUACUUUACAAUCGGUUAUACAUGUUUUAUCAUAUUAAAGUAAUUUUAAUAAUAAAUAGAAACAUAAUAUUACAAUAAAUAAAUUAAAGUUUAAGUUAUUUUGAAUAUUAAAAAAAUAAUUUUAAUAUUAUUAAUAGGGAGGCAUUUUGUUAAUUGUAAAAUCUUGUUAACCCAAAGGUUAUUUAAAAUCUUUCUAAUAAAUACAAAUAUAAAAUUAAAUAUCAUAAUUUAAAAUAUUUAAUACUAUAUUCAAUGUAAAAAUAUUUUAAUGUUGUUAAUAUACUACAUAGAUUAUAUUACUUAUAUUAUAUUUAUAUUGAUUAAAAAUUUUUAAAAUUAAUUUUCUAGUUACUAUAUUCAUAAGGUAUUCUGGUUAAAGAAAAUAUCUUGAUAUUACUUUUUGAAAAUUUGAGAGCCUGCAUGACAAUUUUUUCAAAUUUUAAGGAUGUAAUUAUCCUUUUUUCCAUAAUUUAUUUCAAUUUUGAGGGAAUCCAAUAAGAAAUAUGGCAGGAGAAUGUCAAUAGGCGAAUGAUUUUGUUACUUUGUUCACUGAUCUCAAAACCAUCGUCGCCGGGUGGAAGUUGUUGCAUCCGAUUACUAAUAUCAAUGAUUUUACUGUGGAGUCCAUCAAGAAGAGCCAUAUUAGUACUGCUUUCACUUUCGUUUUCACUGGUUUGCUGCUGCUUGUUGUUGAUGAAGAAUGUGUCAAUGGACAAAGUUAUUGAUGUCCUCCAGAAUUCCAAAAAUAUCUGCUGUUUCAACGUCUUCUUCAUCGCUUUCUUCUAAGUCCAACAGUUGCAAAAAAGGCAAAGAUAUUUUGGAGUCAUCGAAUUCUUCUCUAAUGAGUUGAAACAAAAGCCGAGCCAUGUCAGCUUCAUAGUUUCCCACCAGAGUAGUAGCAAUGAUUUCUGACUCCGUAAGAAGGUUUUGAAAAAGUGGUGUCAAAUUUGUUGAAUCUGGCAACGGCAACGCGCCUUCUUCACCUGCCAACACCCUUUUCAACCUCUCACAAAACAGUCGGAGGUGGAAUUCCAGCAUAUCUCCUUCUCUCCGUAGCACUCAGAGGUAUAGUUGAAAGAUUAAACACCAUGGAAGAAUUUGAAAGGAAUAUGCCAAGAAACUGUGUAAGUGGCUAAAUUCCACAAAUAUGACAUUAUUGCUCUUUUUUGAACUCAAAAAAAUGGUACGCGUUCAUUUAGAGAAAAGAACAGGUAUCCCAAUCGAUAUCCAACCUUUAUCUUAUUUAAUUACUACCAUGACAUGAUUGAUGAUGCUUAAAUCAAUUGUUUCUUUUUUAAUUUAAAGAAUUUUUCAUUAAAAAAAUAUUUUGAUAUCUAAUACCCUUCAAUGGCAUAUCUGCCGCAAGCCCAGAACAGGAUUAAUGAAUUUUUUUUUUAAUUUUUUGGGCAUGGAAAGAGCAGUAUUAAACAUCAGAAAGCUAAGGUUGUUCUGUUAAAAAAUUGAUAUUGACAUAAUUUUAUUUUGGUUUCGGGGAAAAAAAUAUUUUCUGAAAAGCAAGAAAAUAUUUUUAUAUUUUACAAUUUAUUAUACAUAUUUUAUCGUAUUAAAUUAAUUUUAAUAAUAAAUAGAAACAAAAUAUUACGAUAAAUAAAUUAAAGUUUAAAUUGUUUUGAAUAUUAUAAAAAAUAAUUAUAAUAUUAUUAAUAGGAAGACAUUUUGUUAAUUUUAAAUUUUUUUAACCCAAAGGUUUAUUUAAAAUCUUUAUUAUAAAUACAAAUAUAAAAUUAAAUAUCAUAAUUUAAAAAAUUUAAUAUUAUUUUAAGUAUUAAAAAUAAUUUAAUGUUAUUAGUCUACUAUAUAGAUCACAUUACUUAUAUUAUAUUUGUAAUGAUUAAAAAAUUUUUAAAUCAAUUUUCUAGUUAAUAUAUUCACGAGGUAUUAUGGUUAAAGAAAAGACCUUGGUGUUACUUUUUAAAAAUUUGAGCGCAUGCAUGAUAAUUUUUUCAAAAUUUAAGAAUGUAUGUGUCCUUUUCUCCAAUAAUUUAUUUCACUUUUGAGGGGAAUCCAAUGAGAAAUAUGAUAAGAGAAUGUCAAUUACUUGUCAUUUUCUAUUUUUUCUGUAAGGUAUUUAUUUUGAGCAUUGGUGAUCUUGUCUGGACUACUCCAAUUAUUGAUGGAACUCCAAUGGCUGCAUCCACAGUUGAAUAUAUGAUGGUGUUAGCUCUUACUUGAGAAUUCAGAGGGAUCUUUCUAUGUUUCUCAAUUGCAAUGUGCUAGUAUAAAUUUCUUUACCUUACAGUUUAUAUAGUCUUGCUGUUAAUGAACUCACUGAGGCAUUAUUGAUUCAAUUUCAGUGGAGCAAUCGCGGGUGAAGGAUAAAUAAAGGAUAACAGAACAGAGCUGAAGUGCUAAAUUGGCUAUUGAAGAAGGUUUUCACAUGAUCACAAUUAUGUAAAAUAAUCAUUUUUCUGAAAUUGUGUUUCCUAAAAUUAAUAAAUUUCCUUUUUUUUAAAAAAAAAAAAAAACUCUUCUACGACGUGGUUGCACAGCAAAUUAGAGAAUUAUAGGGUCUCUAAUCAAUACUCCAACCAAUAAUGAUAUGUGCACAAAAAAUAGUAUCAAUCACAACAAGAUUAAAAUUAAAAAAAGUAACUAUAAGAUGGAAAAAAAAAUUAUUACAAGAAAAUAAUUUUUUUGUCUUUUCUAUCUUUUAUACUAUUUUUGUUUAUAUGUACUCUAAAUUCAGCCAAACCAUACAUGCAUGAACAAAAAUUAAACCGUCGUUCUAAUCACAACAGUAAUUGAAGCUACAAAAGCCAGCAAAUCUGAACGAAGACUUAAAAGAAAGAUCUUAUUCAAGUUUGUCCCCAAAAGACAGCUGAAAUGAAAAAUAUUGACUAUUGAAUGGGUCAAUGCCGAAUUACAUUUCAAAUGGAAAGCUUGGCAGCAGUUACAAUGUUUCCCCCUCUGAUUUUCCUCCAAAACAAAUUCAGUUGUAAACAAUAACCGAAGUAGUAAUAAUUUAUUCAUCAAAGAAAAUACCCCCAAGUUUUCAACUAAAAAAUCCUCUUGUCCAAACUAAAAGAACUCAUAUCUCUAAAAUCUAUCUGCAAAAUGUUGGGAAUGAGGAGUGAUCUGUCAACUCCGUAAAUAAACUCAUGCAUAAUGUUAACAAUAAUGAUAAAUUACAUAAUAAUUAUUAUAAAGAAUCAUAAAUUGGAAACACUAAUCAUUCUACAAUCUAUUAUAUAAGCAAGAUAAAUCUCAUAAUAAGUUAAGUUAUAAUGUAAUAAAUAUUUUCAAUAUAUAAUUAUUUAAGAAGUCAUUUAACAAUAAAAUAAUUUUUUUAAAUCAGUUGAUCAUACAGCGUUAUCUAAACUCCUGACGAUAUUAUUAUUACUCACUUUUCUCAAAAAAAUAUGAUUAAUGUUUAGAGAAAAGUCAUGCAUUUUAGAAAAAAUAUGUAUACUAGCUAUCCGUACUUUAUCUUACCGUGACAAAAUUGAUGGUGAUUAAAUCUAUUUUUAAAAUAGAUUUAAUUCACAAAUAUGGUGACUUUUGGCAAAAAUUAUUUUCAGAAGAUAUAGUGGCAGAAAAUAGUGAUAAUUAUUGUUUAAAUGUGUAAAUAGCCUAAGUAUAGCCCAUAAUACCAAUAUCCAUUUGCACCUUCAUUUGGUUUAUCACAUUUCAUGAUAUUCUUUCAUUCAUGACCAUUGUUCAAGAUUUUAAUUUGAUUAUAAAUUAAGUUGCAAGGGAGCUUACUUCAGUCUCUAAGCUUUUCAAUCGUGAUUCCUGCAUGCCAACGUAACUGACCUUAUAAUUGGUCUGUAUAAGAAAUCAAGCCCUUUCAGGAUCGUUUUCUUUUUCUCCCUAUUGUAGUAGUCAACUAAAUAAAGAAUGAACAACUAAACUUGGUCUAUUUCGAGGAAGACUAAGGCUUCCAAUACUAGAUGAACUUUGAAGAAAAUUAAUCCGUUGUUUUUAUUCAUCUUUGGACUAUGAAUAUAUACAAAGACUUUAACAGAAAAUAACAAAGACACAGCUAAAUGCACUACUAAAAAAAUGAGUUUUACUGACACUAAUUUAGCGUCAGUAAUUACUUUUAUUGACACUUGUUAAUUGUGUCAGUGUUGCUCAAGCCAGAACACACUGACACUAAUUUUUGAUGUCAAUAAUUUUUGUGUCAGUAAUUUGUUUCACUAUAGUAUCACUAAAAUAAUGACACGAUGAUGUUGGUAUUUAAUAAUACUAUUUACACGUCAGUAAUUUAUGUGACUAUAGUAUCAAAAACUGACUCGAUAAUAUAAAAAAUUCUUAUUGUUAUUUUAAAUAUGUAGUGUCAGUAUUUAGUAAUGUUAUGCUGCUUUUGGUUAAUAGUAUAUUUUUUAUUUUAAUUAUAUUUUUCGUGUUUGUUGUACAACCAAAAGAAAACUCGAAAUAUAUUUAUUAUUAAAUAUCUUGCAACACAAUUCAUAUAAUAAACAUCUCAAAUACAUCACUUAAAUUCACACAAUUCAACUACAUCACUAUGUGUAAAAGACUUAACAUAAGUAUCAAAUUAAAUUUUCAACAAUCUCUAAACAACAAGUGCUAACUACUACUCAAUUAAGUUUCCAACCCAAAAGAAAAAAAAAAAAGCACAAGGUCACUCAAUAUCCAUCCACGGCUUCAUUUUGUUCCCACCUACAAAUGCAUAAAAUCAAUUAGUAUACUGUGAAAAAUAAAUCUUAGUUAUUUUGAAGCAAAAAUACUCAUAAAUUACUUCAACAUGGAAGAGUAGGAUUAAAAGAAGCAAGUUAAGGAAUCAGAAAAAGAAAUUGUAGAAUCUACACGUUCCCAAGUUAAUUACAGCCUGCAAUCAUGAUACCACAAAUUGCUUCACCAAAAGUAUUCUAUCAAGUAUUAAAGAGAACACUUAAUAAGUACAUCAAUAUUUAGUAAUGAUGACAUGAACAAUGGUGUCUACAACUUGACAAGCAUAAGUUAUUUUUUUUGUAAUCUAUUUCAUUGUCUAAAUUUAAAGUAAACAAUGCUAUAAUAUAUGAUCAAGUACAUUAAGUUAACAAGCACUAUAACAUUUAUUUAGCCCACAUUCAACGAUGAUCAGUUGGACCGAAAGCCAUAAAUUGAAAAACAAAAGAUAUUUAAUGAGCUUAAAGAGGAAAAAUAAAAGUUAACAAAAUUUAAACGACUAAUGAAGAAAUUAACCAAGCCGAGAUGAAAAACAGAAAUAGAAGGCCACUAUAAGCCAAACAUUACAAAUCAGGUUGCUUUUUAAGACACGAACCCAGUUUCCAAUUACAGUACUUUGCAAUUCUUUAAAAAAAAAAGGGUUUCCCAAUUACUAAAUCUUUUUAGGUUUGAAGUGGAUUGAUAAUUAAAUUGAUGAAAGAAAGGAAAGUGAAGCAAAAAUUAGAUUCAAGUAUGGGUCAAGUAAAAAAGUAAAAGAUAAAAAUCAGAUUCAGUGCAAACCUGGGUUUCAAAUGAUUAGCAAAGGAACAACUUCUUCUUUCUUCAAUCUAAUAUUCUUCUUCGAACAUGGAAUACUAACAAAAUACAAUUAGUAAUUCAUAAACAUAUAGUAAAAUGAGAUAGGUAUUUUUUGAGAGGAGAUUGAGAAAUACAUAUUUGAUUGAAGAAAGAAAACACAACAAAAAAAAAGGACCAGGUCUCCUCAAAGAAAAGCAAAAUGGGAAAAUAGGGGAAUAGUCUAUACAAAAGCCAACCCACCACCCUUGGAGGACCAUCCUUCUUCUGAGCAAAAAUCUAUACAAGAUUAGCCCAAACCUCCAAUAUAGUAAAAUGGGUUCGACAGACUAUUUCUAAUCUGUCAUUUGCAAAGUAAAGCUAAAAUUAGAAUUGUCUACUAACAACCUUCCUAUAGUUUGUCCACUAUAUUAUUACUAUAUUAUUAGAUGUAAAAUGCCCACUAUAAAAGGUAAUUAAUAGAGAAACUUCUCUGUAGUAUUUUCAUACCUGUGCCAAAACAGAGAAGAGAAAGAAAUGGUGUCUGACCUCGGUGGUAAAGGAACCGCUAUGGUAAAGGAUCGAACAUGGAUGAAAAAUAAACUUGUGCAAAUGGAGCCACCAGCAUUUUGCAAGAAUUAAAGAUUUUGGGUGAAAUCCUCUCUUAUAAACACUUAUUUGUAUUGGGAGCAUGCAUACUUCCGAGUAUGAUAUAAUUCUAUAAAAUUUAGACUCCUGAUAGAUAGAUAGAUAACACGUAUUAGCAUUAAUUAAAUGGAAGCAUCAACAAUAAUCAAUAAAUCAUUAUAGAAAAAAAAUUAAAAAUGAAAGGAGCUGAGGCACACCAUUGUGAUGCAAGAUUGACAAUCAAAAGAACCUUUCCUUUGUAGAUGCUAAGAUCAACAUCCUGUCCCUUCGCAUCCUGCAAAUAAGAUAAAUUUUUAUAAAAAUUAAAAAAUAUAUCUGUCAAAUCCCAAAUUGAAUUAAAAAUCAAAACAAGGGAAAGAAAAUGAAAGGAACAUGUCAUCAAAUUGUAGGUGGCUGGUGGUGCUUUUUAGUGAAGUGUUUGUAGAACUGUUAGAUGUAACCAUUCUUUACGCAUCAACUUCGCUAGUGAUUUGAUUUGAUGAAGAGGAUCUUUCCUUAUCUAGUUAUCUUCUUGUGUAGAUCCAUGUAGGAUUCCUUCACGAUUUCUUUUUUUUUUUUUUGGGGGGGGGGGGGGGGAGGUUUAAUUAACAAAACAAUAAGAGUAAAUGAGGAAUCAAUCCCUAAUUUAAGGCCUUCUAAGAUUGCUGAAGCUCUGCAUAAUCAAUGUCUCCAAGAAAAAGGUUUAUUUGCAGGCUGUAGCAGCAAUUUUCUUCCCCAUGAAAUCCAACUGAUCCAUUUGUAUUGAAUUUAAGCACACGCCUGAGGCUGGAAAAGACAAAGAAAUUAAUGAAAACAGGCUAUGUAUCUUUUUUACUUAUCAUUGCUCUAUGAAUUAAUUAUGCUACUAAUCACGACGCCGUUUAAAUCUUAGAACAAUAAUAAUCUUUUAGCAACAAAUAUGACGGUUCAAUAAUAUGUUCCGACUAGGGAUGUCAUAUUGUGAGGGCUGUUAAGUUUAAGAAACGAUCAAAUCUAAUUUUGUGUUCCAAAAACUCAUUGGCUUAACAGAUUAACUCCUCUGUAGUAUUUUCAUACCUGUGCCAAAAGAGAGAAGAGAAAGAAAUGGUUCUUGAUCUCGACGGUAAAGGAGCGGUGGCUGGCUGGGCUGAAGUUGAUGUGACGGCAUAAAAGCGGUAGCAGCGACAUACUGAAAGGUGGCUAGCUAGUCGUAGGUGGCUGAAGCUUGACAACAGUAGAGCAAAGGCGGCAGUGACGUCAAGGAACGGCGGCCGACAGCAGUGAAAGUCGAGGAGCAGCGGCCGGCAGCAGUGAAAGUCGAGGAGCAGCGGCCGGCAGCAGUGAAAGCCGAGGAGCAGCGGCCGGCAGUAGUGAAAGUCGAGGAGCAGGGGAGCGGUCGGCAGCAGUGAAAGUCGAGGAGCAGGGGAGCGGCGGCAGCAACUUAAGAAGUGGUGUGUUUGAUUCGGUUAGAUUUAGGGUUUCUUAUUUUCAUUUUAUACUUUGAAAAAUUAUACAGUGUAAUUGUUCGCAUUGUAAUUUAAUAAAACAACAAACUACAAGUCAACAUGUGGUCAAGUAAAAUUAUUAUUAUUAACAACGAAUUACAAGUUGACAUGUGGCAAAAUAAAAAAUAUUAUUCUCAAAACUAUUAUUAUUAUUAUUAUUAUUAUUAUUAUUAUUAUUAUUAUUAUUAUUAUUAUUAUUAUUAUUGUCCACAAAGUAAUUGUGUAAAAUUUAAUUAAAUAAAAAAAUUAAUCAAAUUGAAAAUUUAAAAACACAUGCAUCAAUGGUUUGCACUCUAAACUUACAAAUUUUAAGUUUAGAGAUCUUGAGUUCGAGUUCAAAUUAAAACAAAAUUAAUAUUAUUAUUUUUUUAUCACUGAUGCUUUAGUAUCAAUAAUCAUUGAAUUUUAAGCUACUGACACCUUAGUAUCAAUGAUUUAUGAUACAUACUUGUUAAAGGCGGAAAAUGGUCCAAACGUACACCAUUUCUGACACUUUUUACUAAGUGUCAGAAACAAAGUGUCAGUAAAUGUCAUUUUUGUAGUAGUGAUGAUAGCAAUAAGUGCUGACUUAGACACUUAGUGGACCGCUUCUACAAGUAAAUAAAAACUAAAUAUUUAUUUUGACUAUAACAACAACUACGCUGAUGAAUAGGAUUUCACAGCAGCCACGUGAGAACUAAUUUCUCCUUAAUAUUAUUAUUAGUAGAAGUAGAUUUUCAAACUAGUCUUGAUAUAUUUCAAAGUUGUAUUAUCAAUGUAUAUGUGUCUAGAUUGUAACUAUACUUUAAAAAAUAUAAAAUUUUUAAUUAUUGCACAAUAUAUGUAGAAAAAUAUCUAUAAAAUGAUAUUAUUAGGACUAAGAAUUUUUUAUUUUAUUUUAGAUAAGUUAUUUAUUUAUUAUCGAAUGAAUAAUUUAUUAAUUUAUUGAUAAAUGAAUAUUUAUUAAUUUAAAGAGAGAUUUUUUUGGUUUUAACAAGAGUUUGUUUGGUAAAUGUACACACUUAUAAAGAAACAUAAAAAGUGGUUCCUCAAGUCAAUAGUGUUUGCUUCAAUCGCAACGGUUCAUAAUAAUAUAGCUUAGUUAGGAAAUUUGUAAUUAUACUAUAACUUUGUUUGGUACAACUUUUCAAGUAAAACUUAUUUAAGUAGAGUUGUUAUUAGUAGAGCUUUUAUAAAUAAAGCUUUUACUAAAAAAAAUUUAAUUGUUUGGUUGUCAAUGUCCAAAUUGAUAAACUUUUGUUCUUUUGUUAAGAUAUGUUUGUUUUACUUAAUAAUAGCAUCGGCAAGAGUUUUCGAUUGUUGCAACUUGCAAUGCACGCGGUGAGAGAAAAUGAGAAUCUUGUUUAAUUGUCAAUAAUGACAAACCUAAUCCUUUCAUUAGGAGUAAUUUAAUAAUCGUUUGUUAUAACUGAAUAUGUAUAAAGAAAGGAAAAUUCUAUUCAUAGAUUUCGACUUAUUUUUUGUUUAAAGUAAUUAAUCAUUCAACCAUCUUCAUUUGCCUCUGGCCAAUGCCCUUGUAGAUUAGUUGAAGCGUUAAUUACUUAAUUAUGAUUAUAUACAUUUUCAUAUAGCAAGUGGCAUUGUAGAUCUAAACUAAGUUGCUAUUUCAAUACCAGCAAAUUCAAAAUAGAAAAGGAGUGCAACUAUUUAACUUUGUAGACAAUAUUGCAACCAUGGCAUAUUUAUAGCAAAUCCUUGAAAUCUGCUAAACAAAACAAUGCCCUGUCUCAUGAAUCGAUGCUCAAUUAAAAUUUAAAUUGAAAGUCCGGCUGGUGUUGUUUUCCUCUCCAGUUUUGCCUACAUAAGUAAAGGGAAAUAAGAAUCAUAAGUGAAAAUAUGCUUUGACAGGUCUUAUUUCUUUGUUUCUCUACUGCAGUUUUGCCUACUCAAGCUGAGUCUACGUUGAGACAUAAUUUCAGUAUUGAGGUAACAAUAAUUUCGGACUCCGUAAGAAGGUUUUGAAAAAGUGGAGUCACAUUUGUUGAAUCAGGCAACGUCAACGUGCCUUCUUCACCUGCUAACACCCUUUUCAACCUCUCACAAAAUAGUCGGAGGUGGACGUCCAGCAUAUCUCCUUCUCUCUGUAGCACCCAGAGGUAACAGGAUUAAUUAAAAAUUUUAGAAUUGUUGGGCGUGGAAAGAGUAGUAUUAAACAUCAGAAAGCAAGGUUGUUCUGCUAAAGAAUUGAUUUGUUGACAUAAUUUUUUUUUUUUUUUUUUGGUUUUCGAGGAAAAAGGCAUAUUUGUUGACAAGCAAGAAAAUGUUUUUGUAUUUUACAAUCUGUUAUACAUAUUUCAUCAUAUUAAAGUAAUUUUAAUAAUAAAUAGAAACAUAAUAUUAUGAUAAAUAAAUUAAAGUUUAAAUUAUUUUGAAUAUUAUAAAAAAAUAAUUCUAAUAUUGUUAAUAGGAACAUAUUUUGUUAAUUGUAAAAUCUUUUUAAUCCAAAGAUUUAUUUAAAAUCUUUAUAAUAAAUACAAAUAUAAAAUUAAAAUAAAUAUCAUAAUUUAAAAUUUUUAAUAUUAUUUUCAAUAUUAAAAUAUUUUAAUGUUAUUAGUCUACUAUGUAAGGUAUCAGAGCCAUACCCAUCCUUGAAUGGGUCAAUGCUGAAUUACACUUGAAAUGGAAAGCUUGCUGCAGUUACGAUAUUUCCCCCUCUGAUUUUUCUCCAAAACAAAUUCAGUUGUAAACAAUAACCGAAGUAGCAAUAAUUCAUUCAUCAAAGAAAAUACUCAAAUUUUCAACUAACAAAUCCUCUUAUCUAAACUAAUUAAAAAAAACUCAUAUCUCAAAAAUCUAUCUACAAAAUGUUGGAAAUAAAGGGUGAUCCGUCAACUCGAUAAAUAUACUCAUGCAUAAUGCUAACAAUAUGAUAAAUUACAUCAUAACUAUUAUAAAGAAUCAUAAAUUGGAAACACUAAUCAUUCUACAAUCUAUUAUAUAACUAAGAUAAAUCUUAUAAUAAGUUAAGUUAGAACAUAAUAAAUAUUUUCAAUAUAUAUAAUUAUUUAAGAAGUCUUUUAACAAUAAAUUUUUUUUCUUUUUCAGUUGAUCAUGUCAUAUAGCGUUAAUGGUGAUUAGUGACUGAUUACAAAGCAAAAUUGUUUAAAAUAGAUUUAAUGCACAAAUAUGAUGAAUUUUGGCAAAAAUUAGUUUCGGAAAUGUUGGGAUGAAAACCAUAUUAGUUGAGACUUAAAGUUACUUAAUAAAAUUAUAUCACUACCAUUCAAUGGAUGAAAACUAUUUUAGUUGAGACUUAAAUUUAGAUUUAAAUGUUGAGAUAUCUAGUAUUACUCAAUCAGAAUAAACAAGAACCAAUUCUGACUAUCAUGUAGAAGCAAAUAUUUAUGCUUGGAUUUUUUACUUCUUGAAUUUGAUUGGAAAAGUUUCUGAGACAGAGAAGUGUUUUGGAUAAUCUUUUUCGGGAUUGAAACCACAAAUUGGUCGAGGAAAUUAAUUUUGGACAAAUUUUUAUUGAGUUGUGCUAAACAUCAAGAAGGGCGAGAGAAUGCUGAGAGAAACGGCAGCUUUGUGCUGCUGUUUCGACUUCUCACUCUCUCGCCAUUCUAAUAAUUUUUUAUUAUUAAAAAUAAAAAAGCGGAGAAAAUGAUAGCAGACAACCCACAUCUACCAAAUCUCCAUCACUCCAUCACUCUCUUUCUCUCUCUCCCUCUCUUGAUUUUCAUCCUCUCUCUGGCUUCCUCACUCUCUACGGCUCCCCAUCAAGCUUCCUCAGUCUCUUCGGCCUCACUAUCUCUAGCCUCACUCUCUCCAGAUUCUUUCAUUUUCUCCUUUUUUUUAUAUUUUUAACAAUAAAAAAUUAGCAUUCUGCUGAGAAAGAGAGUGGUACACGACUCUUGAACAAUUUUUUUUCUGUCGUGAUCGUCUAUCAAACCACCUAAAAAUGAGCCAAGGGGGUUCUCAGCCCUAGCAGCUCACGUACUUUCAAGAUUUAGAGUAUGGUUCCAGUCCAAGCUAUUUAAUUAGUAUUGGGAUUCGAUUUAGUUGUUCUUCUAAUUUAAUAGGAUAAAGAAUUUAAUUGGAGAAAUGUCAUUAAUAUCAUAGGAGCAUAUAUAUUGUUUUGAUUUAAAUAUUGCUAUUUUUUUAUUGUUGAAAAAAAAAACACUAGAAAAUGGGAAGCCAAAAUCUUAGCCCUGUGUUUUUACUUUUACUUUUCUCUUAAACAUUUUAAAGAUGUAAAGGAAAAUGCUCAGAAUGGUGAGAGAGUGAUGGACGUGAUGGGCUAUCUUCUAUCCUUUUUUUAAUAAAUUUUUAAGAAUAAAAAAUUUAUUAAAACAGUAAGAGAGCGAAACCAAAACGGCAGCUUGUGCUGUCGUUUCUCUUAACAUUCUCUCGUCAUUCUUGAUGUUAAGCAUUUUCCAUUUUUAUUAUGUUGUAGCACCUUUUUGGUUCCUUUUGUGUCGGCAGCCCCUUACUAUUCUCUUAACCCUGAGUUUGAGAUAGAAAUUUCCCGAACUCCAACCCCACAUCCACAGACAAGUUGAUUCAAACAAUUGCUCUUUUAAUUAAGAGAAUGAGUUAGGUUUCAGUUCUUAUUGUUGUCUGUUAUUUCUCUGAAUCAUUAAUUUUGAGCAUUACUGAUCUUAGUUAUCUGUAUUUCUCCAAUUAUUGAAGAAUUUAUUAUUGAAUGAAUAAUUUAUUAAUUUAUUGAUAAAUGAAUAUUUAUUAAUUUAAAGAGAGAUUAUUUUGGUUUUAAGAAGAGUUUAUUUGGCACAUGUACACACUUAUAAAGAAACACAAAAAGUGCCUGCUCAAGUCAAUAGUUUUGGUACAUUUACACACUUAUAAAGAAACACAAAAAGUGCUUGCUCAAGUCAAUAGUAUUUGCUUUAAUCGCUAUAGUUCAUAAUAAUAUAGCUUAGUUAGGAAAUUUGUAAUUAUACUAUGGCUCCGAUUGGUACAACUUUUUAAGUAGAACUUAUUUAAUUAGAGUUUUUAUUAGUAGAGUUUUUAUAAAUAGAGAUUUUACUAAAAUAAAAUUUAGUUAUUUAGUUGUCAAUGUCCAAAUUGAUGAAAUAUUGUUCUUGUUAACAUAUGUUUGUUUUACUUAAAAAUAAAAGUUUAGUUUACAAUUACACCAGUAUAAAAUCAGCAGAGCAUUUUUGCUUAAAUAUUUAUUAAUUUAAAGAGAGCUUAUUUAAAUAGAGUUUUUGUUAGCAAAACUUUUAUAAAUAAAACUUUGCUUAAAAAAAUUUAAUUAUUUAAUUGUUAAUGUCCAAAUUGAUGAACUUUUGUUCUUUUGUUAACAUGUGUUUCUUUUACCUAAUAAUAAAAAUUAGUUUACAAUAACACUGGUGUCAAAUCAGCAGAGAUAUUUUCCAGCCAGUCACAUUAUACAUACGGGAGCCUCUAUGUUACAUUGAAUGUACCAUACACAACUAAUAAGAACCACAUAAAUUGUGGGACCCACAUAAUUGUGUGGUUCUUAUUGGUUGUGUAUGGUACAUUCAAUGUAACAUAGCAAAAUCCUAUACAUUAUACUAAUAGCAUCGGCAAGAGUUUUCGAUUGUUACAACUUGCAAUGCACGCGGUGAGAGAAAAUGAGAAUCUUGUUUAAUUGUCAAUAAUGACAAACCUAAUCCUUUCAUUAGUAGUAAUUUAAUAAUCGUUUAUUAUAAUUGAAUAUGUAUAAAGAAAGGAAAAUUCUAUUCAUAAAUUUCGACUUAUUUUUUGUUUAAAGUAAUUAAUCAUUCAACCAUCUUCAUUUGCCUCUGGCCAAUGCCCUUGUAGAUUAGUUGCAGCGUUAAUUACUUAAUUAUGAUUAUAUACAUUUUCAUAUAGCAAGUGGCAUUGUAGAUCUAAACUAAGUUGCUAUUUCAAUACCAGCAAAUUCAAAAUAGAAAAGGAGUGCAACUGUUCAACUUUGUAGACAAUAUUGCAAGUUGCAACCAUCCAAAGGUGAAGAUCUAUGCUUAUUAUCUAUUUAACAGCUAAUAUAUAUAUAUAUAUAUUUAUUUAAAUAUCAAGAGCUAUGCUUUUAAAUAAGUUCAAAUGGGAUGAGAACAGACUUAUAUUUAUUUAUUUAAAUAUGACCCAGGCUAAUUUCUCUGAAUUUGGACAGAGUAGAUUUCUAAGCUAAUGCUUGGCAUAUCUCUGGCGAUACUACAAAGUGCAUGUACAUUGACUCUUAAUAAAUAUAAACGAUUCUCUGAUAUGAUUCAAAACAUCACUACAUGCAUAAGUUAAUAAGAGACAAUAUUCUAAGAUUAUUUAUGCAUCACCAUUUAUAGUUGUACCCUCUCUAAUGAAAUUGAAGGUGCAGCCAGCAACUAAAAUGAAGCAGAAAUGUACACGCAUGAGGCAGUUUUUCUAGAAGAUUGAUAUUUCUUUAACUAGAAAACCAUACAAGUCCACAACUAGCCAAACUGUACCUGCAUGUGUCUAGGGCUUAAAUGGAGCACUUCUAAGCAUAAAACAGUAACUAAAACACAUACACAAACAUACAUACCAAAAAAUUCAGAAAAUAGAGAAAGGAAUACAACUAUUCUUGUUUGUAGACAAUAUUGCAACCAUGGCAUCAGUUAUAGCAAAUCCUUGAAAUCUACUAAACAAAAUAAUGUCCUGUCUCAUGAAUCAAUGUUGAAUUACAGCUGAAAUUGAAAGUCUGGCAUCAGUUAUAGGAAAUAUUGAAUUACAAUAUUUCCCUUGCCGAUUUUGUCUACACAAGUAAAAUGGAAAUAAGAAUCAUAGAUGAAAAUCAACUUUUACAGUUCUAAUUAUUAGAUAGAUACAGAAUGAUCUAUCUUUGUGAGUUUGUUUUUCUGCUGCAAUGUGCGAUCCCACUCUGUUUUGAUACUCAAAUUGAGUCUAUGUUGAGACAUAAUUUUGACAUUGCAAGCAAUCCCAAUUAGUUUGGCAUUUGUAUGACCCUUUGAAGGUUUUACAAUAGAUGCAAAUCUACUGAGAAAAUGGUAAAAAAGGUGCAUAUAAAAUGAGGCAAGUAACAGAAGUAUGAGUUAUCAGAUUAGAUUAAAAGUCACCCAAUUCAAUCUAUCAGAUUCCGUAAGGAUAUAACUGGAUGUCAUAUCGCCACUCCAUAUCCUCGAAAGUCCGUAGUCUUUGUCUCAACUCUGUCUGAGGCCAAUGUAAAUCCAAUUUGCACAAGCUCUUUAUGCACCAUAGCUCUUCUGGAAGCUUUCUCAAGUAAGCACAUGGGUUGACAAUUAAGCUUUCAAGUUUUGGCAUUGCUCUUGCCCCCAUCGUCCACUCGUCUAGCCAAUACAUCGACUUCAAGUGCAAAAUCUUAAGUUCCGGAAAGCCACCAGAGCCAACGCAGGCCAGCUUUCUUCCUAAAUAUGAGUUCUGCUUCAGUUUCAGCACUUGAAGGCGUGGAAGCUUUUCCAGCAUUGGCAUGGGAUCCUCCAUUAGCUCAGUAUUUGAUAAGCUCAGUUGGAUCAGGCUUGGAGGAAAUUGGUAUUCAGACAGGACCAUCCGUGAGAGCUUGCUCUCAUUCACCAACUUCAAGCAUUCAACUUUGUGGAGUUCGCAUACGCUUUUGGAAACCCCAGAGUGAUAGCAACUCAAAUCUCCAGACACUCUAAGAGUUUGAAGAUUAGGUAGUCUGCACAAUAUAUCUGGCGUGCAACUACUAGGGUGUAAGGCUGAUAUGAAAAUAAGAUUUUUCAGAGAGCUGGAAUAAUUUUUUGGAGGUGCAGGCAGAGUGAUGGAACCAAAGUUCAGAUGCAUGAGUUUUUGCAUCUUCCAAAUAUCCUCUGGUGUUUGAUCUACGUAGCUAGAUGGCAUGUCUAGUGUUUGAAGGUUUGAAAGGGUGCAUAGCAGUGAAGGAAGACAUUUGAGCGAAGGGAUAUUCAAUUUCAAAUACUUCAAAUGGAAUAAAUUUUCUAAUCCGGGUGGAUAUUGGUCCAGGACUGCAGAACCCAUGUUCAAUACCCGAAGGUGUUUGAACAUUUUACAAAAAUUCUCGCAAUCUAUCGGAUUAAGAUGAUCGCUUUCUGAACUGUGAUUCAGAAAAGAUUGGAGGUACAUGUCAGAAUGUUUCAAAGAAAAGAACUCAAUCAGAUCAUCGACAAUGAUGUACCGUUUGGCAUUUGCCAUUGAUUCCUCUUCCAAUCCAGGCGACCAAAAAAAUCCCGUCAAUGCUGCCGGCAAAAGUAACGCAACAUAUGCAAAAGUUGGAACAUAGCACGCCUUAAUUGUGCCUCCGGCUCUUCUCUUAUUCACUUGAAUGAAGCCACGAUCGAUUAGUUCAUUCAAGUAAUGCUCGGCAGUUUCCUCACUGUUGUGUGGUAUGAAACCUUCAGCUACCCACAACCAAUAUAAUUGCCUGGUAGAUAUCUCAAUGCCUGGAUGGAACAAACACAAAUAGAGGCAGCAGAUUUUCAAGUGAACAGGUAACUGCAACACAGAAUAAAUUGUACUCCAAGCUGUCAGAAACGCUUUUUCUCCCAUGUAAAUUCUUAAUGUCGUUUUUCCAUAGUGUAGGAUGAAAAAUUGCCAGGCUUCAUGCUUUAAUCUGAUCAAUGGUCCUCCAACGAGAACUGAAUCAGGAUGAAUCGUCUGUCCAUUUUCCAAUUCGAACGAGGAAAGGAAGUCUGGAUCAGUGACCGUCAUUAAUACUCUGCUUCCAUUCUGAUUCUCAGGAAGGACUUCUUCAAGAUCAUCCAAUACAUCGUCACUCUCUUCACAGUAAUCAUCAAGCACAAUAAAGUACUUCUUGUUUGUUAGGUAAUCUCGAAGAAUAGAUUUCUUCAAUUGAUAAUCUUCACCGAUAACUACACUAACCCGAGAUGGAGGCAUCACAGACUUGAUUAUGUCAUCCAAUAUCAUGCGAAAAUCGUAGGCUAUAGAAACCCUGACCCAAGCAUGACAGUCAAAAUAGAACUUGACAUGAUUAUUGUUGUAAGUAUCAGCAGCAAAAGCAGUCUUAUCAAAGCCACUGCUGUCGAGAAUUGCAACCACUGAAAGCUGAGGUUGUCCCUCGAUCAGUAAAUCAAACAACGCCUCUCUGCCGCUUUCAAAUUCACUCUUAUCAAGCUGAAAUUGUCCCUCAAUCAAUAAGUGAGUGAAUUCGUUCCUUCGCUCUUUGAAAUCAAAACCAUUGCCUCCAGGUGGAAGUUGUUGCAACCGAUUUCUAAUAUCAAUGAUUUUACUGUGGAUUCCGACAAGAAGAGCAAUGCAAGUAGUGCUCUCACUUUCACUGUUUUGCUGCUGCGUGAUGUUGAUGAAGAAUGUGUCAAUAGCUUUCUCAGAUUCACGGACAAAGUAAUUGAUGUCUUUCAGAAGUUCCCAAAUGUCUGUUCUUUUAACAUUUUCUAAGUGCAAGAGCUGCCGAUAACGCGAAGGCAUUUCGUCUUCAUCGAAUUGUUCUCUAAUGAGUUGAAUUAAAACUCGAGCCAUGUCAACUUCAUAUUUUCCCAGCAGAGUAGUAGCAAUAAUUUCGGACUCCGUAAGAAGGUUUUGAUAAAGUGGAGUUAAAUUUGUUGAAUCAGGCAACGUUAACGCGCCUUCUUCACCUGCUAACACCCUUUUCAACCUCUCACAAAAUAGUCGUAGGUGGACGUCCAGCAUAUCUCCUUCUGUCAGUAGCACCCAGAUGUAUUGUCAUUUGCUUCAAGAAAUGUUGAAAGGAUUGGUUCUAUCUCAAAGUGUUUAGUGGUGUAAAAUUAAUUAAUUAAACACCAUGGAAGAAUUUGCAAGGAAGAUGCCAAGAAACUGGCGAAGUGGCUAAAUUCCACAAUUAUGACAUUAUUGCUCAUUUUCAACUCAAAAAAAUGAUACGCGUUCAUUUAGAGAAAAGUCCAAGACGCGUUCCUUUCGGAAAGAACAAUUAUCCAAUAGAGAUCCAACCUUUAUCUUAUUCAAUUACUACCCUGACAUGAUUGAUGGUGCUUAAAUCAAUUGUUUCUUUUUUAAUUUAAAGAAUUUUUCAUUCAAAUUUUUUUUAAUAUUAAAUUGCCUUCAAUGGCAUUACUGCAGCAAGCCCAGUAACACGAUUAAUUAAAAAGUUUAGAAUUUUUGGGCCUGGAAAGAGUAGUAUUAAACAUCAGCAAGCUAAGGUUGAUAUGUUAAAGAGUUGAUAUUGACAUAAUUUUUAUUUUGGUUUUCGGGGAAAAAAAAUUGUUGACAAGCAAGAAAAUAUUUAUAUAUUUUACAAUUUAUUAUACAUAUUUUAUCAUAUUAAAAUAAUUUUAAUAAUUAAUGAAAAACAAAAUAUUGCAAUAAAUAAAUUAAUGUUUAAAUUAUUUUGAAUAUAAUAAAAAUAAUUUUAAUAUUAUUAAUAGGAAGACAUUUUGUUAAUUUUAAAAUCUUUUUAACCCAAAGGUUUAUUUAAAGUCUUUAUUAUAAAUUAAAUAUCAUAAUCUAAAAUUUUUAAUAUUAUUUUAAGUAUUAAAAAUAUUUUAAUGUUAUUAGUCUACUACAUAGAUCAUAUUACUUAUGUUAUAUUUGUAUUGAUUAAAAAUUUUUAAAAUCAAUUUUCUAGUUACUACAUUCACGAGGCAUUAUGGUUAAAGAAAAGAUCUUGAUGUUACUUUUAAAAAAUUUGAGGGCCUGCAUGAUAAUUUUUUCAAAAUUUAAGGAUGUAGGUGUCCUUCUCAAAUAAUUUAGGGUGAGGCUAUUUGAAUCCACCAAUCUACUCACUACACCCAUUUACUAAAUAAACCCGCACUUAAGUUUUGAAAUUUUAAAUUUUACUCAACAAACCGACCUAAAUGUCCAAUAUACCCUUAUUGAACCCAAUUAUUAUAAUAAUAUGUUUUUGCUAAUUAAACCCAUUUAAUUCAUUUAAAGUUAAUAAAUGAUUAUAUUUAUUAAAUUGAAAACUAAAAGAUUAUACAAAACAUAAACAAUACUCUCAAUUAUAUAUUUUGGAGCAAAAAUUCCAAAGUGUAGUAAGCAAAGCCAAUGCAAAAUGGCUGGAGCAGCUAAUAAUGGUAAAAGUCAGAGCCUAGUAAUGUGGUACCGCUACUUGACUUUGGGAAAGAAGUGAUAAUUAUAUCAAUUUCUUCAACUUGGAAGUUGGAAGUGCUGUUGAAAGCGGUUGAUGCCAGAAAAAUAAUUAGAUAUCUGUCAAAAAAAAACUUUGGUAUUUUUAGAAAUAAAAUCCUAUAUCCAGUAUUUCAAUAUGAAAAGUCUCUAGUAUUUCUUUCAAUUGAUUCUUCCUUUGUCUUCUUCGACUCCAUGAAGGUUUAAUUAUGAUGAGAAAGCCAAGGGGAAUCAAUAAAGAAUAUCAAUUUAGGGUUUAAGAAAAAUAUCAUAAAGUUGAAUGUAAAAUGGAUUCAAAGAGUAAAUUUUAUUUUUAAAACUAUAUUUUAAUGUCUAAAAUUGUAAUUUAAUUUAGGGAUAUUUUAAUAAUUACAAUUUAUUUUUAAAAGUGAGUUUAUUAAGUAGUUUGAUGGGUUCAAAUAGUCCCAUCCAAUAAUUUAUUUCACUGUUAAGGGAAUCCAAUGAGAAAAAUAAUAAGAUAUCGUCAAUGACUUGUCAUUUUCUAUUUUUUCUAUGAGCUAAUUAUUUUGAGCAUUAGUGAUCUUGUCAGGACUACUCCAAUUAUUGAUGCAACUCCAGCGGCUGCAUCCACAGUGGCUACUCCAAUUAUUCAUGCCUUUUAAAAAGAAUAUGUAUACAAUAGCAAUCCAUACUUUAUCUUACAUUGAUUUUUUUCAAUUAAUGGUGAUUGCAUUGAUUUUUUUCAAUUAAAGAAAAAUUGUUUAAAAUAGAUUUAAUGCACAAAUACGAUGACUUUUGGCAAAAAUUAGUUUCGGAAAUGUUGGGAUGAAAACCAUAUUAGUUGAGACUUAAAUUAAGAUUUAAAUGUUGAGAUAGUAUUGCUCAGUCAGAAUAAACAAUAACCAAUUCAAAUUAUGACUAUCACGUAAAAACAAAUGUUUAUGCUUGGGUUUUUUACUUCUUGAAUUUGAUUGGAAAAAUUUCUGAGACAGAGAAGUGUUUUGGAUAAUUGUUUUGGGGAUUGAAACCACAAAUUGGUCGAGGAAAUUAAUUUUGGACAAAUUUUUAUUAUAUUGUAGCACCUUUUUGGUUCCUUUUCGGCGGCCCCAUACUAUUCUCUUAACCCUGAGUUUUUUUUUUUUUUUUUUUUUGAAAAGUCUUAACCCUGAGUUUGAGAUAGAAAUUUCCCGAACUCCAACCUCACAUCCAGGGACAAGUUGAUUGAAACAAUUGCUCUUUCAAUUAAGAGGAUGAGUUAGGUUUCAGUUCUUAUCAUUGUCUGUUAUUUCUUUGAAUCAUUAAUUUUGAGCAUUACUGAUCUUAGUUAUCUGUAUUUCUCCAAUUAUUGAAGAAUUUCAUGUGGCCACUUUUUCUCCUUUUCAUAUAUGUUUCGUUUUUGGACUGAUCAAACGGUGCAAAACCAAGUAUUUGCUGGUCCUUAGUUUAGCCAAUGAUGGCUGAUCCACAGUUGAAUAUAUGAUACUAUUAGCUCUUAUUUGAGAAUGUAAAGGGAUCUUUCUUAUUUGAGAAUACAAGUUGCCCAAUAGAGUUGAACUAUGUUACCCAACUCCAUGCUCAUACAUUAAAUGUUUAGGUAGUUUUACAAAAUGAUAGCAGCAUGCCAAAACUUGUUGUUGUCAUUUUCGACAUUUCAAAUUGAAAAAUAUGCAAGCAAUCUUCAGUGAACAUUACGUUUUUAUUGAAUAAUUUAAAUGGCCAGCAAAUCAACAGUCCGUGAGUUUUAAAUCUAUUAUGACUUAAUGUAUCUUUCUGUAUUCGUACACAGGUUAUAUUAUCAUAGUUUAAAAUUUUAAUAUUAUUUUAAAUGUUAAAAAUACUUUAAUGCUAUUAGUCUACUACACAGGUUAUAUUAUUUAUAUUAUAUUUGUAUUAAUUAAAACUUUUAAUGUCAAUUUUCUAAUUACUAUAUUGAAAAGGUAUUAUGGUUAAGAAAAAGUUUUGGCAUUUCUUCUUGAAAAUUUGAGGGUCUGCAUGACAAUUUUUCCAAAUUCUAAGGGUAUAGGUUUGAAAAUUUAAUGUUCUUUAACUUAAUGAAACAAAAGGGGGAAACCAAGAACUAUUCAAUUUUGUAUUUUUUGUUUGUAAUUCAAAAAAUGCAUCCACCAAACAAGUUUUACGCAUUAAUGCUGUCAUAAAACAAAAAACAGUUUGCCAAAAAAUGGUACCAAACAUAUCCUUAAUGUCUCACAUGAUUUCUUAGUAAGCCCAUAUUAGAUAUAUUUAUACAUUUUAGGUAUUUUAAUUAUAAAAGAAGUUGGUCCUCCCUCUGUUUAUAAAAGAUAACGUUAUUUCGAGAUUACCACUAAACUCUUACAUAGAAUUAGUGUAAUGUUAAGAGAGAGUAACACAAUUUUCCGUUACCAUCUUUGAAAAUAGAAAGAUAUGGAUGCGUGCAUUUAAGGGUUAUCGUGAAAAUCAUACAAUUCAAUUUCCUGACAUAUAUAUUCGUGCACAUAUGCCAAAAGAAUAAAUAGACAGAAAGUAAAUUUACAGUCCUCACUUCCUCACAAUUGUUAACGUGGAGACAUUAAGGAUGAGCAUAAAAGUUAAAGAUGACUCAUUUCUCAUUUUCUUUUUAAAGUGCUCUGCUGAAAGCCAAACUUCCUUUGGCUAAUUAAUUUAGAAGUAAAGCAGAGAAUAAAGUCCUAGAUGCCUUCUGAAAUUAGAAAUACAUUUUAUAUGCUUUAAUUAUGAUUAUUUGGUAGACUAAAGACCUAAAAGAUAUGUCCAAAGUAUAAAACAGAACGAUUAAAGGAAAAAGAAAAAAAACAGAGUAUUUGUGACGUAGAAUAACAAUUGGUAACUAAAAUCCUAAAUAUUUGAGUUGUUAAAAGCAAAUAUAACAGAGAAGGUAAGAGAGAUGCAGAAACAGAAAACUAUUAGCUUAUCUUGAUUUCCCACUAUAUUCAUUUUCGAUGCUUUUCAAACGAGAUUCUUUUAAUCCUUCUGGCGUCCGCAGCCCUUGCUCUUCUUACAAAUCUCCAGUCCACAUCUGCACUACGAACAAGUUGAUUGAAAUUAAAUAAUGUUGGAGAUGAGGGGUGAGCCGUCAACUUGGUAAAAAAAUUCAUGUAUAAUAUUAUCAAUAAUAUAAAAUAUAUAAUAAUUAUUACAAAGAAUCAUAAAUUAAAAAAUUAAUUAUUUUACAAUCUAUUUCUUAAGUAAGAUAAAUCUCGUAAUAAGUUAAGUUAUAACGUAAAAAAUAUUUUCAAUUUAUAAUCAUUUAAGAAGUCAUUUAACAAUAUAUUUUUUUUAUCAGCAGGCCAUGCCACAAAGUAUCAUCUAUAUUCGUGGUGAUAUUAUUAUUACUCCGUAUUCUCAAAAAACAUGAUUUAACAUUUAGAGAAAAUUCCUGCCUUUUAAAAAGAACAUGUAUGCAACAACUACCAAUACUUUAUCUUACCACAACAAAACCAAUGGUGACUAAAUCAAUUUUCUUGAUUAAAGCUAAAUUUCUUAAAAUUGAUUUAAUGCACAAAUAUGAUGACUUUUUGCAAAAAUUAGUUUUGGAAAAUAUAGUGAGAGAAAAUAGUGACGAUUAUUGUUUAGAUGUGUAAAUAGUCUAAACAUAAUCGCUAAUACCAAUAUCCAAGUGCAUCUUAACACCUUUCGUGAUAUUCUUUCAUUCAUGGUCACUGGUUCAAUAUUUGAAUUUAAUCAGUAAAUCAUGUUCAAUAAUAUUAGAGAUCCCAACAAUUGAGUACCAAUUUAAAUCCUAAUGCUAUAUGUCAUUGACCAAUAUUGUGUCAUUUUUUGUUAACUGGGUGAUGAAUUUCUAGUUGAUAAAAUUACUUUAAAAUAUCUUAAAAAUUAGACAAUAGUUUGCUUAAUUUUUUUAAGCUAACCGCUCAAGAUGCUCUAUUAGAAAUGAUAACCUAAUUAUAUACAUAAAAAAUGAUGUAUUUUUUGCAAUGUUGAUAGUGAGAUUAUCAUUCAACAUGUUAAAAUAUGAAAACAUAUGGAAGAUGGUUGUAAAUUGAUUGAAUGAAAAUAUUUCAGUGAAGUCUCAAAAAUUUGGUACUUGUUAUCUUAUCGAAAGUUUUCUAAAUUAUAUUCGUGGCACUGCCACUGCUUCUAUGUGAAGGUCAUUAAAAUUUGUGUUAGUUACCUAUAGGUUGAAUAACAAUUUUAUUCAUCAAUUGUUGCUCAAUAUAGCAAUUUGAUUGAAAGUGCCGCUGCACUAAUUUUCUAGAUGAACUUUCCUAAAUGUUUGUCCUCAUAUGACCUAGAAUGCUGCGAUAUCAAUUGUAUUGGAAAUUAUUCAAGUGGGUUAGUGCUCUACAUCCCCACCAAAAUUUAAGCAAUCAACAAAACAUUCCUUGUGGAAAUAAACUUAUUUCGCUACUAGACUUCUAAUGAGGCCCAUUUUCCAGAAUCUGGAUACGAGUUAGAUGUCUCCCAAAAUAUUGGUGGGAGUAGACUAUACUAGCACUCGACAACAUACUAACGACGCUAUGGUCCACCAGAAAGACCGGUCUCCGGUCAGCCGAAAAAUCUCACGUUCAGUCUCUUCUCAAUCUCCCUUCUCCCAGCCAAGUCGAUCCCGUAACAUGAUACUAAUCCACAGUUGAAUACAUGAUACUAUUAGCUCUUAUUUGAGAAUAUAAAGGGAUCUUUCUUAUUUGAGAACAUAAAUUGCCCAAUAAAGUUGAACUACGUUACCCCGCUCCAUGCACAUACAUUAAAUGUUAACAGCAUGCCAAAACUUGAUGUUGUCAUAUUCGACAUUUCAAAUUAAUAUGCAAGCAAUCUUCGGUGAACAUUACGUUUUUAUUGAAUAAUUUAAAUGGCUAGUAAAUCUAGAGUUCUUGAGCUUUAAUCUAAAUCAAAUCUAUUAUGACUCAAUGUAUUUUUUUGUGUUCGUACCAGUAAUGCAGGGGAUUAUUUACGCAACUCUUAUUAUUGACUGAGAUGUUCACCUUCAUCCAAUUAGAGAAAGAGUGACUGUAGAGGUGGCAAAAAUACCCGCCCGGUCCGGACCCGGACCGUACCCAUUACCUGGUCCGGGUAUGAAGCCGGGUCGGUCUUGGGCAUCACUUGAUAAACCUGGAACCCGGAUUUUAUUAAAAAAAUUAUAAAAUAUAUAUUAUUUUAAAUAUUUUAUAUUUAUUUGACUCAUUUAUUAUACAUAUAUAAAGUUUUAAACACUUAAAGUUUAUAUUUUCAUGUCAAAUUUUAUUGAAAUAAAUUUAAAACUUAUAAAAUUACUAAAAAAUAAAAAAUAUAUACACAUAAAAUAUUAAAAAAUAUAAAAUUCGGAUACCCGGAUUAAAACCCGGCCCGAACCCGGACCCAGACCGGUUGCAUCCGGGUAGGGUCCAGUCAUGGCAAUACUCGGACCUGGUCCGGGGUUUUGCCAUCUCUAAGUGACUGGGUUCCUAUAAAGGGACUCUUAACCAUUACGAGAGUAUUCAGACUACAAAUCUUUGUAAUUAAAUUCAAAGGUGAAGAUCUAUGCCUAUUAUCUAUUUAACAACUAAUAUAUAGUUAUCUAUUCAUUUAAAUAUCAAGGGCUAUGCUAAUAAUUAAGUUGAAAUGUUGAUGAAAGUAGCCUUACAUCUGUGUAUUACUCAUCUACUCUAAUCUUUUUUUUUUUUAACUUAAUGUACUUUUUCUAAUGUUGUUUACUCUUCCCCCCCCCCCCCCCCCCCCCCCCCCCCCCCCCCCCCCCCCCCCCCCACCUCUCUGACAAAAUAAUAAGAGUUUAGACUUGAAAAUAUCUUAAAGAUCAAACAGUAAUUUACCUAAUUUUUUGAAGCUAACUGCCAAAGAUAUUCUAUUAGACAUUGAUAACGUAGUUAUAUACAUUUAAAAUGAUAUUUUUUUGUGGAAAGGGAUUAUCAUUCAACAUCUUAAAAUAUGAAAACAUAUGGAAGAUGAUUGUAAAUUGAUUGAAUGAAAAUAUUUCAAUGAAGAUGGUUGUAAAUUGUUAUCUUAUUGAAAGUUUUCUAAAUUUACUACUAUUUGAACUUAGCCCUCCUGGUACCGCCACCAUUUCUGCUUGAAAGUCAUUUAAGUUUGUGUUAGCUGCCUAAAGCUUUUUUUUUUUUUUUUUUCUUUUUCUUUUUGAAAAGAGCUGCCUAUAGCUUGAAUAACUAUUUUGCUCACGAAUUGUUGUCCAUUAUAGCAAUUUAUUUAAUUGAAAGUGCGGCUGCAAUAAUUUUCUUGAUGAACUAUUCCACAUGUUUGUUCUCAUGUGAGGCAGUUUUUCUAGAAGAUUGAUAUUUCUUUAAGUCUUUAACUAGCAAAGCAUACCAGUCCAAAGCUAGCCAAACCAUACCUGCUGGUCCAGGGCUUAAAUGGAGUACUUCUAAGCAUAAAACAGUAACAAAAACACAAUAUAUGCAUACAUACAUACACACAUACAUACAUACCAGCAAAUUCAAAAUAGAAAAAAGAGUGCAACUAUUCAAGAAAUUGGUUAUUGUAGACAAACACACAUACAAACACAUACCAGAAAAUUCAAAAAAUAGAGAAAGGAGGCCAACUAUUCAAGUUUGUAGACAAUAUUGCAAUCAUGGCAUUACUUAUAGCAAGUCCUUGAAAUCUACUAAACAAAACAAUGCUCUGUCUCAUGAAUCAAUGUUGAAUUACAGACGAAAAUGAAAGUCUAGCAGGUGUUGUUUCCCUCUUCGAUUUUGCCUACACAAGUAAAGGGAAAUAAGAAUCAUAAAUGAAAAUCAGCUUUUACAGUUGUAAUUAUUAGAUAGAUCUAGAACGAUCUUUCUUUGUUUCUCUGCUGCAAUGUGCUAUCCCACUCUGUUUUGCUACUAAAAUUGAGUCUAUGUUGAGACAUAAUUUCGACACUAGGAGCAACCGCAAUUAGUUUGGCAUUGCAUUACCCCUUGAAGGUUUUACAAUAGUUGUAAACUUACCGAGAAAGUGGAAAAAAAAGGGCAUAGGGAAUUAGGCAAGUAACUAAAGUAUGAGUCAUCAGAUAUGAUUAAAACUCACCCAAUUCAAUCCAUCAGAUUCCGUAAGGAUAUAACUGGAUGUCAUAACGCCACUCCAUAUCCUCGAAAGUCCGUAGCCUUUGCCUCAACUCUGUCUGGGGCCAGUGUAAGUCCAAUUUGCGCAAGCUCUUUAUGCACCAUAGCUCUUCUGGAAGCUUCCUCAAGUAAGCACAUGGGUUGACAAUUAAGCUUUCAAGUUUUGGCAUUGCUCCUGCCCCCAUCGUCCACUCAUCUAGCCAAUACAUUGACUUCAGGUGCAAAAUCUUAAGUUCCGGAAAGCCACCAGAGUCAUCACAGGCCAACUUUCUUCCUAAAUACGAGUUCUUCUUCAGUUUCAGCACUUGAAGGCGUGGAAGCUUUUCCAGCAUUGGCAUGGGAUCCUCCAUUAGCUCAGUAUUUGAUAAGCUCAGAUGGCUCAGACUUAAAGGAAAUUCGUAUUCAGACAGGGCAAUCCGUGAGAGCUUGCUCUCAUUCACUAGUUCCAAGCAUUCAAUUUUGUGGAGUUCGCAUACGCUUUUGGAAACCCCAGAGUGAUAGCAACUCAAAUCUCCAGAUAUCUGAAGAGUUUGAACAUUAGGUAGUCUGCACAAUAUAUCUGGCGUGCAACUACUAGGGUGUAAGGAUGAUAUGAAAAUAAGAUUUUUCAGAGAGCUGGAAUAAUUUUUUGGAGGUGCAGGCAGAGUGAUGGAACCAAAGUUCAGAUGCAUGAGUUUUUGCAUCUUCCAAAUAUCCUCUGGUGUUUGAUCUACGUAGCUAGAUGGCAUGUCUAGUGUUUGAAGGUUUGAAAGGGUGCAUAGCUGUGAAGGAAGACAUUUGAGCGAAGGGAUAUUCAAUUUCAAAUACUUCAAAUGGAAUAAAUUAUCUAAUCCGGGUGGAUAUUGGUCCAGGACUGCAGAACCCAUGUUCAAUACCCGAAGGUGUUUGAACAUUUUACAAAAAUUCUCGCAAUCUAUCGGAUUAAGAUGAUCGCUUUCUGAACUGUAAUUCAGAAAAGAUUGAUUAGUUCUUUCAAGUAAUGUUCGGCCGUCCCCUCACUGUUGUAUGGUAUGAAACCUUCAGCUACCCACAACUGAUAUAAUUGCCUCGUGGAUAUCUCAAUACUUGGAGGGAAGACAAACAAAUAGAUGCAGCAGACUUUCAAGUGAAAAGGUAACUCCAUCACAGAAUAAAUUUGUCUCCAAGCUGUCGGAAUCGCUUCGCCUUGAAAAUAAUUUUCUAAUGGCAUACGUCCGUAGUGUAGGACGAAAAAUUGCAAGCCUUCAUACUUUAUUCUAAU
rnacentral:lncRNA from 1 species